rnacentral:lncRNA from 1 species
CAUCACUGUUCUCUCUUCCGUCCUUGACGAGCCUAGACCUCAGUAAAAAUAAUCUCAGUGGUCACAUAGGCAAGUUCCUUGCCGCACCCUCAUUAGUCCAUGUUGACCUGAGUGGUAAUCAGUUGCGUGGCUCAAUCCCAAGCUCGAUUUUUCAGCUGGGGAACCUCACCUAUUUGAGUAUCUCAGGAAAUAAACUGACCAGUGUUUUAGACCUACGAUUGCUGUCGGGACUGAGAAGUCUAACAGAUCUUGAUCUUUCGGACAACAUUUUGUCACUGAGCAAUAGCAAAAAUGUCGAUUUUGUCUUGCCGCAACUUUCAAAAGUCAGUCUUUCAGGGUGCAAUAUUACUGCAAUCCCUGCAUUUUUGAGAAAUUCAACCAGCGUGGGGUGGAUAGACCUGUCGCGCAACAUAAUCCACGGUGAUAUCCCACCAUGGAUGUGGGAUGUUGGGACCAGGUCAUUGUCUUAUCUCAAUGUGUCUCACAACUUCCUCACUAGCUUCAAACAAGUUCCAUGGGAAAAUCUUAUAAUCCUCGACCUGAAUUCGAACUUGAUCCAAGGGCCAUUUCUGCCACCAUCACUCCCGAAUUUGGUUCUCAUCUUCUCGCUGGCUAGCAAUCGAGUGACUGGCUAUAUCCCUGGUUCUAUUUGUGAAAUGAAGGGCCUACAAAUUCUUGACCUCUCUGGCAACAAUUUCACUGGAACAAUCCCUCAAUGUCUAGGGAACAUCAGCGACAGCCUUUUAGUGUUGGAUCUGCAAGAAAAUGGACUUUCCGGCACUAUCUCACUUACAUUCGGCAAAAAUGCUGUCCUGAGAAGUCUUCACCUCAAUGGAAACAAAUUUGAAGGCCUGUUGCCGCGCUUUGUAAUCAAUUGCACGCAACUUGAAGCGCUAGUUCUCAGUGGUAACAAGUUGAACGACACUUUCCCAAGAUGGUUGGAAACACUUCCUAGCCUGCGGGUCUUGGUCUUGCGAUCAAACAGACUUCACGGCUCCAUAGGCAACCCCAGAACUAAAUUUCCCUUUCCGCAGUUGCGCAUUCUUGAUCUUUCCUCCAAUGAGCUCACCGGUCCUUUGCCCAGCACCUACUUUGUAAAUCUGAAAGCAAUGAUAUCGACUGAUCAGGAUGGAUCCAAGUUGCGAUACAUGGACCAAGGUUACUACCAGGAUUCCAUAAAUGUGACGAUGAAAGGACUUGAAGUGCAUCUCCCUAAAAUCCUAGUGACCCGAAUGACUGUUGAUUUAUCAAGCAACAAGUUCCAUGGAAGGAUUCCGGAUGUAAUAGGAGAGCUAGGAUUACUGAAGGGGCUCAACAUUUCUCAUAAUAAUCUCGAAGGCCAAAUACCAUCAUCUUUGGGCAACCUUUCCGAGCUUGAAUGGCUGGAUCUUUCUUCAAAUGAUCUUAGCGGGGCGAUACCAAUCGAAUUGACAAAACUCACAUUUCUGGAGGUCCUAAAUGUCUCUUCCAAUCGACUAAUAGGAUCGAUUCCUCGAGGGAAACAAUUCAACACAUUUCAAGCCGAAUCCUAUCUUGGGAACCCAGGAUUGUGCGGGUUUCCAUUGUCCAAAUCUUGUACAGAUUCCAGGGCGCCGGGGAAGCUUCCCGUCCUGCCUGAAGGCGGGAUCCACUCGUUCUUUGCAGAUUUUGUCAAACCAGAGGCCGUGGAAAUAGGAUUAUUAUGUGGCAUAGUGGUCGGACUAGUCAUGAGUAACUCGCGAUAUCUUAGAUCCAUUUGGCGAGCAAAGAGGGAAGUUAGAAAGAUAGCUAGGAAACAUAUUUCUCCAAUGGGCCCUUGAAACGGCACGACAUAUUAGCCAAGGUAGCGGAUUAGUGUUGCAGAAAAAAAAAAGGAUUAUAAGUGCAAAACAGUGUUGCCCAAUCGUGUGACUCGUUCACGCGAAUGGAGAAUCUCAGGACUACGUAAAAAGUUGCGGAAUAACUCCAUAAAUAAUAUUCCAUACAAAAAAAGUUCAUUGAAUGUUGCAAAAACACAAAAAAGAUGAUAAUCGUAAACCCCAUCUAAGCUGUGACGAGGAGCCUUCGACACCGGCAACUCGGUUGCAAGCCAAAGAGCAACAUUGGAGACGUCAAUAGGUGUCAUCGUAAACAUAAUUCAUGGGGCUGUUUCACAAAUCACAAGUGAAGAGACUCGAAAGUUAUCGUGGGGGAAAUAUUACGAAUGAUUGGGAAGAACAAUGAAGUCAAACUUUAAUGCGUGAUAUCAUUUUUUUAAGGGGGUUAUUUGCCCCACAACAUUGUUAAUGAUCACCAGAAAAUUUCCUCUAAAAUACAACAUAGUCUCGAUUGAGAAUACUAAAUAGUAAUUCUAGUGUUUGUCUAGGGUCUCUCAAGAGAAAUAAUUAAAAUGAGUGAUGUAUUUUUGGAAAGAAAAACUCAAAAAGACUUCAUUUUCAUUCGUUCUAAAACUAACGUACGUAUCUCAGUCUUAAUGAGUAAAGGCAACCCUUCAGAAAAUGUUGCAAGUGAAUAGGUACGUUUUUAAAGGUUAUCUUGAAAAUACAUAUAAAAAUUCGAAAUAAAAAAUAGCAAUUAAUUUUUUAAUAAUUCCGAAUUUUAUCAUUUCUGAAUAUACCGAAUAAACAAAUACAACCUUUCAAUUAAUAAAGAUUAUCAAGAUAAUAGUACGCAAUAAAAAAAUAAAAAUAAAAAUAAUAAAUGAGGAUUAGCUGGUAAUUAUCUCUCACGGAGGAUCACCAUAGGAUUAGUUGUAUUCUUGACCCCCUCAUGUUAGGUUAAUCGUCACCGUAGGAGUUGCUUCUUCGUGAAACACCUACUUUACACGCAACGGAGGGUCUUUGGAUGUCUUUGUCAGGCCAGUAACACCUCACCGUCUAAACAUUAGUUUUUCGUCUAUUACUCGUCAAUGUAUUUUCACUUGUCAUCCUUCAGGGCAUAGGGCUUAUCGUGUUUGGAUCUUCAUAUUCACCAAGCGUUCACUUUCCUAAUCAAGUAACUGGGUCUACAUAUGCAUCUUCAGUUCUACCUUUACCGAUCAAUGAACAUGUUCCCAAUUCCUCGCCUAUUUCUGAGAAUGCCGUUCCGGACCCCUCACCUAUUUCUUGAUGAUGCUCACAUCCCUCCUAAUGCCGCUUCCUUUGAUCGCGCAAUUUUCCCUUCCUGAAUUAUAUCAUUUGACCCUCAGCCACAACUUUCUCGACGUCCGCCCUGACCUCCACCUUAUCCUGGCACCCAUUUUAGUUCCUAUCUUUCCCGGAUUGUAUAAGGAAAAGAAAACAUAUCAACAAUUGUUUGAGGGAAAAACCAAUUAAAAUUCUUUCAAUUAUCACUCGUGAAUUCCUUGCUUCAUCAGAUUGUAUGAGGAAAAUUACUUUUUCUCAUGCAAACGUGUUAUUUUGGUGCAGACGACGCAUACGUGAAAAAAUAACAAGGGCAAAUAAACAAGAAGACUUGAAAACAGCAUCAGCCUUCACGGAAGAAUCAUGCAGACGAGAGAAAUCGAGAACGAGAUACAGAGAGAGAAAAGUGAAAGGCCGAUAUUCUGCUAUGAUAUAACUCAAGCUAAACUUUGGCCAAUUAAGCUAUAUGAAGCUUUCCCACAAUUGUGGAAUUCUGAGUAAUGAGAAGAUGGGUUUCUCAUAUAUCAAGUCAUAGUUAAUUUAUGGAAAAUGUCUCAGAAUGCUUGUCAUUGUCACGGCAUACUAAUGAAUGGUAUCUUCUCAUUGGUUAGGUUUGCAGUUUGGUUUGGAUUAGUAGUUCUUGGUGGUCUAAGUUUUUAAAUGGGUGCUUGUGAACUUCGGCAACAUUCCGACCAAAAAAAUAAAAAUAAAGAACACUUCGGCAACAUAUUAAAUGGCGCAGUCUUUUGAUGCAAUAGUUUCUCUCUCGUUCUCAUUUGAAUAUAAUAAUGCAGCCGCGCCACAGAAUUGUAAAGGCUGUAAAAGGAAAGGACAAGAUACGCACAGGGUGGUGUUUUAACUUUUAAGGGCUUGGGCACUGCUCCAUAAUUAGAUUAAUUAAGGAUUAGUUGGUUAUGCUGAAAAAGGUAACAUUUGACUGAUCUGGGACAACUCCUGAUUUAUGCAGCCGCAUGAAUUUGUUUAUUAUUUUCUGUUGUCCUCACAUUAUUCACUCAAUGUCAGCACACCUUUUCUGUUUUCAUUAUAAAUGCCUGAUGAUGCUCCAACAGCGCGAGAGACUAUUUGACAGAAAUCGCUUGUUGGUGAUUAUGAUGAUUAAUGAUGACCAUGAUAUAGAGCUGUUGACGUAGGAUGGCAAUUGUUGACCAUUAUUACUAAGUGUUGGACACGAAAUGAGAGGAGACAAGUGAGAAGGCCAAUUGAAUAUGAAUAUAUGAUUGGUAGUUAAUUCCAGCGAUAUUUAAAAAGUUGCAAUCGCUUGUGAAUUUGGUGAGAUGUGAUCAUAGAGCAUAAAGUUCAAUGAUUGUAAUUGUAACUGUUUGUAACUGCAUGAAAAUUAUUAUCUGCCUAUUAGAAGUUACUUUGUGUAGACAAUAAAAGUUAGUGCGUGCGCAUUGUAGAGCAUUCACGAUCAUCAACAAAAAAUUAUGUGUUUCUAAUUUAUCAAUUUAUGUUAGUUUUUAGUAUUUGCAUUUCUUUUCCUUUAUUAUUUAUGAUCCUUGUUACUUAAUUCAAUUCGUGUCUGAAUCACCACUGAACCCAAUUCAUAAAAAACUAAAGAUCAACUUUUGGUAAAGGUAUCUUAUUAAUUUCUAAGGAAAAAGUUGGUAAUGAAAAAGUUCAAACUCCACGAAAAGAAGUUUCGACCCCCUGAAUUUAUUGUAAAAUGAAAAAGAAAUUUCAAUGCCCACUGAACCAAAAGCUAGAUCUUGAGCUUGGGCACGACUCUGCGGCAGAGCUCAAGGUCGUAUAGCGUGGCCUAGAUCUCAUUGUCGCCGGGCUCGACCGCAUAUAGAGGAGGGCGGAGGGAACGUGGGACUGCGAAGAAGAAGAGCUGUCGAUGGAGUACUUCAGUUUUUUUUUUUUUUUGGUAAGGUAAAUGGUAUUAUAGCUUUGAACAAAAUACAAGAAAACUCAACCGGCUCCUAAUCUUGCACUCUCGAUACAAUGUAGGGAGAGUGGAAGGGAGCACAAUCAAGAAACAAGAAAAGAAGAACAACACGGACUAAACAGAGCAAGGACCGAAGGUCCAGGAGAGACAACAAAGAGCUAAGAUUAGCAAAGACCCUCCGCUGCCAGAAGAGAAGCCAACGCCCGGAUACCGAAGAGGCAGGGUGUUGAAGGACGCCGAUCUAAGUAUGUUCCUGUCGAUUGCUAAAGAUAGCUGGGUGGAAGCCCCAACUCCGCUGGAGACGUCUAUUCCUCGAGAUAUCAGGGAUAUUAGAAAAACUUGCAGCUUUGUCCUUCACACUUUUGAUAAUGUGAUUUUUGAUUGAAGUAAGGACGACCGACUCUCCACGAAAGAUAAUGGCAUUCCUUUUCUUCCAAAUGAUAUAGCACAUAGCAGCAAAAGAAUGCCGUGCUAUAAUGUGAAAAAAAUCUUUGCCUUUGAGGAACCGCAUAGCCCAGAGGAGGUUAUCCUUCCAAGGCCUAGGACGCCAGGGAAGAUUGCAGCGAGUGGCCCAAAAAUAAGCGACAUAAGCCGUUAGAUGGCAAUCAAAAAAUAAGUGGUCAGUGGAAUCAGGGACGUCAUUACAAAAAGCACAGGUGGUGUAGUCAAUUCUACCAUAUGAUAUAAGGAGUUGUUGCGUGGGUAGCCGAUUUUUAGCAAUCAACCAGAGAAUGAAUUGGAACCUGGGAGUAAUGCCGCCUGCCCAAAUGAGAGAAGCCCAAGGAGCGGGGGGUCUCUUCCUUCUGAGGCGGUCCCAUGCGGUCCCAUGCGGUCUCUUCCUUAUGACCAGGAGUACUUCAGUUCAUCACUAGGAAACUAUGAAAAGUCAAAAGAAGAAAGAAAUAAAAAUAAAUUUGACUACAUCAUAUUGUUGGAAGUUUGUUGUUUUUUUUUUUUUUUGGUAAAAAAUUGUUGGAAGUUUGUUUGUAAAACAAACUGAGUGUAAGUUUUCUUGUCCCACAUAGAAAAAAUGGGAGGAAGUUGGCUUAUUAAUAAGAGUGGGGUUUUUUUAACAUAUCUAAAAAAAUGAUCGGGUGUGAGCUAGACUCCACUAUACCAGCGUGCAGGUGCGCAAAUAAUUGCACGAUUAUUAGGCGCACUUAGCACUUGGUGCACCUGCGGUUUAAUUAGCACUAAUCCUUUCGUUAUUAUUAUUUUUCCUUAUGUUAUCUUAUUAACUUUAAUCAAUUCAAAGUCUGUUCUUUGUAGGCAAUUUUACAUUUGUUCACUUUGCAAUUUUUCACGAAGAGUUGCCUACUUUUUUAAGACUGAUUUAUAUAUACAUGUCAGUUUUCUAGAAGAGAGUGUGUGAUCAAUUUUAUUUUUUUAAGUAUUCUUUCUGAAAAACUACAGCUAUCUUUUCAAUUUUUUCCUAGAGAGAUUCUAGAGAAAUAUUAAAAUUGUUGAGACUUUGUUGUAUCCUGGAGGAUAUUUGCUGGUGACCAUUAGCAACUUUGUGGAGCAAAUAAAUCUUUAAAGAAAGUGAUAUUACGCAUCAAAGUCCGACUUGAUUACUCUAAAUAUCCGAAUUCAUUGUUUUAUCUAAUUCAAAGCCAUAUUUUCCCAACACAUAUCAUUGAUCAUGUCAUGUAAGAUGAGCAAGGUUGACCAGUCCUCCAUGUAAACGAUUUUAACUAGAUAAACUAAAUUUGAAAAUCAUAAAAAAUUUUAAGGUUAUAUUAAUCAAGUCAAAAAGUUAAAACUAAAUAAUGUUCUGUAUAAUAUAUUUAGGACUUUUUAGAUAAUCUUUUCUUAAAAAUAUUAUAGUCAAAUUUAUUUAAUGGCAAUGACCACCGAAUUCAAAAGCACUAUGGAAUUAAAAACGUUAUAGUCAAAUUCAUGUAAUGACUAUGAUCACCGAAUUAAGAAAACACUCAAAAUUUGUUUAAUGACCACCGAAUUACCAAGACUGUUUUUCUCGGUUGAAAUUAUUAAUUGACCCUGAUUUACCGCACGGAAGUUAGCUAAAAGAAAACAUUAAGCAAAGACCUUUUUUGGUCCAAUACAUCUUGGAAGUAAGAUUAAAAAAAAAAAUCAUUAAACCAAAGACUUCAAUUGGUCAAGUCGUUGGGGCCGGUCAUUCCCAACUUUAGUACCUAUUCUGAAAUAUGCUUUUCUUCUUUCUUUCCGAUGAUAGGAAGAUAAGAACCAUGCUCAAAAUUGGUCAAGUCGUGGGAGCCGGUCAAAUCUUCAGCAUUGCUAUGCUAAGAUGAUAAGAACCAUGUUAUAAAUUUCUAGUUGUGUUCAUACAGAAUGAACUGCGUCAAACCCACCUAAUUUUCUCCUUGUCUAGACCAACUCCAAAGAUUCGUUUCCUCCUUUUCCGACUAUAUUAAAAUUUAUUUACUUAUUACAAAGUAGAAUUCCCAAUGACUUGUUAUAUAUGACGUAGAAUUGUAGAUUAUUAUAUUAUAUGUGUUUCUUCUUUUCUUAGUCUAUGAUUUUUCUAGACAAAGCACGUCAUAGCGGAAAAAAACUAGUGCGACUACUUAAGGAUGUAGAUCAAACAUUUCGUGAUUUAAAUAUUGGACAGUAAUUUUGGCAUAUGAAUUGACCCGUGUAUAUGGGUGCAAGCAAAACUACAUACUAAUCGAAUUGCUUCACUUCUAAACUCUACCAAAAAACUUCUCCACCACCAUUUCAGCCCCUUUUAUCAGCCUCAAAUGCCUGCCGCCCCCAGUGAUUUAGGUAUAAUUAGGCGGUUUGGAUGAUAGCAUGUCGUGCAGUGAAAAAAACUGAAUUUUACAAUUAAAAUUAAGUAUUUAUAGCAGGCCUAAUACCCUAAAAAGCCCAUAAUUUUAACUUAGUUCUCAUCUUACCAUAAAAUUUUUUCAUUUAAUAAAAAGCAUUGGACUUUUGGUUCCGCCCCAAUUCUAAUCUAAUUGUAUUUUUUGUCUUAUAAAAAACCAAAAGUUUUAGAUUAAGUCUCAAUUUUACUUUCAACUUUUUUUCUCAUAAAAAACCAUCAACUUUUACUUGAGUCCCAUAUUAACCCAGUUAACCCUGCAUUCAAAAUCACUUUCAGUUAUGUGGCAUUUACACAUCAUUAUUCUAGUUUUUCCCCAAAUUUCAUAUCCAAGAAAAUGUCUUUUGAGGAUGAAUUUCUAUGUCAACCCAAAUGACAUCUCAUUGGAUCUGAAAUUUGAGUUAAAAUUUGAGCAAUUAGGAUUAGUUUUUUCAAUCAUUCUUACUUCUGAGAGAGUCUUCCUUCUAUCUUGCUUGGGGAUUUUCGAUUUUGCAUUUAGUUUUCAAUCAUUCGUGGUCUAAGAGCUCACGCUUGAGACACUCAACUCGGGACACUCGAGUAGCUUGCUUGGGAGUUUUCAAUCUCUCAAUUGUCAAGAGAAAUUUUGAAUGAAGAGUCAAUGGGGGCAGCUUUAGGACUCAAGUAGAAGUUUGUGAUUUUUUUAUGAAACAAAAAAAAAAUUGUGGUAGAAAGACCAAACAAAAAGUUGAUGAAUUUUUUUUUUUUUGACAAAAAAGAGUUUAAGUUAGAAUUGGGACUAGCCCUAAUGUUGGAGUUUUUAUGAGAUAAACAAAUUAGAGUAGAAUUAGGAUUGGACCUAAAGUUGAAGAUUUUAUGGGGUAUUAAAUUUUCAAUUUAGUAAGAAAUCUUCUGAAACAACUUUUCUUACCCCUGAUUUAAUAGUUGGUAAGAGAUUAAGAAGUUCAACCGUUUGAAUCCAUGAUAGAUAAGAUUGCUAGUGCAUUUUUUUUUUCUAAUUGUGUAUGCUCUAAUUUCCUUUCAAAUGUUAUUGGGUUAGUCAAUAUUACUAGAAAAGAAAAAUAUACCGGAUCUAAUAAUGGAUGACAGACCAUUAAAGAACCUUACAUGAGGGUUCCAUCAAAACACCAUCAACAAUUCAUAUAGGUUUGUGCUUUUUUUCAUCCAUUUUUUGGCUUUUGACACCCAUAUGACUUUGAAUUAACUCAAUUAUCUAUUGUGGCUCCCACUCUUUAUUUAAGAUUAUUUACUUUUUUUUUCCUUCAUUUUUUUCUUUCAAAUUUACUGAGAGACAAAUCUACUAUGUUCAACUUAAACAAUAAAUUUUAAGGUUGAAUAUAGGGAUUUACUCUUGAUUUAAGAUUAUUUCUUACCUUUUUUUUUCUUCUUUUUUAGUUUUCUCUUUUUUUUCUUUUGCUCCCUUCUAGGACAAAAUUGGUUUCCCUCUUUUCCAAACUAUUAGUUUGAAAAUAACCAAAGUACAAGUAAAAAUAAAAGAAUCGUCUACUAGUUUUAAUGAACGCAUUCGGUUUAAUUUUUAACUUUAACCUAUAUGAUUAUGUUGUAAUCCAUGUAUUGUAACUGUUCGAAUUUCGUUUUAUUUGGUGAAUCUAAUAUUUUAACUUUUAUUUAUUUUUCAUGCCAUCAAUGCAUUCAAAAUUCUAAACAUCCCUUAUUAUCAUGCAAAUUCAAAAGAAAAUGCUCCUAAUUAUGACAAUUGUAAUUGCAUUAUAAGACGCUCCAUUCAAACCAUUUGCAGAUACAUGAUACAUAGUUCUUGUCAAUCCUAAAUGCAUCAAAAUUUCCAAAGAAAGAGAAAAAAAAAAGGUAAGAAAUAAUCACAAAUCUGGAACGUGCAAGGUAAAUUAUGGUCAAUUUAAGGUGAUAGAGGGUGUCAAAAGUCACAAAAGAAAUGGAAAAAGCGUGAGUCAUAUAUAACCGGUCUGAUAUUCUGAACCCGUAGUCCAAGCAGCGUGCUGGUGAAGUAGUUGAACGGUGUUUUGGAAGUCAUUUGCUUUGAAAGUCUUCCCCAAUCAGGAUUUAUUAUUAUUUCAUUUCUCUAUCCAAAACAGAAAAAAGAAAAAGAAGACAAUGACUAUUUGAUUUAACAUGCCAUGCCAUCAUGUCAUAUAGAGGGAUCAUUAUUAAAAGAAGUCAUAAAUAUAUUGUAUAGAUGUAAUUCAGUUCUAAACUUUUCAAUUUGAUUAAUUUAGUCUUAAAUUUUCGAUUUGCCAAUAUAAUCCUUCUGCCCAAUUGUGGUUAGAAAUAGCUGAUGUGGACGCAUGUCGUUCUAUGUGGCACGACCGUUGCAUAAGCACACAUGAAAAUUUUUUAUAAUUCUUUAAUAAUUUUUUGAUUUUUCUUCUUUUUUGUUUUCGUACCUUUCUUUUUAUUGUUGACUGAUGGGGGGUUUCGUCAUGGCUGAUUUCAUUGUGGCUGAUGAGGGCUGUGACACCCUAGCUAAUUUUGGGUUAGGUGAGGGCGUUGUAUCCCUUGCUUGUGAAUAGUGACCUCUGCUAACUACUGCCGAGGUCACAGAUUGGCAAAAGAAAAUAAGGAAAAAGGAAAAAAGAAAGAAAAGAAAAGGAAAAUAAAUCUCUAUUAUUUUAACUACACUUUCAAAAUACAUAACAUGGGUGUGCAUACUAUUUAAUAAAUUUUGCUAGUUUAGCAUUUCAACGUUUGGAACGAGUGAGAUGCUCAAAAGAUUCACUUUAAAGAUUCCAGAUCCUUGUGUUGAAGAAAAUUCAAUAUCAAUAUACUGGUUACUGGUACAAUUAGGUCCACCUAAAGUUAGAAAAAUAUAUAUUAGAAUAAAAAAGGGCGGCUAGCACAAUUAUAUUCUAAUUUUAUUGAGGAAUUUUGUCGCAAUUAUAUAUAUAGGUAUGUAUGUAUGUAUGUAUGUAUUGACACACACACAACCGGGAAAUCAGUGAUUGAGCUCUUGACACUCCUAUGAAUGAAAAUCAUAGUAGAUAUUACUCCAUUGGGUUUGUCUUUGUCAAAACGCAAUUCAGAUUUUAUGAGAGGACCAUACAUAAACAUCCUACAUUAGCAUUGUAAUAAUUAAUUUUUUGUCAAGCGAAAAUUGAAAGAAGACAUUGGCAUCGUACAUAAUAGAACAAGCUCUUCGUCUCUAUCAUGCUAUAGUGAAACCAACGAUUCUAAUGCUCUUCUAAAUUUUCAAAAUCAUCUUGAUAAUGCUUAUAUCAACAAAUGACAUACAUAUUAUAACUUUUAGGUUCACGACAUGUUGAGUUGCAUCUAGUUGGUCUGUUUGUGCCUUUGUGGUGUGCUACCUAAUUGCAUUCUUUAUUUUAACGUUCCCCUUCUGCACGCCUUGUCCUCCUUUCAUUGGUAUAAUAUCCUUUUCAAGCCCCAUACCAAGCCCUACCUUUUAGUUCCUUUACAUAUGAAGGAUCCGGAGGUCCAGAUGAGGCCUCAAAUGUAGCUUUUUAAUGUCAUGCUAAGGACGGUGUUCAAUUUACUUAAAAAUCCUGCUAGCAACGAAUUAAACUGGCUUGUCAUCUAACUGUAGUCAACUCGAGUGGGGCAGGUAGAUUUCCAAGAGUAGAGAAAGACCUUUGAGUGUGAAUUUAUUUAGGGUGUGCAUGACAAAAUUUCUAUUUUAGAAAUUAAUUUUUAGCCAAAAAUUGAUUUUCUUAUUUUUAUUCCUUAAAUGAAUUUCCGAAUAAAGAAACACGUUUGAUAAUGACUCUAUAAAUUUAUUUGAUAACAAAAUAAAAUUUCUAUUUCUAGGUUGUAGUGGUCGAUGUCUUGCAAUUGACAAUGAGUGGCUGGCGUCUGAUGGUGGGCGUCCGAUGGCUAGUGGCUGGUAGUGGGUGGGUGCUAUCCGACGAAAAGAGUAAAUGAUGAGAAGAGUUUUCAUUUCUCACAUUUUUUUUAUUUCUUAUUUUUGUUUCAGAAAUAGAAAAGCUAAAAAUUUUAGCUUAUGAUUUAUGUUUCAAAUCUCUUUUUGGAAUAGAAAUCUGUUUAGAAAUAGAAAAUGAAAUUGCGUUAACAAAUGAAAUCCUGUUUCAAAUCUGUUUUAAAGAUUAGAAAAAUAAACAAAUAAAGAAAAAGAAAUUUUGUCAUGCAUACCUUUAGUCAACUUGAGUGGGGUCGGGUUGAGAAAUAGACCGGGUCCUUUGAGUGUGAAUGGUUAGGUUGAUUUUUACGAACAAAAUGGGCCCUUUGAGUGUGAAUCUAUCUAGUCAACUUGAGUGGGGUCAGGUUAAUUUUCAAGAGCAGAGAGCGGGUCCUUUGAGUGUUAAUCUAUCACCUUCAAUCUUAAAUUAAAGUUGCACGAAAUAUCUUGUGAUUUUCUUGGUUUUUACCGAUGUCUUUCUUCUUUGAGAAUGAGAAAUUUUUGCUCCAAAUGAGUUAGUCUAGUCUAGGUGGAAAUAUUGAAAAUUAAGGGUCAAUAUGUUUCCUAAAAAUAAAUGAUUAAGACAAUAUUUUCCUAAAAACUAUCAGGUUUAUCGUUUGCAAAAAUGGAUGAACUGAAUAUAUAUUUAUUGUCCACGGAGAUGUUUAGAUAUAAAUUGCACCAACGAUCAAUACAGUUUUUUAUUGACUAAUUAUUUUAAACAAUAUAAGUAUUCAUUCUAAAAAAUAAAUUUUAAAUUAUUUAUUUUUCGCGAAAUACUUGCAACUGAAGUUAUCCAAUGUUUUCUUUUCAAGUGUCGUUCGUUUGAUUUGACCCCCUUGCUUUAAUGCGCUGCUGUUGGCCAUGAAGAUUUGAGGAUUCGCUUUUGACGGGGUAAUUACUAAAAAAAAGUCUCAAAUUUAUCGUACGGAUAUUAAUUUAGUUAUAAGCUUUUAAUUUGACCGAUUGAAUCUUAAAUUUUUUUACGAUUUGUCAAUAUAGUUAGUCUAGCUCCUUCUGACCCGCAAUUGCUGAGGUCUACGCUUGCCCAGACCAGUUAUGUUACUACAAACGUUUUUCUAGCUCAAAUGCAUGGAAGCAGCGGAGAACCACAAGACGUCCUUCGGGUGGAGGCCCAUUUAGAAUCCUCCUCAUCGUCAACAUCACUUUGUUUACGCAUACUUUAACGACCCAAACGUUGGAUUUACGUGCAUGAGUCGAGUCUGGGGUCUGGUCAGGCGUCAUUUCGCAUGCAAUGUUCUAGUGACUGAUGAUGUCAGAACAACAACGUAAGCAUCUGUGGAAUCCCUAGUCCUAAGUCGCUAAAUAAAAGCCCCGUUCUGACCAAAAGAAUAAAAUGAAAAAGUAAAGCCCUCGUUGCUACCAACUCGCAAGAACUUAAAUAAAAAUGCACCUCUCUCUUCGACCCCCGUACACAACAGGAAGCAAAUCUACCUCACAAAAAAGGAUAAAUGCACCCAGGAAUCAUCAAAGACUUAGGCUCCGUUUGUUUCGCGGAAAAUGUGGCGUUUCUAGAAAAUAUUUUCCAGGAAGUCAUUUUCCUAGAAAAUGUAAUUAAUUUCCGGUGUUCGAAUGAAACCUAAAAAUGAAGUGGAAAAUAUAUUUUGCUAUUCAUUAAGGAAAAUAUUUUUCUUCAUAUACUCUUUUUCAUUUAUUUUAUUUUUUAAAAUGGAUUUUCAUAUUUUUUAAACUUGAUUUUUAAUUAUUUUUAAUUUUUAAAAUCUAUUACUAAUUUUUUUCAUUUUUAUUUUUCAUUUAUUUUUUCUUUGUUUUCCAUCUCCUUCUUUCUUGGACGAUCGCCAGUCACGGUAAUGGCCCGCAACCGACCACCCGCGAGCCUUGAGCUUGCCGACGAUCACGAGGCAUGCCACUACCUAGAUUGGUGAGUGCGAGCAUCAAGCUCAAGGUUCACCUGGCGACGGGCGACAACUAGCCAAGAAAGAAGAAGAUGGGAAACAAAGAAAAGAAAAAGAAAAAGAAAAAGAAAAAGAAAAAGAAAAAGAAAAAGGAAAAGGAAAUUAAAAAUAAUUCGAAUUAAAAAAGAAAAAGAAAAUUAAAAAACAAUUUGAAUAAAAAAAAGAAAAGAAGAAGAAGAAAUGGGAGGAAAAAGUGAGGAUUUGUAAAGGUGUGAGACAAGAAAGAUCAAGUGAUGAAAAUGUUUUUCAUUAUUCAAAAGUGGAAAACAUUUUCCCCUAAUUUUAGAAGACUUUUUUUCUUUUCAUGGAAAACAUUUUCCCCAAGAAAAUUAUGCUCCGUCAAACGAACGCUGGAAAAUCUGGAAAACGUUUUCCCGGAAAUUAUUUUCCGUGAAAUGAACGGAACUUAAGACGUUUUCCGGAAAUUAUUUUCCGUGAAACGAACGGAGCUUAAAUCUUUUCGAACAAGAUCUCCAUCAGCAAGAAGAAGCAAUCUCUUCCUGUUUGGUAAUAGACAGAGCAAUCGAUAUCUAUUCUGGAGGUUGACACCCAAACGGGGGGAAAAGCAAAGUGCUGUCUAAUGUUCACUUCGGGUUGAGCAAAGGUGUCCUAUUACUUAGAGUGACCUCUACAAACAUUUCAUUUCUUGUCCCGUUUGUAGGAUUACCUUCGGCAUCCGUUGGAACAUUGGAUCAUCUCCUCUUGUGAUUUUCCAAUAUUGUGGACAGAUGCCAGGAAGAUCCCAAUGGUGAUUUAAUUUUGACUCGCAGACAAAGAAUCGCAUGCUCGGAAGGAGCACAUUUCGCAUGUACAAAAAUAAACGGCCGAUAAAAAAAUAAAAUAAAAAAAUAAACGGCCGAUGGAGGGCAGCUAUCAGUCUCUCCAGGAUUCUUGGUGGUUGUAGGAAAAUUACGGAGGAAUUUCCUAGUUUAAGUAGUCCAAUGCCUUGAGGAAUAACGUAAAAUUUUAAACAAAGACCUGGCAGUCCUAGUUUAUGCGGUUUCCACGAGGGUAACCAACACAUCUAUAUAAGCCAACUCUGCAAAAUGUUGGCAUCAUGGUCAGCUAUUACACUUACUCCCUACAUAAAAAAUGGAACGCUUGAUAGGAUCUUGUCAGAUCAUCCUGCUUCUGUUCUCAUCCCUCAUUGGAAUUCAAGCCCUUAACUCUUCAUUUUUCUCUCCUUCCUCUCUAGGGGCAGCAGCACCCUGUCGCCCUGAUCAAAAGUCUGACUUGCUUCAUUUCAUGAACGCAAUGAUGCCUAAUAAUUCGACGUCCUUCUUCUGUCAAAUGGACGACAUUUCCACUGGACCAAAGAUGCUUCCCUGGAAUGCUGACACGGAUUGUUGCUCAUGGAAGGGAGUCAUAUGCGAUCAGAUGACAGGUCAUGUGAUUCGCCUUGAACUUGGCUGCUACACCAUAAACCCGACCUGCUACUCUUCUGCAGGGUCUUCAAACAGCACUGAACUAUCUACAUUGGAUUCCCUCAAUCUUUCUUCUCUUCACAAAACAGAAAGGCCAUCAGGGUCAAAUUCCAAUAUGCUGCUUCAAAACCUGACCAUGUUAAGAGUCCUCAUUCUCGAUGGGUUAAACAUGUCUGGCAUUGAUGUGAGUCGCUUGAUGAAUCUCUCUCCAUCUCUGGAAGUCCUCAGCCUCAGAUGUUGUAAAUUGCGUGGCCAGUUAGCAGCAAACUUUUUCCUUUUGCCAAAGCUGACAUGUCUCAAUUUAUCAGGCAACAAGGAGCUUUCGGGUUACUUACCUGAAUCAUCUUGGAACAGCUCUUUGAAGGUUUUGGACUUGUCCUUUACAGGCUUCUCUGGAGUAUUACCAGAGUCCAUCGGCGACCUGCACUCUUUGGAGAUACUCUGGCUAUGCCAUUGUAAUUUCAAUGGCUCAAUUCCAUCUUCAGUCGGCAACCUAACACGACUCACUAGUUUGGAACUCUCAUUCAAUGAGCUUAGUGGUCAGGUUCCUUCAACUCUGUCAAACCUUGAUGGGCUCACUCUGGUCCAUCUUUCCUCCAACAAUUUUGUAGGUUUAAUACCCGAUGUCUUCGACAACAAGACACAACUUCAACAAGUGCUUUUCUCACAUAACCACUUCGCGGGCCCCAUUCCUCCGAGCAUAAAGAAUCUUUCCAAUCUAGCCCAACUUGACAUUUCCAAUAACCUCAUUCGUGGGUCUAUACCGUCAUCACUGUUCUCUCUUCCAUCCUUGACGAGCCUAGACCUCAGUAACAAUAGGCUCGGUGGUCGCAUCGAAGAGUUCCUUGCUGCACCCUCAUUAAACAAUGUUGACCUGAGUGGUAAUCAGUUGGGUGGCUCAAUUCCGAGCUCGAUUUUCCAGCUUGGGAACCUCACUUACUUGAGUAUCUCAGCAAAUAAACUGACCGGUGUUUUAGACCUACAAUUGCUCUCGAGACUCAAAAGUCUAAUAGGUCUCGAUCUUUCGGACAACAUUUUGUCACUCAACAAUAGCAAAAAUGCCGAUCAUGUCUUGCCAAACCUUUCAAAAGUCAGUCUUUCUGGGUGCAAAAUUACCGCAAUCCCUGCAUUCUUGAGAAAUUCAACCAGCGUGGGGUGGAUAGACCUGUCACGCAACGCAAUCCACGGUGAUAUCCCACCAUGGAUGUGGGAUGUUGGGACUGGGUCAUUGUCUUAUCUCAAUAUGUCUCACAACUUCCUCACUAGCUUCAAACAAGUUCCAUGGGAAAAUCUUAUAUUCCUCGACCUGAAUUCGAACUUGAUCCAAGGGCCAUUUCUGCCUCCAUCACUCCCGAAUUCGGUUCUCAUCUUCUCGAUGGCUAGCAAUCGAGUGACUGGCUAUAUCCCUGGCUCUAUUUGUGAAAUGAAGGGCCUACAAAUUCUUGACCUCUCUGGCAACAAUUUCAUUGGAACAAUCCCUCAAUGUCUAGGGAACCUCAGCGACAGCCUUUUAGUGUUGGAUCUGCAAGAAAAUGGACUUUCCGGCACAAUCUCACUCACAUUCGGCAAAGAUGCUGUCCUGAGAAGUCUUCACCUCAAUAGAAACAAAUUUGAAGGCCCGUUGCCACGCUCUGUGAUCAAUUGCAAGCAACUUGAAGCGCUGGAUCUCAGUGGUAACAACUUGAGCGACACUUUCCCAAAAUGGUUGGAAAAUCUUCCUAGCCUGCGGCUCUUGGCCUUGCGAUUGAACAGACUUUACGGCUCCAUAGGCAACCCCGGAACUGAAUUUCCCUUUCCGCAGUUGCACAUUCUCGACCUUUCCUCCAAUGAGUUCACUGGUCCUUUGCCCAGCGCCUACUUUGCAAAGCUGAAAGCGAUGAUGUCAACUGGUCAGGAUAGAUCCGGGUUGCAAUACAUGGACCAAGGUUACUACCAGGAUCCCAUGGAUGUGACGAUGAAAGGACUUGAAGUGCAUCUCGCUAAAAUCCUAGUGACCCGGACCACCGUUGAUCUAUCAAGCAACAAGUUCCAGGGAAUGAUUCCAGGUGUAAUAGGAGAGCUAGGAUCACUCAAGGGGCUCAACCUUUCUCAUAACAAUCUCAAAGGCCAUAUACCAUCAUCUCUGGGGGACCUUUCAGAGCUUGAAUGUUUGGAUCUUUCUUCAAAUGAGCUUAGCGGGAUGAUACCAACCGAACUGACAAAUCUCACGUUUCUGGAGGUCCUAAAUGUCUCUUCUAAUCAACUAAAAGGACCGAUUCCUCAAGGGAACCAAUUCAGCACGUUUCAAGCCGAAUCCUAUCGCGGGAACCCAGGAUUGUGCGGGUUUCCAUUGUCCAAAACUUGUACUAAUUCCAGGGUGCCGGGGAAGUUUCCUGUCCUGCCUGAAGGCGGGGUUCACUCAUUCUUUGCGGAUUUUGUUGAACCGGAGGCCGUGGAAAUAGGAUUAUUAUGUGGCAUAGUGCUCGGACUAGUUAUGAAUAACUUGCAAUUUCUUAAAUCUUUUUGGCGAGCAAAGAGGGAAGUCAGAAAGACUGCUAGGAAACAUAUUUCUCCAGCGGGGCCUUGAAACGUCACGACAUAAUAGCCAUGGUAGCUGAUUAGUGUUGCUGUAAAACAGUGUUGCUCAAUCGCGUGAAUCGUUCACGCGAAUUGGGAAUCAUAGGACUUUGUAAAAAGUUGUGGAAUAACUCCAAAAAAUAAUAUUCCGUACAAAAAAAGUAUUAGAUGUUGCAAAAGCACAUGAAAAAGAUGACAAUUAUAAAACCAUCCAAGCCGUUACUGUGGCUGUGGGCCUCCAUUGUCGUUCACCAGAAAUAUCAACACUAGCCACUCGUUCGCAAGCCGAAGAGCAACGCUAGAGACGUAAAUAGGUUUCAUCGUACACGUAAUUCGUGGGGCUGUUUCACAUAUCACAAGUUAAAGAGACUCAAAAGUUACCGUGGACAGUAGAUGCACCAUCCAAAAGGGACGUUUAAAAAUUAGGUAACAUAUCCGAUUGGUGAAUAGCUCAUUGGUUUUAAAAUUUUCUUUUUCUUGAAGGUGCUUCUAAUGGAUAUACAUAUGUAAAUGGUAAUAGGUUCUAGGUUCUAAUUUGGACUCUCUUUUUUAUGAUUUUUUUAAAGGGCUUUACUAACAAUAGUCUUUGGCUACAUUGAGAAUAAUAACUUAUUGUGAGCCAUAAAUUCUUGAAAGAAUAGACGUCACAACAAUUUAUAAUUAAUUGUUAUUUAAUUUUUUUUCCCAGAAUAAACUGUUAUUCUCAUAGUAUAUUAAAUACUGUCAUCCAAUCAUUUAUCUUUCUUAAAUAAACGUAUUGAAAAGAUAAGAUAUAUGAGUAUAUAACCGAAUUAGAUGGACAACCAAAGGGAAAAUAAUAUUACCAGACCGAAUAAAGAUUAAAAAGGAAAUGUUAUGUUGAAAACUUUAGACUUGGAUCUUGGUCUCAAAGUCACAUGACCAUUUGCAACUAAAAGAUAGUCUAAUUAAUUUUACUCCAGAGGAUUCCAGUUGAAACCAAAUCAAGCUAGAUCGACAAACUUGUUAUUAUACAUAUAAUUUCAUUACAUAUGAACAUGCUUGUGAUGAUAAAUAUGGUAAAUUAUCGAGGAUCAUGUUGCUAUUUCAUGGUAUAAAUAUUUUAUUUUUGGCGCACACUAACACACAUAAAAGGAUAAAAAGCUGAUGCACCUGCAUGCAAGUUGGCCAAAAUGUCACGACGGUUUUGGGCCAAUUGCAUGGAUCCGACUGCUGCUUUCAGUAAGUGACUUGUCCACUGUGUUUUUCUAAUUAAAUUUGGAAACCAAUGAUUGAUCUGACCUUAUUGAUCAAAUGAACCGCCCAAGCACAUGUGCAUACAAGUUGGAGGGAAAGACUGAUUUUUCUUUUUUGUUUAUUUUACCAAUAAGAGGGACAAUGUGCAGGCUCUUGGAAACUUAAUCUUGGACCUAUUUAAAGUGGUAUUAACAAGAAAAAUCGAACAUUGAGUGAUAUAACGUUUGUCAAAAUAUGAAGUACAUCAUGUCAAAUCAUAUAUCAUGUGUAUAUAUUUUAGUGCAAAAAACGUUCUACUUGAAAAACUCAACCUAUACAAACGUUUCAUUUCUCACAGUGACCUGUACAAGCAUUUCAUUGUCCAAAACUUGUACUAAUUCCAGGGCACCGGGGAAGCCUCCUGUCCUGCCUGAGGGCGGGGUACACUCGUUCUAUGCAGAUUUUCUGGAAUCAGGGGCUGUGGGAAUGGAAUCAGCAUGUGGCACGCUUGUCGGGCUGGUCAUGUGCGAUUUGCGAUAUCUGAAAUCUUUUUUGCAAGCAAAGAGGGAAGUCAGAAAGAUUGCGACCACAAAUAUUUCUCCAGCACAUGAAAUAGAAGCUGCGGUGGCUGAUUAGUAGGAAAAAGUAUCAAAAAAAUCAUAAACCUAUUAUAUUAGUACCAAUUUAGCCAUAAAAUUUUCAAUUGGAUUGAUUUAAUCUUAAACAUUUUUGCAUUGAUACUAAUUCAGUCCAUUCGAUAAAUCUAGGUCAGAAAUUGCUAUGGACAUUUUUAAUACAUUUUUUUUUUCAAUUUAUUGAAUUUUAAUAUUUUUUUUCCUUUUUUUCCUUUUUUUCCUUUACCAUUUCCUUUGCCAAUGGCUGGCCUCGCGGAGCUGAAGGUGAGCGUUAGCCAUCUAGACGAGGGCCCCCUCGCCAAAUGUGGCGAGGCCGACCCUCACCCUACCCUAGGCGAGGGUCAGCCUUGCCCAAUCUAGCAAGGGGGCCCUCGCCUAGACGGCCAAUCCUCGUCAACCAUGGCUAUGGCUAGUGGUCGUUGAUGGCCAUCAAAAAAAGAAAAAGAAAAAAUUCAAAAAAUAUUUAAAAUAUUUUUAAAAAUAUCAACGUCAGCAACAAUCAUGACACAUCCACAUUAGCAACUUAUAAUUUAAAUUAACUGGAUGGAUUGAAUUGAUACUAAUGUGAAAAAGUUUAAAAUUAAAUUGGUCAAACUAAAAGGUUUAUGACUGAAUUACUAUCAAUACAAUAGUUUUAGGAAUUUUAUUUUUUUUAACUUUUCCCUCGAUUAGUGUUGUUGUAUAAAGAAGAUUAUGAGUGCAAAGCAGUGUUGUUAAAUCGUAAGACUUUGUAAAUAGUUGUGGAAUAACUACAAUACAAAGAAAAGUUAGUUAUAUGCAGCAAAAACACAUAAAAAAGAUGAUUAUCGUAAACCCCAUCCAAGCCGCGACUAUGAGUCUCCUUCAUCGUUGUUCACCCGAAAAUCAACACCGGCGACUCGGUCGCAAGCCAAAGAGCAACUCAAAGAUGUAAACAGGUGUUGUUGUACACGUAAUUCGUGGGGCUGUUCCAAAGAUCACAAGUUAGAGAAACUCAAAAGUUACCGUGGCCAGUAGAUGCACCAACGCCACCCCUUUCUCCUCAUAAUCAGGUUUUACUAAUUUUGAGGUCAGCGCGCGUAAGGGAAAAGUACCAAAAAGUCAUCAACCUAUUGCAUUGAUACCAAUUCAGUCAUAAACUUUUCAAUUGGACUAAUUCAGUUCUAAACAUUUUAAUAUUGAUACCAAUUCAGUCCAUUCAGUCAAUUUUGGCCGGUCGGAGCUGUCGUGGAUGUCGGCCGGUGGCCGAACGAUGACGUGGCAAUUUUUAUGAUUUUUUUUUUCGAAUUUUUCAUUAAUUUUUUUAUUAUUAAUUUAUUAUUAGUUUUUUUUUUCCUUUUAUUUUCCGCCUUCUUCUUGGCGAUGGCCAGCGAGCCUCUGGUGAGGCUCGCCGGCGAGGGUCGCGGCCCUCGCCCGGCCUCUCCCAAGGUCACCGGCGAGGAGGCUUCACUCGGAUCUCGGCGAGGCUAGCCUUGCCGGUGGUUGGCGAGGUCAUGGUAGCCAUCGCCAGCCGCCGGCGAGGGUUGCGACCCUCGCUCGGCCUCACCCAGGGCCGCAGGCGAGGCGGCUUAGCCCAGAUCUGGCCUCGCCCUGGCCUUGCUACUGAGUCCCCAGCGCCUCCUCCGCUGUCGACCCCGAAGCUUCUUGACCUUGUCACCGCCACCCUCACCUCCACGAAAUCCCAAUUCGAGGCCCUGGUCCCCCACCUCCCGCGCCUCAUGCCGCCGCUCCUCCGCCCGAUCUUCGCCUCCGAAACCCUAGCCUACCACCCCAACAACCGAGGGCUUCGUGGCCCUUGCCUCCGCCCUGGUGAUGGCCGCCAUGGCCUCGCUAGCUGCGGGCGAGGCUGGCCUCGCCCAGAUCCGGGCGAAGCCACCUCGCCAGUGACCCUAGGAGAGGCCGGGCGAGGGCUGCGAUCCUCGCCGGCGGUAGGCGAGGGCUCGUGGCCCUCGCCCUCGCCCAGUGGCCGGCGAGCCUCACCAAAGGCUCGCCGGCCACCGUGAGGAAGAAUGUAGAAAAGAAAAGGAAAAAGAAAAGAAAAAAUAAAAAAUAAAAAAAAUAAUAAUAAAUUCAUAAAAAUUACCACGUCAGCGUCCGGUCACCGGCCGAUGUCCACGUUAGCGCUGGCCAGCCAAAAUUGGCCAAAUGGACUGAAUUUGUCCAAUUGAAAAGUUUAGGAUUGAAUUGGUACCAAUAUAAUAGGUUUAUGACUUUUUUGGUACUUUUCCUGCGCGCAUAAGGAUGCAACGUAAAAGACUCAGCACAUCGAAAGAGGGUUAUUAAAAUAUAUAUUAGGUAGCAUAAUCGAUUGGUUUAUAGCUCAUUCUGACUUGGUCUCUCCUUUUGAUGAUUUUUCUACGAUAAAGGUAUCGAAAAGAUUAGAUUGUAGUGUAUAUAACCAAAUUGAAUCGACAGCCGAAGGGAAAAAAAGAUUAACGGACUGAACAAGACCAAAGAGGAAUGGUUAUAUGCUCAGACAUUUUGACUUGUACCUCAGUCUCAGAGUUACAUGACCAUUUCUCAAAAACGGAUAUAUUAACACAUGCAACUCCAAGCAAGUCUAGUUAACUUUAGUCGAAAGGAUUCAAAUUGAAACCAAAUCGAGCUAAAUCAACAAACUUGUUAAUAUGCAUAUAUUUCCAAUGCAUAUGAUUGUGCUUGUGGUGAUAACAUAAAUAUGGUACGUAUGUUGCUAUCUCAUGGCAUAAAUUAUACAUUUUUGGCUCACACCCAACACACAUGGAAUAAUAAAAAGCUGAUACACACGCAUGCAAGUUGGCCAUAUCACGACCCACUCGGGCCGAUUACAUCAAAUCCUAACUUAUUUGAUCAAGUGGACCGCCCAGGCAAAUGGGCAUCCAAGUUGGAUUGGAACGCCAGAUUUUGAUUUUUUGUCUUUUUCUUUUACCAGUGAAAAAGACAAAUGUGCAGGUUAUUAAAAAAUGUUUUUGGAAAUGAUAUUGACACGAAAUAAUCAAACAUUGAGUGAUAUAUUGAAUCUAAGUAGGUCCUUAAAAGGCUCAAGGAAAAAAAAACGGGCAGGAGAUCUACCUUGGGGUGAAAGACCCGCAAUGUCACUCUCAUAUUCCCUCAAAAAAAUUGUUUGGGAUAAGGAGCUUUUGGGUGGUGAAGAUAGAUACCUUCCAUAAUUAUCGUUGGAUAAGUAGGUAUAGUAGCUUUCCACACCUGAAUAAAAGGGAGAAUACACCUUUACAACGUUGGCUGCCCUUCUUGGCAAAGUCAAUUCAACCGACUGCCAACCCUGUAUCACGUGAAUGUGUAGGUGAAAAGGAAGUUCUGCUGGGAAAACUCAACGUGUCAAACACAAAUCUCUUUUGACGGAAAAAGAAAAAAAACAAACUGACAUUUCCUGAGUAAGUUAAAGAGGAUAAUGCUAAAUAUAUCAAAUUCGACUGCAAAAUUAUCAUGCAAAUUUGACAUGACAUAUUUAUAUCCACUAAAUCUCAUUUUAAUUUUUAAUCUAUCCAGUAUUAGUAGAUGGAAAAGAAAAGGAGUAAAUAGUUUUUUUGGAAUUUGACGUAAUGGGUCGUUCAAUUUUUUUUUUUUUCUGGUUAGUGUAUGCAAUUAGAACUCAUCACCAUAGAAAAUAUUCAUUCAUUAAUAUUUUGACAUGAGAAAUCAGAUUGAAACCAAAUCCAUUUAAGGUAAAUUUUACUUACAUCCAUUACUUUCAUGCUUUUUCUAAUAAAAUUCUUGUACUUUCAAUUUGCUAAUCAAAUCCUUUCACUUUAACAAAAUUUCUAAUCAAGUCCUUCGGUAGAAUCCCUCAAAAUCCAGUCGGCACUACCAUCAAAUAGAAUUUUUCCCACAUAGACAUGCACGUGAACAUCCAUAUUCGCUAAGUUUCAUCCCCAUUAUACUCUAAUGUAAUUGACAUUGGCUCAAAUUUUCCACGAUAGCAUCUAUGUAGGCAUCUAAGAUGACUAAAUUUUUAUGCAUAUCGUAAGUCAGACACCAUCUAAUGGUUACAUUAUCUGGAUUUGGCCGAAUUUGGUGUUAGAUGCAACUUAAUUGCAAAACUUGGGAAAAAAAACAUAAUAACUUGAUUAAACAGUUUAAAAUGUACGGAGGGAUCAUCGGGAAAAAAUGUGAAGAUAAAAGGAUGACAAGUAGAAUUUUUCCUGCCUUAAUGCAAUUAGAUUAUAUGUGUUGCAAAAUAUCUCAUAAGAAAUGGGCCAACAUUAUCUUGACGGGCCUAUACCGUCCCAUGCCAGCGAGUUAUGAAACAUGAGUAGGCUUCGUGAUAAGUUUGGCACCAAGAUCAUUCAUCAUUGUAUGCACAUGGACUUGUCUCUUGUCUUUGGGGCCAAUGCAAAUGGUUGAGAAACAAAAAAAUGGUGCAUUCCACGUUACAGACGUGUUAUUGUAGACUGAGCUGUUUUCUGUCUCCAAAAGUUUAACUACAUAAAAAGGAGACUCAUCCAUUAAACAUUAAAAAAAUUGAAAAAAAUUACCAAAUCGGUUCUAAAUCUUUUGUACAUAUGACUAUAAACUUUAUCAAUUUAGUCAUAAAUUUUUAUGCGAAAUUUAAAUGCAAUCACUCUGAUCAAUUUUCGUCGAAAAUUGUUGACACAGCAAUUCGGUAAUUACCAAUUGUCCUACAUUAGGAUUUUGCUCAAUUUUUUAGGAUCAAAUUAGCAAAAUUAGAAAUUUUAGGAUUAAAUUUGCAUCCAUAUAAUAAACUUAAGACUAAUUGGGUAAUUUUCUAUAAAAUACGUGAACAAACUGUUGGACUCAUCUCUUGAACGUUUUAGAAGACUAGUCAUUAUUAAUGCAGGACUACCUCUUGUAGUAAAGGAAAGAGGACCAUUUUAAUUUUUUUGGUUUGAAAAAAGAGGACCAUUAGAUUCAAGUAAAACUUGUCCUUAAGUUUCUUGUUUCCAAUCUCUGAUGGGUUGGCUUUGUCCAACGAAAAAAAAUGGCACGCUUUGCGGUGAAUGAAUUGUCGAAGAUUUGUCUUUGGGGUGUAUGGUUGUUAUAAUGUUAAUGUUUGGGAUAUAACUGUCGAGAUUGUCUAUUGGACUCAUCACACGCGAUGACUAGAGCGAUUCAACUAAUAACAUGCUAACAAGCGAGUACCCCUUCGGAUUUUCCCUAAACACGGGUCAACGUCGUUUCAUCGAACCCAAGAUGAGUGGGGAGCGUCGACUGAAGGGAGAAUCAAAACAGCGAUCGGGACACGAACUCAAACCAAAACCAACCCCCAAUCAGCAAAUAACCUUUAGGAUAAAACAGAGAAAGUCACGAGCAUGAGCAAGCCCGGGCCAGCAAAAACGGGGGACACGGGCUUACCUUGUGGGUAAGGCGUCGCCGAGAAAGACGAAGCUUUGGACGAAAGGAAGCGGGAGAGCGCACAGCUUCUCGGCUUCUCCGAUCGGCGGGGCCAGGUCAAUCGUAAGUGCGGCCGGACGCCGCUUAGGGGGCGACUAAUGGAGCUCUCCAGAGAACAUCGAGUGGGAACCCACCGGAAUGGAUAAUAGGUAACCUUUGACGUCACUAGAGUUUAGACAACAUUUGGGAUAUCAUCACCUUGAAAGUUCAAAGGUAGAAAUAAAGAAGCUUUAAGAGCCAAAUCCAACUCCUUGACGAAGAGAAAUUCAAAACUUUUGAUCAAUUCCCAACCUUGCUACAAACUGAGUAUUCUCUUCCGCCAUCACAAAAUGCUUUUAUAUUUGUUGCUCUCAUAGAAACCUCUAUUAGACAAGACAAAGUUAAUGUGGUAGAAAUGCGAACUUGCCUUCGAGAAAUGGACUGGCUAAGGAAAAGAAAGGAGAAAUAAAAGAUUCUUAAAGAAUCUUCAACUUCUACAAAGGAAAAGGCAAAUCAAAUGAUACUAUCCAAUCCGUUGGAAUCAUUUCUAAGAGAUCUGAGCAAUCGACAAGAAAAAAAAUGAUUGAUGUUACUUUUCGAAAGACCAGAUUCAACCUCUUCUAGAAUAGAUUCUUCCGAUCGAUUUAGACUCAAAACCAAAUUUAGCAUCUCUUUCAUCCUCCUUCUCUUUUUUGAACUGGCUAUUGAUGUCCUUUUUGGGUAAACGCCCAAGCUCUUCCAAAUCAUGACGAGUAUGAUGUCCUUUUUGGAUUUGUCACGAAGUUCAUAGGUAGCCUUAAACAUUGGUGACAAUCAAUUACAGAAUAAGAUCAAGUGUAAUUUUUGCUCUCAGCAAACUUUGGCCAAGCUAUUGCUCUCCUCUACCAUUGUUUCAUUGGCAAACCUGCUGACCUCCUUGAGUUCAAGAGAAAAGAAUUUUUUGAAAGAAAAUGUUGCUCUCUCAAAAAAAAAAACAUCUCAAACAUUAUUGAGAAAUGAUCAAACUCUUCUACAGAUUUGGAGCUGAUGCAAAAUUGAAACAGGUUUUUCUAGCCUCUAUUUCUAGAGAGUUAUUACAGUAAGUUGAGAGAUCAUUUCUCAACAAGCAAAGAAUAAUAGUGGAUAUUCCCUUAGGAGAAAUACAACAAUCGAUCCAUUUGUGUUUGAUGAUUUGUGUCUAAAACACCAGAUGAUGAAAACUUACCUCAAAGACAAUCGAGAACUUGAUUGAGCUUAUUCGCAACCGAAUUUGAAAAUUAAGUAUCCCGAAAAAGAUUAUGAUGGCUCUUAUGAAAAAUCUUCAAGAAAGAAAAAGCAUUUCAAAAGGUAUUUGGUGGAAAGGUCCGAGCAUAAAUCUAAGUAUUUCCGGAGAUAGAAAAAAUGGUGAUUCAUGUAAAGAAGAAAAGAUUGGUCAGGCCUCAAGAAAUCAACCAAAUGCUUCAUCUACAAGAAGAUAGGUCAUUUUGCCAAAAAUUGCUCCUAGUAGAAAAAAAGGUCAAAACCACUUGAUGUACUACAUUGAAAUUAAAACUGGUGUUUCACUUGAACAUGAUGAUGUUGAAUCAUUGUAUUCCAUUAAUGAAAAAACAUCUGAGUAAACUCUUUGUGUUAUUCCUUACUAUCAAAUCUUAAGUACAUUUGAUUAGGAUUCAGACUCUGAAGAUCUUUUCCAUAUAUUCUUCACCUCUUCAUAAUAAGACUCUAGUAUAUAUUCUAGUCAAGUUCAUUGUACUUAAUUUCCUGUAAAAAUUCUCACUUCAAAGUUUGUCAAAUCAAUCAUAGUUAUUACUCUUAUAGAUACUGGUGCUAGUUCUUCAAUUCUAGACACUAAAGUUUUUUCUGAAUAAUACUAGAUUUCCUACGUUUGAUAUUUCAAUUCUGUCUCAAGAUGUACUUUUUUACAAAUGUGUGAAUUACGCCAGUAACCAUCUAGUUCUUCUCUCAGUGUUUUAUAACCACCAAAAUUUUUUGGAUCUAGUCUUUCUAAUAAAGAUUUUAUUAUUGGUUGGAAUGUUAUGACUCAAAUUCUUCAGCUUCGAAUCAUUCCUAGAAAAGGUCUUUCUACUUAAGACCAAUUUUCUAAAUUUGUUAAUAUUCAAAGGUUUUUCUCUAUUUAAAUGAGUUUGCUAGAUCUGAUCAUGCAAAAGUUGUUAGAAUCUUGUUCAGAAUCUCAUUCUGAAUUUUCUCGGAAAUGUUCUCAUCUUUUAUGAAAAAAUCUAGAAGUUUUUGUUUGCCUUCCUUUAAAAAAAAUGAAGACAUAAGACCCACCAAGAUGAGUCACAUGAGAAUGAAUCUAGAUCGUCUCGCUGCUGCUCAGAGGAGUGUUCAGAGCUACUACAACAAAGUCUUAUUGAAAUAUCAUAUUCUCAAUGGGCUUUUGUAUGUCAACAAACAAGUUGAGCAGAAUAGAGGAAAAAGGCUGCUAAUGAUAGGUUACUAUCCCUUCAAUCUCUUCCUCUAAGAUGACAAGUUCCCUUUACCCUCUCAAAAUCCUUUUUAUCGGAUUAUCCGAAGUCCAUAUCUAUUCCAAAUUCGAUCUCAAAGCUGGAUUUUGGUAAUUGGGAAUUUAUCUUGAAGACAAGCCUAAGACAUGCUUCUUAUUCCAAACUAGCAUUUUCAAUAGAAAGUUAUCCUCUUUGGCCUCAAAGUAUCCUCUUUGGCCUCAAAGUAAUCACAUCCCUAUUCUAAAAGGCUAUAUGCCAUAUUUUUCAACCAAUCCUAUCAAGCACAACAAUUUUCAUUGAUGACAUCUUGUUCUAUAGCCCUGAUGAGGAAUUCCAUUGUCGACUCCUCAAUCAAUUUGUAGAUAUCGUGAAAAAAAUAUGGAAUCAUGCUCUUUCAGAGAAAGAUGAACAUUACUUAGAUAGAAAUUAAAUUUGUUUUUAUGCACCUCAAUAAAGAUACAUACUAUCCAAGGCUGCAUAUUGCAUGGGAAUUGUUAAAAUUCCUAGAAAAAAAUUUCAUGACAAAGCAAGUUCAACAAUUUCUUGGGACAAUUAUAUCAAAGACUUUAUUCCCAACUUUGCAAAAUUAUUGCUCCCAUUACAACUGAUGCUGAAGAAGAAUCCUUCGCCUUGAAAUAAAGCUCAAACCAAAACAGUUGUAGAACUAAAAGAGGUAAUGCAAAGUCUUCCCCCAUUGCAAAUACUAUCCAUUGGGAAGAGAAUCCUCUAGACUAAUACUAGUAAUGAAUAUUGGACAGCCAUUUUGUUUGAAGAAAUUGAAGGUAAGCAAAACCUUUGCGCUUACAAAAGUAGAAUGUUUUCCCAAACUGAAAUACAUUAUCACUCUACUUCCAAGGAAAUAUUGGCAAUGAAGAAUGGGAUUAAAAAGUACGAAUUCUAUUUCAUUGGUGAAAUAGCUAGUACGAGUACCUAGAGGAGGGUGAAUAGGUAUACAAAAAAAAUUUCUCGAAGCUUGCACGAUAUUUAAACAAUUAGAGAAUUUGCAACAGUUAAAAAUUCAAUCGCAAGACUGAGUAAGGGAAAGAGAGAAUUGAACACUCGGUUUAUAGUGGUUCGGCUUGAUUCAAGCCUACGUCCACUCUUCUGCACUGACAGCCGAUUGGCUGGAUUCCACUAUGAUCAAAGAGUUGUUACAGUGUUGAUCUUCCUUGAUUUCUAGGUGUAGAUGAUCUACCACACUCACUCAAGGCGUCACCAAGUAUAAACACUCUCUGUAUACAAUUUCGCUCAGUCUGAACUAACAAUCAAGGAUCUUCAGACUCUGGAAUUUUUCUAUCGAUCACACACUUAAAACAACUAGAACGUCUUCCUUUUAUACUCCUUCAUGCCAUCAUAGCCGUUGGCACUUACCAAAGGAAUUCCUCCAAUCUACCCGUUGGACGGAAUCAAUCAAGAAGAUCAUCCGAGCUAUUUAAGGAAUCUGAUGAUAGCCCAUCAAUCCUGUUCGCCCAUACAAUCAGGAUCUCGGUUUCCAAGAAUAGAAUAAUCCAAGAUUAUUUCGUCGACCAUCGGAUCUUCAAUUGAUCUUAGAUAAGAAUUAAAGAAUCCGAAAUGAUUAUCCAACCAAAGAAUCUAUUCCAGAGGAUAGAAUCAAAUCCUCAACCAUAAACCUCGGCUUUGGAUAUCCUUCAACACUGGAUUAGAAAGACUGUCAGUGAGAAUAAUUUUGAGUCUUGAGUCUUGAGUCUUGAGAUUUCAAAGUCUUGAGACUAUAAAGUCUUGAGACUUUAACUAUCGAUAUCCAGACUUAGACUGAUAGAAAUGUUUUGUCAGCUUCAAAAUAUUCUGGAAAGAUUUCUCCAACAAUCUCCCCCUUUUUGAUGGUGACAAAACUUUCUUGAAGAUUUGAACAACUUUGACCUGCAAAAACAUUUCUCAAGCAAUAUGGCUAACUCAUAAAGAUUAAUAAACAACCAGACUCUGCAUCCACAGCAAAUUGGUUAGUCUUUCAUGAGUAAUACCAUGUAACAAUACUUGAUAUAAAUGCAACCAGUCAAGCAUCAAAAUCCACAGCCAAUUCAGUCUAACACUCAAGUUCAAGUUCUCAAGUCAUACUCAAACAUAAACACAAAAGUCAAAUAAAGUUUUAAAAUAAUGUUUGUUCAAAUUGGUUCUCCCCCUUUUUGUCAUCAUUAAAAAGAGGGUGAGAAAGGAGUCAUGUCUGCUUGGGAAUGCGCACGAUCUGGAAAUCCCCAAUGGACUGGACUACUCCUUCGAGCUUCUUCAGAUCUUCUCGCAGAUGAGCUACCUCUUCUCUCUUGGCAUUGGCUUGAAGUUGCAGAGCGAGGUCUUUGAAUUUAUCUUCCAGAGAGACUGAAGAUGCUUGUCCAGCAUGCUUCAAAGCUUGGAUUUCACAGUCCAGAAUAUAUAUCUGGUUACGCAUUUCCAGAAGAAUAUUCAUGAUACUACGAAGAUCUGCAGAAUCAUCCGUCUGUGUACUGGCAUUGACUUUCUCAGAUGGUGUGUAUGCAAACGAUGGCCCUUCUGUACGGUCUGGCAGAUUUGGAAUCGACGUAUCACCUUCUUCAGGCAAUUUAGAGACCUGAACUUCUUCUGGGUCUUCUGGAGAUUGUCUUGGAUCUUCAGCAGCAUGAGGUGGAGACCUCUCUUGCUUGCUAACUCCCCCCGUCUCUAGGACAUCGAAAGGGGAAGAGUGAUGAUCAUGCUCUUGAUUUCCCUUUUCUCCAGAUUUAUCAGCAGACUGUUCUUUUUCUUCUUCUCCUUCUUCCUCAACUUCUUUCUCCUUCUCUCUCUGUUCUUCUUCUUCUCUGCUCUGCUGAAGUUCUGUCGGAUAAGACACAGAAGUCUUUGAAGUAGACUUAGGUCUGAGACAAUUGAUCACAAUCUUGUGAAGCACAAUGUUGAUAGCAUUCAUCCUGGAAUAGAUAAUUUUCUUAUCUACAUCCCUAUCUUUGACAAGAUCCAGAGUAGUUCGAGCAGGUGAGACUUUGAUUGGGAGAUAGCGUCCCCGUUCAACUCCAACUAUGUCCGCCAACAUAUUCACAUCUACCACAUAGACUUUGUCUCGAACACUGAAUGAAAUUCUAUUCGCAUCCAAAAAGCUAAGAUUUGAAUAGAAAUAAGCGGUCAGAUGAUCAUACCCGUCUGUAGAGUCAGAGCAGAAAGUCUCAAGUUGAAGCAAAUUCAACUUCUCUCUUAGGUUCAAGUUGAUGGAAUCCAGGAAGUCAAAAUCGACACUUCUAGGGUUGAUUACCCCUCUUUUCAACAGACUGAAAUACACUUUUUCCUGAUCCUUGGAUUUAAACAAAUCCAUCCGAUUUCCUUUCACCUUUGCCGCCACACCCAUUUUAGGGUUAAAUUCAAGGAACAUUUUGUCAUCAUCGUUCCCGUCAAUCAGAUUUUGUCCUGGCAUACGAGGAUCUCUUGGAAUGUUCGCAAGUGAUUCCUCUGCUUUUCCUUUCGGGGCAAUUCCCCAUUCCUCCAUUUUCUUCAGAAAAAGAUACUCAUUCCCAUAAUUUUUGUCCUUAAGGAAGUCAUCUAUAUAGUUCAAUGGAGUACCUGUGCUUUUCAAUGCACGAUAAAGUUUAUACAAAAAGGAGGGCUUUUGAACUCUUACUGGGUCGGCAUCCUCGAUUAUCUCUUCUUCCAGAUUAUGACUUGCACUUUGUGGGGCAGGAGAUGCUGAAUGACGUGGAGGAGAGCGAAUCGGACUCUGUCGCUGACUUGGUAAGUCUUCUUCCUCAGUGAGAUCGAAAUGAGUCGGUCCCUUCUUCAUUCUUUGUGGUCCCCUGUUUGCGAUUCUUGAUGAUUUCCUCGAAGACGACAUCUUUCUUUGUCUAUUGGAGGAUUCCUUCACUUGCUUUCCCAAGAAAAAUGACCACUUUCUCGACGAUGAACAAAGAGUAGAAACAGUAUCGAGAGGAGAGUGCCUUUUAGGGUUUUGAAGAUUGGGGAAAGGAAAAAAAAAACUGUAUAUAUAUAACUCAGUUUUGAAAAAGGAAGUUCAAUCGGUGCAAGGAAAGUGAACGAUCACUUCUUUUCAAAAUCAAUAACUGCCAAAAUUAUUAAACAAAAGAUCGUACCUUUUCGAGUUAAUAUAACUAAAUGACAAUUAGUACCUUUUAGAUGAAAUACAACUUACAGUCUAUAGCCACGAAUGAUUGAGUCUCAGGAUUUAGAGUCUGAAAGAUCAGAGUCUUAGAGUUGGUGAGUCUCUAGACUUUAAUUUCUUCAAGCUUCAAAAUGUUGAGUCUCGAGCGGAUAAAGUCGAACUGAUUCUUCUCCAAAGGCUUUGUGAAUAUGUCCGCUAGUUGACUUUUUGAAUCAACAAAUUGAAUCGAGAUUUCUCCAUUUUGAAUAUGAUCUCUAAUAAAGUGAUGUCGAAUCUCAAUAUGCUUUGCUCUUGAAUGAAGGAUUGGAUUUUUGGUGAGAUUGAUAGCGCUGGUGUUGUCACAUCUGAUUUCUGUGCAUGAGUCUUCAAUGCCAAAGUCUUGUAACUGUUGUUUUAUCCAUAGAAUUUGCGAACAGCAGCUUCCAAGAGCUACAUACUCUGCUUCUGUCGUUGAAAGAGCUACAGUGCUUUGCUUCCUCGAAAACCAAGACACCGUUCUGUUUCCAAGUAGUUGACAAAUUCCAGAAGUGCUCUUUCUAUCGACUCUGCAACCGGCCAGAUCUGCAUCUGAGUAUCCUAGAAGAUUAAAGUUUCCCUUCUUUGGAUACCAAAGACCGAUGCUUGAAGAUGAAGCAACGUAUUUGAUAAUUCGUUUCACGGCAAUGAGAUGUGAUUCUCUAGGAUCUGAUUGAAACCUAGCACAGAUACAAACACUAAACAAAAUAUCAGGUCUAGAAGCAGUAAGAUAAAGAAGUGAACCGAUCAUGCUCCUGUACAGCUUUUGAUCUACUUUCUUCCCUUCUUCAUCCUUGUCUAUCUUCUGAGAACAUGACAUUGGUAUGUCGAUCUUUUUGCACUUUUCCAAUCCAAACCUUUUGACAAGAUCAUUCGCAUAUUUUUCUUGAUGGAUGAAAGUUCCUUCCUUCAUUUGUUUCACUUGGAGUCCAAGAAAGAAUGUUAACCCUCCCAUCAUACUCAUUUCAAAUUCAUCUUGCAUAGACUUAGAAAAUUUCUUGCAAAGACUUUCAUUAGAGGAUCCAAAAAUAAUGUCAUCAACAUAUAUUUGAACAAGUAAAAAGUUUUUGUUUUCCUUUUUGAUAAACAAAGUAGUAUCUACUUUACCUUUGACAAAACCAUUUUGUAAUAAAAACUUACUUAGUCUGUCGUACCAAGCUCGAGGUGCUUGCUUUAGACCAUACAGAGCCUUUUUCAGUCUGAAGACUGAGUCUGGCUUCUUUGGGUCUUCAAAUCCAGGCGGUUGUUCCACAUAAACUUCCUCAUGGAUAAAUCCAUUUAGGAAAGCACUUUUGACGUCCAUUUGGAAUAACCUGAAAUUUUUGUAACAAGCAAACGCAAGUAAUAGACGAAUAGCUUCUAACCUUGCAACGGGUGCGUAAGUCUCGUCAUAGUCUAUUCCUUCUUCUUGCGUAUACCCUUUGGCCACGAGUCUCGCUUUGUUUCACAUAAACUUCCUCAUGGAUAAAUCCAUUUAGGAAAGCACUUUUGACGUCCAUUUGGAAUAACCUUUUGGUUUAGAUGUCAAUUCCCAGACAUCAUUGAUGUUGAACUGUCUGAGCUCUUCUUGCAUAGCUUCGAUCCAGCUUUCAUCAGAUAAAGCUUCUUCUAUGCUUUUUGGUUCAAUUUCAGAGAUGAGAGCCACAGCACUAGAUUCUUCAUGCCUUUUUGAUCUGGUGCGGAUUCCUUCAUUAAGUUCGCCAAUAAUAAGAUCUUUGGGAUGACUGGAUUUGUGCUUCCAGUUACCAGGUUGAUGAUCUUUUUCUUUAUUUGAUUCUCCAUGAGCGUCUUGAUGAUGGACUUCCAGAAUCUGAGAUGCUUCUUGAGAUGUAGACAUUUGAAGAUCUAGAGCGGAUUCAGUCUCUUCGUACUGAGUCUGGCCGGAUUCAUCUUGCACUGAGUCUUGGAAUUUGACAUUCAUUGAUUCUUCUACAGACUGGCUUUUUUUGUUGUAGACUCUGUAGGCUUUGCUUGAUGUAGAAUAUCCAAGGAAGAUGCCUUCAUCUGAUCUUUCUUCAAACUUACCAACUCGAUCAUUUGCAUUUUUCAAAAUAAAGCAUUUGCAACCGAACACAUGAAAGUAUGAAACAAUAGGCUUCUUACCUUUGAACAAUUCAUAGGGGGUUUUAUCAAGAAUAGGUCUUAGAAAGACUCUAUUUAUAAUAUAGCAAGCAGUUGAAACAGCUUCAGCCCAAAAUCGUGAAGAAAUUUUACUUUCAAUUAAAAGUGUUCUAGCCAUUUCUUGAAGAGAUCUAUUCUUUCUUUCCACAACUCCAUUUUGCUCUGGAGUAUACGGAGAGGAAAACAUGUGAUUAACACCAGAUCUAUCACAGAAUCUCGUAAAAUCUUGAUUUUCAAAUUCACUUCCAUGAUCUGUUCUUAUACUAGAAAUAGCACAUCCUUUUUCAUUUUGAACCUUUUUAGCAAACUUUUCAAAGUACGAAAAGGUUUCUGAUUUGUUUGCAAGAAAAUAUACCCAGGUAAAACGAGAGUAAUCAUCUACAAUUACUAGACAAUAUUUCUUACCUCCAAUGCUCUGGGUUCUUGUUGGUCCGAAGAGAUCCAUAUGAAGCAACUGCAUUACAUGAUUAGUAGAUACAUGAUUUAUUUGCUUAAAUGAAUUUCUUACCUGCUUUCCCAGAAUGCAUGGAGUGCAUAAGUCAGACUUUUGGUAUGGCAGUUUAGGUAGACCUUGAACAAGCUGCUUUGAAGAGAUUUUGGCUAAUUGCUUCUUGUUGAUAUGGCCAAGUUUUCUGUGCCAUAGAAUUGCUUCAUCUUGAAUUGAGAUUAAGCAUUGUUCUUCAUUUGGCUUUACAUCAAGGAGGUAGAUGUUUCCAUGCCUUCGACCCAUGAAAGACUGAGUCGAAUCUUUGCUAAUUCCAGAACAUAUGCCUUCUUGAAAGAAGAUCUUGUAACCAGUAUCACACAAUUGGCUAAUGCUGAGUAGAUUGUAGUUGAGUCCUUCCACUAGAGAAACAUUGCUUAUUGUGAGAUUUCCAAUUUUCACAGUUCCGAAUCCCACAAUACUUCCUUUGCUAUUUCCUCCGAAUGAAACUUUUCCACCAUUUACUUUAAUAAACUUUAUGAAACAUUUUGAGUCUCCUGUCAUGUGUCUUGAGCAUCCGCUGUCAAGAUACCACUUUACCUUCUUUUUGACAGAGACCUGUAUUCAAAAGAGAGUCUCAAGCUUUCUUUGGUACCCAAAUUUUCUUGGGUCCUUUGGUGUUAGUAGGAUGAGCAUUAUUAGGCCAUACUCUCUUAACAGGCUUCCAAACCAUAGGACACUCUUUUUCAAAAUGAUCCUGACUGUUACACUUAGAACACCUUAAAGCAUUUCGACCUACAGGCUUUACAAAAACUCUUUUGAAAUGAUUUUUAUAAGCCUCUCUCGAUGGUCUUUUCUUAAUUCUUUCUUUUACUUUCGGAAAAUCAAUCAAAGGGAUUGUUUCAGCUGUCAUACCUAGACCCGACUUAUUGAAGUAAGGUCUUUGGAUUGAAAGAACUUUUUCAAGUUUUUCAGACCCUAUUGAAAAUUUCUUUGAAAUAUUUGAUAAAUCAGUUUUUAAGAAAGCAUUUUCUUUUGAAAGAUUGUCUUCACUCUCUUUAAGAGUAGAAACAUUCAAGUCUAAAUUUUUUACCUUUUCUUCUAAAAUGUUUUCCUUUUGUUUUAAAAUUGAGUUUUCCUUUUUGAGUUCGGAAAUCUUUUUAAGAGAAGUCUUAAGACUAAAACAUAACUCAUCAAUAUAUUUAGAGACUUUGACAGGGAUUUUAUAAUCACUUACCUCAAAUUCACUGUCUGAGUCUGAUCCAGAGUCUGAGUCUGAUUGCGCCAUUAGACACAGGUUGGCAUAUUCCUCAUCACUCUCUUCACAGUCUGUAUCGCUCCAGGUUUCGGCUUUAAGAGCUUUUCGAAAUUUCUCAGCUUUUCCUCUUUUCUUUUUCAGAAGAGGACAGUUGGGUCUGAUGUGUCCCUUCUUUUUACAUUCGAAGCAAACUACAUCUUUGUUUGGUUCCUCAUCAUCAACAGACUUGGUCUGCUGUCUCUGAAAACUUUGUUUCUUUGGGAUGAACCUUCUGCCUUUUCUAUUUAGUUUUCUGAAUCUUCUUAUCAUGAGGGUGAGCUCCUCAUCAUCCAUAUCAUCUUCAGAAUCUGCAUCAUCAGAAUCAUCAUUUGAUUUUAGUGCAAUAGAUUUCUUACCUCUUGGAUCUUCGUCUUCAUUAAUUCGUUCCACUUCGUAAGACUGAAGAGUUCCAAUCAGUUCGUCUACAGAUAAUGGCAUGAUUCUUUGCGUCUCUCUUAUUGAAGUCUUUAUAUGAUUCCAAUCCUUGGAGAGUCCACGUAAAAGCUUGUUCACCUUCAUGGGAUCAGAAAUUUUUUGUCCUUGGUUCUCAAGACCAUUGACAAUAUCUGUAAAACGACUAAACAUGUCAGUUAUAGAUUCUCCUGGUUUCAUUUUGAAGGAUUCAUAUUGACCAAGAAGAAUGUUAAUUCUGGUCUCCUUCACUCGAUCUGUCCCUUCAUAAGUGAUAUGUAACCUGUCCCAGACUUCUUUUGCUGUAACACAAGAAGAUAUUCUGUUAUAUUCAGUUGGUGACAAAGCACAAUAUAAAGAAUAAAUUGCUUUAGCAUCGAGUGCUUGUCUCUUGUUUAUUUCUUCUUGAGACAUUCCGCUAGUUUCAACAGUUUCUUUCCCUCUUUCAGAGAUUGAUGCAGCAGCAGGAGUGAUUCCUUUUUCCACAACGUCCCAUUCCAGAGGAUCCUUUGAUCGUAGGAAAGCUUUCAUCUUGUUCUUCCAGAUGUUGUAAUCCUUUCCAUCGAAGUAGGGAGGUCUGGUAUUGCUUUGCCCCUCCAUCAGCCCCGGUGCUAGCAUACUAGCCAUGGAUAUUUUACUCUGAAGUAAAACACUUCAAACAAAGUAAGAACACGGGCUCUGAUACCAAUUGAAAUAGCUAGUACGAGUACCUAGAGGGGGGUGAAUAGGUAUACAAAAAAAAUUUCUCGAAGCUUGCACGAUAUUUAAACAAUUAGAGAAUUUGCAACAGUUAAAAAUUCAAUCGCAAGACUGAGUAAGGGAAAGAGAGAAUUGAACACUCGGUUUAUAGUGGUUCGGCUUGAUUCAAGCCUACGUCCACUCUUUUGCACUGACAGCCGAUUGGCUGGAUUCCACUAUGAUCAAAGAGUUGUUACAGUGUUGAUCUUCCUUGAUUUCUAGGUGUAGAUGAUCUACCACACUCACUCAAGGCGUCACCAAGUAUAAACACUCUCUGUAUACAAUUUCGCUCAGUCUGAACUAACAAUCAAGGAUCUUCAGACUCUGGAAUUUUUCUAUCGAUCACACACUUAAAACAACUAGAACGUCUUCCUUUUAUACUCCUUCAUGCCAUCAUAGCCGUUGGCACUUACCAAAGGAAUUCCUCCAAUCUACCCGUUGGACGGAAUCAAUCAAGAAGAUCAUCCGAGCUAUUUAAGGAAUCUGAUGAUAGCCCAUCAAUCCUGUUCGCCCAUACAAUCAGGAUCUCGGUUUCCAAGAAUAGAAUAAUCCAAGAUUAUUUCGUCGACCAUCGGAUCUUCAAUCGAUCUUAGAUAAGAAUUAAAGAAUCCGAAAUAAUUAUCCAACCAAAGAAUCUAUUCCAGAGGAUAGGAUCGAAUCCUCAACCAUAAACCUCGGCUUUGGAUAUCCUUCAACACUGGAUUAGAAAGACUGUCAGUGAGAAUAAUUUUGAGUCUUGAGUCUUGAGUCUUGAGAUUUCAAAGUCUUGAGACUAUAAAGUCUUGAGACUUUAACUAUCGAUAUCCAGACUUAGACUGAUAGAAAUGUUUUGUCAGCUUCAAAAUAUUCUGGAAAGAUUUCUCCAACAAUUGGCCAUCAUUUUUUUGGUAGAAUUGGAUAUGGCAUCCUUUCCUCAAAUGAUCAAAUUCAAACAAAAGUAGAUUUCCCUUUCUUAGCUGCUUCGAUGGGCUGAAUGGUUUUCGAAAUACUCUUUUGAAACCAAGUACAUUAUAGGAAAGAAAAAUGUUCUUGUUGAUUCUCUCUCCAGACCCAAGGCACUAGCAAAGAUUAACAUGUAUAUUUUUUAGGCAUGCUUUUCCUCAACGGGAAAAGUACAAGAUUGAAAGAACGCGGGAUUGGCCAAGCUUGGAAUAUCCUCAGGAAAUCAUUGAACAUAUCCAAAGUGAUAAUUUCAUUGAAAAUCUUGAUAAUCUCAUGUGGCAAUACCAUACAAAUUUAUUUAGAUUCUAUAAAGGCUCAAUUCUUUAUCAUUUUGAAUGAAACUCCAAGUAUCCAUUUAUUCAUCCAUUAAUCUAGAAAGAAGAUGAUUUUCUUGGUUAGCUUCUAUGGUUGUUUUGGUAAUUAAUUAAUAAGUAUUUAAUAGAUGUUGAGUUCCUUGCAAAAAAAUUCAUUGUUCAUUUAUUAAAACUGAUUGCGCUUUGGUGUAAUGAAAGGAGUGAAAGUGACAAAAAUCUCUUGGCCGUACUUAAUUGAUUCAAUCAUCCUCUGUACAAGAACUAGGAAAAGCCCCUUGAGCAACACUAGAGCUACACACAGUAGUGUUUUUUCGGAGACCAUGGACUUUUAUGUGACAAAAUGGUACCCUCACUAGUGCACCCGAAGGAAUAGGAACCAUACCAUACAAGCCUCAACCGCAUCUCCUCAAAGCCCGUAUUUAUAGGACAUUUCCAAGCUAUGUUGGAUCCUUUGAAUACAACUAUAGAGAACUCCAGAGGGUCCUAUGCCAAAAAAACCGAACCAUUCCUAAAGAAGUAUGGGACUACACAUUACCUCUCUCAUGGGACCACUAUGGUCUUGCGUCUGAAGCCAAACAAGUACUUGAGGAAUUCAAUCAAGCACGGAAUCAAGUAAGGACACCACCAUCACAAGAGCAAGAAAUGGCAAACACAGAUGAUCCUGCACAGUCUUCUCAAGAAUCCUAUGCUCAGGCAUCCUAUGCCCAAUUAAGAGGUCCUCUUUCUCAAGACCCCUAUAAUUAAGGAUCUUUGUCCUUAACUCUUGGAAUGGACCCUAGCAUAAUAUGCCAUUGUGCUCAAACAUCAAGCUAGCCCUAGCCAGUCAUGCCUGCCAACACUUCAGGACCCUCUAGGAUUCAUGAAGAAGAACCUGCCUCAAGUAUUCCAAGUAUGUGGAACGCCCUAAUCUCACAAAAGGGACCCUCUCACAAUACCAAUAGACCUCCUAAUGAUGACAUUGGAAUGAAACAACGCUAUGAGAAAGAAUGGUUGGGAAGACAUAGCUCUGAUGGACUAUGAUUAUAACUCUUGGGAUGAUAGAUAGACCUGUUGCAAAAGAUAUUGUAGCACAGGUCACUGUAGCAAUAGGUUAGAGAAAUCAUUGUUCACAGUCACUAUUCAUACCACCUAGAAUAAUUCGCAACCAGAAUUCCUAGAGCCUGUGUGUUUUUAGACUUCCUUGUUUGUUUGUAAUCUCUUAAUGCCUAUAAAAGGUAAAAAUGAUGUAAUGUUUUAGGCAGAGUUCCUUGAAAUGAAGUGUGUGCUUAUGUAAAUUCUCUCCAUAUCUCUCUAAACACUUCUUCUUCUCUAGCUUGAUAGGAUCCUUUGAACAUCUCUAUGUUCUGAUCCAAAUUUCAUAGCUAAAAAGUAGUCCCUUAAAGGCUUGAACAAAGAGAUUCACCUGUUAUGGGAUAGCAUAACUACUGUGACUAACUUGGUCUUCCCCGGUUCUAAUCAUAGAUCCCCUUAUUGAGAGUGUUAAAAAAGCUGAUUGGACGUGUUGAUCAAGUGUCGAACAGUAUUUGAGAAUGUCGAACAUGUGUCAGAAUGUCUAACACAACAUAAUGGCCCUUGAAGAGUGUCGGUGCUUCUUAGACCUGACCUCGAGCUUUGAAGCUCACAAGUGGCUGCAAGCCGCCAUGGCCAAGCUUUGAAGCUCACGGCCGCCAUGACCACUCUUAGCUCGAAGCUUGGUUGAGGGUCUGACGUUGACCCUUGAAGAUCACGAGUAGUCACAAGCCGCCAAGGCCAAACUUCGAAGCAGCUUGAAGGUCCAGCUUCCAAAGUCGCGGGUGGUCGCAAGCUGCCAUGGCCAAGCUUUGAAGCUCAUGAUCACCAUGACCGCUCUAGCUUGAAGCUCGACCUCAACCUUCAAAGCCGGUGAGUAGUCGCAAGCUACCAAGGCCAAGCUUCGGAGCAGCUUGAAGGUCGAGAUUAGAAGCUCGCGGAUGGUGACAAGCCGCUAUGGCCAAGCUCGGAAGCUCAUAGCCACCAUGGCCGCUCAAGCUCAAAGUAGGCUUGGUCUGACCUCGAUCUUCAAAGCUUGUGGAUGCUUGGGCAAGCAUCGACGAGCACCGCCGGAGGUCGAAGUAGCAGUAAGCAGCGCAUCAAGAGUGCCAGAGGAGUUUGGCUAAGUGACUGAAGAAGAUGAACGCGUGAACAGUACUUCGCGAUGUACUGGAGAAGACAAUGAACAGUACUUUUUUUCUUUUUUAAAUUUCACUUUUUCCUUUUAAUUUUCCAAUGUGGUGCUCGUGUGGCGUCACGUUAGAGCCAUUGUUCCAUAAAAGUGCCAUGUCAGAUCCAUGUCAAACAUUUUAACCAUGAUUUUGGACGGAGCUCUAAUGAACGAUAAACAUGCCACAAUAAGUAUAAUUUUGGAUUUUUGAUGGUUUUUUUUCCAUUAUUUUUUCAUUAUCUGAACGAAAAUCGGCGUCCAAAUGAAAAUACAUGAAAUUUCUAUUCGAUUUGGUUUCCCAGUUCAGUUCUAGCAACCCAGGAGACACCAAGACGCAGACAUGACAGUGGAAAGGACCAUAACUCAGCCAUAACUUUCUUGAACAAGAAUAAAUCCUCUCUCUUUGAUGGUAGAAAAUAUGUUCCAAUUAUACCUCUAAUUCAUGGAUUACAAGUUAUAGAUAUUAUCCACAUUUGGCCUCAACUGAAACUCAUUUAACAUAUAUCCAUAAUUGGGAUCAUCAAUAAGAGACAUGAUUGGAGGGAACUUUGUCUCAAUAGGGAUGGAGAAAACAUACCUAUUUGUUAUCAUGAGUGGACUAUGAAUUAAUUUUUUUUUUUUUGGUCGGAAAGACAUUUCAUUGAUUAAUAUUGGGAUGACGGAUUACAACUAGACUGAAAGUCCAAACAUAAUAUAAGAUAAAGUUCGUGCGGGGGAUGGGAUACCCAAUUGCUUGGAAGAGAGUCGGUGUUGUGUGACUUGGCAAUCCAAUCAGCCGCUUGGUUGGAUUCUCGUGCUUCAUAUCGCAAGGAAACGUUUGGCAUUUGGGCUAGUAGUUCUCUGCAGUCCAGGACAGUAGGAUAAGAGGCCCAUGACACUUCUUUCUGGCCCAAGAUGGAGUCCAUGGCUGAGAUGCAGUCGCUGGAGAUACACACGGGGGAAAAGAAGCGCAGAUCAGUUCGUGCGCCUGAAGGGGAUGCUGUCAGAGCAGUUCUGUUUCUCCUCAGCCAAAGUAACGCCUGUUGGACAGCUAGGGUUUCUCCCACUUGAGCCGAUUGAGCUCGAAAUUUCUACGCAAAGCCUCCGAUACACACCCCCGCCUCUCCUCUGCAUAUACCAGCAAUAGAUCCCUCCAAUUUCUCGGCCAGCCAAGAGCAAUCCACGUUGAUCUUCAAGGUACCCGGAGCUGGAGGAACCCAGGUAUGCCGUUCUGGUUUCGUUGCUUUUCUCCGUGUGUUCCAUUUCUCGUAGAGUUGUUGAGAGAGAAGGGCUUCAUUAAUGAUUUGUUCUUGUGUUUUUCGCCGGCCUUGGAAGAUCAAAGCAUUACGCGCUUUCCAGAUUAGCCAAAGGGUGGUCGCAAAAAUCGCUUUUUGACUUGCUGUGAUGCCAGAUCUGAGGUAUUCAGUCACCCAUCGGUCUGUUCUUGUUAUAGAGGUUGAGGAGACAUCCAUGUCGGUAUAAUAAUUUUGCCAAAUUUUUCUUGUCCACAGGCAAAGCCCAAAAAGGUGUUCGGAGGACUCUGGAAAUUGGUUACAUAGUGGGCAUGUCGGCUCAGGUAUGAUUUUUCUCCGGUAUAGAUUGGCUUUGGUAAGGAGGCCUUCGUUACAUAAACUCCACAUGAAGUGCCUGAUUCUGGGUGUCGUCUGUAGAUGCCAAAUUUCUGUCCAGAGUUGUUUCGGUACCUGAUAUGAAGAGGAUGCAUGGCCUUCUGUUAUGCUUGUGUUGGCUGCUCGUAAUUUAUGAUACCCGUUUUUGAUCUUAUACUCCCCUGAAUUAUGUCCUGUCCAAAUUAGACGGUCAGGUCUGGUAAAGAUGCUGAGUGUGGUUGCUUGAAUUUCCUCUGCUAUGUGGCUGUCAAAAAGCUCUGUGAUAAUAUGAUUUUUCCAUGUGCGCGUAGUUGGGUCAAUGAUCUCUGCCACUAGUUUAGGAUCAUCUCGGUUCGCCGGUCCCCCAAUACUUCCUGACAUUAGCCAGCGAUCAUCUCUCAAGUUGAUUGAUUUACCAUCCUCGACCUCCCAUUUCAGAUCAGAUUGUAGGGCAUCGCGGCCUAUUAAAAGACUCUGCCAACCCCAAGAUGGUCUGGCACCUUUUGUAGCAGUCCAUAGAUUACCGUUAGGGAAGUAGAGGCCUUUAAAUAUUCUGCUCCACAAGGCCUCAGGGGCUUUCUCUAAUCUCCAGGCUUGUUUUCCCAACAUAGCUCUAUUUAACUCCACUAAAUCUUUAAACCCCAUUUCUCCUUGUUCCUUCCUCUUCUUCAGAACUUCCCAACUCUUCCAGUGAAUACCUUUUUGUUGUGCAUUCUGUUUCCACCAGAAGGCUGAGAUUUUUCUUUCGAUCGCUCGACAAAUAGAUAAAGGUAUUUUGAAGAUAUUCAUGGCAUAUUGAGGUAACGCCUGAACAACCAUUUUAAUUAGCACAUCUUUCCCUGCCUUCGAUAUUAAUUGCUCUUUCCAUCCCUCCAGUUUUCUGUCCACCCGUGCUAUGAUCCAAUCUAACAUCUGUUUUUUUGUUUGGCCCCAAUCGGAUGUAUCCCUAAAUAUUUCCCAGUUUUUUCUAGGAUAGGAACCCUCAGUUCAGCUGCAAUAUUUUGUUUUAAAUCCUGUGGACAGCUGGCCCCCAGAAAAACUCCAGAUUUGUUAAGGUUGAUCGACUGACCAGAUGCAAAGCAAUAACAAUUUAGAAUAUUGGCAAGAUUCUGAGCUUCCCUAAGAGUACCAUCUAAGAAGAAAAUGGCAUCAUCAACAAAGAAUAGGUGGGAUAAGAUAGGGCAGUGUGGAUUUAAUUUGAUACCCUUUAAGGUUCCAUCCAUGAUAGCAUUAGUCACCAUAUAGGAGAGAACAUUCGCCAAAAUAAUGAAUAGAUAAGGUGAGAGAGGAUCCCCUUAUCGAAUACCUCGAGAUGGAGUGAAAGAUUCCCCUGGUUGGCCGUUAAUUAACACACGAAAGUGGGCUGAGGAGAUACAAAAUUUGACCAUAUUCACCCAUUUCUCAUUGAAACCCAUCUUCUUCAUACAAUCGCAUAAAAAGUCCCACUCAACUCUAUCAUAAGCCUUCUGCAUGUCUAGCUUCAGCACGGCUUGGAAUUUUCGUCGUCCCUUUCUAACCCGUAGUUGAUGUAGGACUUCUUGAACAAUAAAGAUAUUGUCUUGUAUUUGCCGGCCCCCUACGAAUGCGCUUUGUUCCUGGGAUAUAAUGGAUGGGAGCCAAGGUUUGAGUUUGUUUGCCAUAACCUUUGUAAUGACUUUGUAACUAAAAUUACACAAACUUAUGGGUCUGAAUUCUGUUAUACUCUCAGGAUUUGCCACCUUGGGGAUAAGUGUGAUAAAGGUCUCGUUAAGGGCUGGAUCAAAUCUGCCUUCUUUGAAAAAGGAAUCCACUAGAUUAAAUAUGUCUUCUUGAAUAGUAGCCCACUGACUUUGAUAGAAUAGACCACUUAGGCCGUCUGGUCCAGGGGCUUUUGCUGCCCCCAUUUGGAAAACCGCUUGCUCCACCUCCUCCAUAGUAAUGCGUGAUGUUAACAGCUCAUUCAUUUCCUCAGAAACAACAGAUGGACAAUGCUAUAGAAUUGGCUGAUAAUACCGAGAACCCACGGAUCUAUACAGCUCUUUGUAAUAAGCUGUUAUGUGUUGUUUAAUGACACAAGGCUCUCGACUCCACCUAUUCUCUUCAAUCUUCAGCAUCUUGAUUUUAUUUCUUUGUCUCCGUUGAAUUGUUGUAGCAUGGAAAAAUUUGGAGUUUCGAUCGCCCCACUUUAACCAGUUGAUUUUGGAUCUAAUACCCCAAUACAUUUCUUCUUGGCGCCACAAUGAGCUGAUUGUCUCAGUAAUCUUAUUGUAUUCCUCUGCCCUGUCUGUCUGAUUUGUCCUGUUAGUGAUUUGAAUGAGCUGAUUGCUAAGCUGGUCUAUUUGUUUAGAAGCAUUUUUAAAGGAUUCCCUGCUCCAUUUUCUCAAAUCCUCGGUUACCGUUUUUAUUUUUUGGACCAUAUCUCCUUGUUGCCAAUUCUCUGACUUCCAGGCCUUGUCUACUACAUUUGCACAUUCUGGAUGAUCUAACCAGAAGGCCUCGAACCUGAAUAGUCAUUGUCUUUUCUGUUCACAUGCAUUUAAACAUAGUAAUAGGAGACUAUGAUCAGAUCCUAUUGCUGGAAAUGCAAAGGCUUCGGCACUGGGAAAUAAAAGCCUCCAUUCUAGGUUGCAAAAGGCUCGAUCAAGCCGUUUUUUAACUAAAUCUUCCCCAUCUCUUUUGUUUGUCCACGUGAAUGCGCACCCAUUGCUUUCAAUAUCUAUCAAAGAACAUGAGUCAACAAAGUCCCGAAACGCCGUCAUUCGAAAUCUUUCUGUUAAUCUUCGGCCCAUCUUCUCCCAAUGAUAUAGCACCUCAUUGAAAUCACCAAUACAAAGCCAGGGUGCUAUUGUCGAUCCAUGUCUAGCGUAAAGUAGAUUCCAAAGGGAUACUCUCUCUUGGAAGUUAGUUGAUGCAUGUAGGAAAGAGAUCUGCAUUUUAGAACUAUUUCCAGCCACUCUACAUGAAAGGUCAAUGAACUCUUGGCAGCUGUGCUCAAUAGUAAGUUGUACCAAGUCAUCCCAUAGUAAUACCAAGCCCCCCACUGUUCCAAUAGGAUUAACAGCAAACAUAGAAGAAAAUUUUAGACUUCUUUUGAUGUUUUCCACCAUCUGGUACUGAUUUUUGGUCUCCAUAAGAAAAACCAGGUUAGGUCUCUCGCGAGCCACUAAGGUUCGUAGGUGCUGGACUGUCAAGGGAAAGCCUAAAUCUUGACAGUUCCAGCUUAGCACCUUCAUGGCUUUCUUGGUGGCUUAUUAGGGCUAGCCACCAAAGCCCCUGCUGCUUCGCCUUCCCAUAGUUGAAUUGGUGUUUCCAGAAAUUUGUCCAUGUCCACAAAGGUCGUCAUACUGCCAUUUCUCUCAUACGGGGUGAAUCGUUUUAUCUUUUUGGAUGCUUGUUUUUUUUUUACCAUAUUUGGCUGCUCCUUGAAUACCCAUCUCUGCACCAUGCAUUAGAUUCUCCAUUGGUUGUUCCAUGUACUGCUAGAUGCGUUUACCUUUUUUCUGUGCUACAAGUUCUGUUGAGAGUGAUAAUUCUGGUGUUGGUUGUAUUGUAGGAUGAUAAAGAACUAUGGCUUGGCUGCCAUCUGUUAAUGGUUUGCUGUUCGGAUCAUCAGUGGAAGAAAUAACCGGUGUCUCAGGGAUCAUUUCCUCUUCAGAUAAGGUGAGAUCUAUCUCUCCAUAAAAGGUAUUCUAGCAAGGGCUGAAUGUUUUCACCUCUGCUUUCAACCAGGAUCCAUAACGUCCCGGUUUAUCUUGAGGAAGUCCAGAUUCUUCAUAGGGAAAUGUUGGGCAAUAGUUUGCAUAAUGGCCUAUGUAACCACAGGAGUAACAAUAGUGUGGUAGUCUCUCAUAUUUAAAGUCGAUCCACCAAUUUCUAUCUCCCACAUGAAUUAUUGUUCCAGUUUUAAGGGGAUGAAAUAGAUUCAGCCUUACUCUUGCUUUGUCAAUUCUUCGAGAACUAUUAUUCCGAGCAUCAAUUCUGCCUUCCUCUACUUUUCCCAUUUUUCCAGCAAUCAUGCGAAUACAGUCCUCCGACAUAGCAGCUCUUGGAAGCCCCAUCAGAUGCACCCAAAAGGAGCAAUGUUUGAACUCAUAGCAGUGCUCGGGAAUGGUAGGGUCCCCUUCCUGUAGAACUAACAGAUUGCUUGAAAAGGACCAAGGGCCUGUCUGCAAAAUUCUUUUCUGUUCUUCCUCUGAGUUGAAGAUGAAUACAAAGAAACCUGAUUCAAUCACCUCACACCUGACCUCUUCUACCUUCCAAGCCCUCUUCAUUGUAUCCCAGAAUGCUGGGAAGUUGACAUUAGGUUUCGAGAACAAUUUUCCAUAUAAUAGAUACUCACCAGUCUGUUUGUGUACCUCAAGGAUGCAGCCAUUCAGUUCCGUGAUAUCAUUUGCUGCCCAUAAAUCUCCCAUCCGUUUACAAAGAGCCAACAUUCGAAGAUGGUUUUCCUGGUUGCCCUCCAUGGCUGAAUGGAGUUGGACCCCAAAGUUCAAAAGAUGCAGUGCGGGGAAUAUUGGUUGGGCGAGAAAGUUAGGGUUAGGGUUGGGUGCUGAGAAUGGUUUGGAAAUGAAGGGAGCUCUGCAGGUUAUGGAUUACACUAGAAAGCUGGAUAAGACAAGUUAGGGUUUCAAAGCUGAUUUGCGGAUUGUGGGUUCAAGAGAGGGAAGAAGGAGGAGCUAAUCGGGUGGAGAGGCUAUAUCCACAGCCAUUUCUCACGAGGGUAGUUGAAGGCGUAAUCACCAGAAGGGGAGAAAAGGGAGCUCACCUUUAGCGAGAGGGGAAGCUGCCGUCGGGCAGAGAGGAGCUCACCUUCAGCGAGAGGGGAACGCUGGACUAUGAAUUAAUGAAAAAUUGACAUGAGACAUGAAGAUAAAUGAAAAUCGGCGUGUAAUAAUGUGAAGAUAUAAAGAUGUGUUAUAAAUGAAAAUUUUCUUUUGGGUACAUUGCACAAUAAUGCAAAGAUGUGUUAACAAUAACAACUAUAGAUGUGUAAUUCCUCACACCAAUAUCAAACAAAUUAUGUUAAUUCUAAAUUUUACUUUUAGGGAAAAGUGCCAAAAAAGUCAUAAACUUUUUGUCUUUGUGCCGAUUUAGUCCUAAACAUUUUUUUUUGGUGUCAAUUUAGUCUUAAACCUUUUUACGUUACAUUGUGUCAAUUCAAUCAUCUUCAGCUAAUUUUGGCCGGAUUUUGCUGACUGGACGCCGGCUGGCUGACGUGGCUUGAUCGGUGCUAAUGUGGACAACUUUUAAUAAUAUUUUAAUUUAUUUUUCUUUUUUCUUUUUCUUUAUUUUUCUCCUCUUCUUCCUCCAGCCGGUCGCCGGACCUAGGCGAUUGACCAGAGGCAACAGCCGGCGAGGUCGACCUCGACCUCGCCGGCCACCUCACUAGUAGCCGUGAGGGCGGCCUCGUGCGAGGCGGCAAGGCUCGCCCGCCUCGCGCAAGGCUGCCCUUGAGGCCUGGGCGGCGAGGCUCACCCUCGCCGGAUCUGGUGACAAGUUGGGGUACAAGUCGGACUCCGUCAACGAGCUCGUCUCCAGGGAGUCGUUCUUCUCUCCGAAGAAGGUGGGGUACCUCGCCGCGAGGUUGGAAUCCACGGCGAAAGCAAAGCUGCCCCCGUCGCCGCCGAGGCAAGUGGAGGAGCUCGAUGGCUCGGGUUGAGGCGAGCCCGAGGAGCGUCGUGAAGGAAUUGGCGCUCUCCGGGGGCGAAGCCAUCAGGUGCUAAAGAUCCUCGGGGAGCACUGACUCUAGCGCGGCGUCAGUGGAUCCGGCUAAGGUUAGAGAUGUCGUCUCCAUCGGGAAUCGGCUUCGAGAGCUGAUCAAAUCGAGCUGGCCUCCUCGCACCGAGCUGGCAGGGCUCGCCCUCGCCAAAUCCGGGGAGGGCGGCCUUGCGCUAGGCGGGCGAGGCUCGCCCUCAUUGGAUCUAGCGAGGUCGAGCCUCGCCGGCCAUGGGCGAGGCUCGCCCUUGCCGGAUCUGGUGAGGGCGAGCCUCCGGUGAGGUCGACCUCACCGGCCGUCGCCUUUGGUGGAGGAAGAAGAGGAGAAGGAAAAAAAUAUUAAAAUAUUAUUAAAAGUUGUAUACGUCAGCGCCGAUCAGGCUACGUCAGCUGGCCGGCGUCCAGUCAGCAAAAUCCGGCCAAAAUUGGCCGGAAAUGACUGAAUUGGCACAAUGUUAAAAGGUUUAGAACUAAAUCGACACAAAAACAAAAGGUUUAGGACUUUUUUGGCACUUCCCCCCCCCCCCUUUUCUUUUUGUUUCUCACUGGAUUUAUCCUAAUACCAUUUGGGAAGCUACCUGGAAGUGGACCACUUUUUUUGUUUUCGUUUUUAUUCUUUAAUCGCAUCAUACUUUAUGAUGUUUUUAACUAUCUGUUAUUUGAAUCUGUAUGAGGAUGCCCGUCUUUGCUUCAGCGAAUUUUACACUAGACUAUGCCAACAAUUGCCCAAUACCAAUAUUUCCAUCACUGAUCCCUACCAGCGGUUCUAUGAAAAUUAGCGACAGCACCAGUCUCAGUGCAAUCGAUCCAGGUGGAGUAUGAUGGGUGGGCAGGCUUUGGCUUUUUCGGUGCUGGAUGCACUCCGGAUGGAUUGGCCUCUCGCAAUUGCACCACCGGUAAUUGCGAAGGAAGAGACUGUACUGCAGAGGACAGUCCGGUUGCAACAAUUUACAUCAUUUCCAGUGAAGGUUACAUCCCUAUAUCCACAGAAUGGGGGUAUAAUCUCGAACUUGAGAUUAUGAAAAUGUGUGAUGGCUGCGGCCCGUCUGCAAGCUGCAAAGCCCAGUCGGAGAGCAGCCCAAAUUAUCUGAGGGUAUGAAACAGCUCAAGAGCUGUGGUUGGAUGCAAGCCAGGCGGGAGGCUACAUUUCUCUGAGAGUCAAUGCACUAUCCCCGGUGAUUACAGUAUUUCCACGGUGAGAAUCAGUUGUCCUUUGAAGAAUGGCAUUAUAAAGAUUAGGGUAUCGUGUCAACAUUAAACACAAGAACAUAGAUUGAAUGAGGAUUAUGCAGCAUGAUUACACUUUAAACAAAGGUUUCUGGAAAUGUUACUUAACACAGUCGAUGCCACGGCUCCUUGUUACUUGUUAUCCUGGAUUCUACUCCAUGCUUUUUAAAUCGAACUUCUUGGCAAAUCAUCCAGGUUCCGAGAGAAUUGAAACAUCUGUGCGACUGCAUAAAAUGUUUUUAACAGUACAGAACUAAGGGAGAACAUUAACGAUUGUCCCACCACGGUACAAUGCAGUUAUAGAAUCAGUCAUUAGGGACGCAGCCCAGUGAGCAAUAGUUUUGACUGUUGGAAUUAAGAUCCACUCGAUUUAGAGACUCUAUCGUUUGGGGAUAGUGCAAAAUCACUCAGAAAGUCGGCUACCUACCUUUUUUGUUCCAAGGUAUUUGGCCAAAUUUGAAAAAUCUAUAUUCUAAAGACACCCGUGAUAAUUUUGUAUAAGCGGAUUGAGUUGAGCAAUUAAAAAGAUCUCAUCAUUAAUCCUGCAUAUUAUCACGAGAGUAACAUCAUGAACUACUCAAGAUGCAUGCUUCGAUAAAAAUUUCGUUACACAAAAUUAAACAAUUACUAACUUUUUGAAAAAAAAUUAUUUAAAAAGUCCUAAAUUUUUUAUAUUUUUGCUAGUUCAGUCAUAAAUCUUUUUACCUUUUGCUAGUUAAGUCAAUUUGGCCAAAAUUGGCCUAAAAUUGUUGACGUUGAUGGCAAGUGCAGAUUAAGACAUUUUUCAAUAACUUUUUUGAAUUUUUAUGAUUUUUUUUCUUUCUUUUUUUCCUUUUCUUUGUUUCUUUUGGGUUUUGGAGAGAGGUCUGGCGACCCUCCCAGCCAAAAGCACGGUCUGGCCGACCCUCGUUGGCUUUCUCACCAAAAACUUAAAAAAAAAAAAAAAAAACAAAACAAAGACAAAGGAAAAAUAAUAAAAAAAUAAUAAUUUUAUUAAAAAAUAUUCAUGUCGGCGCCGGUUGUGCCACAUAGAAUAGUUACAUCCAUGUCAGCGAAUUAGAAAAACUCAAUUGGCAAAAAAUGAAAAAGUUAAAGAUUUAAUUAACAAAAUUGAAAAAUUUAUAAUUGAAUUGACAAAAGUACAAUAAAUUUUGAACUUAUUAGACAAUUAUCCCCCAAUCUUUUUGAAAGAUAGAAAUACUAGGUCUACAGUCACAAGAAUCAACUUUAUGCAUACAAAACACGUGAAAAAGGAGGCGAUGCAGAUGUCUAAACACUAACAAUUAUUUUUUUGUUUUUUGUUAGAGCCUGAAUUUCAUUUGAGAAAUAUCAAGCAUAAAACUAAAUCAGUUGCGCUUACCUAAUGGGCUUCGUGCGGAAGUCAUCUUUGUGUAAUAGGAUCAGGUCCUUUUUAGCCACCUACCUGUAUGUAUAUCAAAAGAAGUCAUUUGUUGUAAGAGAACAACAAAAUUUGAUUUGAGAGACGAGGACGAGGCAAAGUAAAAACUAUUUAGAAUGUCCAAUCCAAAAAGCAAAGAAUUUGACUAAUGGAGUGGACGCAUAUCACGAGCCGACAGAUUUUUGGCAGAGCGCAGUCUCGCGUUGCCAGAGCGCAGUCUCAUGUUGCCGCUUCUGUUCAUCAGAGUCACGUUGGUCGUGCCGGAAACUGCUGCUGCUUGCCCUUCCUCCUCCAACGGUGUUCUUCCAUCCCUAUCGAACUUCCGUUUGAUGUGCUGCUUUCCACGCGAUCUCGCAACCAAGAUUCCAUAUGAGUGUCCCACUGGCCAUUAUCGACCUUGCCAACAGGAAGAAGGCCUCUCAUGUGCUGGUGAAGACAAUGAGGACGAGAAAGAGAGAGGGUUUUUUUUUGCAUAGUGUCUAGAAUCAGGAGUACUCAUUAGACAUGCCGGUUCUAGAUACCAGGUGAAACACAUAUCUAACUAGCACGAAGAAAGCUUCAGAUAGGGGCUUCCAACGGUAAUCUGAUAACCUGACGCCCAGCUUGGAUGCGUUCCUUAUCUUAACAUGCCGAUGCUUGAUGCCCUGUCCCCAAAUUUUACAUCUCAAAGUUUAGACAAAGUAGUUUUAGGACAUACUCAGGUCCAAGAGGCCUCUCAUGUGCUGGUGAUGAGAAGUUUGAACAGGAGGGUGAAGAUAUUGAGGACGAGAACGAGGGAGGGCUUUGCUCCCUUUUGACAUUCUCAGCUUCUUCAAACUCCACAAAACCUUCUCUAAGAUCCAUGUCCUCCUCUCUUUUUCCACCAAUAUUCAAAUAGAUCUUCAGAUUUUGGAUAUGAGGCAAACCAAACCAUAACCCAAUUCAAGAAAGUGGACGAGGGUGAGCUUUGCCAGAGGGAGGCGAGAUUGGCCCUUGUCUAUGGCUGGUUGUUGGUCAUCGCGGAGGCCCAGUGAUUGAUGGAAUAAGAAGAAAAGAAAAGAAAAUCAAAAAAUAAAAAAAAAUUGCAAAAAUUGUUUUCAUCAAAGUCAAUGAUGCCACGUGACAUGGCUGGCAUCCAUAUUGGCAAUUUCCAGCCAAAAUUAACUAGAUAAACUCAAUUGACAAGUUCUCAAAAGGUUUAAAAUUAAAUUGGUAAAAAAAAAUCAUGAUUGAAUUAGCAUAAUUGUAAUAGGUUUAUAACUUUUUUGGUAACUAUCCCCUCCUUUGUUUGACUAAGUGAUCGAUUUUAGAAUGAAUUUACAAGGAAAGGGGGACUUUUAGCAAGAGAAGAAAACUGAUUUCCACUUCUUCAUCUUCAUUUGUCACAAUUCAGAAGGUAAAUUUGCCCAAAAUUAAAGGAAUUAGGGUUUUCUGCAAUUUGGGAAUACGCCUUGAGUUUAAAAGGGGAAGUUCAAAGAGGAAAAGAGAAGCGCUCCAGGCCGAGUGCUUCCAGUGAGGAAGCAUGGUAUUUAACACGAAGAAGGUUUUCGUGGCUCAUAUUAGGGUGCGAUGGGCGCACAUCAACAAACUUUGGGGGCUUCCAUGGCUGCUCUUCUGCUUAGCUCGAGCGUCAUGUUCCUUGGUUGCUUUGCAUGUUAGGGUUUUUUUAAUCAAUAAAGCCACAGCGACGUCGUUUAUUAUGUGUAUGCCAAUUAUAUUUUUCUAUUGAGUCACGUUUGCCCAUUUAUAAUAAAUUAAUACCAUGUCAGAUUUUCUCACGAUAUAAAUUGUUGAUGGUACUUAAGUGAAUAAUUUUUAAUAAAUAUGGCAUUUCAGGUGAACAAUUUUUAAUAAUACUUCCGCUAUUUUUAUGCUUUUUCUGAUCGAAGGUCUAAUUUACUUUAAAAGCCACUUAACGUUAGCCCAAAAGGAAAACAUUAAACAAAAACUCCGAUAGGUCAAGUCGUUGCCCCAAGUCGUCCGUAAUUUUCUCCUUGUCUAAGCAACACUUCGUUCUCUUCCGAGUACAUAAACAAAAUCACGUGCCCGCAAGAUUUCAUGCGUGAGUAACAUUACUUCUUAGAAAGGCGGAACUCUGUAUGACUAGUCAUCCAAGAUUUCUUCGAAAUAAUGUUGGGUCCGUGAAUGGCCCCACCAUCUGGGACCAGAUAAUAAUUUUUCCGACAACUAAUCUCGCGGAGAAAUUGUCACGCCUGAUAGUUAUGACUUUUUGAAACGUUAUGGACGGCGGACGAUUGAAAACUGAGGUCCCAUCGAAACGCUAUUUACAAUUCAUCGAACUUGCCUCGUCUUCCGAAUCCUAUGGACUAAGGAGAGUACCGAUGAACUCGUUGCGCGGAGUUCUGUCGAAAUUCAUAUGAUUUAAUUUGCAGCAGUCAUGUCUUCCAUCACCCGGGUCCUUCAGGCUUCAAUUCAUCGAGGCCAGGCCCAAGCUCCCGAUGCCCUAAUCUAGGUUCAUAGAAGUCGAGCUUAGGACCUUGGUGCCAGUGUCCAGAUCUUGGCACUUGAGACACAGGUCCUUGCUCCCAUGCCCAAGCAUGAAAUAUCUUAUUUAAGAGUCAAUGUUUACUUAUACUUUAGAAAUUUAUUUAUGUUUUUUAGAUUAUUUUUCUAAAUUUAAGUUUAAGUUUUUUAUUGAUUCAUUUUCUUAAGUGAUUCAAAUACUGAAAAAUGAGGAAGGCAUUUUCUCUUGAAUAUAUUUGUGUGUCAAACAAAAUGAGCUAUAUCUAAUCUACAACUCAAUCAAGGAUGUUGAUCCACAUCACCUUCACUCAGGGCGAAGAUUGGGUAAAAAGUCACUAUCAGCAGUGAGCGCCCGUCAAUUUCUUCCAUAGCUAGUCGGCCAACAGAAGUUUCUCUUAUUGCCAACCAAGUCUUCGUCAAUCUUUACCCCAAGUCAAAAUUAAUUUCCUAGAGUGUGCCCAGUUUUGGCCCUCUAAAGUCAAGUCAUGGUGUGUAUUCAAACUUUUCCGGACCACUUUGCCCGACUCGGUCCCUUGCAUUCGAAGAAGUCGUCCAAGUCUCCGCUAUUUGGUUUUAGCAAAUGGAAUGAUUUUCGUCUUAUUUGAUUUAAUUUUGCAAUUCUGGCCGGGGGCUGGGGCGGGCCGGGGCGGGGGGAGGGGAGAGAGAGAGAGAGAGAGAUGGUAAGGUCAGGUGUUCUUAAGGAAUAAGACCUCCAAGCAUACUAUUGUCAACAAAAUGAGGCGAGGAAGUCAUGAACCUGCGUAUAUUAAGCAUAAUUGCAAUCAAAUGUGCAGCCAGUAAAGUCAGAGAUGAUAGGUAUACCUGUUCCAAACAUCAACCACUCAUCAGCUUGGUACAUCUCAUGUUACUGAUAAAAUACAUUGUUUGAAUGAGACUAGUGCGCACGUAUAUUACUCCGAGAUAUUGACGGCAGUCUUCAGUACAUUAACUAGUCUUAAUUGCAACCAAUGUUUGGCGAAGUGCCUUCCUUGUGAUCCACAUGGAGGCGUAUCCUCAAAGGAUCCUUUUUGAAAAUGAAGAGAAAGAAGAUGCCAUCAAACAUUCCUAUCUUCAGGAUCAACACGAAUUCUAAGCUUUUGACGCAUGGAACAUGACGUAGUUCAUUCUUACGCUAUACGCGCAAAGAAAAGACGAACUCUGAAAGGGAAGCUAUAGCUAUACCAGGGUCCAGGACUGCAUUUACCCGAUCAGUUCUAGACGCAGAUAGAGUAUCAUGUUCCUGCAUAUUUCAUUAUUGGAACAAUUAUGUGUCUAGAAUAGGGAAAAGUUUAUGGAGAGACUUGGCAAGAAAGACUUGGCAAGUCUCCACCGAACAUGGUUAUAAAUUUCCACAGGAGUUCCUCAUAAUAUCAUUACUAACUCCAUAUCAUUCGCAUAUACACCUAGGCUAACUCCGAAAGGUGAUCCUGCAACCGAAGGGUAAGGCUUUUGCAUCCCUAGAUUAAAAAUGCAACGCUUGUCAAGAUCUCUUCAAACUGCCCUGUUUCUGUUCUCAUUCCUCAUCGAAGGACAAGCAAUGCGCACCAUGUCGUCCCCCUCUCCCUCUUCUCUCUCUCUAGAAAGAGCUCCAUGUCGCCCUGAUCAAAAGUCGGACUUGCUUCACUUCCUGCGUGCUUUAAUAUCAGAUAAUUCCACGUCAAUUUUCUGCCAACUGGAUAUUGGUUGGCUCAGGAGACCAAAGAUGCUCUCCUGGAAUGUUGCAUCGGAUUGUUGCUCGUGGGAUGGAGUCAUAUGCGAUCCAAUGACAGGUCAUGUGACUCGCCUUGAACUCGGCUGUUCACCUCCGAACCCGACCUGCUACUCUUCCACAGGGUCUUCAAACAGCAGCGAACCAUCUACCCUUGGUUUACUCAAUCUUCCAUCACCCCAGGAAGCUGAAAGACCAUCGAGGUCAAAUAAGCUGCUUCAAAACCUAACCAAGUUGAGAGUCCUUGCUCUCGACGGGUUAAACCUGUCUGGCAUUGAUGUGACUCGCUUAAUGAAUCUCUCUCCAUCUCUGGAAGUCCUCAGCCUCAGUUACUGUAAAUUGCGGGGCACAUUAGCAGCAAACAUUUUCCUUUUGCCAAAGCUGACAUGUCUCAAUUUAUCAGGCAACAAGGAGCUUUCGGGUUACUUACCUGAAGCAACUUGGAACAGCUCUUUGAAGGUUUUGGACUUGUCCUCCUCAGGCUUCUCUGGAGUAUUACCAGAGUCCAUCGGCGACCUGCAUUCUCUGCAGAUACUUUGGCUGAACCGGUGCAGCUUCACAGGCUCUAUUCCAUCAUCACUUGGUAACCUAACACGUCUCACCCAUCUGGAACUUUCGUAUAAUGAGUUUAGUGGGCAGGUUCCUCCAACUUUGUCAAAUCUUGAUCAGCUCACUUUGCUCGAUCUUUCCUCGAACAAUUUCAUAGGUCCAAUACCCGAUGUCUUUGACAAUAAGACACAACUUCUUCUUCUAGAUUUCUCUCAUAAUCUCUUCACGGGUCCUAUUCCUCCAAGCACAAAGAAUCUUUCCAAUCUUGCCCGACUUGAUAUUUCCAACAAUCUCAUUGGCGGGUUUAUACCAUCAUCAUUGUUCUCUCUUCCAUCCUUAACGAGCCUAGACCUCAGUAACAAUGGGCUCAGUGGUCACAUCGGUGAGUUCUUUGCUGCAUCCGCAUUAGAACAUGUUGACCUGAGUGGUAAUCAGUUGUGUGGCUCAGUCCCGAGCUCAAUUUUUCAGCUUAGGAACCUCACUUAUCUGAGCAUCUCAGCAAAUAACCCAACCGGUGUCUUAGACCUACAAUUGCUCUCAAGACUCGAAAGUGUAACAAAUCUUGAUCUUUCAGACAACAUUUUAUCACUGAGCAAUAGCGAAAACACUGAGCAUGUCCUGCCAAGCCUCUGGUCCGUCAGUCUUUCUGGGUGCCAAAUUACAGAAAUCCCUGCAUUCUUGAGAAAUUCAACCAGCAUAGAAUGGAUAGAUCUGUCUAGAAACAGAAUCCACGGCGAUAUUCCAUCAUGGGUGUGGGAUAUUGGGGCCAUGUCAUUGUCUUAUCUCAAUCUCUCCCACAACUUUCUCACUAGCUUUGAACAAGUUCCUUGGAAAAAUCUUAUAAUUCUCGACUUGCAUUUGAAUUUGAUCCAAGGGCCAGUUCCACCUCCAUCACACCCACAUUCAAUUAUUGUCUUCUCGCUAGCUAGCAAUCGAUUGACUGGCUUUAUCCCUGGUUCUAUCUGUGAAAUGAAGUGCCUACAAGUUCUUGACCUCUCUCAUAACAAUUUCACAGGCAUGAUUCCACAAUGUCUAAAGAACGUAAGUAACAGCCUCUUAGUGUUGGAUAUGCAAGAGAAUGGACUUUCUGGCACAAUUUCCCUAACGUUCACUAAAGAUGCAGCCCUGAGAAGUCUUCAUCUUAAUGGAAAUCAAUUUGAAGGCCCGUUGCCACGCUCUCUAAUCAAUUGCAAGCAACUUGAAAUGCUGGAUCUCGGGGGCAAUAAGUUGAAUGACACUUUCCCCGAUUGGUUGGAGACACUUCCCAGCUUGCAAGUCUUGGUCUUGCGAUCAAACAGACUUUGUGGCCCUAUAAGCCGCCCCGGAACUGAAUUUUCCUUUUCAAGGUUGCGCAUUCUCGACCUUUCCUUCAAUGAUUUCACUGGUCCUUUGCCUAGUGCCUUCUUUGCAAACCUGAAAGCAAUGAUAUCAAAUGAUCAGAAUGGAUCAGAGCAGCGAUACAUUGACCAAGGUUACUAUCAAAAUUCCAUGGUUGCAACGAUGAGAGGAUGGGACAUGCCGAUUGCUAGAAUCCUAGUGAUCUUGACGACCAUUGAUCUAUCAAGCAACAAGUUCGGGGGAAAAAUUCCUGAUGUGAUAGGAGAGUUAAGAUUACUCAAGGGGCUUAACCUCUCUCACAACAGUCUUGAAGGCCAGAUCCCUUUGCCUCUCGGGAACCUUUCCAAGCUUGAAUGGUUGGAUCUCUCUUCAAAUGAACUUAGCGGGAUGAUACCAAUCAAGUUGACAAAUCUCACGUCUCUAGAGGUCCUAAAUGUCUCUUCCAAUCAACUAACAGGAUCGAUUCCGCAAGGACACCAAUUCAACACGUUUCAAGCCGAAUCCUAUCAUGGAAACCCAGGAUUGUGCGGGUUUCCACUGUCCAAAGCUUGUACUAAUUACAAGGCUCCGCGGAAACUCCCCGUGCAUCCUGAAGGCAGGGUCCAUUCAUUCCGUGUGGAUUUUCUUGAGCCAAGGAUUGUGGAAAUAGGAUUAGGAUGCGGCAUCUUGCUCGGACUAAUCAUGAGUAUUUUGAAAAUCCUUAUUUCUGUCUGGCAGGCAAACAGGAAUUUCAGAAAGAUUGCAACACUGAACACAAUUUCAAAGAACGUAACCGUUCAGGUACACAAUUCUAGAUUGUGAUUAUUUGAAUAUCUAGUGUCUGAUCUCUUCUUAAUAGGAUGCAAAAAAAAUUUAGGUGCCGAUGUUCCCCAUUGAAGAAAAAAAUCUUUGUAGUUGCUAUUCUUUCUGUUCAUAAUGCCUGUAACCCUCUCAAAAUAUUUCAGAUGCCAUUUGGAGAAGGCAAGCCUUUGCCAGUGAAAUCCCUGGCGGUGUUAUACCUACUCGGUGAGACUCCGAUUGGACCGCUUCUUCUGUUGUCAUUUUUAUUCUUUAAUCGCUUUAUGAUGUUUUUAAUCAUCUGUUUUUUAAAUUGGUCAGGACGGAUGCCCGUUUUUGCUUCUGCGAGUUUCACGCUAGUCUAUUACAACAACUGCCCAAUACCAAUAUUUCCAUCACUGAUCCCUACCGGCAGUUCUAUGAAAAUUGAAAAUAUUACCAGUGCAAUAAAUCAAAGUAAAGUACAGAAUUAUACUCUGCCAGAUGGUUGGGCAGGCUUCGGCUUCUUCAGAAUCGGAUGCACUUUGGACGGAUUGGCUGCUCGCAAUUGUACUGCAGAGGACAGUCCGGUUGCAACAACAUACAUCAUUUACGAUGAUGGCAGCAUCACCAUGUCCGCAGAAAGGGGUUACAAUCUCGCACUUGAGAUUAUGCCAAUGUGUGUUGGUUGCACGUCUGCACGCUGCAAAGCCCAGUUGGAGAGUUGCCCAACUGAUCUCAGACUAUUAGACAGCGCAGGAACUCUGGUUGGAUGCAAGCCAGGUAGGGGGCUAUAUUUCUCCGAGAAUCAAUGCGCCAUCCCUGGUGAUUACAGCGUUUCCACGGCAAGAAUCACUUGUCCCCUGAAGAAUUGCAUUACAAAGAUUACGGUUUCAUGUCAACACUAAACAUACAAACUAGGUUGGAUGAGGAUUAUGUGUAGCAUCAUUGAACUUCAAAUAAAGUCGACUACUUACCUUUUUUUUAUUCCAAGGUAUUUGGCCAAAUUGGAAAAACCUGUUUUCCAACGUCACCCAUGAUAAUUUUGAAUAAGUGAAUUGAGUGGAGCAAUUGAAAGGAUCUCAUCAUUAAUCCUGCAUAUUAUUGCGAGAAUAACAUCAUGAAUUACUCAAGAUGCAUUGUUCAAUAAAUUUUUUUUACACAGAAUGAAAUGAUUACUAACCUUUUUGAAAGAUUGAAAUACCCGGUUUGCAGUUAUAAGAAUCAACUCAAUGCAUACAAACCACGUAAAAAGGGAGGUGAUGCAGAUGUCUAAACACUUGACAAUUAUUGUUUUGUUUUCCGUUAGAGCCCGAAUUUCAUUUGAGAUGCGUCUUCUUAUCAAGCAUAAAACAAAAUUAGUUGCGGUUAUCUGAUGGGCUCCGUGCAGAAGUCAUUUUUGUAAUAUAGGAUUGGGUCCUUUUUAGGGGUGCAUGAUAACCAAAAUUUCUAUUCCAGAAAUAAUUUUUCUGUUCCAGAUCUGAUUUUGGAAGAGAAAUCCGUUUGAUAAACCUAUUCCGUUUUUCUAUUUCUGGAAUAGAUUUCUAUUCCAGAAAUAGGUUUGGAAGAGAAAUCAGAAGUAGAAAAAAUCUACUUCUCUAUUUCUGAAACAGAAAUUAGAAAUAAUUUCUCCCACAAACUCUAAUUUCGGUAACUCCCAUAUCCUCUAUGACGUCUUGCCUCCUCCUCCUCCUCCGCUGGUCGCCGCCCGCCGCCACCCACCACCGGCCCCUGCCACCGGCCGCCGGCCCCCGCCACCGGCCAUCGGCCGUUGCCGCCGCCGGUCGUCGCCACCGCCGGCCGCCGGUCGCUGCCACCGCCUGCCGCCGCCACCGGCCACCGACCGCCGCCGCCCGCAGCCGGCCGCCGGCAGCUGCCGAUCACUGGUUGCCACUGCCGCAACCGGUCACCGGUCGCCGCCGGUUGCAGUCGCCAGUCGCCGCCGCCGGUCGCCAGUCAUUGGUUGUCGGUUGCCCGCGCGGUCGUCGGCCGCCCGCCGCUGUUGGUUGUUGCCGCCGGCCAUCGGUCGCCGCCGCCGCCGCCGAUCGCCGCUGCCGGUGGCGGCGGCUGACCGAUCGCCGGCCGGCAACUUAGAAAGGAAGAAAUUUUAUAUCGUUAUCAAAUGAAUUUAUAUUUUUAGAGUAGAAAUUUGGUGACGCUAUCAAACGUUUAUUUUUGCUUAAAAACUCUUCUAAAAAUAGAAAUAGAAAAAUCUAUUUUUAGAACAUAAUAGUUGUCAUGCGCGCCCUUAGCCACCAACCUGUAUGAUGUCGAGACAAAAUUUCAUUUGAGAGACGAGGAUGAGGCCAAGUGAAACUGUUAGAAAGUCCAACUCAUGUCACGAACUGAUAGAUUUUUGGUUGCGGAGUGGCCUGUGCAGCAUCUUGUGAGACGAGAACACCAAGCCAACCUUUUCUCUAAAGAUUGUUUAUGGAAAAAUUGCAUUUUCACAUCGGAUCGUAUCACAUUCAAUUUAGCUUGGAUAUUCAAUUCCUCAAGCGAGACAUAUAGAACACUUUGGUACAACAACUGGUUUCGGCUUAUCAUAGCCUCGUCAGGAGAGUGAUAUCAACUCCCAACCAGUUUGAACCCAGGAGGUCAACCCAGUCUUCAAAGAUUUUCUAAAAUGAUAUUCAUCAUGGAUAUUGGGGGCUUGAGGACAAGCCCGAUGGUAGCUCUUGCCGGUGCACAUGCGGCCUGGCAACGACGUGGUGGACGUCGAGAGUUCAAAUAAGAAGCUGAGAUUGUCCAAGAUUGAGGGGGUAAAACAAGAGUACAAACAUACUAAUGAGGGCAAGAUUGGCAGGAAAAAAUUCAUUGAAGCUUGAAGUAGCAUUUGAUUUUCUAAAAACUCAAAAGUUGGGAGAGUUACCAAAAGGCUCAUGAGACUGUAUUACUAAGGCCCAAAGUUGCUUGAAAUGUAUCGCCCUAAACGCAGCUCAUUCAAUCAUUCAACCUCCACGAAUCUUCUCACCACUCGGCGGCUCGUGAUCCUCCAAAAGGUAGAAAUUCAUCAGGGCAAUCAAUUAAAUUUUCAAUGCCCUCCGACUAUUCGAUUUCUUUCUUUACUGUCAGGAAUUUUGGAUCGCGAGGCUUGCGUUGCUGGUGCUCGGUCUCGCGUUGCCGCUUUUGCUCAUCAGAGCCGAGCUUCUGGUGCCGGAAACUGCUGCUGCUUGCCCUUCCUCCUCCAACGGUAUUCUUCCAUCCCUAUCGAACUUCCGUUUGAUUUGCUGCUCUACACAUGACAUCGCGAGGGAAGAGAGACGUUAAAACGAAGAUCUGAAAGAGGCGAGAUUUGCCGGAGGAAGAGAGGCGUCACGAAAUGAGAAAGUAAGGGCCUGCAGCGUGCUGAUCCGGUUUAUCAAUUUAGUCAAGUUAAAAAAAAAAAAAACGUAAAGAACGUUCGAAACUGAAACAAAUCUGAUUGAUCGAUUGGAACCCAACGCACGUUGCCCUUUUCCAAUUGGCUUAGUGUUUGACGAAGACUUUGCGCCCGGUCGUUUCUAACUUUAGUACCGGUUCUUCGGGGAAAAAGAGAUGGAAACUGCAAGCGAACUUCCUUACGUUUUCGUGGCAACUCUUCCACACGUUGCAUCUGCUCUUUCACAUGUGGCUGGGGGACCCUUAAAGAUCCUUGUAUUGCUCUUCCAUGAAGUAGCCAUGAACAAGUAAUGCGACUUGUCUCAUAUUCUGCACACGAUGUGCUAAUCUACAUACUAGUAAAGUAGGCGAGCGGUGUGCUUUGAAACACAUUCAUUUUUAAGAGACCAGCGAAUGCUUUGCCAUCUUUCCAUCUUUUAGCUUAGCAUUUGGACAAAAGUCAUAAUAAGAUCCUUAGCGUUCGAUUCUUGUAAUGCCUGUAAAAACUAUAGGACGAACCCUUGCUGAGGCUAUCCAAUGAUAUUAAUUAUGUUUGCUUUCUUGUAAAGUUACAGAAAAUAAUAUAACCAAAAACCAAACAAAUCCUUGCAUUUCCUUCUCUAACCCCUUCCCCCUCCUCCCCCGACACCAGAUUCAGACGGACUGCGAUUGCUCACGAUGCUGCAAGUCACGCCUCUGCACCGCCGCUGCCAUCACACCCUAUUCUGCACUCCCCGUGUCUCUUGCUCCUGUGGUAAGGCACGAACUGUGGCCGGCGGCAAAGGCUUGGCUCAGCUACAAGAUCUCAAUAUUAUUAUCUCCUUAAUCUAUCAAAAACUGAAAAAAGAAAAAGCUUAAUAUCACGAAAAAUUUCAAAUUGAUACAUAUAUGAUCAAUUUCUUCCAAAUUAAUUUUUUGAUCACAAAAAAUCCUAAAACUUAUACACUUAUAGCAAACUUUUGUGAUAAAUUUAUCCUCAUUUAAUUUAUGUUAAAUUGGAUUUAAAACUCUAAACCGGUACAUCCAUCAAUUGUCAUGUGUCAUUUAAUAAUUUACUAAUAAAAUUUAACGAAAAUCAAGAGUAAAUUUAUUGCAAGUGUACAAGCUCAGGGAAAAUUAGUUUAUGGGAAAUUUAUUACAGAUGUAUCAGUUCAAAGUUUUCCAUAAUAAUUUCCCAAAAAAAAAAAGAGGAAGAAACAAUGCGAGAGAAGAGAGACAUUAAAAUGAAGAUUUAAAUGUGACAUUUGAGAGAUCAUAAGAGAUGCUAAAAAGGAAAUGGUUAAUACCCUGAAAAACUCUAAACUGGUAUAAUUGUGAUAAAUUUACCCCAAAUUAAUUUUUUGAUCACGAAAAAUUCCAAACUGAUAUACAUAUGAUAAAUUUUCCAUAAAUGACAAAAAAAAUCCUAAAUUUGUAUAUCUGUAACAAAUUUACCAUCAAACUUCAUUAAAUUAGAUUAAUAUUAUGAAAAAUCACAAAAUCAGUACAACUAUGACAAACGGAGAGUAAAAUCAUAAAUCGAUACAACAAUCAAUUGUUACGUGUCAUUCAACUUACUAACAAAGGGUAAAUUUAUUACAAAUAUACUAUUUUGAGGUAAAUUUGUAAUAGAUAUACUAAUUUGGGUAUUUGUUACUUAAAAAAAUUAAUUUUGGAUAAAUUUUUUAUAUAUGUAUUAAUUUGAGAUUUUUUAGAAUAUCAAUCUUAAAGUAAUUGACUUGUGGAGUGCUAACCUGGGUUGCAAGGUCAUGAAAUUUGUUGAUGGGAUUUGUAAAUGCAUGAAAAAUGAUUGGCGCAAUUAAAACGUCUUAAACGGCUUUUUCAGUCUAAUGUAUUUGGGUUAAUACCCUGAAAAAUCAUAAAUUGGUACACUUGUGACAAUUUUACCAAAAACUAUUUUUUUUACUAUGAAAAACUCCAAACUAGUACACAUGUGACAAAUUUAUCUCAACUGAUCAUAAAAAAUGCUAAGCUGGUACAUUUAUAACAAAUUUACCACAAACAAAUUUAUUCGACCGUAAAAAAAAAAACUAAACUAAACUAAAUUGGAUUAAUACCACAAAAAAAUCGCAAAAAUUGUAAACUGUGACAAACGGAGCGUAAAAUCCCAAAUUGGUAUACCAGUCAACUGUCACGUGUCAUUUAACUUAAUAAUUUGAUAGUAAAAUUUAACAAAAACCAAAAUAGGGUAAAUUUAUCAUAAGUGUACCAGUUUGGGGUAAAUUUAUUAAAAGUAUACUAGUUUUGAGUUUUUUGUGGUUAAAAAAAAUUAGUUUUGAAUAAAUUUAUCACAAGUAUACUAAUUUGAAAUUUUUCAAGGUAUUAUUAACUCAAUGUAUUUAGUACGAAAAGUUAGCUUGGAAGUUAGCCCAAAAAGAAAACAUCAAACAAAGACGUCAAUCGGUCAAGUCGUUGCCCGUAGUCGUCCGUAAUUUUCUCUUUGUCUAAGCAAGCCCGAAAUAUUCAUUUCUCUCUUCUGAGUACAUUAACAAGAUCACGUGCCUGCACGAUUUCUUGCGUGAGUGACGUUACUUCUUAGAAACGCGGAGCUCCCGAUGACUUCUGAUCCAAGAUUCCUUUGAAAUAACGUUGGAUCCAUGAAUGGCCCACCAUACGGGACCAGAUGAUAAUGUUUCCAACAACUUUCUCGUGGAAGAAAUUGUCACGCCUCAAAAUUAUGACUCUUUGAAGCUUUUGAAAGCUUUGUCAAAAAAAAAAGAGAAACUUUUGAAAGCUGACCAAAAAGCAGAAAAAGAAAAUAAAAAAAGCUUUUAAAAGACUGUGGUCCCAUCAAAACGCUAACAGUCAAUCAAACUUGCCUCGUCCUCCUAAUCCUAUGGACUAAGGAUCGUACUGGUGAAGCCGUUGAGUGGCGUUCUACCAAAAUUCAUAUGAUUUAAUUUGUGAUGCCGUUGUGUCUCACGUCACACAAGUGUCCUUUAAGCUUCAAUUUCUCGCGCCCAAGCUUCCAACGCCUCGGUUUAGGUCCACAUAAGCCGAGCUUGGGACCUUGGUGUCAAUGCCCAAAUCCUGGCACCUAAAACAAAGGUCCUUACUCCCAUGCUCAAGCAUAAAAUCUUCAAUCUAAGAACAUAUAUUUACUUAUACUUUAAAAAAUGAUUUUUUAAAAUGAUUUUUGGAAUUUAGAUUUCUUAUUAAUUCAUUUUUUAAGCAAUCUAAAUAUUGAAAAAUGAGGACGGCAUUUUUUCUAAUUUUUUUUUUUUUGCGUGAAACAAAAAGAGCUAUGUCUAAUCUACAACUCAAUCAAGGAUGUUGAUCCACACCGCCUUCAAUUAGGGCGAAGAUUCAGUGAGAAGUCACCAUCAACGGUGGACCUUUCUCCUGGUGAGCGCCCGUCAAUUUCUUCUAUUGCUAGUCGGCCAACAAAAGUUUCUUUUAUUGCCAGCCAAGUCUUCGUCAAUAUUUACCCCAUCUCAAUAUUAAUUUCCUAGAGUGGGCCCACUUUUGGCCCUCUAAAGUCAAGUCAUGGCGUGUAAUAAUACUUUCCAGGACCACCUUGCCCGAGGCGAGUUCCUCGCAUUCGAAGAAGUGGUCCAAGUCUCCGCUAUUUGGUUUAAGCAGAUGGAAUGAUUUUCGUCUUAUUUGAUUUAAUUUUGCAAUUCUGGCUGGGGGCCGGGGCGGGGCGGGGCGAGGGGAGAGAGAGAGAGAUGAUAAAGUGUUCUUAAGACCUCCAAGCAUGCUAUUGUCAACAAAACGAGGCGAGGAAGUCAUGAACCUGCGUAUAUUAAGCAUAAUUGCAAUUAAAUGUAAAGCCAGUAAAGUCAGAGAUGAUAGGUAUACCCGCUACAAACAUCAACCACUCAUCAGCUUGGUAUAUCUCAUGUUACGGCAGAAAUACACCCCAAGUGCCAAAGCUUAGCACGGAGAGAUAUUUAAUUGAAAGAUACACUUAGUGUCAAAAUCGAAGUAAAAUGGAUCACUUAAAUGACAUUUCGGCCAAAUUGUUGACGUGACAAUUUUCCGACAAUGUAAGUGCAAAAUGACGUUGUUUUGCAUGCUGACGUGGUGAGAAAAUGCAAAAAUAACGUCGUUUUGUCUUUGAUGUGUAAAUAAUUAAUAUAAAAAUUACUUAAAUUAAAUUCAAACUAUUAUUUAAAAUAUUCUAAAAAAUAAAAAACUUAAUUUUUUUAAAAAAAAAAUGGGGGGCUGAAGGCUCACCGGCUGAGGGUUGAGCCUUCGCCGCCGCCGCCUCCCCGCCGCCUCUGGGAAAAGCCAGCGACGAAGGGGGGAGGGUCGGCCAGGGUCGCCGGCCCCUGGCUGAUCAGCGGUGAGGGCCGCGACCCUCGCCCCAGAUCUACGGGCCCUCGCCGCCUCCCCGCCAUCGCCGGAAGGGCUGGCGACGGUGGGGGUAGCUAUAUUGAGUCCAGACAGUAUCUGGUUGGCUUAUUCAAUCUUCAUGAAUCGAGUGCCGAAUAACCCCCUGACGGCGGAUACAUGAAACAGUAAAGACUUGACGCAAAAAGAGACUCACUAAUAAUCUAUAAAUAGAUACUCAGUUGUGAAUUAUCUUCUGUAUGAUGUAUCUAUAUAGAUAGAGCAGUGUUUUUGUAGAUCAAAUAUAUAUAGACUAUCAUAUGUUUUUGCAUGCUACAUAGAGCGUUGUGUUGAGCACACACUCUAAGCUGCCUCUCGCUGACAAACUUUCAUNNNNNNNNNNNNNNNNNNNNNNNNNNNNNNNNNNNNNNNNNNNNNNNNNNNNNNNNNNNNNNNNNNNNNNNNNNNNNNNNNNNNNNNNNNNNNNNNNNNNAAACGGAGAGUCCUAAACUUAUUUUCACUUAUUUUGCAAGGUUUCAAACCAACGUCUGGAUUCUGAUUAUUAUUUCAAUCCUGAUCGUGGAAAGGUCUUGUCUUUUUCACGUUCUCAUGGUCAGCAGAGAUGGGGCACAGCCCCGUCGGUCCGGUUAAAGGGCAAAAGACCGAACCCCGAUUUUCGAUGUGGGGGCAUGAAGACGGGGGGGCACUCCAACCACACUCCUGGGAAGAUCGGGGGGGGAGGUUUACACCAUAGGGGGGGGGGCCCCCCCCCCCCCCCCCCCCCCCCCCCUAAAUUUUAAGUUUUUUAUUUUUUAGAAUAUUUUAAAUAAAUUUAGUUUUUAAUUUAAUUUAAUUAAUUUUUAUAUUAAUUAUUUACAUAUCUGAGACAAAACGACGUCGUUUUUGCAUUUUCUCGCCACGUUAGCGACUUAGCGUGCAAAAUGACGCCGUUUUGCACUUAUCUCGCCGGAAAAUUGUAACGUCAACAAUUUGGCUAGAUUUUGGCCAGACUAGCACUUUAAGUUAUCCAUUUUAUUCCGAUUUUGGCACUUAAGUAUACAUUUCCAAAGUUUUGGCGUUUAAAUGUCCCUCCGUGCCAAGUUUUGGCACUCCAAGUGUCCGUACCUCCUCAUGUUACUGAUAAAAUACAUUGUUUGAAUGAGAUUAGUGCGCACGUAUAUUACUCCGAGAUAUUGACGGCAGUCUUCGGUACAUUAACUAGUCUUAAUUGCAGCCAAUGUUUGGCGAAGUGCCUUCCUUGUGAUCCACAUUGAAGCGUAUCCUCAAGGAUCUUUUUUGAAAAUGAAGAGAAAGAAGAUGCCAUCACACAAUCCUAUCUUCAUGAUCAACACGCAUGCUGAGCUUUCGACGCAUGGAACAUGAUAUAGUUCAUCUUUACGCUGUCCACCUGCUUGCCGAAAAAGUGAAAAGCCUUGAAAAGAUGAACUCUGAAAGGGAAACUAUAGCUGUACCAGGGUUCAGGCCUGCAUUUACCCGAUCAGUUCUAGACGUAUUAUUGGAACAAUUAUGUCUCUAGACUCGGAAAAAGCUUAUGGAAAGACUGGGCAAGUCUCCACCGAACUUGCUUAGAAAUUUCCACAAGGGCUUUUUCAUGAUAUCACUAAUAACUCCAUAUUAUUCGCACAUAUACAUAGGCUAACUCCGAAAGGUGAUCCUGCAACCGAAGGGUAAUGCUUUUGCAUCCCUAAUUUAAAAAUGCAAUGCUUGUCAAGAUCUCUUCAAACUGUCCUGUUUCUGUUCUCAUUCCUUAUCGAAGGACAAGCAAUGCGCACCGUGUUGUCCCUCCCUCCCUCUUCUCUCUCCCUAGAAAGAGCUCCAUGUCGCCCUGAUCAAAAGUCUGAUUUGCUUCACUUCCUGAAUGCUUUAAUAUCAGAUAAUUCCACGUCGGUUUUCUGCCAACUGGAUAUUGGUUGGCUCAGGAGACCAAAGAUGCUCUCCUGGAAUGUUGCAUCGGAUUAUUGCUCGUGGGAUGGAGUCAUAUGCGAUCCGAUGACAGGUCAUGUGACUCACCUUCAACUUGGCUGCUCACCUCUGAACCCGACCUGCUACUCUUCCGUAGGGUCUUCAAACAGCAGCGAACCUUCUACCCUUGGUUUACUCGAUCUUCCUUCGCCCGAGGAAGCUGAAAGACCAUCGAGGUCAAACAAGCUGCUUCAAAACCUGAUCAAGUUGAGAGUCCUUGCUCUCGACGGGUUAAACCUGUCUGGCAUUGAUGUGACUCGCUUAAUGAAUCUCUCUCCAUCUCUGGAAGUCCUCAGCCUCAGUCAUUGUAAAUUGCGGGGCACAUUAACGGCAAACAUUUUCCUUUAGCCAAAGCUGACAUGUCUCAAUUUAUCAGGCAACAAGGUGCUUUCUGGUUACUUACCUGAAUCAACUUGGAACAGUUCUUUGAAGGUUUUGGACUUGUCCUCCUCAGGCUUCUCUGGAGUAUUACCAGAGUCCAUCGGCGACCUGCAUUCUCUGCAGAUACUUUGGCUGAACCGGUGCAGCUUCACAGGCUCUAUUCCAUCAUCACUUGGUAACCUAACACGGUUCACCCAUCUGGAACUUUCGUAUAAUGAGUUUAGUGGGCAGGUUCCUCCUACUUUGUCAAACCUUGAUCAGCUCAGUUUGCUCGAUCUUUCCUCGAACAAUUUCAUAGGUCCAAUACCCAAUGUCUUUGACAAUAAGACACAACUUCUUCUUCUAGAUUUCUCUCAUAAUCUCUUCACGGGUCCUAUUCCUCCAAGCACAAAGAAUCUUUCAAAUCUUGCCCGACUUGAUAUUUCCAACAAUCUCAUUGGUGGGUUUAUACCAUCAUCAUUGUUCUCUCUUCCAUCCUUAACGAGCCUAGACCUCAGUAACAAUGGGCUCAGUGGUCACAUCGGUGAGUUCUUUGCUGCAUCCGCAUUAGAACAUGUUGACCUGAGUGGUAAUCAGUUGUGUGGCUCAGUCCCGAGCUCAAUUUUUCAGCUUAGGAACCUCACUUAUCUGAGCAUCUCAGCAAAUAACCCAACCGGUGUCUUAGACCUACAAUUGCUCUCAAGACUCGAAAGUGUAACAAAUCUUGAUCUUUCAGACAACAUUUUAUCACUGAGCAAUAGCGAAAACACUGAGCAUGUCCUGCCGAGCCUCUGGUCCGUCAGUCUUUCUGGGUGCCAAAUUACAGAAAUCCCUGCAUUCUUGAGAAAUUCAACCAGCAUAGAAUGGAUAGAUCUGUCUAGAAACAGAAUCCACGGCGAUAUUCCAUCAUGGGUGUGGGAUAUUGGGGCCAUGUCAUUGUCUUAUCUCAAUCUCUCCCACAACUUUCUCACUAGCUUUGAACAAGUUCCUUGGAAAAAUCUUAUAAUUCUCGACUUGCAUUUGAAUUUGAUCCAAGGGCCAGUUCCACCUCCAUCACACCCACAUUCAAUUAUUGUCUUCUCGCUAGCUAGCAAUCGAUUGACUGGCUUUAUCCCUGGUUCUAUCUGUGAAAUGAAGUGCCUACAAGUUCUUGACCUCUCUCAUAACAAUUUCACAGGCAUGAUUCCACAAUGUCUAAAGAACGUAAGUAACAGCCUCUUAGUGUUGGAUAUGCAAGAGAAUGGACUUUCUGGCACAAUUUCCCUAACGUUCACUAAAGAUGCAGCCCUGAGAAGUCUUCAUCUUAAUGGAAAUCAAUUUGAAGGCCCGUUGCCACGCUCUCUAAUCAAUUGCAAGCAACUUGAAAUGCUGGAUCUCGGGGGCAACAAGUUGAAUGACACUUUCCCCGAUUGGUUGGAGACACUUCCCAGCUUGCAAGUCUUGGUCUUGCGAUCAAACAGACUUUGUGACAGCCCCGGAACUGAAUUUUCCUUUUCAAAGUUGCGCAUUCUCGACCUUUCCUUCAAUGAUUUCACGGGUCCUUUGCCUAGUGCCUUCUUUGCAAACCUGAAAGCAAUGAUAUCAAAUGAUCAGAAUGGAUCAGAGCAGUGAUACAUGGACCAAGGUUACUACCAGAAUUCCAUGGUUGCAAUGAUGAGAGGACGGGACAUGCCGAUUGCUAGAAUCCUAGAGAUCUUGACAACCAUUGAUCUAUCAAGCAACAAGUUCCAGGGAAAAAUUCCUGAUGCGAUAAGAGAGUUAAGAUUACUCAAGGGGCUUAACCUCUCUCACAACAGUUUUGAAGGCCAGAUCCCUUUGCCUCUCGGGAACCUUUCCAAGCUUGAAUGGUUGGAUCUCUCUUCAAAUGAACUUAGCGGGAUGAUACCAAUUGAGUUGACAAAUCUCACGUCUCUAGAGGUCCUAAAUGUCUCUUCCAAUCAACUAACAGGGUUGAUUCCUCAAGGACACCAGUUCAACACAUUUCAAGCCGAAUCCUAUCAUGGAAACCCAGGAUUGUGCGGGUUUCCACUGUCCAAAGCUUUUACUAAUUACAAGGCUCUGCAGAAACUCCCCCCUGCAUCCCGAAGGCAGGGUCCAUUCAUUCCGUGUGGAUUUUCUUGAGCCAAGGGUUGUGGAAAUAGGAUUAGGAUGCGGCAUCUUGCUCGGAUUGUUCAUGAGAAUUUUGAAAAACCUUAUCUCUAUCCGGCAUGCAAACAGGCAUUUUAGGAAGAUUGCGAGGAAAGACAUUUCUACGAUAGGGCUUGAAACCGUACACCAGAUGAAAGCUGGGGUUGCUGAUUUGUGAAUCCGUGCAGCUGGGGUGUCAAAGAUACCCGAACCGAAAAUUUCGGGUCUUAUUCGGUUCGGCAGACAAUUUAAAAUGAAGGGGUAUACCCGAACCGAAAAGGUACAGUUAUCUUCCUCCCUCGGUACUUCUAUCACCUCCCUCAACCCUACCGCUAACAUCCCUUCACCUUCACUAGCAGGUCUGGCUCCGUUGCCCUCUUCGCCACCAUCCAACGGACCUCCAUCGGCGGCGCCUCCUCUAGAUUGACCCGAAGUGCUCACCACCGACUCUGCCGGCGCCGUCGUGCAUGGUGGUUUUAGCUUUUAUGGCAGUCCAGCUCUGGAUUCGUCCAUAGACGCCGAGAUCUUGAUGUGCUCGAACUCUGUUUCUUUCCUCCGUAAAUCUCGAUUCAUGGAUCCGUGGGUCUGUCUCACUGUUUUCAAGUUCUGUAAAUACACUGUAAAUAGCGAAAGUUCAAGGACUCACCUUCUCUGAAGUCUCCUCCCAUAGGGGUUUCAAGAAUGUCCGGUCAACCUCUCUCUCCCCUCUCCUCCCCCACCCCCCCGGGGCAUUUGUUAAAUGUAUCAAAUGAUUGUUCUCACAUCAAGAAUCUGAACUGGGAAUUUUUCACUUUCCUGUUUUGCCGUGAGCCCUUUGCUGAAUCUGAAGGGGCGAAGAGAAAGGCACACCAAAACAAAACAAAAAACGACCACAUCAAUUUCGGGCCAGAUGUGGUUUGGGUCGGGAUUUGGGCCUCAGCGAACACUUAUCUAAACGUUUCGGUUCAGUUCGGAUAUCACAUAAACCUGAAUCAAACUGUUAACAGCCCUCGAGACAUUUACGGGUGAAUUGUUCCAAGUUUGGUCCAAAUUUCACCUAAAAUCUGAAAAUUAUCUAUCUAGACAGAUUUUCUAAUUUUUAAAAUUUGAAAUCUACUAUGCAUGCUUUAGAAUGUAAAAUCUACAUUGUCACAGUUUUCAAGUCGAUUUUAAAGUCUAUCUAAGUUCAGUUAUACUUUUAGUUGAAUUAAAUAAUUGUAGUGAGUCAUCACCUUUAAUAAUUACUAUUUGUUAUUAUCCAUUGAUCACAACUCAUAUUUAAAUAUAGAAAAAUUAUGAAAUACUAACAAAAUAAAUAUCUCACUUAUGGAUAUUAUUUAGAUUAAUAGUUUUAGAUUAUAACUCAUCAUUGGACAUUAUAAAAUAUCGUAAGAUCAUGUGAAUGUAUAAAAUAAAAUAAAAACAUAAAAGAAAACAAAAAUUUGUUCCAAAUUUUAAAUUCCCAAUUCAAUUUGAAAUUUAUCUGUUAGAAUAGAUUCUCAAAUUUUUGAAACCUAAAACUUACCCGGCAUAUCUUAAAACUCAUAAUCGAAUAGGUGCCCACCGGGAUCAUGUCUCAUGGUGUCGUGCAGUGCCUCUUUAUUUGUCAUGCCCGUUCUCGAUAAUCUUAGAAUUUUCACUUGCGUUACAGUCUACGAUCUUGGAAUUCCCAUAUUCUUGGAGAGCAUGUCCCUAAGCUCAUUAAAUUAAUUUCAAGCUCUCGUAAUGUUGAAAAUUUAAUUAUGAGCCCGCCUUCCCUUUCCGAUUCACGUUUGAGUUUCAAGAAAGCUGGAAAUUUUAGUCUCGAUUCCGCCUCACCUCCUUAAUCAUAAAUUCUUCUCCGGCCAGAUCCUCAAGUUCAUCUCUGACACGCACCUAUGCAACGGAAGUUAGUUUAAAAAUGCAAUGAAGUGCAACCUAAAAUCUACAUGCCAUCUGAAUGUGGAUGACGUAAAUGAUAUUUUUAUUUAGAGAUCGGGGUUGAUUUCUAAUUUUUUAAUAUAACAUAUGAUGAAAUUGGGUCAUCAAAAAUUAGACAUCAACAAAUAAAAAAAGAAGAAGAAAAUAUGGAUAUUGAAUAAUUUACUUUAUAUUAAAAUCUGUAUUUAUUUUUUACAUCAACUAGGAUUACACUCCAAUCCCUCGUUGCAAUUCAUGAAUAUGACUGAUUAAGAACAAUAAUUAAAGUGAGUGUUACUUAGCAGAGUGCGUCAUGAGCUUGAUCUAUGUAUAUACGUCGAGUAAAAACUUAAAACUCAUCCUUAAAUUGACAUGAUUAUGACUGAAACAAUUAAAUUAUAAGAGAGAAACUAAAGUGAUAUUAAUAAUUUAUCAAUAACGAGAUGCCUGAGUUUAGAUUCUUGUAUUAAAGUUAAUUUUAUAUAUGCAAUUUUUAACGUCACAACAAGUCUCUCUCAUAAUAUUUCAUUCAACAAGGAAACGGCGACGCGAGGAAGUGGACACAAAUCUCAAAUUGCUUUUCUCUCUCAUUUCUGAUCACCCUUUUGAUCGAAUCAAAUUAUGUACGUGUGUUAACAUGGACCUUUAAAUGAAAAUAUGAUGUGCCUAAAAUUUUUCGGACCACUUCAAGGUUUGCCUUGAUAAAACCCAAAUCCCAAGUCCUUUCUUAUGUUUUGGGGCAUUUCGGUAAGCUCUCCCAUAUCAAGGAAUUUGUUAGGUCACCUAAUUUGCCCUCACUAACUUUUGAGAAUUAAUAUAUUGCCCUAAAUGCUCUCUCCAGGGACGGGAGCUUCUCCGACCUUGGCCAUCUGCGACCCUAACCCAACCACUAUACGAUGUGGCUGUCACCACAACCACAACCACGGCCCUAUAGAGAAGGUCUAGGAGACACAGCCACGCCGACGGAUGUGACCUCAGGGCUAGCAACCCCUGGCCACACGACAUGUGGUCGCACGUGAGCUCGGCUUGAGCCAAUCACCGGGAUGUGACAACCCCGGGAGACAUUUGUCUUGCUUGAGGGCGCCUGACCAAGGUGUUGCCUCGCCGUGCCAUGCCCCGAUCUAAAAAUGAAGUUGGGGGCGCCUGGAGCAGCGUCCCCCUGGCGGAGUGGGGAACAAAACUCAGAAAUUUUUCAAGGAGACCUCAGUCCUGUUCGAUGGGCUCCUUUUCUUUUAUCUUCAACAGCAGGGUUUUGAAUGGACUGCGGGCGGUGCGGGAGCUCCAUCUGGCAUUGCCGAUUUUGUUCGUGAGAGUCACAUUUGUGGUGCUGGAAUAUGCUGCUGCUGCUUCUUGCUCUUCUCCUCAAACAGUGUUCUUUCAUGCCCAUCGAAUCUCCGUUAAAUUAACCACUGAGGUUUGCCCCAGUAGCCACUCUUCCAAUACAAAAAGAGGAUGUGGGGGGUUCAAAUCCCCACUUUCUCGAGGGGAUUGAAGUUGGGACAAUUUAGUUUCAAGUGUGGAUUUCGAUUUGCAGAAUAAAAGUUUGAGAGUGAGAAUUAAAAUAGGAAUAAAGUAGGACUAAAAAAAAAACAAAUCUCCGUUAAAUUUGAUGUUUUCCACAUCGGGAGAGAGAUGUUAAAAGGAAGCUUUUGGGGGUGAAAUUUGAAAGAGGAAGAGUGAUUUCAAAAAGGAAAUGAAGAAGUGAUUGCUCGUUGAGUGCUGACGCGGGUUUCGGGGAAAUGACGCGGGUUUCGGGGAAGUUAAUUUUUUGAUCGAAUCGUCAAUGAAGAACCCAAGUAAUGAUGAAUCGAAUCCAAUGGAAGUUAGCUAAAUUAAAUAUUAAACGAAGACUUCUUUCUGUCGAAUUUAUUUAAUUGCCACCGAGUUAAAAAGCAUAGUACGACCAACGAAUUAUAAAUCACUGUGGUCGAAUUUAUUUAAUGGCUACCGAAUAGAAAACAUUAUCUGGCUACAUGAUGAAAAAACAUUUUGGUUGGAAUUAAAUCAAAGCUGCGGUUGCUGAUCUGUGUCUGCACAGCAAAUUAGAUCAGGAAAGAAAGAAGCCUCUUUAUGUAUACAUUUUCCACAUUGGUCAAAUUAUAUUUUAGGGGUGUUGAAAGCCUUGAAAUGUCACGUUUAGGAAUUGAUGUUGCUGCCGUUGUUCCAAACGCACAGGUGAAGUACCAAGAUCGAUGCAUUAAGGAGACUAAAUGAUCUAACAUUCAUCUAGAGAUAUGCUAAGUUCAAGAUACAAAGUCAUAAAAUUCAAAUUUGCUCUUGCAUCUUAAAGGUUUGGAGUAUUCAAUCAUAAAAUUUUGCUUGAAAGGGCUAGUAAGAACACCUAAAGGGGGUGAAUAGGUGUUAAAGAAAUUUUUGCGAUACUUAACAACUCAAUUCGUCUUUCGAGAGCAAUAGACUGAAGAUGUAAAAGACUAUAAACAGUUAUGCAAUACUACGAAUUAAAAUAAAGAAUUUAGGGAAAGAGAAUUGGAACACAAUGUUUAUAGUGGUUCGGCUUAUACUAAGAUUACGUCUACUCUUCCAUAUUGACAGCCCACUGGCUGGAUUUUAACUAAAAACUAAAAGAGAUUUUACAGUCUCACUUCCUUGAUUCCACAGUGUAGAGCCUCUACUACACUUCCUCAAAGUCUCAUAAGUAUUUAAUCUCUCUUUUGAGUACAACUUAAGCUUAACGAUUGAAUCAGCAAAGAACUAUAAGUUUCAGACUUUGGAAUUUUUCUUUCGUACACUUCCUCAAUCAACUUGAGCAUCUUCAUUAUAUACUCCUUCAUGCCAAUAUAGUCGUUGGCACCUUCCAAAAGAGUUAUUCCAAUUUACCCGUUGGAUAAAAUCAAUUAAGGAGAUCUCGAGUUAUUUAAGGAAUGUGAAGAUAGCCUACUAAUCCUGCUCGUCCAUACAAUCAGGAUCUAGGUUUCCAUAAGUAGGACCUUCCAAGUAUACUUUGUCAAUCAACAGAUCUAAUUAUCUGAAUUGAUUCCAAUAAGAAUAAUUGAUCACGAGAUGCUAUCUCCAGCCGUGAGAUCUUCAACAACCGAUCGAGCCAAAUUCUUAAAGAUAUACUUGCAUCUGAAAAGGUCUUCUUUAUAGGAUAAGCUUUUUUUUUCUUCAUCAGUUUGGAAACUAUCAGUGAAGAUAGACUUUGAAUCUUGAGUCUGAAGGUCUUUAGACUUUAACGACAGAGUCUGCAAGUCUUCAAAUUAGACUGAUGGAAACGUUUUGUUAACUUCAAAACAAAUAAGGAAGUUGUCUCCAACAUUGCUAACUUAAAAGCGUCGGCCAAAUUGAAGCAGACUUAGGGAAAAGGACAAGUGCUGUAUGGAUAGAGAUCUUUACCAGCUUAAUAAGACAAAAGGAGAGACUGACAGGAUAGUCAACUCAAGACUUCAUAUUGGACUUUGUUUACAGAAACUUUCGCGUGUUCAUCUCUCUCUUAGAGAAAAACCCCGUUGGAAAAGCAAGCAUUUUGCAUCUUGAUAUGGGACCAUCAACGAUCCUGCAAGUCCGUAAAGCAUCUCUUGUUGAUCCCAAGCAAUGAUGACCACAUUUGGCCAGCUGACGUGGACGUCGGCCAGCGCCAGCAAACAAUUUUUUCAUAAUACUUUUCUGAAUUUUUUUUCUUUUUUAUUGUUAUAAUAUUUUCUCCUCCCUCUUCUUCCUAUUGUUCUGGCAACUGAGCAAAGGGGAGGACCGGUUUUGAAAGAGCUAGUAUAAACACCUAAAGGGGGGUGAAUAUGUAUAAAAAUAGAUUGAUCUAAAGAUGCUGUAAAAAUAUUUUUCUUCAAGCUGAGUCUAUUAGACAAUAGACUUCUGAUAAAGAUUCAGACUCAAAUAAGAUGCUUUUAAAAUAUUGCGAAACUCAGAAAAAUAUCACAGCAAAAGAAGUUAAGAGAAGAGAAAAUUGAACACAAAAUUUAUAGUGGUUUAGUUUAGAUCAAGCCUACGUCCACUCUUCCACGCUGACAGCCUUUUAGCUGAAUUUCACUAUGAAUCGACAGAAAAUUACAACAGUAUGAAACUAUUUGCUCAGUAAAGAGUUUCUUUUUCUUUCACUAAGUCACUUCUUUGUAUUUUUCUCUCUCUCUCGAAUAUGAAUAUGAGCACUAUCAAUGAAGAACAAGUGAUUUGAGAAGCUUCAGACUUUGGAAUUCUAGUUUUCAUGCUCUCUUUCAAAUGACCCGAAAAACCUCCUUAAAUACUCCUCCAUACCUUUAUGACCAUUGGCACUAUCAAGAGGAAUUCUUUCAAUCAACUCGUUGGAUAUAAUCAAUCAAAGAGAUCUUGUAGCCGUUUGAAGAUUGAGAUGAAAGUCCAAUGAUCUUGGUCGCUAUACAAUCAGAAUCUUGGUUUCCAUAAGUAGAUUUUUUCCAAAAAAAACUUGUCUUCGAAAUUGAUUUCACCAAUCCGUGAUUGAUUUUAUCAAUAUUUUCCAAAGGGAUAAAUGUUCCAGAAGUCCUAAAACUUGUCACGAAAAUGCAUUUCAGUCCUAAAACUUGCAAAAAGUGCAUUUUAGUCCUACAAUUUGUCAAAAUGUUUCAAACGAGUCCUAAAAUCGACGCCAUCUAAUUUCUUAACGGAAAAAGCUGACGUGGCCCCUGUGUGGCUUUUUUUAAUCGUUUCUCUCUCCUCCGUUGCGAAUAGUUUUUAUAAAAAAAAAGCCACGCAUGCAUAACGACGUCGUCUCUUCCUUUCUUCUUCACCACGACGUUGUCUCCUCCUUUCUCCUUCACCACGACGUCGUCUCCUCCUUUCUCCUUCACCAUGACGUCAUCUCCCCCUCCAUCUAUACGUCUUCUUCACCAUCGUGUUCUCCCUCCCCUCUCCAUCUCUACGUAUUCUUUCGCUUUCCGAGUGUCCCUUAAGCCCCAAAUCGAACUCGUCCGAACCCUAAGUCCCAAAUCGAAUUUGUCCGAACCCUAAGCCCCAAAUUUGAUGAUCUACGGUUCUCUUGCGAUUUGGGUCCUCAUCAACCUCGAGUUCGACGCUCGUCAUGAGUUCGUGUUCUUUCCUUCCUUUGACGAUUGCGAGUUCAUGUGAAGACCUCUUUGCGGGAGUCUGGAAAUCUCAGCGGUGAAGCGAUUGGUGUCGGGGAUGACGACAGGGUCAGCGACGACGAUGGCGACUCGUCCUCACGCAGGUAUCGCUUUUUGCAUUAUAGCAUUUGGGUAUCUCAUGGUAAUACUACGAUUUUUUUUGUUUUACAAAGGUGCUUUAAUCUCUGCAUUAUGUAAAACGAUGUCAGUUGGCGUCCUCAUUUCUUCAUUAUUUGGAGUUCAGAGAGCUCGAGUUUGACACACAUCAACUUUAUGUUCUCUUCUUUGAUGAUUGCGAGUUCGUGCAAAGACAUGUCUUGUGGGCAUCUCAGCGUCUUAGCGGCGGAGCGAGCGGCAUCGGGGAUGGCGAUGGUGACUCCUCAUGUAGGUAUCACUCUCUACAUUACAGCAUUUGGGUAUGUCAUAGUAAUAUUACCAUUUUUUUUGUUUUGUUUUGCAAAGGCGUUUUACUCUCUACAUUAUAGCGGUGUUUUACUCUCUGCAUUAUGGUUGUUUUGCAUUUUCCAAUUCUUGCGAUAAAUUAAAACAUUGCUGCAAAUUAGAACAUUGCUCUCACUAUUGAUCAUGUAGUUGCAUUGUGGUUGUAAAGUGGAUUAUGCUAAUUUGUUGUUUCUGUAUUGAUUGUUAGUCUUUUAUAAAAAUAUCUUCAAUUUAGAACUUGAACAUUGCUUCAAUAAUUUGAUGAUUGAAAGUGCUCUGCUUUUUGUUUCUGUUCCUUUGUAGGUCCAAUGGCCGAGAACAAAGUUUAUGUCACUGUUCGCUAUGGAGGUAAAUUUAAAGUUGGCCCACCAUUGGAAUACAUAGGUGGAAGGGCUGAUGUUGCUGAAAUAAGUUUAAGUAAGAGUUCACUAUCUAGUAUAAUUGAAGCUAUUGAGGCUUUGGGUGUGUGUAGAGUAGAGAAACUCUUUUACAGAGUUCUUGGAAGUAAGACUCUUGUGAACGGAAUAACUCUUAGGUAUUUAUGGGAUAACUCUGAUGUGAUGGAUCUAUUUUAUCAUCAUAUGUGCUAUGAAAAUAUUAAGCUAUAUGUUGAGCAUGUUGAUGAUGAAAAGGCAGAAGCUAAGAUGGGGGGUGUUGAGAUGGAAAUUGGAGGUAUGUCUAAUGUGAUUAGGAAUACUGAUGAUGACGGGAAUCAGGCUGAAGUUGCUAAUAGGGAUCUAAAUGAGGAAGAGGAUGAUGAUGCACAUAAUUUGGUGGAUAUGGAACAGUCAAGUGAUGAUGAUGACUUUGAACUGGUUGAUACAAUGAAAAAAUUAGUUGAAUUUUCAGCAAGACAUAGGCUCCAAUUUUAAAUUAUAGUGACGCAAUUGGUACUUCUCAACCACCGAUUGUGGAUGAGGCUCAAUCGUUAGAUGAUUUUGGGUACGAAGCAGAGUAUGUUGAUUCAGAUGAUGAAGACCGUCUUCAAUCAAUUUUAAAUGAUGAGGGUGACGAAGAGGUUGAUGUUAUUUCAAGGAUGAGAAGUAGGUUCCCAUUAUAUGAUCAAAGUGGUACAAAUCCAUAAUCUAUUGUUGGCAUGACAUUUGAGGAUGAAACUGAGUUCAAGAAUGCAAUUUUGAAGUAUUUUGUGGCUGAGCAAAGAGCAAUCAAAUACACUAAGAACAUAAAAAGCUUUGUCAGAGCUAGGUGUGCCGAGAAAAAUUGUAACUGAAUGAUCUAUGGUGCUUUUGAUAGCAAAACUGGGUCAUUUCAUUUGAGAAGGUAUGUAAAUCAGUAUAUAUGCAGUAUCACUUUCGAGAAUAAGAGAGUGUCUAGCACUUAUUUAGCUAAGCACUUCAUGAUUCUCAUUUCUGCAAUGCCUAAAAUCAAAGCACCUGAGUUAAAGAAAUUAGUUAGAGAACAACUUGGAGUAAAUGUCACUUUCAGUCAGUGUAGGAGAACAAAGCUGAAAGUAUUGAAGGAACUGUAAGGCAAUUACAAGAAGGAAUAUACACAUAUGUAUGACUACUUGGGAGAGCUUUACACUGCAAGCCCUUCAAGCAAUUUUAAAUUGAAAGUUGAAAGGCCAUUGCCAAAUUCUCUACCAGUAUUUGAUAGGAUUUACAUUUACUUUGAUGCUUGCAAGAAAUGUUUUUUGGCUGGAUGUAGGAAGAUCAUUGGAUUAGAUGGAUGUUUUUUGAGGGGUUUGAUCAAGGGUGAGUUGUUAUGUGUCGUCGGAAGGGAUGUCAACAAUCAAAUGUAUCCAGUGGCAUGGGCAGUGGUAGGAAUCGAGAAUAAGGACGCAUGGACUUGGUUUAUUGAAUUGUUGAAGUCAGACCUCGAUAUGUGUAAUGGUGACGGAUGGGCUUUGAUAAGUGAUCAACAAAAAGUAUGCUUUUCUUUCUGUUUUCAUUUGUAAAUUGAUUGUGACAUUACAAUGUUUUUCUUUCUAUUUUCAUAGAUAUUUUCUUUUUUUUAGGUAAUUGUGAGGGUCUCGUCCAAUUUGUAGUUGAACUGUUGCCAAAUGCAGAGUAUAGGAUGUGUGCAAGGCACAUUUAUUCCAACUGGGGUAAAAAAUACAAAGGAAAACAGUUGCUGAGGCAAUUUUGAAGAUGUGUCAAGAGUAAUAAUAUGUCAAAUUUCGAGAUGCAUAGAUAGAGGUUGAAGGAAUUGACUCGAGAAUGUCAUGAUGAUUUAUUCCGUAUUAAGCCAAAACAUUGGUGCAAAGCCUUCUUUGACACCGACAUUAAAUGUGAUGUCGUUGAUAAUAAUCUGAGUGAAGCUUUCAAUGGCAGGUGUGUGGAAGCUAGGUACAAGGCCAUUGUGAGUAUGUUGGAGGAUAUUAGAAUCAUGGUUAUGAAUAGAAUGCAUACUUAGAGGGAUGAAUGUGCUAGGUGGACUAGACAUUACGGUCCAAGGAUUAUGCGUAAGUUACAUGAGAAUACAACUACUAGUAGGUAUUGCCAUUUGAUAUAGAAUGGAAAUGAAGGAUACGAGAUUACAGAAGAUGGUGACAAAUAUGUUGUUGAUUUGAAUUUAAAAACUUGUUCUUAUAGAGCUUGGGAACUUAGUGGAAUUCCAUGUUGCCAUGCCAUUUGUGCAAUACACCAUAAGAGAAAUGAUCCGCCUGACUAUCUAGCUAAGUUCUUUAACAAGGAAAAGUAUCUAAGUGCUUAUCAAUUCAUGAUGCCUAUAGUAAGAGGACAGAAAUUUUGGAAUAAAGCCAAUAAAGAAACUCCUCAACCCCCACCAAUGAAGAACAUGCCUGGUAGGCCAAAAAGGAGUAGAAGAAAGCAAUCGAUUGAGCUUGUAAGAGGUGAUAGAAUGACUAAAGAGGGUAAGCAAAUGACUUCUUCUGCUUGCAAACAAAUUGGACAUAACUGCAAGAGAUGUCCUUUAAAAAAUGUAUUUCCUCAACUAACUGAUCAUCUUAAUGCUGGGCAUGUCACUUUAACAUGUUGUUAAUCAAUACUUAAUGUGCUUCUCAAGCCAAUACCGGGGCCAAUGUAUGUACAUCCAAUGCUGGGGCCAAUGUACGUACAUCCAAUGCUCGAGUCAAUGUAUGUACAUCCAGUGCUCAUGCCAAUGCAAGUACAGCUGAAGCUCAUGCUCAAUCUCAGGCUAAUUCCACUGGUCCAAGGCUCGAAAAAAGACAAGUAAGUUGUCAUCUAACCAUUAUUAUAAGUUUUAUAUAUCAAGGUUCCAAUUUAGUAAUUUUGAAUAUAUAUUCAGGCUAAAGCUAAAGCAACAACAAGCGUAGCUGAAGGAGGAUCCGAAAGCCAUGCCAAUGCUUCUGCAAAUGCCAAUUCAAUAGGAGACAAUAGUGGGCAUGUUAAUGCUUAUGCUCAGGCUAGUGCAGAUGUAAGAGAAUGUAGUGCUUAUGCAAAUGUAAGAGAAUGUAGUGCCACUGCUUCUGCUCAUGCUAGUGCUGAUGUUAGAGGAUGUAGUGGUGAGGCCAAUGCUUUUGGUGAAGUUCGUUCGGAUCAAGGGGAAGGCAGUGCACCGGCCAAUAUAAUGGCUAAGCAUAGACGUGAAAAAAUUCCGGUGAGUAAUACCUCAAUCCUCAAGUAUACAUGUAUUGUGACUACGUUCUCAUGUUGAAUGAAUUUUUUAUUAUUCCAGUUUAAAAGACCUGCCAUUGAAAAUUACAUGAUAUAGAGAGAAUCACAAGCCAAGAGGAUGAAAAUGGUAGAGUUGGGUGUUGACGCAAAUCCUAUGACAAACCUUCAUAUUCGCAAGGUGAGUAAUAUUUUUAAAAUUUUAUAAUGACAAUUGCUUAUCUCUUUAAGCUAAAAAGAUGCUCAUUCUUAUGUAGCCUAAUAUAAUUGGUGCAAGAAUCGUUAACCUACCGGAGAAAUGGGUAGUUUCAAGAGCUACGUCAACAACAAAGGUGCAUUCCCAAGUCAGUGCACAACCUCAGUUAUAUCAUGUAUCAGCAGCUCCUCGAAAACAAAUUACGGUGACGCUGAAGCCACUAUUACAACCUAAGGCCACUUCCCAACGUCAGUCAUAUCAUGCAACAGUAGCUCCUCCAAAGCACGUUGCAAUGAAGCCAACGGCACUAUCGCAACCUCAGGCCAGUUCCCAAGUUCAGUCAUCUCAAGCUAUAAUAGCUCAGAAGCAUCUUGGUUUAAAGCGAAAGGUACCAUCACAACCCCAGGUAAGUUCCCAACUUCAAUCAUCUCGUGCAACAUUACCUCCUCGAAAGCAUGUUGCGCUGAAGCCAAAGCCACUAUCGUAACCUUAGGCCAAUUCCGAAGCUCAGUCAUCUCAGGCUACAAUAGCUCAUAAACAUCUUGGUUUAAAGUGAAAGGCACCAUCACAACCCCAGGCAAGUUCCCAAUCUCAAUCAUCUCGUGCAACAUUACCUCCUCGAAAGCAUGUUGCGAUGAAGCCAAAGUCACUAUCACAACCUCAGGCUCAGUCAUCUCAGGCUACAACAACUCCUCCAAAGCCUAUCGCUGCGAGACCAUAUAUAAGGAAAAGCGCCAGAAUUCUGAAUCAAGUGAAGGCUCAACCUACUGGACCACUGGAAACCAUCAUAUUGGAUUGAUAUGUUUGCUGAAAUUGGUGUUGUUAGGUGAAUUUAUAUCAAUUAUUAGCUGGUUUUUUGUAUGAGACGUGUAGCGUUUGUGCAUAGAACCUUUUGUGCACUGAAAGUGCAUAUUUUGUUGAACAUAACCUUUUGUGCACUGAAAGUGCAGGCAUUUUGUUGAACAAAACCUUUUGUGCACUAAAAAUGUAAGCAUGUUGCUUUGUCAAUGAAUCGUGUUUCAACGAGUUAUGUGGGAUGCUUGGUUUUGGUUUGGAUAAUGCACGAAAGUGGUUGCUCUUUAGGAUUGUUAAUAGGUAAUUACUGAAAUUGGCCAUGCAGAAUUUUCUUUCUUCCAAUACUUUUGUCAUCUUCUUUCCCAUACAUUUUUCUCGAGUUCCUCGGGGGCAUUAAUGGUAACCGAUACCACCACCUCUUAUUGCUAAUUUUUCAUUUUAGAAGAUGGGGUUUUGCUCUAUGUGGUCUUUGUGGCCCGCAUUGGAUGAUUCAUGGAAGAUUUGGUAUUGUAGCCGACUGCUUUGAUUUCACUUGAUUUUUUACACAUUCCAUUUGAGGCAAGCUCGUUAUUAAAAACAUGAAGAAAUCACCAAUUAACAAUCUCGAUUGCAUAAUAAGGGAGUUGUCACCAUUUUUUGAAGUUCCAAAUUUAUUCUGGUGGCAAUAGCUCAUGUAGUGCUAUUGACAAGCACACAAAUCAAGCAACAUUUUGCAAUGCAAAAGUAAUUUCUCGCAUGGCAAGCAACCGUUCUUGCAAAUUACAAACUCACAUCAGAUUUCAUUCCCAUCUCAAUUAUCCACAACUAGUGUUCAAAUUUACAAACUUAGAAAUUUCCCAUUAACUUUCACAUUACAUAUAACCAAUAUAGUGAUAUAACACAUGCAUAGAAUGAAUGCUGAUUGAUAUAGCAUCUUUCCUUUCUUUACUUGUGCAAGCUCCUCCUUUAAACAUCUAUUUUUCACCUUUUGAGUCUUCAUUUCAGCUAGCAAUGAGCUCACAUCGACUCUGUCACCCCUCAAUUGGCUUGAUUCAGACAAUGCUUGAUUUCUUUCAAGGAGGUCAACUAUCAUGUCCGUCACAUGAUCUGGUAUCUUUGGAUCCACCCAUAUGAAGAAAUUGCAGCAACUUGGACUAUCAAACUUACCACAUCCAUGGAACCUUCUUCCUGCGCUUUUCUUUAUCUUUGCCAUAAGAAUUAGCGAUUGAAAACCACAAUAACAUGUUGGCUCCGAGUUGACCUCAUUAGGAGUUACGCCACUUGAUGCAGAUGUUGCCGCCCUCAUUCUUCUGGGCUUUAUAUUAUAGGAACCUAAUAGAAGUAUAUUAGCUAUACUAUGAUUCCUUCAUAACGUCUUCAUAUUAAUAACUUCUGCAUAAUGCAAUGUGUUUACUUAAGAGAUUUAGAAGAUGUUUUCAAUCUCCAAAAAACAUCUCUUUUUUCAUAUGCACUGGAUGAAUAGACAACCAUAACUUACUUCUGCAUCAAUGUUCUAAUUUGUCACUAGUAUCGGAGAAUGGAAAACAACAAAAUGCUAUAAUGCAGAGAGCGAUACCUGUGUGAGGAGGAGUCGCCAUCGCCGUCGUUGACCCUGUCAUCAUCCCCGACGCCAUCGCCGUCGUUGACCGCUGAGAUGUCGAGACUCCCGCAAGCGAUAUCUUCACACGAAUGCACAAUCGUCAAAGGAAGGAAAGAACACGAACUCACGACGAGCGUCGAACUCAAGAUCGAUGAGGACCCAAAUCACAAGAUAACUGCAGAUCGUCAAAUUUGAUUUGAGGCUUAGGGUUCGGAUGAAUUCGAUUUGGGGUUUAGGGUUCGGACGAGAUCGAUUUGGGGCUUAGGGUUUGGACGAAUUCGAUUUGGGGUUUAAGGUUCGGACGAGAUUGAUUUGGGGCUUAGAGUUCGGACGAAUUCGAUUUGGGGUUUAGGGUUCGGACGAGAUCGAUUUGGGGCUUAGGGUUUGGACGAAUUCGAUUUGGGGUUUAGGGUUCGGACAAGAUCGAUUUGGGGCUUAGGGGACACUCGGAAUAGAGAAAGAAGAAGUAGAGACAGAGGGGGGAGGGGGAACACGAUUGUGAAGAAGGCAUAUAGACGGAGGGGGAGACGACGUCGUGGUGAAGAAGAAAGGAAGAGACGACGACGUUCUGCAUGCAUGGCUUUUUUUUUAAAACUAUUCGCAAUGGAGGAGAGAGAAAGGAUUAAAAAAAGCCACGUGGGGGCCACGUCAGCUUUUCCCAUUAAGAAAUUAGAAGGCGUCGAUUUUAGGACUCGUUUGAAACAUUUUAACAAGUUGUAGGACUAAAAUGCACUUUUUGCAAGUUUUAGGACUGAAAUGCAUUUUCGUGACAAGUUUUAGGACUUCUAGAACACUUAUCCCUUUUCCAAAAGGUAAGUGAGAUUUUCAUUCAAAAAGCCAGAUAUAUCUUGUUCGUACUAAAUCCUUGUUGAAAUAUCAAUAAUCCUGAGUCUGAUUAUUUCUUCGUUCUUCACUUGAAUUCAGUCUGGAUCUUCAUCAUAGUGGGGCUGACUUCUGAUGUAAAAUAGAUUUUGACAGAGUACAGAAUUCUAGUAUCUCUUAGGAUAAGAAUAAGAAUAAGAAUAGGAAUAGGAAAGUUUUGUCAACUUCAAAAUCUAAUAUGAGUUUUUUCAACAGGUUUGGCUAGCUUGGUCGACCUCGCCCAGAUUCGGUGAGGCAAGCCCUUGCCAGUGGAUCGAGAAGGCAAGCCCUUGCCCAGAUCCGACAAGGUCGACCUUGCCUAGCACUAGCAAUGGCAAGGUGAGCUCGCCACUAGCUAGUUGCCUCAGUCUGGUGAUUGACUCCCUUUUGGCCAACCGCCGGAGCAAGAGGAAGGAGGGAGGGGAAAAAAGGAAAAAGAAAAGAAAAAAUUAAAAAUAUAUUAUUAAAAAUUGUUUGCUGACACCGGCUGGCCAAAUUUGGUCGAAUGGACUGAAUUGGCAUAAUUGUAAAAGGUUUAAAACUAAAAUGGCAAAAAAAAAAAAAAGAGUAAGGUAUUAAAUUGAAAAUUUUGUAAUAAAUUUAGGACUUUUUUUUUUUUGUAAUUUUCCCAUAUAAAGGAAUAUCAUAUUAGAUAUUACUUCGUUGUUUUUGUUGAGUUACUAUCCUGAUUUUAUGUGAUUGUCAAAUUACAAUUCGGAUUUUAUGUGAGAAUCAUGCAUAAACAUCCUACAUUAACAUUCAAUUCAUUUUUUUGUUGAGUAUGAAUAUUAAAAGAAGACAUUUGUCACAGUCUAUGAAAUUUCGAGAAGUAUCGUACAGGAUAAAACAAGCCCUCUGUCUGUCACGCUAGAGUGAAACCGACGAUUCUCAUACUCUUCUAGAUAUUUCAAAUCAUCUUGGUAAUGCUUGCAUCAACAAAUGACACACAUAUUUGAACUUUUAUGUUCACAACAUGGUGAGUUACAUCAAGUUCGGUUUACUUUAACUACAACGAAUAAACUGGCUAAAUGUCAUCGACAUUUAGUCAACUCAAGUGGGCUCAGGUUGAUUUUCGGGAACAAAGUGAUUCUUUGAAAUCUAAAAUCUGUACAGGAGAAAACAAGCUCUCUCUGUCUUUGUUAUGCUAGAGUGAAACCGACAACUCUCAUGCUCUUCUAGAUAUUUCAAAAUUAUCUUGGUAAUGCUUGUAUCAACAAAUGACACACAUAUUAAAUGUAAUGGGCAACAUUUGUUCCUCGCGCGGGUACUGUUCAUCGGGUACUCUCAUCCAAGCGAUUUUGGCACUGUUCACGGACUGAUGUUUUGCUUGGUCCCGGAAUUCUAACUAUCGGUUUGCGCUGAUUUUGGAGGGCAGGAUCCUCUCGCCUUCCUCUUCAUCCCCAUUGAAGGAAUUCCUAUGGGUUGGUCUACAUCAAAAGUUAUCCUCUGCCUUAGGGUUGUUCGCAUUUCCAGCUUGCUGGACUGGUUUUCUGCUCACAUCUGGAGUUGUAGUCGUUGGUUUGGGCCAAGUUUUGGAGGGCAGGCUCCUUUGACCCUCCUCCAUCUUCCCACCGAACCAUUUCCUCAGAUUUGGUCUACGCUUCAAGUUACGAGCUGGCCCUGGUCGUAAUUCUAUCGCUGGUUUCCCCCGUUUGAAGUGCUGGUCGUCCAAGUGGCUUCAGGCGGUUGAUUGGGCUGAGCCUUGGACGAAUUGGUCGCUUGACCUAUUCCUUCAUCCUCACCAAGCCUUUUCGGUUGGGGCUUCAAGUCUUUAUUCCUCCUCUGGCCUCCAUCAGUGCGUUCGUAUAGCUGUUCUUCUGCCCCGAGCCUGCUGGAGCUGUGAUGGUUGCUGUCUUUGGGCCUUUUUUGGGUAGGCAUGACCCCUCUUCUCCCCCGUUUUGGCUCGCUAUGGGAUGCCCUGGUAAGUCCCUUUCCUUUCUAUGGGCUAUUUGGGUUAGCGUAUGGACUGCACACCAGGUGUUUGGGAUAUGGCAUCAGCCGCUGUUGGGGUUGGAAACCCCUCUCGAGAGACCCAACAUCCUGCUGGAUCCUCAAUGGGGCAAAGCCCCUCCUCCCUUGCCAUUGCUGGCCUACCUUCUGAGCGUUCAGGUCAGGCAAACGCCCCCAAGUCCGGCCCUACUGGUCUAUCAGACGUUCAAUGAGCGCUGCAGAAGGCCCCUGCUCGCCCAGGCUGAUCUCGUGGUCGGAGCCAUGUGCGAUCCCCCUCCAAGCGACCGCAGGAUCCCACUUUUUGGCCUGGUGUCUUGAAGCCUACCCCUGCCCACACCUGGGCCAAUGUUGCUUGGCUCGCUGCGCGUGGCUAUGAUUUAUCCUAUAUUCCGCCUACCUUUGUGGAAAGCAAGCCUGUUGUUAACUUGGUUGAAGAGGUGCUAGAUGCGGUUGAUCCCAAGAGGCAUGAAUGCCUCGUUGGGUACUUUGUAGGGAGGAAGCUCCCUUUUAGGCUCACAGUACAAUCCUUGAUGAGCGCUUGGGGUCCUAAACUCGUGGAAGUAAUGGCCAAUGACCAAGGUUUCUUUUUCCUUCACAUCCUUGACUCGGUGUUCCGGAGGAAAAUCCUUGAGGAUGGACCCAUUACGGUUGUGAGGGUACCCCUCAUUCUUCGACAAUAGCAGUCGUUCAUGGACCUUAAGAAGGAAACCAAUUCUUAGUCCCGAUUUGGAUUCGGUUGAAGAACUUGCCUUUCGAUUUUUGGUCAGCACCGGCAAUGAGUGCUAUUGCAAGUGUGGUGGGGAAGCCACUUUAUGUGGACCAACGAACGGAGCAAGUGAAGAUAGUUUCGUUUUCAAGAGUGUGUGUUGAGAUUUAGACAAAUCAACUGAGAUGCACGUCUGUUGAUGUGGUCUUGAAUGGGGUAUCUCAUACGAUUUCCAUUGAGUUUGAAUGGCUCCCGGUCGAAUGCCCUAGCUGUGGGACUUUCGGCCAUAGGUGUGAGGACACCCUUCACGCCUAUUCCUUGAUCUGCCCGCCUAGAAAUCCGCAACCACCCUAGGUCGAUUAUGCUCUCUCAGCCCCUAUUGCGGCUCCCGUCCUUACUUCGGUUGUGGCAGAAUCGCAGGUUGAUCCGGAGCAACCCUGGAAACAAGUUAAGGGGAAAAAAAUAUCCAUGCCUUCGAAGGAAGGACCCUCCACCUCCCGUCCAAUCAGUUCUGGCAAUGAGGGGCAAACCCGACGGCUGAAGGUCCCUGGAUCGGUGAAGAUCAGUCCUUUCGUUUCUUCUCGGAGGUCGUUAAGGGGGCGGAGCGUUCCUCCGAAGGUGGUGCCCUCUCUUACUAGCCUAAAGGAGGAUUCUUCCCGGCCAAUCGAAGCCCCAACUUUGAUCCAAUCCGAGAUAUGGAUUUGGAUGUCUCGGCUAGCCUCUCUUGCUCGGAUGAGGACUUGCUUCUCCCUGCCCGUCCCCAAGGGCUGCCUCGUCGAAGCUGGAGACGAUGCAGGACAAGCUGCUUUCUCUCGCCCCAGAUCUGCCUUCGAAGAUUACUCUUGCGGCACUAGCGUAUUCUCGCCGAAAGCCUCCCAAGCGAAGGUAGGCCUUCCUGCCUUCCUUUACCCUCUUCUUUUGCUUAGUGUGUGUGUAUACAUAUAUAUAUAUAUAUAUAUAUAUAUAUAUAUAUGUAUACACACACACAUAUGUGUAUGUAUAUAUAUGUGUAUGUAUUUUGGAUUUUAGAAUAUAAGAGGUCUUAAUGACCCCUUGAGGCAAGCCAAGGUCAGGAACCUUGUUUAUUCCAACGGCCUUUGUCUAAUUGAUUUAUUGGAGACCAAAGUGCCGGAGUCUCGAUUCUGUUCCAUUUCUGCUAGGCUCUUGACGGAGUGGAAGUGGAUUGCCAAUUAUGACUCCUUUCAUAGGGGUAGGAUUUCGGUUGGAUAGAACCCUUUUUUGGUGAACUUUGAAGUGAUUUCUUCCAAUAGUUAGACGAUCCAUGGCAGAGUGAAGUUCCUCAUGUCUGGAUUGUGUUGCUGCACCUCGGUGAUAUAUGCUGAACAUACUUUUAUAACUCGAAGGCCUUUGUGGGCAAACCUUCUUUAGAUGAGUGCUUGCUUCCAGGACUUUGCUUGGCUGGUGGCCAGGGACUUCAACACCAUCAGGGACCCGUCUGAUCGGAUUGGGAGCUCUAACACCUGGAUCCCUCACUUUGAUGAUUUAGGCGGAGUUAGAGAACUUGAGAUAUGUUGGCUUUCGAUUUACUUGGUUCACUUCUUUCGGGGUUAAUCGGAAGGCUAGGAAGAUUGAUCGUGUGCUGGUGAAUGCUAAAUGGAGCCUUGAGUUCUCUUACUCGGAAGCGUCUUUUCUGACUCUGGGCAUUUCUGACCAUACACCGAUGGUGGUUAAAGUGUUACAACCAAUUCUUUGAAAAAAACCUUUCAAGUUCUUUGAGUCUGAACUAAGCACCCGUCCUUCCAUGACAUUGUUUCGCAAGUAUGGGCGAGCCCGGGUAAAGGGAUCCCUAUGUUUAGGUUGGUCAGCAAGCUAAAGACCCUGAAAAACCGUUUAAAGUAGCUCAAUAGAGAUUCUUUCUCUAACAUCUCCAAAAGGGUUGCUACGUCGAGGAAUGCAUUCAGGCUAACCCAGAUUGGCCUUCAACAAAACUCGACCAGCGAACUUCUUGUAGAGUUAGAAAAGACUCAUCGGAGGACUUUCGUGGAGUUGAGGAGUUGGGAAGAGUCUUUCUUCAGACAGAAGUCCAAAAUCAGGUGCCUUGAGGAAGGCGACGGGAAUACUAAGUACUUUCACUAUUCCGUCAAUAGAAAACAACUAAGGAACAUGAUUCUAUCGGUUCUUGACACCGCUGGUAAUUUGGUCUCCGAACCAAGCUUAGUGCAGCACACCUUUGUCUCUCACUUUCAGGAGCUUUUCGCAAUGUGCACCCUAUCCUCUAGACCCUCAUUACUAGACCUUCAGCAGGUUAUUCGAUGCCCUCUCAAUAAGGAACAUGUUUGUUUUCUCUCUCAUCCCUUCUCUGAUGAGGAGAUUCAUGAUACCUUGUUCACCCUACCUUGUGGGAAAGCUCUUGGGCCAAAUGGGUUUGGUGUCAAGUUUUUUAAGAGCAAUUGGGAGCUGGUAGGGCCAUCGGUCAUUGAAGCGGUGAAGGAUUUCUUUGCCACGAGGAGACUUCUAAGGGAGAUCAACAACACUAUCCUAGUUUUGAUCCCGAAAGUUCCCAAUACGACUUCAAUCAACUACUACAGGCCUAUUGCCUAUUGUAAUACUAUUUAUAAAUAUAUUACCAAGAUUUUAGCUAACCGUGUCGCUGCAGUUUUUCAAGGUAUUAUCAGCCCUUCUCAAAAUGCCUUUCUCAAAGGGCGGCGAAUCAAAAACAAUUUUCUUCUUGCCGAAGAGUUAUUUGCCGAUUUCCAUCUUCAUCCACAUGUUCCUAAGUGUGCUAUCAAGGUGGAUUUCAAAAAGCUUAUGAUAUGGUGGACUGGGACUUUCUUGAGCUGGUUCUUCGUGCUUUUGGCUUCCCGAACCACCUUCUUCGGUUUAUCAUGGUAUGUGUGCAUACUCCUAAGUUUUCUAUUUCUUUGAAUGGAGAAUUACAUGGGUUUUUCCCUAGUAGCCGAGGCUUUCGUCAGGGGGAUCCCAUGUCUCCCUACCUUUUCACUUUGGUUAUGAAGAUCUUCUCCGGGAUCCUUAGUGCUCAUGCUACAAAAUUGGGGUUCAAUUUUUUUUGGAGAUGCAAGGCUAUGAGAUUAUCUCAUCUUUUUUUUGUGGAUGAUGUAUUUCUCUGAGUUGAUAUGGCCUAGAUCUCUCUCCUAAAGGAAGGUUUAGAUACCUUCUCGACAUGGAGUGGACUGAAGUCAAACAACAAUAAAAGUGAUAUCUUUCUUGCUAGAGGGUCGGAUGAGCUGUGGAGUGAGAUUCUUCUUGCCCUUGGUUUCCUUGAAGGGAAGUUGCUAGUGCACUACUUGGGACUUCUAUUAUCUCCUCGCGGCUAGGCAAAGCAGACUAUGUGUACCUUGUUGAUCAUAUAACCACCGGGGUCCAAUCCUGGACAUAGCGUUUUCUCUCUUUUGCUAGUCAUCUUCAAUUAAAAAGGUCAGUCCUUCAUGCGAUCCAAGCUUAUUGGACAAGUGUCUUUAUUAUCCCUAUUGCAGUUUUGGACCGCAUCGAGCAAAUCCUCAGACAAUUUCUCUUGAAAGGUGCGGACCUUUGGAAGGGUGGAGCGAAAGUUUCGUGGGAAGACGUGUGCCUUCUGAAGGAGGAAGUUAGGCUUGGCAUUCGUAGGUUGAGGGAUUGUAACAAGGUAGCAAUGCUAAAACACAUUUGGAUCCUGUUUAUGGACAAUGAAUCCUUAUGGUGCAAGUGGAUCCAUUCGAUUUUCCUGAAAAUGAAGAGUUUCUGGGUGGUUAUGAAGCCUACUUUCUGCCCUUGGACUUGGAAGAGAAUCCUCCACCUCAGAACCGAAUUCCGACUCUCUUUCCUCUGGAGGGUAGGGGAUGACCAAUCAGUCUCCUUCUGGUUUGAUCACUGGCACUCGAGAGGCCCUGUUUUCUCAAAUUCGAUGAUUUAUAACUCUGGUUUAUCCAAGCACGCUAUGGUGGCUGAGCUUUUUUCACUGUCUAAGCAAUUCAUGAAGACAGUGAAUCUUGGGAGCAACCCCUUCCUAUCCUAUCUCAGGUACCGAAUCAUUUUACUUGGCUAGAAAGCUCUUCUGGUUUAUUCUCGGUCACUUUGGCAUGGCAUGUUGUCAAAAGGAAGAAGACUAGGGUUGAUUGGGCUUCCUUCAUCUAGAACAGUGUUAUCACUCUAAGAUAUCAAUUCAAUCCCUGACUUAUUAUCAAGAACCGUCUUCCCACUCAAGCCUUACUUUUGUCAUACAGUAGGAUUAGGGAUGCGGUGUGUGCUUUUUGCAAGCUGACGCUGGAUUCAUCGAUCAUCUCUUUUUUGGGUGUUGCAUCACAGCCAGCUUUGCUUUCUUUUGGGCGGCUAGGUGCAACCUCCCUUGGUGCAAUAGAGCCGAGUCUGAGAACCUUUGGUGGGCGUUGAAGUUUCUCUUAGGUAAGGAUUUCUAUCGUUCCAUUGCCCGCUUUUUGUUUGGUGCUCUUUGCCACCUCAUUUGGAAGUUCAGGAACGACAUCAUGUUUAGAGACCAUAUAUUGGCUGUUCCAGCUGUUAAAAAUCAUCUCAUUAAAGUUGUUAAGGACAAAGCCUUAACGUUCAAAAAUGUCAAUGAUAACUCGAGAAAUAGGAGACUUCAACGCAACUGGGGGAUAGAUCCUUGCAUCUUCUCUUCUACUCCUGCGGAGCCUUAAUGUAAGGACCUGGGUCUCCCACUAUGUAAUAUUAUCCGCUUUGGGCCUUCGAUCCUCACGGCUUUAAAACACAUGUUGACACCUAAUUUUUGUUUUCAAGUACAUAAAAAAAUCUAAUUUUAAAAAAAUUAUUAUUAAUUACUAAUUAAAAAUUAGCUAAUUAAUUAAUUUAAAAAGAAAUAGAAAAAGAAAAACAACAAAAAAAGAGAGAAAAAGAAAAAAAAAAACCUAGAGAAAAAGGGGGAAAAGAGAAAACCGGAAAGAGGAGAGAAACGGAGCUGAGGGGGGGCAAGCUGGGGGUGAGCUAGGGGAGAGCAGGAGAAGUAGAGAGAAAACAGUGAGAGAGAGUGAAAAUAAAAAAAGAGAGAGCUGAAAAGAAAGGCGCCGCCACCUCCGCCGCUGCCACCACCCUCCGACCCCAACGCUGUUCCAGCCACCGCAAACCGAGCCCCCUUGCAACUUGCCCGCUGCCCGCACCGCCAUGCCUUCACCUCCGCCUCCACCGUCCACCAUCACUCGUCGCCAUGCCCGCUGCCCCCUGACGCCAACAGAACUCUGUCGUGCCGAGUCAGCCCCAUCAUUGCAUCAGCCCAUCGCCUUUUUCGCCUGAAAUCUUGGCCGUCGCUGCCCUCAACCUGCCGGCGCUCCACCCGGAACCCAAGCCGCUGUCCACCACGUUGCGCUGUCCGCCGCGUCGCCGCCGUUAACUUCUCAGCCAACCCCUCUAGUGUCGUGGGUCACCGAGCUCGAGGUUUCCAGAAUCCGGGUCGUGCGAGCCGGGUCAGGUACAAUUCUUGGGUAGGGUUUUCGUUCAUUUGGGCUUGUCACGACGGGCCAUGUGACUUUUGGGUUUGUGGGCUUGGGCUGGUGUAGUGUGGGCUUGUGGGCCUGUUUUGUUUAAAAAAAAAAAAACAGAGAGAUAAGAGGGGGACCUCUUGGGCUGGGCCCAAGCUUCAGGCCUACCAAGCCGAACCCGAGUCCGGUCAGACCGGACCCAACUUGGUUCGGUCUAAAAAAAUAAUAUUAUUUUUUUAAUUAUUAAAAAAAAUUCAAAAAAAAAAAUUUAGAAAAUUCAAAAAUGAUGGGGUUUUAUUGGGAAUUGUCAUGUUUUGCAUUUUUAGUGUAAUUAGGAAUUUAUUUGCUCGUAUAUUAAUUAUAUUGUAUGUUUAAUUUGCAUAUCUAAUUAUGUUUAAUUGCACGUGUUUAAUUUUACUGCAAUUAGGAUCUUGGUAGCUAUGAUUGUUACUUUAAUGAUUGCGCACCCGCAUGAUCAUCUCGCAUGUUAGUGGAUAGAUAUAAAAUCAAUACAAGCUACCUGCCAAAAAAUCAAUUUGUUAAAAUGAACAAGAUUAGGUACCGAAAUGGCACUAAUUGAUCAAUUAGUGUAAUCAAGUCCCAACCCUAGAUUCUCUGGUUGCAUAGGAAGUGAGGUACAUUCCCAUGCCUCACUUGGUUUCUAGCCGACCCCAAUAGGCUAAUGGUGACUCCUUUUGUGCAAAAUUCCUGAAAGAAAUAUCUCAAUGUCACGCGGGGUAUGGGCUUGGGAGAGCCCGCACUUAGUCAUAGGCCUAUGGCCCAUCCUUUAGGUAAUAGCCCUAAACAUGUUCCCUCCCCCAGAGAGUAGGUUGCGACAGCUUGGCGACUCCACUGAGGACUUGGUUUUAGACCUUAAAGGACUUAGACUAAAAUUAAUCUUGUUCAAAAAUAUUUUUGUUUGGCAGCGAAGAUAUCAGGUACGUCCCUAACGUGUUAGGUGUUAAAUGUUUUUGCAGUUGAGAGUUAUAAAGGGAGGAGUGAUUGUUAACCCAUUGUCUUGCAGGUGUGGAGUUGGGAAUCGAUGUUUAUGUUUUGAAUUUAUGAAGUGAUGCUUGCUAAUAAAUUGUCAUACCUGCAUUUCCUACAUUGCACUACACCAUGACACACGCUACCUGCUGCCGGACUUGAGCCACAUAGGAUCACUUAAGAUGGUGUUGAGGUGGAUACCACUUUGACUACAACCGUGUAGUACGAGUCGCCCACCUCUACCCUGAAAUUUCUUUCUUCAUGUCGAAAGUACCCACCCCUGUAUGCAAUCAAGUGACACAGGUCGAUUCUUUGACAAAGUCAGAGUCAUAGGUAACAUGACCUAGCCGCGAUCUUGCUGGUUCGGUCCGGUGAUCCUAUGGCUCCAUUUUGAGCCGUAUAUAGUAGAAAUCGAACCACAUCCCCAUGUGCAUGUCUAUGUGAUUGAAAAAAAGAAAGCAAAAAAAAAAAAACAAAGACAAAGAUCGACACCCAUUGUAAGUAUCAUUUUCCUUUUUUAUUUGCUCAUUUUGUAUUGAAUUUUAAUCUUGAAAUUCGUGGAAAUUAAUCGAAUGCCCACGGUGUUGUAGGCUUAUGAUUAAAAAAAUUGGCAAUCACUUUUAAUAAGUGAACAUUGAAUGCAAGUUCUAAACACUUUGAUUUGGCCCCGUUGAACACAUUGUUUUGUUUAAAUUUCUAGUUAUGGGCUUGAAAUCAUUUUGAAAAAACAAACAAACAAACAAACAAACUUUCAAGUUGUGAUUUUAUAUUGGGACACAAAAAUUGAAAUUGCAUUUUUUAUCAAAUUCUCUCAUUAUCACAUUUUGGGACUAAAAUGCAAAUCAUUUUGUGUACAAAUUUCUCAAAAUAGAAGUCACUUCAUUUUUCUAGGAGUAAAGUCACAAAUCAAUUUUUCAAAAAUCAAUGACACUUUUGCAUACAAAACUUUUGGAAUAAAAGUGGACAUUUGAUUUAUGGCCGUGGAUCGAUUAUUUUAAUGAUGUCGUCUCUUAUGAUAAAAUCUUGGCGAAAUACUAAAACUCCAUAGUAAGGACUGUGGGGCAUGUACCGUCGCUUCAAUUUUAUUGUAAGAAGCGACCUCAUUGAGAUAUCAUUUUCUCUCAUUCACUUACUGACAUUGUCGUCUUUUUGCAGGUUAUGUGCGAUGCUCCUUGACAUUCUCGUGGUGACCACAUAAAGAAGUGAAUUCUAGAGCUAGGACAAGAGUUAAUUUUUACUCUUACCUAUACAAGAGUCUCUUGUAUUUUAUCAUUGUUCUUAUUCUUGUUAAGAAUCAUGUUUUCCAUUUUGGGUUUUGAUUGCGAAUCCAAUUGUUGCUUUUGUAAAUCAUGCGACUCAUUUUUUAAUAAUGGAAUUCAAUUUCGUGAAAAUCAUAAAGAAAAAAAAAUUCAGAAGUGUUUCAAGCAAACCUAUACGUUAACCUUUCAACAUGAAUUUCAAGAAAGCUUUGCUUAAGACCCUCUCUUCAUGUGGUCGCUUUCUCGGGAAGAAUGAGGAGUUUAUUUGAAGUCGGCAUCUGCCCCUUCUAAAAUAUAAAAGUGUAGGCUCAAGGAACUUGAGGAGUAAGCAUGCGUCAAGGCAUCGUCGGCGUCAAUUUUCCAUAGAGGUGGAACGAAUCGAAUUCCGUUCUGGGAAAUUUCGUUAUACGUAAAUGCCUUAGGUGCCAAAAUAGCCUAUCGGUCUCAUUCACUUUGUAUGAUGAGACAAAUGAAGGGAGUUGCCAAGUAUUCAAAAGGGCGAAUUCGAAGGAAAAGUAAACUGUAUCGAUUCCAAUUAUCCAUUUCUGAUACCGUUUUUGACAUGAUUUUCUUUUCAUUGUCAAGGAGACAUCAGGGGUACCAAGUUUGUAACAUUCCAACAAACAUGAUGGAGCGUUAUUGAGUCAUGUUCAUCUUAAACAAAGAAAGAUUCAAAUGAUGAAACAGAGGGGCGAUAUUAUCUCUUCCUCCAUGAGAGAUACCUUGGGAUGUUGACCGCUCGACUUUGAAAAUGAUGUAUCUCGUUCCUAAACUUGAUUCCCUUCAGCAUAAAAAAUGACAUGUCCUUUUCUUUGAUAUAGGACAGACUCGAACAGAACAAAGGCUUGUCAUAUAAAAUGUGGGAGAACAACGUUUGAUUUAGAGAAAAAUCUCUCCUUCACCCACCAAUGAAGUGUGCUGGAACAACAUUGUCAAAUUCAUCAAGAAUGAUGUAUCGUUCCUCAGUUGAACCUAACUAAGAGUGGAGAUAACUUGUUUCAUCUCCCUUUCUCGCAGGGUGAUAAAUGGAAAAAAGUUGCACCUUGACUGUAGAAGCGGCGCCUUCUACCAAGGAAUCAGGAAAAUAUCAAACAAUCAAAGGUGAACGCAAGGGAAGGGUAUUGUCAAGUUACUAAAUAUCCACGAAAGUGAAUCCAAGAGAUGUUAGCACCCAAAGGAUGAAAGCGAAUGAAGGGUAACAAUGUAUUGUUUCCAACAUUUCAAUCCCUAAAGAUUUUUGCACUAACAUAUUCUCUCACAUUCUUUACAGGGUUACCGAGUCACCAAGCCACAGGUAAGUACCCUUCUUCUCAACCUUUUUAAAAAAAAAAAUGAAGAAUUUCCAUUAUAAAAUGAACCUUUGGUGUUUUCCUAAAGACAAGCACAAAAAUAAAAAAAUUGAAAAAAUAAUUUUCUACAAACUUUUUCAGCGUCAUUUUUAUCUCAAAAUUGUUUUCUCGUUUUGUGGGUUAUUCAUUUUAAAUCAAAUUUCCCUAUGGAGAUUGAUCUACUUAGAUGACCUCGGCAAAGUGAAAGAUAAAACGUUAACCAUGCCAAACAAGAAGUGCUUAGGAUGAAGAAAGGUAAGCUAUUUCCAAACACGUCCUUCAAACACUUUUGAGAGUUGAGUGUCCUUCAAACACUUUUGAGAAUUGAAUGAAAAGUGACAUUUUCUUAGGACGAAUUAUUCAUUCGCAUUGAGCGCAAAGAUCGAAAUGAUAAAGGCAUUUCCUUCAUCAAUCCCAAGCAUUGCACUAAUCCCUUGCUACCCCUUUGGGCCAAAUAAAUAUGAUCCUUCAAAGUACCCCUAUCGAGAACGACCCUACAUCGGGGCAACAUAGGAGGUUACAGUUGUGUUGUAGAGCGAAUGAUUGAGAAAGAUUCUAUUACUUUCACUUGCAUCAAUCUUUUGGCGAUAGCUUCAAAGGGAUUCUCAUCAGGGCUUGACUCAUCCCAAGGUGCAUAAGAGCAUUUCCUUCUCUACCCAAACAUUGAUACCCAUUGCUUUAACCAAUUUGGGCCUGAUUAUUCAUUUCUAAACCCCGAGCGGUGAUCAUCUCCCUUUACUGGGGCAAGGCAUAAGAAUUGACCAAAUACAACUGACAGUCACAAGAAAAUGUGAAAAACAUCUCAAAAGUCAUAAGAGCUACAAAAGUUCAAAGAGCAAAAAAGUUCGAAAAACUGGGGGGCAUGAAAAAGCAAUGUGCUUGGUAAAAGCAAGGCCAAUGCCUGUCGAGAAAAGGAGCCAAAAAGCUGCGUCUUAUAAAAUAAUAUUAAUAAUAAUAAUAAAUUAAAAAAAAAAACUAUUAUCAAAGUCCAAGUACAUGCGUAAAAAAAUCAUCGCAAGUGCAAAGGAAAUUAGAGAAAGGAGCAAAGCUCCCAUGCGGAAAUGGUUAGUAAAUGGACCUUCAAGAUGUGAUGUGUUCCAAAAGCCAACUACUUUCGAAAGGUCAAGUGACCUAGUCACGAUGCCAUGAUGAUCACCAGCUCCUCUUUUAAAAACCCUCUUGAAAAUUUUGAGCCUUUCGAGCUUUUCCCAAGCCAACAUUACAACCCUCUUCCGAAGUCUCUUCUUAUUGGGAUGGUUGAGUGAAAAUGAGAAUGCCACAAGGAAGCUACUGCUUGAAGGAGUGGAGGUAAUUCGAUCUUGUCUUAUCUUCCAAGUUCUCAACUUGUAAACACGAUGAACAUAGCAACAUAUUUUCCUUUACUGGCCUCAAAGCAAUGAUCCCUUUGUGUAAGCCCAUGACCAAACCUAUAUUGUGGUCCUUUCAAAAGACCUUUUUUAUCGAUCAGACUGUGCUCAUUGCAAAUGUUUCUAAAAGCCUUCGACAUAGGUUAUGUGAGAUACCCUCAGCAACCAGUUAUCUCCCACAUGAAUGGGAUCAAACUGCCAUUUUAUCGAGAGUGUGAGAAAUCCUUUCUGACUAAGAAGCUCUAGUUUGGCAUGAUUAAUGAGUCUUGUUCACGAGUCAUGGCCGUUCUGAUAAGAACUCGACUCCUAGAGAAUUUGAUGAUUAAUAAUACAUCCCCAAGCAAGAUAACAAUUUUGCGCCACAUGAUGCGGAUUGACAUCGAAUGUUUUUCUAAAGCAGUCAGACUUAGCUUGAUUAGCUUGUUCAAUUAAUGCUGUAAUAUUUCCAAUACUUCUCUUGAUAACGUCUCUAAUGACAUUUGCUCAAGUUGAGUUUGAUAGGAUUCCUCAAUGAAGCCAUGAAGUUUUCAAGGGGUUAGCGGGUGCUUCUCUAAAAACCAAAGGUUCAUGGUCAGCCUUAAACCAUGUCAUCUCCAAAGGUUCAUGGUCGGCCUUAAACCAUGUUAUCUCCAAAGGUUUAUGGUUAGCCGUAAAUCAUACCAUCUCCAAGGGUUCAUGGUUAGCCUCAAAUUAUGUCAUCUACAAGGUUCAUGGUUAGCCUUAAACCAUGCCAUUUCCAAGAUUGGUGGGUUCAUCCAUAAACCACAUUUGUCCGCAUCUAGUCGAAACUCGUUCGUACACGGUGAGACUUAUCUCCCAGUCAAAACCCGUUAUUACACGGUGAGACCUCAUUUCUCUCUUCUUAUAACCCGGAGAGUUUUGUAUCUUGGAGUCUUCUCUCUUCUUAUGACUCGGAGAGCUUUAUAUCCCGGAGUCUUUUCUCUUCUUAUGACCUGGAGAGCUUUGUAUUCUGGAGUCUUCCUCUCUUCUUAUGACCUAGAGAGCUUUGUAUCCCGGAGUCUUCUCUCUUCUUAUGACUCGGAGAGCUUUGUAUCAUGGAGUCUUCCUCUCUUCUUAUGACUCGGAGAGCUUUGUAUCAUGGAGUCUUCCUCUCUUCUUAUGACCCGGAGAGCUUUGUAUCCUAGAGUCUUCUCUCUUCUUAUGACCCGGUGGGUCUGUAGCCCGGAGUCUUCCAUUCUUCUUAUGACCCGGUGGGCUUCUAUAGCCCGGAGUCUUCCUCUAUUCUUAUGACCCGGUGGGCUUCUGUAGCCCGGAGUCUUCCCUUCUUCUUACGACCCGAUGGGCUUAUAUAGCCUAGAGUCUUCCUUCUUCUUAUGACCCGGUGGGCUUAUGUAACUCGGAGUCUUUCUUCCUCUUAUUGACAAGACGCACUUUCAUAGUUAUGAGUCAUUUCCGUCGACCUGAUACGUGCAUAUGCACCUAAGGUCUCUCUAUUGCUGAAAUAAUUUAAGUGUCUUUUGUCUUUGGUUGCUGUUCGUAGAGGGCGAUCAUGCCAGCUUAGGGGUUCUUAGGUGGUUCCUAUUGUUGCUUUGAGUAGUGCUGGCUUUUGCCUGCUUUUUCCUUGUUUGCCGCUACUUUGUUUAGCGGCUGUCUUUUGCAUUCGGCUCUCUUCCACUCAUUAUGACUUGUUGUCUCGUUGAGUGCAAGUUUUGUGGCGCCGGAUCUUGUAUAUAUUGUUGGUUUAAAACUCAAUAUAUUAUUACCGUUUACCAAAAAAAAAAAAAACAAAUGACACACAUAUUUCAAUUUUUCUGUUCACAACACGUUGAGUUACGUCAAGUUCGAUUUACUUUAACUACAAUGAACUAAAUUGGCUAAAUGUCAUCGACAUUUAGUCAACUCAAGUGGGGCCAGGUUGAAGUUUAGGAACAAAGCAGUUCUUUAAAGUUUGAAAUCUAUCCCCGUCAAUCUUAAAAAAAUAGAAUUACGCGAAAUAUCAUGUGAUUUGCUUGGUUUUGUCAAUGUCUUUUUUCCUUUGAUAGGAUUUCCAAUUAUAAAAUUAUUUAGAAUUAGAAAUUUUUUGUUUUGAAUGAGUUAGUCCAGUCAAAAAGAAAAUAUUGAGAAUUAAAGGUAGUCUAGUCAAAAAGAAAAUAUUGAGAAUUAAGGGUUCAUUUAUUUCACGAAAAAUAAAUAAUUUUUAAAUAAUUUUUCUAAAGAUUAUCACUUGUAUUGUUUGCAGAAAUGAUUAAACAUAAAUUACAUCAACAAUAAAUACAAUUUUGUUAUGAAUAUUCAUUAUAUUCAUCUUAUUUAAUGUACUUACUAUGGUAAAUUUGUAUCAUACAUUCUAAGUACAUCUCCCUAUACAAUGAACAUUCAUCUCCCCUAUCCAAUACAUGUAUCAUUCGAUACAUUGAUAUUAAUGAUAAUUACAUUCUUGUUCUCCUAUAAAUAGGAGUUUAGUUUUGAUGUACAAUAGAUAACAAUCACAAACACAGUGAAAUACAAUGAUACACUGGAAAUAAAACUCUCUUUUCUGGCUUUCUCUACUAUCUCUGGUGUUUACUUGCUUUCUCUUCUCAAUCUCUUUUCUAUUAUAUAUUCGCAACGUAAUAUUUUACAACACGUUAUCAGCACGAAGAUCUACCGACUAAGUAAGUAAGUUUUGCAAGGUGAGUAUUCUUUUUAUUAAUCAACUUAUACUUCAUCUUCUUCUAUCAAUUCUUCAUUUUUAUUUUUCUUGGCCCGAAGCCAAAUUUCAAAUCUAAAAGUAUCAUUCUGCUCCUGAAGUGGCGGUGGAUAUUUGGAAAUCCUUUUAAUUAAUAAGGAUUUAUUUUUGUAAGGAUUAUGGCAAAUAUUGAAAAGCCCAAAUUCCACAUCCUGGAAGUGAGUGGAAAGAAUUAUCUAUCCUGGUGCCUUAACAUGGAAAUGCAUCUCUAAGGGCAAUGUCUCGCUAAUACAAUCAUGGAGGAUGGAACCUCAAAUGAAAAGUAUAAAGCAAAUGCAUUGAUCUUUAUUAGCCGUCAUUUGCAUAAGAGCCUGCAGACUCAAUAUUUAUUCGUUCGAGACCCUCAUAUCUUGUGGAGGAGGUUAAAGGAUAGGUAUGAUCAUACCAUGACCGUUAUUCUCCCUCAAGCACAAUAUGACUGGCAAAAUCUCAGACUGCAAGAUUUUAAAUUAGUGUCUGACUAUAAUUCCGCUUUAUUUGAUAUCGUUUCUCGGCUUGAAUUAUGCGGUAUCAAACUCGUUGAUGCGGAAUUGUUAGAGAAAACUUUAUCCACCUUCCAUGCUUCAAAUAUUGUAUUGCAACAGCAAUACCGGCAGCGUUAGUUUGCCACAUAUUCUAAAUUAAUUUCUAUGCUCCUCACUGUCGAGCAAACUAAUGAAUUAUUGCUCAAAAAUCAUGAUCUUAGACCCGCUGGCUUAAAAGCAUUGCCUGAAGCACAUGCUAACUUUGAGAAAAAUACUAGCCAUUUUAAGGGCUAUAAGCGCAAGCAAGAAUAUAAUCCUAGAAGGAAUGGCAGGAAAUUUAACCGUCUUAUGAAAUCAAACUUUGGCCUAAAUCAUGGCAAAGAAAAGAAGCCAAAGAAGAUGAUUAAUGAAAGUAUUUGUCAUCACUGUGGUAUGACUAGGCACUGGUCACGUACCUGUCGUACGCCAAAACAUUUUGUUGAUCUAUACCAAGCAUCUUUAAAGAAUAUGGGCAAGCGUGAUGAAUCUCAUACCAUUGAAAUCAAUCCUACUGCCAUAACCACUGUUGAGGCCAACAAUAUCUCCGUUGGUGGGACUCAUCUUGCUCUUGAAGUAACAAAUGCAUCUUUGGAUGUCUCUAAUUUCUUUGAGGACCUCUGAUUACUUUGAUAAGGCAUCAGAUUGAUAGAUGAUAAUUUGAACUUUGAAUUUUAUGUUAUUUCGCUUUAAAUGUAUUACUUUUUAUUGCUCUUUAAUAUGGUUAUGAAAUGCUUAUGAAUAUUAUAUAAUAUUUAUUUUUGAAAUUUUAUUCGACUAUAUAACUAAUAUGCAACUUUUAUGAUACUUGACACCCGAAGUUGUCAAUAUAAAUGCAAAUGGAAAAUACCGAGAAAAAUAAAGAUGUUUGUUUGCUUGAUAGUGCAACAACACAUACUAUAUUUCGUAAUAGACACUUUUUCUCAAGUAUGACAUUGCGUAAGGCACAAAUCCAUACAAUAUCAGUAACUGUUCCGAUUAUUGAUGGUUUUGGGAAUGCCACAAUUAUUUUGCCAAAUGGCACCAUCUUGCAUAUUGAGAAUGCAUUUAUAAGCAUUAUAUCCAAAAGGAAUCUACUUAUUUUUAAAAAUGUACACCGUAAUGGGUACCAUAUUGAGACUAUUUAUGAGCAAGAUAAAAAAUAUAUUGGCAUUUCCUCUUAUAAGAUGGGUCUGAAGACCAUCCAUGAGAAGCUAGAAGCUUAUUCUAUGGGUUUGUAUUGUAUCAUGAUUAAGGUUGUCGAAAACUACGCCACCACAUCCUAGAGAUUGGUAAGCCUUGAUCAAUUUGGACUGUGGCAUGAUCGCCCUGGUCAUCCUGAUGCUUCAAUGAUGCGUAGGAUAAUUCAAAAUACAAAAGGGCACCAUUUAAAGGAUAUAAAGGUAUUGUUGUCCAAUGAUUAUAAUUGUGAGGCUUGCUCACAAGGCAAGCUCAUUAUCAAACAUUCCAUAACAAAGGUUAAUCUUGAGUCCCAUUUAUUCUUGCAAAGAAUUUAGGGUGAUAUUUGUGGACCAAUAUAGCUACUAAGUGGACCAUUUCGAUAUUUUAUGUUAUUAGUGAACGCAUCCUGUAGAUGGUCCCAUGUUUGCCUAUUAUCUACACUCAAUGAUACAUUAUUAUCAUAUUCCAGCUGCAAAUGCUCAAGCUAGGAUAGCUGUUCCCAAAGGACAGGCUAAAAUGGAUCAAAAUCCCCCGCACUUGAAAUGUGGUAGACCGAUAGGAUCAAUGAAGAUACUACUCCUCGAAAAUAAGGGGAAAGAAUCAGGAAUCCGCUCUAGAAGAGCCUGGUGUUGUGCUUGCUCUUAAGGAGCUUAUUGCCCUUGAAGAGGUGCAAACCCAUGAAAGGAACACCAAUCUCGGGAAUACUGACAAUUCCAUUAUAUAUUGUAAUGAAAUUUGGGAUCAAAAUGAAAUCAUCAUUGAUGAUGCUUUUGCAUUCUCAGUUGCUUAUAAAAUUAUGGAUGAUGAUUGUGAGCUGCAAUCUAUUAUUGAAUGCCGUCAAAGGCAAGACUGGCCUAAGUGGGAGGAAACAAUUAAGGCUGAAUUAGCUUUCCUAGCUAAACGAGAGGUUUUUGGACUUGUAACUUGUAUUUUCGAUAAUGUAAAGCCCAUUGGAUACAAAUGGGUAUUUGUUCGGAAACGAAAUGAGAAAAACAAGGUCGUCAGAUAUAAAGCUCAACUCGUUGCCCAAGGAUUCUCCCAAAGACCUAGGAUUGAUUAUAAUGAGACAUAUUCACAUGUAAUGGAUAUGAUUACAUUUCAUUUUCUCAUUAGCCUAGCAAUCUCUGAAAGAUUGGAAAUUCGUCUUAUGGACGUUGUGACGGCAUAUUUAUAUGACUCAUUAGACUCUGAUAUUUAUAUGAAAAUUCCCGAGGGAUUCAAAAUGCUUAAAGCAUGCACUCCCCAUAAUUUAUUUUCAAUAAAAUUGCAAAGAUCCUUGUACUGGUUAAAGCAAUCCGGUCGCAUGUGGUAUCAAUGCCUAAGUUAGUACCUAAUUAAGGAAAGGUACAAGAAUGAUCCUAUCUGCCCAUGCGUAUUUAUUAAGAAAUUAGAAUCAGGAUUUGCUAUUGUAGCAGUUUAUGUCGACGAUAUAAAUUUAAUUGGAACUCCAGAAGAGUUAUCUGAAACUGCUAAGUAUUUGAAAAUGGAGUUUGAAGUUAAAGAUUUGGGUAAAACCAAACUUUGUCUUGAUCUAGAGCUUGAGCAUAAAGCAAAUGGAAUAAUCGUCCAUCAAUCAGCAUACAUUGAAAGAUUGCUUAAAUGUUUCAACAUGGACAAAGCUCACCCAUUGAGCACUCUUAUGGUUGUAAGGUCUUUAGAUCCCCAAAAUGACCCAUUUCGUCCUAGAGAAUCUGAUGAAGAGAUACUUGGUCCUGAAGUACCAUAUCUCAAUGCAAUUAGGGCUUUGAUGUACUUGGCACAAUGUACGAGACCAGAUAUCGCGUUUGCGGUAAAUUUAUUGGCACGUUUUAGUUCUGAGCCAACUCGGAGACAUUGGAAUUGAGUUAAACAUAUUUUUUGUUAUCUCCGAGGAACCAUAGAUUUGAGAUUAUAUUAUUCCAAGGAUUCCACUAACUCUGGUUUAGUUGGAUAUGCUGAUGCUAGAUAUAGAUUUGAUCCACAUAAGGCUUGCUCUCAAACCGGGUAUUUAUUUUGUUAUAUCGGCACCGCUAUUUCUUAGCGUUCUACGAAGCAAUCGCUAGUAGCUACAUCUUCUAACCACUCUGAGAUUAUUGCUUUAUAUGAAGCUGGAAGAGAGUGUGUUUGGUUAAAAUUCGUUAUAACACAUAUUCAUAAUUCUUGUUGCUUAAAACCGGUUACAAAUUCUCCCACUAUAAUUUAUGAAGAUAAUGUUGCUUGUGUUGCACAAGUCAGGGGAGGAUAUAUCAAAGGUGAUAGGACCAAGCAUAUCUCGCCAAAAUUUUUCUAUACUCAUGAACUCCAAGAAAGUCGACAAAUUGAUGUUAAACAGAUUCAUUCCAUAAAUAAUCUUGCAGAUCUUUUUACCAAAUCAUUGCCAACAUCAAGUUUUGAGAAUUAGUAUAUGGCAUUGAUAUGCGGCAAAUUCACAAGAUGCAAGAUUGAUUAGCCCCAGAAGUGGCUAUAUGGCUCAAUUGAGGAGGAGAUAUUAUGAACUAUGCAUUGUAGCAUUAAUAUGCUGCGGCGAAUUCACAAGAUACAAAAAUGAUUAGCCCCAACAGUGGCUAUAUAUGCAUUGCACUCUUUUUUCUUUUUGUCCGGUUUUUUCCCACAGAGUUUUUCCGGCUUAAAGUUUUUAACGAGGCAAUUAAUGCAUCCAUAAAAGGGAGAUAUCAUAACAUUUGUGCUCUGCACUAUUUUUCCCUUUUGUCUGGUUUUUGUCCCAUUGGGUUUUUCUGGCUUAAGGUUUUUAAUGAGGCAGUAUCAUUCGAUGCACAUUCAUAAUGAAUACGAUGAAUAUUCAAGGGGGAGUGUUAUGAAAUACAUGAAUGAAUAUUCAUUAUAUUCAUCUUAUUUAAUGUAGUUACUAUGGUACAUUCGUAUCAUACAUUCUAAGUACAUCUCCUUAUACAAUGAAUGUUCAUCUCCCCUAUCCAGUACAUGUAUCAUUCGAUACAUUGAUAUUAAUGAUAAGUACAUUCUUGUUCUCCUAUAAAUAGGAGUUUAGUUUUGAUGUACAAUAGAUAACAAUCACAAACACAGUGAAAUACAGUGAUACACUGGAAAUAAAACUCUCCUCUGGCCUUCUCUACUAUCUCUGGUGUUCAUUUGCUUUCUCUUCUCAAUCUCUUAUCUAUUAUAUAUUCGUAACGCAAUAUUUUACAACAAAUUUUUCAUUGACUACUUAUUUUCAGUAAUACAAUUGAUCGUUUCUAGAAAAAUAAUUUUAAAUUAUUCAUUUUUUUUACAAAAUAAACGGAGCAUAAAUUAUUGAAUAUUUUCGUUGAAAUUUCUUUAUGGAUCUUUCUUCUGAUUUGAACCCGUUCCUGUUUCUUCUUCUUGCUUAAUUCUCCCCUUUCCCGUUUCAAAACUUGUCUAGUCUCAAAGAAAAAAUGGCAGGUGGCAACACCGCGUAUAGGAGAAUUUUGUUGACCAGCCUUUAGUAUAUUUGUUAAGUAACUAACUUGAAAAUUUUAGGAUCUGUAUGUUUGGGAUUAAGUAAAAAUAAAAAGUUUUUUUUUUUUUUUUUUGCUUUUCUCAUCAAAUUUAAAAUUACAGUUUUAAAAAAAUAAUGAAGCGAGUAUAUGCGAAUAUGCUUGUCAAUAAUUAUAUGUUAUGAAAGUUUCAAUUGCUUUGGGUUCAAAAAAAUUCAAAAUGUGUCUAUCAAAAGAUAUAAAUUAAGAAAAUAUGAAAAAGAAAAAGUCUAUCAGGAUACACUUUAAAAUUACUGAUGUAACUACUUAGAUCGUUUUAUGUGCCACUCAAACUUCUGAAAUUGAGCUAUCUCAUAUAAUACGUCCUUAACUAGUAUUUGGACACCCAUUAAUAUAACCAAAAUUGUAAUAAUUCCAUAUCUAUUAUGAUUGAGAUUUACAAAAUGCAAAUACUUAGUGAAGUAUUAUAUAUGACUCACACAUUUGGCUUAUUAUUUAUCACGUCUCUAAAUUUUCUGAGGGCCAAUAUGGAUAGAGUAUUACUUUUGACUCUUUUAAAAAUAAAAAUAAAAACUACUUAGCAAUUUGCACACUUUAUUAUCUUUUAUGAGUCCGAAACACCUGAAAUUUUCACAAAAUGAAAAAAAUUGAUUCCUAAGUCAACAUACGAUUUCCUACAAAUUUUUUUUAGAUUUGAAUACUAUUGUAAUAUUAAAUGGAAAAUAAAACAUUUUUAUUACCUUUAAUUGAGCUAAAACAAAUUGAUCCUAAAUCAACGCUAAUUAAGUGAAAGAAUCUUCUCCUUCGGAGGGAAAGAAUGUAGAUUCGUUUGCAAGUCGUCAAAUCCGCAAUCAGUGGUUUUUUGAACGGGGAAGCAUUAAGGUGUGUUUUUGGAUAGAAUAAUUAUCAUGUCUCUAAAUUUUCUAUAGGUCAAUAUGGAUAGAGUAUUACUUUUUCCUCUCUCUUAAUAAAUACUUAGCAAUUCAAACCAGGAACUUUCUUGGAUCCUCGACGUGGUUGAAGGGUUACCUGAUCAAGAAAAGGGAAUUUCUCCCCGGGGCCUCUUGCACCUGUCCUCAAUUUGUGGAGCGGGCUGUUAGAAUGUAUUCUUUAUUUUAACGUAUCAAUAUCCACACAUCUUAUAACUUUAUUAGUACAGCUCCUUUUUCCUACCCUAUUCUUAGGAGUAUCCUCCAAUCGUUUUACAUCUCAGGGAUUUUGAGAUCCGAACGAGACUUGAGGUGAACUCUUUCCUUUCUUUUAAUAAAUACUUAGCAAUUUACACACUUUAAUUAUUUUUAAUGAAUCCCAAACACUAGAAACUUUCACAAAUUGAAAAUAUAGAUGCCUAAAUUCACAUAUAAUUUUCUAUAAAUUUUCUUUUUUGAAAUGUGAAUAUUAUUGUAAAUGUUAUAUGGAAAAUAAAAUAAUUUUUACCUUUAAUUAAGCUAAAACAAAUAGGUCCUACUCAACACUAAUCAAGCAAAAAAAGUUUUUCUUUUUUCCUCAAUCUCCAAUGGAAGAAGAAGGGAAAUAAAAAGGAAAAAGGUAUAGCUGAUGAAGAAAAGAAAAAAUUCAAAAAAAUAUUAUAAAUUCAGUAAAAUAAAAAGAAUUUGUCAACAUUGGCGUCGACCACAUAUUGACAAAUCGUUCCCAAAAUUGAGUUUAGUCGAAUCUAGUCUAAUUCCAUCCGGUCUAGUUAUAUAUUAUUAACAAUUUUCUUCCCCCCCCCCCCCCCCGAAAUAUUAAAUUAUGAGAAAUUUGACUUCUGCCUAAUAUAACAUAAGAUCAAUGUCCGAAACAGAGACAUCAUUCGGAUUUCCCUACGGCUCCAGUGAGGCCCAAUUAGAAUUAUGCUAAUUGUCAACAUCAUUUUGUUUAUGGAAACUUUAAUAACCCAAAAGUUAGGUUUAUGUGCAUAAAGUCUGUGGUUUGGGUAGCCGUCAUUUCGCAUGCGACACUCGAGGGAUCCUGAUGUCAGAACAGUGACGUAAGGAUUUGCUGAACCUCUAGUCCCCCAUCUCGUUGCUAGCAAAACGUACGUCUAUCUCGACCGUCGUACGCAACAAGAAGCAAAUCUACCUGAAGGAAAGGAUAAAUGUACGAUGGAUCAAUCAACGAGAAGAGGCAAUAUCUUUCUGUUUGGUAAUAGACAAAGAGCAACCGAUGCUGGAUACAUUAAGCCCAAAAGCAAAGAUACUGUCCGAUGUUCACUUUGGGUUGGAGCAAAGGUGUUCGGUCACUUACAGGGGCCUCUACAACACUUCAUUCCUCAUCCCUGUUGUAGGAUUGCCUUCGGUAUUUGGGGGAAUGUUGGAUCAUCUCCCCCUGGGAUUUUCAAUAUUACAAAAGCCAGGUUGCUUUUCAUGCUCAACGAUCCUAAUGGCGAUUUAAUUUUUGACCCAUCAAUGAAGAAUCACAUGUACGGUAUGAGCAUGAUUCACAUUUCAAAGAAUAAACAAUUUACGGUGGGCAACUAUAAGUCUCUCCAUGAUCAUAUGUGCUUGUGGAAAACUACAAAGGAAUUUCCUACUUUAUGCGAUACAAUGUUUCGAGGAGUACGGUAAAAUCUUAAACAAAGACCUAAUAAUCCAUGAAAAAUCUCUAAAAUUUUAAGGGGGCGCUUUCAACUGCAGUAAUCAAAGCAUCUAUAUAAGCCAACCUGCCAAACGUUGAUAUCACAGACAGCUAUUGCACUCCACACUCUAAAUAAAAAAUGGAACGCUUGGUAGGAUUUUGUCUGAUCAUGCUGUUUCCGUUCUCAUUCCUCAUUGGAAUGCAAGCCCUUAACUCAUCCUUUUUCUCUCCUUGCUCUCUAGGGGCAGCUGCGCCCUGUCGUCCUGAUCAGAAGUCUGACCUAGUUCAGUUCAUGAAUGCGAUGGUGCCGAAUAAUUCGACAUCCUUCUUCUGUCAAAUGGACGACAUUUGGCUCAAUGAAAAAAAAAAUAUGGUUUCCUGGACGCUGACAGAGAUUGUUGCCUGUGGGACGGAGUCACGUGCGAUCAUAUGACAGGUCAUGUCAUUCGCCUCGAACUUGGCUGCUUGCCCCAAAACCCGACCUGCUAUUCUUCUGCAGGGUCAUCAAACAGCACUGAAGUAUCCACGUUGGGUUCCCUCAAUGAUUCUUCUCCUCACAAAGCAGAAAGUCCAUCAGAGUCGAAUUCAAACAUGCUGCUUCAAAAUUUGACCAAGUUAAGAGUCCUCAUUCUCGAUGGGUUAAACAUGUCUGGCAUUGACGUGAGUGGCUUGAGGAAUCUGUCUCCAUCUCUGCAAGUCCUCAGCCUCAGUUCCUGCAAAUUGCGCGGCACGUUAGCCGCCAAGAUUUUCCUUUUGCCAAAGCUGACAUGUCUCAAUUUAUCAGGCAACGAGGAGCUUGCGGGUUACUGACCUGUUGGGAUUAACGGAUCCCCAAAAAGCGGAUUCGACACUAAAUCGAACCCCUAAAACGAAUGCGGAAGACAAGCCCGGGAAAAUCACGUAUCACCGAUCCUAAAGCACACCACGGAUUCGAGCGUACCUUGUUAGCCACAUAUUAGACACCGACUCCGAUAAGAGGAAGAGAAUUUGUCCAUGUUCGAUCCGAUGACGACAAUUCGCUUGGAAGGGGAGAAGAAAGUUGCCUUGUACUUACUGUUUCUUCUAUUUGAGAGAGAGAGAGCGUUGGAAAGAGAGGGAGACGUACGUAUGUUAAUGCCAAAAGGUACGUUCUGCCUCUCUCUCCUCCCUUAUAUAUGUCCCUUCAAAAAACAAUUAAUCGUGCCCCUUCAUCCAUGGGCCCUACUCUUGUGGGCCGGGCUUUUAGGCCCAACAUGGGCGGACGGGCCUUAAGCCCAUCACUAAUAAAACUAUCAUCUCCCACUCGCACAUGGUGGGUUGAACAUGAUUCUCUUUACCUCUCUUCAACAUUCAUACCGAUGAAUAAUCCGUGCGACCAGCAUACUUUGAGAGCUCGUUGCUAUGCAUCUGUUAGGAAUAUAUAGCAGCUCAUAAUGGGUGUCUCACUCUGAGUAGAUUUAGUAUGCAGUACCCUAGAUCGAUCGAUCACAUUUAUAUCUAUCUUGAUCUCUUUUAAACAAUGAUACAUAUAUUGUAUUCACAAUUAUAAUUAUCACAAAGACAGUCAUAAUUGGUCGACCAGUGAAUACAAAACUACAAUGUGAUUCCCCAAAAUCGAUCUUCCUCUUUCCUUCAAACUCUCAAUUUCAGUUCAGCUUGUUUUUCUAGAAAUGUCUCAUUAGAUCGAAUCAACUCAUGACCAUUGGCAACAUUCUAAGAUAGCAAACACUAAAUAGAAACCUUGAGAAUAAGUAAAAGUCAUGAGGGCACUAAAAUUGAGGAACUCUUUUUCUCAAUAGUCUCACACGUCAUAAAAGUUGAGAUUAAACUUUUUGCCACUCUUAUUGGUCGGCUCAUGCAUACGUAGUAUGAAAUACAUAUUACGGUAUUAACUCAUUUCCCAUGGAGCGUAUGUCUACACCUUUCAAUACCGUACAGAUGAUAGUUCAGACAUACCCAAUGUCUAACUUGAGUUCACGUAUCUACUCAUUCACAAAAAUUCAUCAGAACUCACAUCUGGCAUUAUAGACAGAUAAAGUAAAAUAUGUGGGUUAUUUUACUUUCGGACAUAGUAAGUAUUAUGUCAUCAUCUUAACACUCAGUUAAGGCGACAUACGUAUUUUAAGCUUAAGCUCUCGAUUAUCACCUAGAUAAUAAGCUUUAAAACAGUCUAAUCUCUAUUUAUCACACAGUAAAUAGAGGCGAUUACCCAUGUGAGUGGGCUAAUCUUUUAUCUGCCCGACAUACUUUCUCAACUUAAAGUAAUGCACUGAGCAUUAAGAUGCAUAAAGAUCAAACAAAGAUUUAUAGGCAUUAAUCAAUGAAAAAACAAAAAAUCAUAAAUGUGAACAACUCAAGGAAAUUACAAUUCAGUACAUCAGACUCUACGCAAUCCUAGAGAUUUUACAUGACCACAAAACACAUCUCUAGGUAUUGGCUUUGUCAUAGGAUCUGCUACCAUUCUAUGCGUAGAUAUGUACUGUAAGUUCACAUCCUUUCGUGCAACCAUAUCUUUGACAAAGUUAUACUUGGUAUCUAUAUGUUUGGUCUUGCCAUGAUAUUUUGGAUCUUUGGUGUACGCUAUAGCUGCUUGGCUAUCACAGUUAACUAAUAAUGGAUUUGCAGCUUUCUCAAUAACACCUAAAUGAUCCUCAUCAAUCAUUGUAAAAUCAUAUGCCAUUACGGCAUUAUGAAAACGUAUAUACCAUUGUCUCGAUGACUGCUUGAGGCCAUAUAUCGAUCUCAAAAGUCGACAUACCUUUUCUUCUUGGCCUUUCACUAUGAAACCAGCAGGUUGUUCCAUAUAUAUUUCUCCCUCUAAUUCUCCAUUGAGGAAAGCAGUCUUUACAUCCAUCUGAUGUAACUCAAGAUCCAUACUAGCUACUAUUGCCAGAAUAAUGCGAAUCGAGGUAAAUCUCACUACAGGAGAAAAUGUAUCUUCAUAAUCAAUUCCUUCCUGUUGAUUAUACCCCUUCGCUACAAGGCGAGCCUUAUGCAUUUCUAUCGAGCCAUCAGCCUUUCGCUUUAUUUUGAGAACCCACUUGUUCCCAAUAGCUAUGCGUCCUUUUGGAAGAUCAACCAGUUCCCAGACUUGGUUUGAUUUCAUUGACUCCAUUUCCUCUUCCAUUGCAUGAAUCCAUUUUUCCUUACUAGGGCAGUUCAGAGCCUCAUUAAUAUUUCUUGGCUCAUCCUCAUCUUGUGGAGCAACCAUAAAAGUUUCCCCUUCAAUGUCAAAACGUCGACGGGGAAUACUUUGGCGACUUGUUCGCCGUAUGGGAGAUUAUACACUUUGCACAUCAUUCCCCAUUAUGCUCCCACUUGGAUUAGAUAAUGAUGACAUCAUCUCAUCAUGUGGUUGCAAUUGAGAAUGAGUUGAAUUCAAUUCAUCACUUCUCAUAUUACUCCCACUUGAACGAACUCCACUAAUAUCAUUAUCUUGAUCCAAGGUUUCAAAUAGGGAGUGAUUUUCCCCUAUUUCGCCAUUUUUAGGAAAUUCAUCCUCUAAGAAUGUGACAUCCCGUGAUUCAAAUUCAGUUAUACUCCCACUUUCCUGCUCACCUAUGAACACAUACCCUUUCGAGUGUUCAGAGUAUCUUAUGAAAAUACUCUUCUUUCCUCUGGGACCCAAUUUCCCAAAUUUGUGAGAGGACUCAUGUGUAUAGGCAGCACAACCCCAUGGCUUAAGAAAACUUAAGUCCGGUUUUCUACCUGUCCAUAACUCAUAUGGAGUGGAAGUAACUGAUUUAGAAGACACACGGUUAAGUAUAUAGGUAAGUUAGCAUGCACCAUCAUGGACCUAACCAUUUCCAGUAGGGUUCUGUUUCUUCUCUCCGCAACACCAUUUUGUUGAGGAGUAUAUGGAAUAGACAACUGUCUUUCUAUUCCUUUUUCAUCACAUAAUUUUCUGAACUCAUCAGAUAAAUAUUCUCGACCUCGAUCGGAUCUCAAUGCUUUUAUUUUCUUGUCUAAUUGAUUCUCUACCAGGUUCAUAAACCUUUUGAAACAACUUAUUGCUUCAGAUUUAUGAGAAAUCAAAUAGACAUAUCCGAAUCGAGUAUAAUCAUCUAUAAAAGUGAUGAAAUAAACAGCCCCAUGCCUUCCUCACAUUCAUUGGACCACAGACAUCAGAAUGGAUUAAAUGCAGAGGAAAUUCAGCUCUUUUACCUUUUCCAAAUGGUUUCCUUGUCGUUUUCCCUUCUAGGCAAUGCUUACAUAUGGGCAAAUCGACUUUUUCAAUGUUGCCCAACAAGCCCUCUUUGGCUAGUCUAUUCAUAUGCUGUUGGCCAAUGUGACCAAGUCUAGCAUGCCACACAUUCACAUCAUUUUCAUAUGUAUUAGGAGACGUGAGAAGGGAAUAACAAACAUUUGCAUUAACAUAAUCAAUAUCUAAUACAAUGAAACCAUCCAGAAAAUAACCACAACCAUAGUAAUUCGUAUUCAAAAACAAAUCCACACCUCUAUUAUAGAAGUUCAUAUUAAAACCUAAUUUAACCAACACUAAAACAGACACUAAAUUCCGACGAAUCUCCAGAGCAUACAACACAUCAUGUAGGAACAAAGUGCGUCCACCACGCAUAUUCAGUUGGCAUGUACCAAUUCAUUUCACUUCAGCUCUGGAGUUGUUUCCCACAUAGAUCCACUUAGUUCCAGUUGGUACUCGUCAGAAUUCCACGAAGGAUCCUCUAUCCUUCGCUACAUGGUAUGUCGCUCCUGAAUCCACAGUCCACAAAGGAUUAGACUCAGUUAAGAACACAGAACUCGACACAAAAAGCAAAGUUCUGAAAAGUACAAGGGGUACAUACCUUCUUUGGCUCACGACAGUCGCGAGCAUAGUGACCCUUCUUGUCACAGUUGUAGCAUUUCACCCUUGCAAGCUUUUUCAUGCGAGGACGCUUUCCUCUUUCAUGUUGGUUAAACUUGGGUUUCUUCCCUGAAGGACCUGCUUCCUUGCCUUUCCCUUUAUCAAACCAGUUAGGGCGUUUGCGCUUGGAGCUCGAAGCUCCAUGUGAGCUAGAACUAGCAUGAUAGAGUUCAGCAUCCGGCUUAGCCGCCAAGAGGCGGUCCUCUUCCAGCUCAAGAUGGCGCACUGCAUCCUCAAAAGUUUUGAUAUUUUCAUUAUGGGUCAGGUGCACCUUCAUAUGCUCCCAACUCUGAGGCAAGGAACGAAUCACUGCUUGCACUUACUGCUCAUCAGUGAGGACAUGGCCAGCAUCUUUCAGCUCAUUUAUCAUGUUUGACAUCUUUCUAAGAUGUUGCUUCAUGGUCUAACCAUGAGGCUUCUUAUAUGAGUCAAACCUAAUAGUGAGCUGUCUCAGUCUGGUCAUCGAAGUAUGACCAAAUCUAGCUGCCAAUGCCUCCCACAUUUCCUUGGCAUUGUCAAAAUGCCUAAACUCUCGCAUGACGUCAUUUUCCAUGCUACUCAGCAACGUGAUGCGAGCAAGAGAGUUCUUUCUUUUCCAUGCAGCAAAAGCUUCUUUAUCUCUCUUGUGCUGUGCAGUGUUUCCUUCUUCAGGUUCUACCAUGGUCAGGUUAAGAGCUUCAAGUGCCUCUUGCUCUUCCAGCACAUAUUGGAUUUUCAUGUGCCAUAUCUUAUAGUUGUCACCAUUGAGCUUUUCACCUUUGUUCAACUCGGCAACUAUGCUUUUUGUGGCUGAAGCCAUUAAUCUGAACACAUUAGACAUAUAUGCACGAAUUAGUUAAUGCCUAUCAUUUAUGCAUCCCUUUUGCAUAGACCCAUCAUAUUAAUAAACAAUUUCAAGUAAGGUUUCAGAAUCAAAAGGUCACUAAGUUUCCAAUCAUCCUCCAAAAAUCCUAACUUAAAACUAUCAUUAAUAUAAUUGUUUUAUGCAAAAUAAAUUCUAUGAAGUUACAAAAAACUUCUAUAACUACCCACAGCAAACUACCCACAGCAACCAGCAAUAACAAAAAGCAACAGAUAAUUGACAUCCAAUAAAACAAUAAUGCUUUCACAUAAUACAACUAACAUAUCGGUUGCUACAUCAACAAUAAUCAGGUAGUAAACAUUACAUAAGAUGUCCACAAAGCACACUUAACUAAGAUCAGACAAUACAUCUAACACCAAGUCAGCACACGAACUGAGAAAGAUCCUCUUUUGUUCAAUUUCUUGAUCUUUUCCCUUGUAAUAAUCCAGUAAUAUUCAUUUACAAAAUCCAUCACAAUUUUCUUAUAAGAAGCAGCUCUGUUGACAUCCCAUAUGCGAUUCAACACUCCUUGCCAUUCAGGUGGAAGGGUGUUCAUGAAAAAUCGCACCAUCUCUAACUGUGGCAUAGGACGACCAUUCCAUAUGACAUUUUGAACUUUCCCGUUGACUUCAAGGACGUGAUCAAUUAAGUCACUACUCUCCCAUCGAUGAUCCGUCAGCUCAGCUAUCAACUUAGAAAGCCUUUCCUUUUGUUCAUCGGUAAUUGCGCGAAUAGGUGUGCGCUGUUGGAGAAAUCCUCGUGAAGAGUUUUGAAGUUGACAAAAUGUUUCCAUCAGUCUAGUCUGAAGGUCAGCAGACUCUGUUGGUUAAAGUCUGAAGACUUCCGGACAGCCAGACUCAAGACUCAAAGUCUAUCCUCAUUGACAGUCACUGAUCCGUUGAAAAAAGGUUAUCCCGAACUGGAUGUUUUGUUCAGGAUUUAACCUUAUCAUCUGGAGAAGAUCUCGUGGCUGGAGAAGACGUAUCAGAAUCCUUUGAUUGAUCAAGAUUGAUUCAAUGACUGAAGAUUCGAUGAUUGUCUAAAUAUUAUUGGAAGGUUCUACUUAUGGAAACCGAGAUCCUGAUUGUAUGGGCGAACAGGAUUGAUGGGCUAUCAACACGUUCCUUUAAUAGCUCGAACGAUCUUCCUAAUUGAUUCCGUCCAACGGGUAGAUUGAAGGAAUUCCUUUGGAAAGUGCCAACGGGUAUGAUAGCAUAAAUGAGUAUAUAAGGAAGACGUUCUUAGUUGUUUAAGAAGAGUGUGCGAUAGAAGAAUUCCAAAGUCUGAAGCUCCUAUUUGUUUAGAUAAAUCUCUUGAGCGAAUACUUGUAUACAAAAGAGAGUCUAUAUUUGUGAGAGACCUUGAGGAGGUGUGAUAGAACAUCUACACUGUGGAAUCAAGGCAAAGCUGUGCUGUAACUUCUCUUUUGAUCAUAGUAAAAUCCAGCCGGUGGGCUGUCAGUGCGGAAGAGUGGACGUAGGCUUGGAAUAAGCCGAACCACUAUAAAUCCUGUGUUUGAUUUUCUCUUCCUUACUCUCUCUACAUCGAUCGUAUUUCAAUCUGUUGCUUCCGUAUAUCGAAAAAUUGUUUGUGCGCCUAUUCACCCCCCUCUAGGUGUUUAUACUAGCUAUAUCAAUUGGUAUCAGAGCCCGUGUACUUACUUUAUUUGAAGUGUUUUACUUCAUAGUAAAAGAUCCAUGGCUAGUAUGUUAGCACCAGGGCUGAUGGAAGGGCAAAGCAAUACCAGACCACCUUACUUUGAUGGAAAGGAUUACAACAUCUGGAAGAACAAGAUGAAAGCUUUCCUACGAUCAAAGGAUCCUCUGGAAUGGGACGUUGUAGAAAAAGGAAUUACUCCUACCACUGCAUCAGUCUCUGAAAGAGGAAAAGAAACUGAAGAAUCCAGCGGAAUGUCUCAGGAAGAAAUAACCAAGAGACAGACACUCGAUGCAAAAGCAAUUUAUUCCUUAUAUUGUGCUUUAUCACCAACUGAAUAUAAUAGAAUAUCUUCUUGUGGUACAGCAAAAGCAGUUUGGGACAGAUUGCAUAUCACCUAUGAAGGAACAGAUCGAGUGAAGGAAACAAGAAUCAACAUUCUUCUCGGUCAAUACGAAGCCUUCAGAAUGAAGCCAAGAGAAUCAAUAUCUGACAUGUUUAGUCGUUUUACAGAUAUUGUAAAUGGUCUUGAAAAUCAAGGUCAACCAACUUCUGAUCCCAUGAAGGUAAACAAGCUACUGCGUGGACUCUCCAAGGAUUGGAAUCACAUAAAGACUUCGAUAAGAGAGACGUAGAGAAUUAUGCCACUAUCUGUCGAUGAGCUGAUUGGAACUCUUCAGUCCUAUGAAGUGGAAAGGAUCAAUGAAGAUGAAGAUCCAAGAGGUAAGAAAUCCAUUGCAUUAAAAUCAAAUGAUGAUUCUGAUGUUACAGAUUCUGAAGAAGAUAUGGACGAUGAGGAGCUUGCUCUCAUGAUAAGAAGAUUCAGAAAACUAAACAGAAAAGGAAGAAGGUUCAACUCAAAGAAACAAGGCUUUCAAAGACAGCAGACCAAGUAUGUUGAUGAUGAGGAACCAAACAAAGAUGUAGUCUGCUUUGAAUGCAAGAAAAAGGGACACAUCAGACCCAACUGUCCUCUUUUGAAGAAAAAGAAAGGAAAAGCUGAAAAAUUUCGAAAAGCUCUCAAAGCUGAAACCUGGAGUGAUACUGAGUGUGAAGAAAGUGAUAAUGAAUAUGCCAAUCUAUGUCUGAUGGCACAAUCAGACUCAGACUCUGGAUCAGACUCAGGAUCAGACUCAGACAGUGAAUUUGAGGCAAGUAAUUUUAAAAUUCCUGUCAAAGUUUCUAAAUAUAUUGAGGAACUAUGCGUUAGUCUUAAGACUUCUCUCAAAAGUAUUUCCAAACUAAAAAGGGAAAACUCAGCCCUAAAACAAAAGGAAAAGGUUUUAGCAGAAAAGGUUAAAAGUCUAGACUUGUCUGUUUCCAAUCUUAAAGAAAGUGAAGAAAAUCUUUUAAAAGAAAAUGCUUUCUUAAAAACAGACUUAUCUAAUAUAUCAAAGAAGUUUUCUAUGGGAUCUGAAAAACUUGAGAAAAUUCUUUCAGCACAAAGACCUUACUUCAAUAAGUCUGGUCUGGGUAUGACAGAAGAAACAAUUCCCUUGAUUGAUUUUCCUAAAGUAAAAGAAAGAAUUAAGAAAAGGCUUUCAAGUGAGGUUUACAAAAAUCACUUCAAGAAAGUCUUUGUAAAACCUGUAGGUAGAAAUGCUCUCAGAUGUUCUAAGUGCAACAGUCCGGAUCACUUUGAAAAAGAGUGUCCUAUGGUAUGGAAACCUAUUAAGAAAGUAUGGGCUAAUACUGUUUAUCUUACUAACACCAAAGGACCCAAGAAAAUUUGGGUACCAAAGAAAGCUUGAGACUCUUUGUUAAAUGCAGGUCUCCAUCAAGAAACAGGUAAAGUGGUAUCUUGACAGCGGAUGCUCAAGACACAUGACAGGAGACUCAAAUUGCUUUAUAAAGCUUGCUCAAGUAAAUGGUGGAAAAGUUUCAUUUGGAGUAAACAGCAAAGGAAGUAUUGUGGGAUUUGGAACAGUGAAAAUUGGAACUCUCACAAUAAGUAAUGUUUCCUUAGUGGAAGGACUCAAUUACAAUCUUCUCAGCAUUAGUCAAUUGUGUGAUACUGGUUUCAAGAUCUCCUUUCAAGAAGGAACAUGUUCCGGUAUCAGUAAAAACUCUACUCAAUCUUUUCUGGGUCGAAGACAUGGAAACAUCUAUCUUCUGGAUGUGAAACCAAAUGAAUCGCAAUGCCUUAUCUCAAUUCAAGACGAAGCAAGCUUAUGGCACAAAAAGCUUGGUCAUGUCAACAUGAAGCAAUUAGCCAAAAUUUCUUCAAAACAGCUUGUUCGAGGACUACCCAGAUUGCCAUACCAAAAGACUGAUUCAUGCACUCCAUGUAUUCUGGGAAAGCAGAUCGAGUUGGUAAGUUUGAAGAAAGAUCAGAUGAAGGUAUCUUCCUUGGAUAUUCUACUUCAAGCAAAGCCUACAGAGUCUAUAACAAGAAGAGCCAGACUGUGGAGGAGUCAAUGAAUGUCAAAUUUCAAGACUCAACGCAAGAUGAAUCAAGUCAGACUCAUCAAGAAGAGUCUGAACCUGCUACAAACCCUCCAAAGUCUACAACUCAAGAAGCAUCUCAGACUCUGGAAAACCAGCUUCAAGAUGUUCGUGAAGAUCUAAACAAAGAAAGAGAUCAUCAACCAGACAAAUCAACAAGUAACUGGAAGCAUAAGUCCAGUCAUCCCAAAGAUCUUAUAAUCGGCGAAAUGAAUGAAGGAAUUCGCACCAGAUCCAAAAGGCGAGAAGAGUCUAGUGCCGUGGCACUCGUUUCUGAAAUUGAACCAAAGAGCAUAGAAGAAGCUUUAUCUGAUGAAAGCUGGAUUGAAGCUAUGCAAGAAGAGCUCAGACAGUUCAACAUAAAUGAUGUCUGGAAAUUGACAUCCAAACCUAAAGGUAAAACUGUUAUUGGAGCUAAAUGGGUUUUCAGAAACAAGAUGAACGAGAAAGGAAAAGUCGUACGAAAUAAAGCAAGACUCGUGGCCAAGGGAUAUACGCAAGAAGAAGGAAUAGACUAUGAUGAGACUUACGCUCCAGUGGCAAGGUUAGAAGCUAUUCGACUAUUACUUGCGUUUGCUUGUUAUAAGAAUUUCAGGUUAUUCCAAAUGGACGUCAAAAGCGCCUUCCUAAAUGGAUUUAUCCAUGAGGAAGUAUAUGUGGAACAACCGCCAGGGUUUGAAGACCCAAAGAAGCCAGACUCAGUCUUCAGACUGAAAAAGGCUUUGUAUGGUUUAAAGCAAGCACCUCGGGCUUGGUACGACAGAUUGAGUAAGUUUUUAAUUCAAAAUGGUUUUGUCAAAGGUAAAGUAGAUACGACCUUAUUUAUCAAGAAGGAAAACAAAAGUUUCUUACUUGUUCAAAUAUAUGUGGAUGACAUUAUUUUCGGAUCCUCUAAUGAGAAUCUGUGCAAGAAAUUUUCUAAGUCUAUGCAGGAUGAGUUUGAAAUGAGUAUGAUGGGAGAAUUAACAUUCUUUCUUGGUCUUCAAAUAAAACAAUUGAAGGAAGGAACUUUUAUUUAUCAAGAAAAAUAUGUGAAUGAUCUUGUCAAAAGGUUUGGACUGGAGAAUUGCAAAAAGGUCGACAUUCCAAUGUCAAGUUCUUUAAAGAUAGACAAAGAUGAAGAAGGGAAGAAAGUUGAUCAAAAGCUGUACAGGAGCAUUAUUGGAUCACUUCUUUAUCUUACUGCCUCUAGACCUGAUAUUUUGUUGAGUGUUUGCAUAUGUGCUAGGUUUCAAUCAGAUCCUAGAGAAUCUCAUCUCAGUGCUGCGAAACGCAUCAUUAAAUACGUCGCUUCAUCAUCAAGCAUCGAUCUUUGGUAUCCUAAGACGGGAGACUUUAAUCUUCUGGGAUAUUCAGACGCAGAUCUGGCCGGUUGCAGAGUUGAUAGAAAGAGCACUUCAGGAACUUGCCAGUUGCUUGGAAGCAGGACAGUGUCUUGGUUUUCAAGGAAACAAAGCACUGUGUCUCUUUCAACAAUAGAAGCAGAGUAUGUAGCUCUUGGAAGCUGCUGUUCGCAAAUUCUAUGGAUAAAACAACAGCUAAGAGACUUUGAAAUUGAAGACUCAUGCACGGAGAUUAAUUGCGACAACACCAGCGCUAUCAACCUCACCAAAAAUCCAAUUCUCCACUCAAGAGCAAAGCAUAUAGAGAUUAGACAUCACUUUAUAAGAGACCAUGUUCAAAAUGGAGAUGUUUCAAUUCAAUUUGUUGACUCAAAGAAUCAACUGGCGGAUAUAUUCACAAAGCCUUUGGAGAAAAAUCAAUUUGAGUCUAUAUGGACCAGACUCAAUAUUUUGAGGUAUGAGGUUAUCAAAAUCUAAAGACUUUCAGACUCAGGCGUACAAGACUUUAUCUACUGUCUUGGCUCGACCUUCAGACUGUAAGUCUUUCUCUCUCCAAUCUUAUCUUGAAAAUGUACGAUCAUCACACUGUGUUUAAAUUGUUGCUAUAUUUAAUAAAUAUUGCAUCGAUUCACUUUCAAAAGGGAAGUUAUUUUUAAUAACUAUUUUUGCGGAUAAAGACAGUUAUUUUGAAAAGGCAUAUUUUUAUUUCCUUUGUGACGGUUUGUUUACUCUUCUUUUUAACCGAACAAGCACUAUCGAUUUCUCUUCACUUUUCUACUCUCUCUCUCAAAAACCCUAGAAAGCAUCGAUCCUCCAUUCCCGUUUGUCUUCUUCGCUAAAUCUUCAAAAAGUUAUCAUCUUUUCUAGGAAAGUCAAGCUAGGAAACUUCCAAACUCUGUUAAAGAUGUCUUCUUCACGAAAGUCGUCAAGAAUCGCAAGCAGGGGACCACAGAGAAUGAGUGAGGGGCCUACGCACUUCGAUCUUACUGAAGAUGAAGUUUCUCCAGAUCAGCAACCGAGCCCACAACAUUCUCAGUAGCGUCAUUCUCCACCUUCUAGUCCUCAAGGCGUUGUUGAUCAGCAUCAGGAAGAAAUCAUCGAGGAGGCAGACCCCGUAAGAGUUCAAAAGCCCGCUUUUAUCUACAAACUAUAUCGUGCUUUAAAAGGAAUUCGUACUCCUUUGAACUAUGUUGAUGAUUUUGUUAAAGAAAAAGGAUAUAGGAACGAAUAUAUCUUUCUGAAAAGAAUGGAAAGUUUGGGAAUCGCUCGUAAAGGGGUGGCUGAGGAAACCCUUGCGAAUAUCCCAAGUGAUCCUCGUGACUGGGGGCCAAAUCCUGUAGAUGGGAAUGAUGAUGACAAUCUGUUCAGUCUAUUUCAACCGAAAAUGGGUAUUGCGGCUGAAAUUCAAGGAAAAAGGGGAGAUUUGUUCAGAUCAAAGGAACAAAAGGAUCUGUACUCGAAAUUGCUGAAGCGUGGGCUAAUAAACCCUAGGAGUGUGGACUUUGAUUUUCUGGAUGCUGUGAAAGUGAACUUGAGGGAAAAGUUCAGUUAUCUUCAACUUGAAAAGUUUUGCUCUGACUCUACUGAGGCUUAUACUGAAUUGACUGCAUAUUUCUAUUCAAAUCUUAGCUUUUUGGAUGCGAAUAGAUUCUCCUUCAGUGUUAAAGAACAAGACUAUGUUGUGGAUAUGAAUAUGCUGGCAGAUGUGCUAGAAGUUGAGAGAGGCAGAUAUCAUCCGAUUAAAGUUUCCAUUGCUGGGGCUACACUUGAACUAGUGAAAGACAGGAGAACAGAUGAGAAGAUCACUUACUCACGGAUGAAUGCAUUCAACAUCUUGCUUCACAAAAUUGUGAUCAAUUGCCUUCGGCCGAAAUCAACUUCCAAAACUGAUGUGUCAAGUUCUGAGGCAAAGUUGAUGUAUGCCAUCCUCUGUGGUAAGAAGUUUUCUCUCCCUCAUACUGUUAUGUUUCAUAUGUAUAGAGCAGUGAUGAAGGACAGAGGUCAACUCCCUUACCCAAGCCUUGUUACGAAGUUAUUCAGACAUCUGAAUAUUCAGCCUCCGCAAAUCUUUUGUGUUCGAUCAUGCGAUCAUAUGGUGGUAGGACUGAAAAUGGUAACCAAAAUGCGUCUGAAGGAACUGAGCAAGGAAUUGGAGAAAUUCAAGGAGAAGACUCCUACCAAAUCUCAUCAAUUCUCUUCUUCUGCUAAGAGAAAAGGGAAGGAGCCCAUGGCUGCUCCAUCAAAGAAAAGAAGAGCUCUCCUCGUUGAGGAUGAAGAUGAUGACGAUGACAUCACCAUCUCUGCAAUGGAUUUGAGGAACUUAAGUCAUCCUGUUCCACAGAAAGAAUCGGAACAAAGGUCGAAAGAAGCAGAGGAGAAGGAAGAAGAAGAAAGAGAAGCAAAGGAGAAGGAAGAAGAAGAAAGGGAAACAGAGCAAGAAGCAGAGCAAGAAAGACCUGAAGAAGAAAGAAGAGAAGGAGAACCUGAGGAAAUCUCUUCUCCACCUGUAGGCAUGAAAACAGGGGGAGUUCAGGAGAAAGGAGUGACAUCUUCAUUUCCAGAUGAAAGUGAAGGAGUUAGUCGUUCGCCUGCAGACCCAGAAGAUGUUUAUGCAUCUCAAUUUCCAGAGGAAGGUCAUGAAGCUUCAUCGCCCAACCUGCGAGAUUAUGCUGAUCCACCAUCGUCUGCUUUUACUCCAUCAGAACGAGCAGAAGCAAGUACUCAGACUGAUAAUGGAGCAGAUUUUAGCAGAAUCAUGGAUAUUCUCUUAGAGAUGAAAGGUCAGAUUUAUGCCUUGGGAUGCGAAGUUCAAAGCUUGAAGAAUGAAGGUCAAGCUUCUUCCUGUUCAUUAAAUGAAAAGAUGCAAGCCCUCUCUAUUCAGAAUCAGGCCAAUGCCAAGAGUGAGGAGGUUGUACAGCUAAAGGAAGACUUUAAGAGGCUGGAAGGCAUUGUUCAGUCUAUGGAAGAUUUCCAGCUUGUCCGCGUUCCCAAGCAAUCUUGAUUUCAUCUCAUCCUUUUUAAAUGAUGACAAAAAAGGGGAGAGAUGCAUGAUUUGAAAACUUUCAAUUUUUUUUAACUGUUUGUUGGAUUGUGUUUAACUGUCUGUUUGUUUUUUACAGACUUUGACUUGUGUAUGGAUAAGAACUGCCUAGACUUGGAUUUGACUGGAUUUGACUGCUUCUAUUUAUCAAUAUUGAUAUCUUAUGAAUGGCUUAAAUCAUAUAUUGGACUAACCUAUUUUCUGUGGUUGCAGAUUCUAGUGUUAUUCUAUUAGCCAUUUAUUUCCAUAAGAUAUGCAUAUGUGUUUGAGAAAUGUUUUGCAGGUCAAAGUUAUCCAAAUCUGCAGGAAGGUUUUGUCACCAUCAAAAAGGGGGAGAUUGUUGGAGAAAUCCUCGUGAAGAGUUUUGAAGUUGACAAAAUGUUUCCGUCAGUCUAGUUUGAAGGUCAGCAGACUCUGUUGGUUAAAGUCUGAAGAUUUCCGGACAGCCAGACUCAAGACUCAAAGUCUAUCCUCAUUGACAGUCACUGAUCCGUUGAAGAAAGGUUAUCCCGAACUGGAUGUUUUGUUCAGGAUUUAACCUUAUCAUCUGGAGAAGAUCUCGUGGCUGGAGAAGAUGUAUCAGAAUCCUUUGAUUGAUCAAGAUUGAUUCAAUGACUGAAGAUUCGAUGAUUGUCUAAAUAUUAUUGGAAGGUUCUACUUAUGGAAACCGAGAUCCUGAUUGUAUGGGCGAACAGGAUUGAUGGGCUAUCAACACGUUCCUUUAAUAGCUCGAACGAUCUUCCUAAUUGAUUCCGUCCAACGGGUAGAUUGGAGGAAUUCCUUUGGAAAGUGCCAACGGGUAUGAUGGCAUAAAGGAGUAUAUAAGGAAGACGUUCUUAGUUGUUUAAAGUGUGUGCGCGAUAGAAGAAUUCCAAAGUCUGAAGCUCCUAUUUGUUUAGAUAAAUCUCUUGAGCAAAUACUUGUAUACAAAAGAGAGUCUAUAUUUGUGAGAGACCUUGAGGAGGUGUGAUAGAACAUCUACACUGUGGAAUCAAGGCAAAGCUGUGCUGUAACCUCUCUUUUGAUCAUAGUGAAAUCCAGCCGGUGGGCUGUCAGUGCGGAAGAGUGGACGUAGGCUUGGAAUAAGCCGAACCACUAUAAAUCCUGUGUUUGAUUUUCUCUUCCUUACUCUCUCUACAUCGAUCGUAUUUCAAUAUGUUGCUUCCGUAUUUGAGAAAAAUUGUUUGUGCGCCUAUUCACCCCCCCUCUAGGUGUUUAUACUAGCUAUAUCAUGCGCAACCUGAGGGGAGGCAUAGUUCGUGCAACAAAUGCAGAACUAUUCCUGCAACAAAUGCAGAACAAAUAAGGGAUUACAUAUAAUCCACAUAAACUUAAUUGAAAAAGAAACAUAUUCUUUUCCCCUUCUUUUUUUUUUGGUCAACGGUUGUCGGUCAACGGUCAACGGUCAGGUCGCCGGUCGUCUGACCGGUCGGGCUGGGUCGGACGAACCGACCACACGUGCCGUGCGCAUGCGCGGGCUGACGCGGGUCGGGUCGGGUCGCCGGUCGAGUCGUCGGCCGGUGACCGCCCGGCCAACCGUCGUUAGCGCUGACGUCAUCCCAACGGUUACCGACCGUUGGGUGACGUCAGCACACGUCGGUCCGCCGACCGGCGCAUGCUGGUUCGCCGCCGGCAUCGCGCACAUGCCGGUUCACCGACCGGCGCAUGUGACGCACGCACUGGCCGAGCCAGCGCUUCCGGCGCGUGUGGGCGCGUGCGGGCGCGUGCGACGUCUCCCGGCAGUGCACGACAUGUCGCCGGACUCGUCUCGACGAGCCCUUUCACCCUAUGCCUUCAGAAAUCGAUUUUGAGUUACAGAAACUCGAAAAAACGGACGAACAGUGCUCGGGUGUCGGUAUUUUGCGCCCCGAUCCGUGUCGGCCGAAAAUUUUCGCGAAAAUUCAAUAAAAAAACAUGAAAGGGGUCGGGAAAACAUGAACUAGGGCUCUGAUACCAAUGUUGGGAUUAACGGAUCCCCAAAAAGCGGAUUCGACACUAAAUCGAACCCCUAAAACAAAUGCGAAAGACAAGCCCAGGAAAAUCACGUAUCACCGAUCCUAAAGCACACCACGGAUUCGAGCGUACCUUGUUAGCCACAGAUUAGACACCGACUCCGAUAAGAGGAAGAGAAUUUGUCCCUGUUCGAUCCGAUGACGACAAUUCGCUUGGAAGGGGAGAAGAAAGUUGCCUUGUGCUUACUGUUUCUUCUAUUUGAGAGAGAGAGAGCGUUGGAAAGAGAGGGAGACGUACGUAUGUUAAUGCCAAAAGGUAUGUUCUCCCUCUCUCUCCUCCCUUAUAUAUGUCCCUCCAAAAAACAAUUAAUCGUGCCCCUUUAUCCAUGGGCCCUACUCUUGUGGGCCGGGCUUUUAGGCCCAACGUGGACGGACGAGCCUUAAGCCCAUCACUAAUAAAACCAUCAUACCGAAUCAACUUGGAAUACUCUGAAGGUUUUGGACUUGUCCUCCACGGGCUUCUCUAGAGUAUUACCAGAGUCCAUCGGCGACCUUCAUUCUCUGGAGAUACUCUGGCCAUACGAUUGUAAUUUCAAUGGCUCCAUUCCAUCAUCACUCGGUAACCUGAGACGACUCACCAGAUUGGAACUCUCAUUCAAUGAGCUUAGUGGUCAUGUUCCUCCAAUUCUGUCCAACCUUGAUCGGCUCACUCUGCUUGAUCUUGCCUCCAACAAUUUCGUAGGUUCAAUACCCGAUGUCUUCGACAACAAGACACAACUUCAACAACUGCUUUUCUUACUUAACCACUUCGUGGGCCCCAUUCCUCCGAGCAUAAAAAAUCUUUCCAAUCUAGCCCGACUCGACAUUUCCAAUAACCCCAUUGGGGGGUCUAUAGCAUCAUCACUGUUCUCUCUUCCGUCCUUGACGAGCCUAGACCUCAGUAAAAAUGGGCUCAGUGGUCACAUAGGCAAGUUCUUUGCUGCACCCUCAUUAGUUCAUGUUGACUUGAGUGGUAAUCAGUUAAGUGGCUCAAUCCCGAGCUCGAUUUUUCAGCUGGGGAACCUCACCUACUUGAGUAUCUCAGGAAAUAACCUGACUAGUGUUUUAGACCUACAAUUGCCGUCGGGACUCAGAAGUCUAGCAGAUCUUGAUCUUUCGAACAACAUUUUGUCACUGAGCAAUAGCAAAAUUGUUGAUUUUGUCUUGCCGCAACUUUCAAAAGUCAGUCUUUUAGGGUGCAAUAUUACUGCAAUCCCUGCAUUUUUGAGUAAUUCAACCAGCGUGGGGUGGAUAGCCCUGUCGCGCAACAUAAUCCACGGUAAUAUCCCAGCAUGGAUGUGGGAUGUUGGGACCAGGUCAUUGUCUUAUCUCAAUGUGUCUCACAACUUCCUCACUAGCUUUGAACAAGUUCCAUGGGAAAAUCUUAUAAUUUUUUACCUGAAUUCGAACUUGAUCCAAGGGCCAUUCUGCCGCCAUCACUCCCGAAUUUGGUUCUCAUCUUCUCGCUGGCUAGCAAUCGAGUGACUGGCUAUAUUCCUGGCUCUAUUUGUGAAAUGAAGGGCCUACAAAUUCUUGACCUCUCUGGCAACAAUUUCACUGGAACAAUGCCUCAAUGUCUAGGGAACAUCAGCGACAGCCUUUUAGUGUUGGAUCUACAAGAAAAUGGACUUUCCGGCAUUAUCUCACUCACAUUCGGCAAAAAUGCUAUCCUGAGAAGUCUUCACCUCAAUGGAAACAAAUUUGAAGAUCUGUUGCCGCGCUCUGUAAUCAAUUGCACGCAACUUGAAGCGCUAGUUCUCAGUGGUAACAAGUUGAACGACACUUUCCCAAGAUGGUUGGAAACACUUCCUAACCAGCGGGUCUUGGUCUUGCGAUCAAACAGACUUCACGGCUCCACAGGCAACCUCAGAACUGAAUUUCCCUUUCUGCAGUUGCGCAUUCUUGACCUUUCCUCCAAUAAGCUCACCGGUCCUUUGCCCAGCACCUANNNNNNNNNNNNNNNNNNNNNNNNNNNNNNNNNNNNNNNNNNNNNNNNNNNNNNNNNNNNNNNNNNNNNNNNNNNNNNNNNNNNNNNNNNNNNNNNNNNNGACGAUGAAAGGACUUGAAGUGCAUCUCCCUAAAAUCCUAGUGACCCAAACGACCGUUGAUUUAUCAAGCAACAAGUUCCUGGGAAGGAUUCCGGAUGUAAUAGGAGAGCUAGGAUUAUUGAAGGGGCUCAACCUUUCUCAUAAUAAUCUCGAAGGCCAUAUACCAUCAUCUUUGGGCAACCUUUCCGAGCUUGAAUGGCUGGAUCUUUCUUCAAAUGAUCUUAGCGAGGCGAUACCAAUUGAAUUGACAAAAAUCACAUUUCUGGAGGUCCUAAAUGUCUCUUGCAAUCAACUAAUAGGAUCGAUUCCUCAAGGGAAACAAUUCAACACAUUUCAAGCCGAAUCCUAUGUUGGUAACCCAAGAUUGUGCGGGUUUCCAUUGUCCAAAUCUUGUACAGAUUCCAGGGUGCCGGGGAAGCUUCCCGUCCUACCUGAAGGUAGGAUCCACUCAUUCUUUGCAGAUUUUGUCAAACCAGAGGCUGUGGAAAUAGGAUUAUUAUGUGGCAUAGUGGUCGGACUAGUCAUGAGUAACUCGCGAUAUCUUAGAUCCUUUUGGCGAGCAAAGAGGGAAGUUAGAAAGAUAGCUAGGAAACAUAUUUCUCCAAUGGGGCCUUCAAACGACACGACAUAUUAGCCAUGGUAGCGGAUUAGUGUCGCCUAAAAAAAAAAAGAUUUAUUAGUGCAAAACAGUGUUGCCCAAUCGUGUGAUUCGUUCACGCGAAUGGUGAAUCUUAAGACUAUGUAAAAAGUUACGGAAUAACUCCAAAAAAUAAUAUUCCAUACAAAAAAGGUUCAUUGAAUGUCGGAAAAACACAAAAAAGAUGAUAAUCGUAAACCCCAUCUAAGCUAGGAGCCUUCGUCGUCGUUGUUCAUUAGAAAAAUCGACACCGGCAACUCAGUUGCAAGCCAAAGAGUAACGUUGGAGACGUUAAUAGAUGUCAUCCUAAAUAUAAUUCAUGGGGCUGUUUCACAAAUCACAAGUUAAGAGACUCAAAAGUUAUCGUGGGGGAUAUAUGAUGAAUGAUUGGGAAGAACAAUGAAGUCAAACUUUAAUGUGUGAUAUCACUUUCUUUAAAGGAUUAUUUGCCCCACAACGUUGUUAAUGGUCACUAGAAAAUUUCCUCUGAGUUACAACACAGCCUCGAUUGAGAAUACUAAAUAGUAAUUCUAGUGUUUGUCCAGAGUAUCUCAAGAGAAAUAAUUAAAAUGAUUGAUGUAUUGUUGGAAAGAAAAAAUCAAAAAGACUUCGGCUCCGUUCGUUUCGCAGAAAAUGUGGCAUUUCUGGAAAAUAUUUUCUAGAAAGUCAUUUUCCAGGAACAUGUAAUUAUUUUCCAGUGUUCAGAUGAAGUCUGAAAAUGAAGUGGAAAAUAUUUUUCGUUGUUCGGUAAGGAAAAUAUUUUCCUCCAUAUACUCUUUUUCGUUUAUUUUAUUUUUUAAAAUGGAUUUUCCACAUUUUUUAAAAAUUUGAUUUUUAAUUAUUUUAAAAUUUUAAAAUCUAUUAUUAAUUUUUUUUUCAUUUUUCAUUUGCUUUUCUUUUUUCUUUGUUUUCCAUCUCCUUCUUUCUUAGCCAGUCGCCGGCCACGAUGAUGACUUGCGACCAGCCAUUGGCGAGCCUCGAGCUCGCCGACGAGCACGAGGCUUGCCGCUCCCCAAAUUGGCAAGCGCGAGCGUCAAGCUCGAGACUCACUAGAUCGACAAGCGCGAGCUUGAGAUCGACAAGCUUGAGGUUUGCCUAGCGACGGCCGAUGACUAGCCAAGAAAGAUGAAGAUGGGAAGCAAAGAAAAGAAAAGGAAAAAAAAAAAUAAUAAAUAGAAAAUAAAAAGGAAAUUAAAAAUAAUUCGAAUUAAAAAAGAAAAAGAAAAUUAAAAAAUAAUUCAAAUAAAAAAAGAAAAGAAGAAGAAGAAAUUGGAGAAGAAAGUGAGGAUUUGUAAAGGUGUGGGAUAAAAGAGAUCAAGUGAGGAAAAUGUUUUCCACUUUUCAAAAAUGAAAAACAUUUUCCCCUAAUUUAGAACACUUUUUUCCUUUCAUGGAAAACAUUUUCCCUAAGGAAUUCAUUUUCUGUGAAAUGAAUGCCGAAAAAUCCGGAAAACGUUUUUCUGGAAAUUGCUUUCCACGAAACGAACGGAGCGUUCAUUUUCAUUCAUUCUAAAACUGAUGUACUUAUCUCAGUCUUAAUGAGUAGAGGCAACCCUUCAUAAAAUGUUGCAAGUGAAUAGGUAUGUUUUUAAAGGUUAUCUUGAAAAUACAUAUAAAAAUUCGAAAUAAUAAAUAAUAAUUAAUUUUUUAAUAAUUCCGAAUUUUAUCAUUUCUGAAUAUACCGAAUAAACAAAUACAACCUUUCAAAUAAAUCCUUAAAAUUUUUGGGAAAAAUAUAGCUUCGAAUUGGGUAAAACAAUAAAGUCGAAUCUUUAGAGUAAUAAAGUCCGAUUUUGAGACGAGAUAUCAAUUUAUUUGCCCUACAAAGUUGCUAAUAGUCACUGGCAAAUUUCCUCCAGGAUACAACAAAGUCUCAAAUGAGAAUACUAGAUAGCAAUUCUAGUAAUUCUCCAAGGUCUCUCAUGGGAAACAAUUAGAAACAAUGGCUGUAGUUUCUUUAGAAAGAAAACGAAAAAAUGAAAGAAGAUAUUAGUUGGAUCUCAAAACAAACAUACUUAUCUUUGUCUUUCGAAUAGAGGCAACUCUUCAAAAUGUUGCAAAAAGUACAAAGGCAACCUUUCGGGAAAUGUUGCAAAAUGAAUAAGUACGUUUCAAAUGUUACGUUCAAAAGACAUAAAAAUUUCGGAAUUAAAUAAAUAAUAAAUAAAAUUAACCGUAACUUUUUGUGAACAGUCGCACUGUUUCAACAAGAUUUUAUAGUUAAUUUUUAUAGAAAUAAAUCCAAAUUUUUCCAAUAAAUAAAAAUAAUGAUCAUUGGUUAAUGCCAAAUCUCGUCCACGUGCGCACUCACAUCUUUUCGAUAUGGGACAAGGCAUCUCUUUAUUUGUUUUAUAAACAAAUUACCAACAAUCCCCCACUUUUGUUUAUAAAACAAAAACAAAAAAUAAAACUUCGAAAUAUAUAGCCAAAAUUUCCUUGAGAUUAAUAUACAUACAUAAAGGUCUCUUUCGAGUUAAACCUUUACUUAGUGCAAGUAUCUCAAAGCUCUAUCAAAGUGACAAGUAGUUCGGCUUUAAACUUGUACUUUUAUAUAAUAGAAUUGGACAUACCGCACAUAUACUAACAUCUUGUUUCAGCGAGAAGUUCUAUAUUACUCCGCACUAUUAUGGCAUUGUGCUUGAUCUUGUUUCAUGAGCUCUCUAGAAAGCAACCCUAACUUUUGUAAGAAGCAACACCACUUCUAAGCUCAUAUAGGUGAAGUAUCUACUAUGUGUUUCUGUUACUAUCAACACAUUACAAGUUUGUACUAUACUUCAUUAAGAAUUCAAUUCAACCUUCAAAACGUAACAGAUGAUACUGACUUCUCAUAUCAGGGCUACGUCAGUAUCAAACAAUCACAUUCAGUAACUUGUUUUUACCCAUUAAACCUUGUAACUAGUGAUGUUCUAGAAAAAUGUCAGGUUACCAUUAUUGGUGAUUUUAAUUAAAGGGUUCCAGCCUCGUUUCUUAUGAGGUCAUUAUUACCAUGUCUCUUGAGAAAGCCUUUGUUGAGGGAUCGAUUGACCUCACAUAGACAAUUAUUAUAGUACCAUCUUUAAUCAAUUGUCUCAUAUACUCAUGUCAUAGACUAAUAUGUCUAGACUUAUCAUUAUAGGUGCUACUAUAGGCUCUUGCCAAAGUAGCUUGACUAUCAUAACGGAUAGAAAUAGGAGGCAUAGGACUAGGCCAUAAUUUAAUAUUCAACAAUAAAUUCCUAAUUCAUUUGGCCUCGUUCCCAGUUGCCACUAAAGCAAUGAAUUCAGGUUCUAUCAUCAAGUAAGUUAUGUACAUUUGUUUCUUGCUCGUCCAAGAAACAACACAUUCAUGUAAUGUGAAAAUCCAUCUAAAAGUUUCAUCUCCCACACUUAUAACCCGACUAACAUCUGUGUAUAAUUUCAAUACAACUGAAUAAUUAUUAUAGAACAAUCCCAAAUUUAUAGUCUUCUUAAGAUAACCCAAUGUUCUAUACUCGGACUACUAAUAUACUUACUCAACUUGCACAAUAUCAAGUCUAGUAUAAUGCAUCACAUACAUUAAAGACCUUAUAGAACUAGCAUAUUUAAAUUGUGCUACUGGUCUACCAAUAUUAUAAUUUAAUAAAAUACUGGAAUCAAAUGGAGUAUUCAAUUCUUUGAAACCAAGAUGUUAAAAUUUUAUUUAACAUCUUUUCCACAUUAUCACUUUGGCUCAAAGAAAUAACCCCCACUAUGUUUUUAACUUUAAAGCCUAAGAUAGUAUCUACUUUACUCAAAUCUCUCAUUUUAAUAAUGAAAGUUAGAUACUUCUUAGUCUCAAUGAUUCCAUUUAUAGUAGUUCCAAAAUAAGGAUAUCGUCAACCAUGGCUCCAAAGAAAUCACAAAGAUAUGCUUAUUUGGCUUCCUUCUUUUUGUCUCAGCCGCCUCCUCCUUUCCCUUUUGCAGCUUUGAAGCCUCGGAAGAACAUUUGAGACAAGAAACAAGGGGACCAGCAAAUUAAGAAGCGAGCACAACCAAGCAUUGUCAUGAAGCAUUGGUCGAAAUAAGACAAGUUUUUUUUCUAGUUCUUUCCACGUGAAAGCCCCAAAAACAUUUAGAAUUAUCAAUCCACUCAUUGAUGCCUGUCAUGGCUAUCGUGACCACUGGAAGCUGUAAGGAAGCAUUAAUGACAGCAUUCUAACACAGAGUCUGCCCAUGGGAAGUGGACCUUUUACACUUCUCAAAUCCCAAUUUACACUACACUCAAAAAUUGGGACUUUGUCAAUCAUUAACCAAAAUCCUUUGUCCACUUUGCAUGCCAAGUUUUGCAUAUAAUCCCCUUAUCUUACGUCCUUUAAGGCUCUUGCACACAAGAUGUUAUGGCGAUAACAAUGUAAUAAAUAAACAAAAUCUUCCGAAGCUAUAUCAAGGAACCUCCUCUCCACAUGAAUUUCCACAUAACAUAUUUACCAUAUCCAUUGGUCAAUUAAGGACCAGCCACUCAUAAACUACACAUGUGACACGAUACCUACGGCUUCCUUGCCUCUUCUGCAUGUCUUACGUGGCAUUUAGAAAGAACCACAAUUUACACAGACUGAAAGUAAUAUCAAGUCAACCCAUUUAAUAUUCUAAUUCUAAGCUCCUACAGCAACCCAAGCAAUUGUAGGAUUCCUAUUACACAUGCACAUAAAAAAGCAAUGCAACCACAGGGGAAUAACCACCGUUCUUAUAGAUAUGACAACCUAAUGUAAAAGUAAGAGCAGAAUGAUAAAAAUCAGCAUAUAGUUUGUAUUCGCCAAUCGGGGGAUAAAACCAUACAUUGAUGAACCCAGAUUAGAGACCAAAUUUAUGAAAUAUCUGUCAAAGAUGUGUGCAAUCACUGACACAAACUCGAAUAGAGCCGAUUCAAAUCCAAUCUAAAACAUGCCAUGUUGUUUCCUUUUCUCAUUAAAAUAGACUGUGACAAAGCAGUAGAUAUUACCUUGUUAAUAGAUUGGCAAGAGGGUUGAUGGCAAAAGCUUCGGUUAUCAUUGACGAUUGGAAUCACAGCCAAAAAUCUCGACCGAGAUCCAGUCGCUUCAGUUUCUCGGUCGUGAAGCAGAGCAAAAUAGAGCACGCUUUAUGUUUUCUCCGAACAAUUGCUACACUUCCCAGUCAGUGAUACUCGGCCAGUAUCACGGAAGUAAUUGAUUCUUUCCCCGCCCCGCACUGGGUGACCUUGCAUCACGCACUCGGUCAUUGCUGGAGGGAAGAAGGCCCUACGGUCUGACUUCCCAAACCCAAACUGACAUUCAGAGAUUAAUGGGGAAGAGAACCGUGUGUAUCCUUCAAUUUUAGCAAGAAUCUGCUAUCCUCCAAAUUCCUCAAUUUACAUGAUCCAACUGUGGGGGUUCCAUAUGAAACGUCAAUCCCUAGGUCUUGAAUUUCUAGCCACGAAGGGUGAUUCAGGAACUGCACUUCGCUCUUGCGCUACGCGAUGUUGGUAGCGUAGCCAUGGUUGCAGUUGUUGAUCUAACGAGCAAAAUUUGAGUCUCCAAGACCAAAGACAAGACCAAACAGGGCAUCCUUUGUGACGGUCGAGUGAACAGAAAUGAUACGCACUCCUAUGAAGGCAACGAUUGGCAAUUAAGAGGUAGGAGGGAGUUUGAAGGAAAUCACCGAGAAAGCCACUCCAAAGUUCCAUUAGUCUAAGCCACCAAUGCCCUCUACCCUGAUCUCUUAGUAUCUCCAUAGUUCGACAAAUGCCGCCAAUUCUCAAAUUUGGCGGUGUAAGGCCGCCGUUGGAAGUUAUGUGCCAAUCCGGGCACGAAUUGGCGGUGUAAGGCCACCGUUGGAAGUUAUGUGCCAAUCCGGGCACUUGACGUCACCUGUGGAAGAUCGAACUUGAAGUUUACUCUGGGCCAUCUCGCACGCCUAGGUUUGCUGAGUUCGAGACCAUUCGGGGUUUUCAGCGCUAUGAGCGAAAACCUCUCGUACCCCCACAACUGCACCAGCCUAAACAGCCCUCAACAACCACGGUGACAAGAAAGUCGCGUGCUCGAUCUUUGCUGCCGUGGAAUGAAGAAGAGGAUGACAUUUGCAUUUUGCACAUCCCUUGCUUAACCCAUCAUCAACCGCAUCCUUAACUCCAUUGGUGCACAAAUAAAUCCUUAAAAUUGUUGGGAAAAAUAUAACUUCAAAUUGGGUAGAACAAUAAAGUCGAAUCUUUAGAGUAAUCAAGUCCGACUUUGAGGCGUGAUAUCAAUUUAUUUGCCCCACAAAGUUGUUAAUGGUUACCGGCAAAUUUCCUCCAGGAUAAAACAAAGUCUCAAAUGAGAAUACUAUAUAGCAAUUCUAGUAAUUCUCCAAGAUCUCUCAUGGGAAACAAUUAGAAACAAUGGCUGUAGUUUCUUUCGAAAGAAAACGAAAAAAUGAAAGAAAAUGUUAGUUGUAUCUCAAAACAAACAUACUUAUCUUUGUCUUUCAAAUAGAGGCAACUCUUCAAAAGGUUGCAAAAAGAACAAAGGCAAUCUUUCGGGAAAGGUUGCAAAAUGAAUAAGUACGUCUCAAAGGUUACAUUGAAAAGACAUAAAAAAAUUCGGAAUUAAAUAAAUAAUAAAUUAAAUUAACCGUAACUUUUCGUGAAUAGUCGCACUAUUUCAACAAGACUUUAUAGUUAAUUUUUAUAGAAAUAAAUCCGAAUUUUUCCAAUAAAUAAAAAUAAUGAUCAUUGGUUAAUGCCAAAUCUUGUUCACGUGCGCACUCACAUCUUUUCGAUAUGGGACGAGGCAUCUCUUUAUUUGUUUUAUAAACAAAUUACCAACAAAAACCAAUUAAAAUUCUUUCAAUUAUCACUCGUGAAUUUCUUGCUUCAUCAGAUUGUAUGAGGAAAAUUACUUUUUCCCAUGCAAACGUGUCAUUUUGUUGCAGACGACACACGUAUGUGAAAAAAUAACAAGGGCAAAUAAACAAGAAGACUUGAAAACAGCAUCAGCCUUCACGGAAGAAUCAUGCAAAUGAGAGAAAUCGAGAACGAGAUACAGAGAGAGAAAAGUGAAAGGCCGAUAUUCUGCUAUGAAAUAACUCAAGCUAAACUUUGGCCAAUUAAGCUAUGUGAAACUUUCCCACAAUUGUGGAAUUCUUUUAUCUUGGCGAGUAAUGAGAAGAUGGGUUUGUCGUAUAUCAAGUCCUAGUUAAUUUUUGGAAAAUGUCUCAGAAUGCUUGUCAUUGCCACGGCAUACUAAUGAAUGGUAUCUUCUCAUUGGUAAGGUUUGCAGUUUGGUUUGGAUUAGUAGUUCUGGGUGGUCUUAAGUUUUUAAAUGGGUGCUUGUGAACUUCGGGAACAUUCCGACCAAAAAAAAUAAAGAACACUUCGGCAACGUAUUAAAUGGCGCAGUCUUUUUUAUGCAAUAGUUUCUCUCUCGAUCUCAUCUGAAUAUAAUAAUGCAGCCGCGCCACAGAAUUGUAGAGACUGUAAAAGGAAAGGACAAGAUACGCACGGGGUGGUGUUUUAACUUUUAAGGGCUUGGACACUGCUCUAUAAUUAGAUUAAUUAAGGAUUAGUUGGUUAUGCUGAAAAAGGUAACAUUUGACUGAUCUGGGACAUCUCCUGAUUUAUGCAGCCGCAUGAAUUUGUUUAUUACUUUCUUUUGUUCUCACAUUAUUCACUCGGUGUCGGCACACCUUUUCAGUUUUCAUUAUAAAUGCUUGAUGAUGCUCCAACAGCGCGAGAGACUAUUUGACGGAAAUCGCUUGUUGGUGAUCAUGAUGAUUAAUGAUGACCAUGAUAUAGAGCUGUUGACGUAAGAUGGCAAUUGUUGACGAUUAUUACUAAGUGUUGGACACGAAACGAGAGGAGACAAGUGAGGAGGCCAAUUGAAUAUGAAUAUAUGAUUCAUAGUUAAUUCCAGCGAUAUUUGAAGAGUUGUAAUCGCUCGUCAAUAUGGUGACGUGAUCAUAGAGCAUAAAGUUUAAUGAUUGUAAUUGUAACUGUUUGUAACCGCAUGAAAAAUAUUAUCUACUUAUUAGCAGUUACUUUGUGUAGACUAUAAAAGUUAGUGCGUGUGCAUUGUAGAGCAUCCACGAUCAUCAACAAAAAAUUAUGUAUUUCUCAGUUUCAGUUAUCAAUUUAUUUUAGCUUAGUAUUUGCAUUUCUUUUCCUUUGUUAUUCUUGAUCCUUGUUAUUUUUCGUGUCUGAAUUACAACUGAACCCAAUUCUUAAGAAACAAAAGAUCAACUUUUGGUAAAAGGUAUCUUAUUAAUUUCCAAGGAAAAGGUUGGUAAUGAAAAAGUUAGAACGCCACUAAAAGAAGUACCCCAUGAAUUAUUGUAAAAUGAAAAAGAUUCAAUGACCACUGAACCAAAAGCCAGAUCUUGAGCUUGGGCACGACACUGCGGCAGAGCUCAAGGUCGUAUAGCGUGGCCUAGAUCUCAGGUCGUCGGGCUCGACCGCAAAUAGAGGAGGGCGGAGGGAACAGGGGACGGCAAAGAAGAACUGUCAAUGGAGCACUUCAGUUCAUCACUAGGAUCAGUUCAUCACUAGGAGACUAUGAAAAGUUAGAAGAAAGAAACAUAUUAUCGAUAGUGUCAUGUAAGAUGAGUAAAGCUGAUCAGUCCUACAUAUAAACAAUUUUGGCUAGAUAAACUAAAUUUGAAAAUCGUCAAAAGUUUUAAGGUUAUAUCAACCAAAUCGAAAAAAUUUAAACUAAAUAAUGAUCUGUGUAAUAUGUUUAGGAAUUUUUAAAUAAUUUUUUCUUAAAAGUACUAUAGUUAAAUUUAUUUAAGGGCAAUGACCAUUGAAUUUAGAAGCAUUUUGGAAUUAAAAACGUUAUAGUUGAAUUCAUGUAAUGGUUAUGAUCACCGAAUUAAUAAAACACUCAGAAUUUGUUUAAUGGCUACCGAAUUACCAAGACUGUUUUUCUUCGUUGAAUUUAUUAAUGGACCCCGAUUUACCGCAAGAGAGUUAGCUAAAAGAAAGCAUUAAGCAAAGACCUUUUUUGGUCCAACACAUCUUGGAAGUAAGCUAAAAAAAAUAUUAAACCAAAGACUUCAAUUGGUCGAGUCGUUGGAGCCGGUCAUUCCCAACUUUAGUACCAAUUCUGCAAUAUGUUUUUCUUCUUUCUUUCCUAUGGUAGGAAGAUAAGAACCAUGCUUAAAAUUGGUCAAGUCGUGAAAGCCAGUCAAGUCUUCAGCAUUGCGAUGCUAGGAUGAUAAGAACCAUGUUAUAAAUUUCUAGAUGUGUUCAUAAUGAAUGUACUGCUUCAAACCCACCUAAUUUCUCCUCGUCUAGACCUACUCCAAAGAUUCAUUUCCUUCUUUUCCCACUAUAUUAAAAUUUAAUUACUUAUUACAAAGUAGAACUCCCAAUGACUUGUUAUACCUGAUGUAGAAUUGUAGAUUAUUAUAUUAUAUGUGUUGCUUCUUUUCUUAGUCUAUGAUUUUUCUACAGAAAGCACGCCAUAGCGGAAAAAAUUAGAGCGACUACUUAUGGAUGCGGAUCAAACAUUUCGUGAUUAAAAGAUUGGACAGUAAUUUGGGCAUAUGACUUGACCCGUCUAUAUGGGUGCAAGCAAAACUACGAACUAAUUGAAUUGCUUUAAGAUGGUGGCGUGUGGUGCAGGUAAAAAGCUGAAUUUUACAAUUAAAAUACCGUAUUUAUGGGAGGCCUAAUACCCUAGAAAACCCCUAAUUUUAGCUUAGUUCCAAUUCUACCAUAAACUUUUUUUCAUUUCAUAGAAAGUGUUAGAACUUUUGGUCUGUCCCAUUCUAGUCUAAUUUUUUUUUUUUCGGUCUUAUAAAAAACCAAAAGUUUUAGAUCAAGUCUUAAUUCUACUUUCAACUUUUCUUUCUCAUAAAAAACCAUCAACUUUUACUUAAGCCCCAUAUUAACCUUAUUAACCCUACAUUCAAAAUCGCUUUUAGUCAUGUGGCAUUUUCAUGUCAUUACUCUAGUGUUUUUCCCCUAAAUUUCAUAUCCAAGAAAAUGUCUCUUGAAGAUGAAUUUCUAUGUCAAACCAAAUGACAUCUUAUUGGAUAUGAAAUUCGAGCAAUUACAGUUGGGCUUUUCAAUCGUCCUUACUUUUAAGAGAGUCUUCCUUCUGUCUUGCUUGGGGAAUUUUUCUUUUGAGCACAGUUUUCAAUCUCUUGUGGUCGAAGAGCUUGUGCUUGAGAAACUCAACUUGGGAUGCUCAAACGGCUCGCUUGGGGGUUUUUCAUCUCUCAAUUGUCAAGAGAAAUUUUGAACGAAGAGUCAAUGGGGGCAGCCUUGAAACCCAAGUAAAAGUUGGUGGUUUUUUAUAAGACAAAAAAAUUUGUGGUAGAAUUAAGACCAAACAUAAAGUUGGUGAUUUUUUUUUAUAAAAAAGAGUUUAAGUUAGAAUUAGGACUACCCCUAAUGUUGGAGUUUCUUAUGAGAUAAAAAAAAUUAGGAUAGAAUUGAGAUUGGACUUAAAGUUGAAGAUUUUAUAGGUAUUGGGCCAUUUAUAGCCUAAGUUUUCAAUUUAGUAAGAAAUCUUCUAGAACAACUUUUCUUACCCUUGAUUUAAUGGUUGGUAAGACAUUAAGAAGUUUAACUCUUCGAAUCCAUGAUAGAUAAGAUUGUUAGUGCAAUUUUUUUUUUUUUUUACUAACUGGGUAUACUCUAUUUUCCUUUCAAAUGUUAUUGGGUUAGUCAAUAUUACCAGAAAAGAAAAAUAUAUGGGAUCUAAUAAUGGAUGACAGACCAUUAAAGAACCUUAUAUUAGGGUUCCAUCAAAACACCAUUAACAGUUCAUAUAUGAUUACGCUUUUUUCAUCCUUUUUUGGCUUUUAACACCCAUACGACCUUGAAUUAACCCAAUUAUCCAUUGUGGGUUCCACUUUUCAUUUAAGAUUAUACCUUGUUUUUUUUUUUCAUUUCUUUUAUUUCAAAUUUACUAAGAGAAAUCCACUUUGUUCAACUCAAACAAUAAAAAUUAAGGUUGAACGUGGGGUUUACUCUUGACUUAAGAUUAUUUCCUACCUUUUUUUCUUUUUCUUUUUCAGUUUUCUCUUUUUUUCUUUUGCUUCCAUCUAGGACAAAAUUGGUUUCCCUCUUUUCUAAAAAAAUAGUUUAUUUGGCAUAUAGCUAACAAAUAAUUGAGUUAAUGAGUUAUAUAGUUCUUUUCUUUAGCUAGGAAACCAUUAGUUUAAAAAUAACCAAAGUAUAAGUAAAAAUGAAAGAAUCGUCAUGAAUGCAUUCGGUUUAAUUAUAACUUUAACAUGUACUAUUAUGUUAUAAUCCAUGUAUUUUAACUACUCAAAUUUCGCUUCAUUCGGUGAAUCUAAUAUUCCAACUUUUAUUUAUUUUUCAUGCCAUCAAUGCACUGUUUUUUCUAAAUAUUUUCAAACAAAUUUAAGAAUAUGAAAAAAUUCAUUACAUUCAAAAUAAUAAACAUCCCUUAUUAACAUGCAAAUUAAAAAGAAAAUGCUCCUAAUUAUGACAAUUGUAAUUGCAUUAUAAGACGCUCCCUUCAAACCAUUUAUAGAUACAUAAUUUUUGUCAAUCCUAAAUGCAUCAAAAUUUCCAAAAAAAGAAAAAAAUAUAAGAAAUAAUCUUAAAUCCGAAACGUGCAAAGCAUAAUAUGGUCAAUUUAAGGUGAUAGAGGGUAUCAAAAGUCACAAAAGAAAUCUUACCUUUACCAAAAAAAAAAAAAAAAAAGUCACAAAAGAAGUGGAAAAAGCGUGAGUCAUGUAUAACCCGUCUCACAUUCCGAACCCGAAGUCCAAGCAGCGUGCUGGUGAAGUAGUUGAACGGUGUUUUGGAAGUCAUUUGUUCUGAAAGUCUUAUGCAGUCAGAUUUAUUAUUAUUUCAUAUCUCCAUCAAAACAGAAAAAGAAAAAGAAGACAAAGACUAUUUGAUUUAACGUGCCAUGCCAUCAUGUCUUACAUCAUAUAUAGGGAUAAUUAUUAAAAGAAGUCAUAAAUCUAUUAUAUGGAUACCAGUUCAAUUAUAAAUCAUUUAAUUUGAUUAAUUUAGUCUUAAAUCUUCAAUUUGUUAAUGUAAUCCUUCUGGCCAAUUGUGGCUAGAAAUAGCUGAUGUAGACGUUUGUUGUCCUAUGUGGCACAACCGUUGCACAAUCAUUAACAUGAACAAUUUUUAUAAUUCUUUAAUAAUUUUUUGAUUACCCAUCUUUUUAUUAUGGACUAAUGACCCCUGUGGCCCUUCAUUGUGGCCAAUGAGGGCUGUGACACCCUAGCUAAGUCUGGGUCAAUGAGGGUGAUGUAGCCCUCGCUUGUGGCUAGUGACCUCUACUAACUACUGCCAAGGCCGCACACUAGCAAAAAGAAACAAGAAAAAAGGAAAAAGGAAAAAAGAAAAGAAAGAAAAGUAAAAAAAUAUAUCAAUUAUUUUAAGUACAAUUUCAAUACAUAACAUGGAUACGCAUACUAUUUAACAAAUUUUUCUAGUUUAGCCUUUCGACGUUUGGAACGAGUGAGAUGCUCAAGAGAUUCACUUUAAAUAUUCCAGAUCCUUGCGUUGAAGAAAAUUUGAUGUUAAUAUGCUGGUUACGGUUAGGUCCACCUAAAGUUAGUACAAUAUAUAUUAGAAUAAAAAAAAGGGCGGCUAGUGCAAUUAUAUUCUAAUUUUAUUGGGGAAUUUUGUCGCAAUUAUAUGUAUGUAUGUAUGUAUUGACACACACACACCCGGGCAUUCAGUGAUUGAGGUCUGGACACUCCUAUAAAUGAAUAUCAUAGUAGACAUUAUUGCAUUGGGAUUGUCUUUGUCAAAGUGCAAUUCAGAUUUUAUGGGAGGACCAUACAUAAACAUCCUACCUGAACAUUUUAUUAAUUUUUUUUCAAGCGUAAGUAUUUAAAGAAGAUAUUGGCACCGUCUGCGAAAUUUCGAGAAGUAUAGUACUAAAUGGAACAAGCUCUCUAUGUCUUUGUCAUGCUAUAGUGAAACUGACAAUUCGAAUGCUCUUCUAAAUUUUUAAAAUCAUCUUGAUAAUGCUUACAUCAACAAAUGACACACAUAUUUCAACUUUUACGUUCAUGACACGUUGAGUUGCAUCCUAUUGGGCUGUUUGUGCCUUUCCGCCAAUGCGGUAGGCUACCUAAUUGCAUUAUUUAUUUUAACGUUCCCCUCCCACAUGCUUGUCCCCCCUCGUUACCACAAUAUGUUUUUCGAGCCUCAUACUAGGCUCUCUCGACCUUUUAGUUGCUUUAUAUAUAAAGGAUCCAAGGUCCGGAUGAGCCCUCAGAUGUAGCCUUUUAAUGUCAUGCUAAGGACAGCGUUCAGUUUAUUUCAACAUCCAGCUAGCAAUGAAUUAAACUGGCUUGUCAUCCAUGUUUAGCGAACUCGAGUGGAGCAGGUAGAUUUCUAGGAACAGAGCAGUUCCUUUGAGUGUGAAUCUGUUUAGUCAACUUGAGUGGGGUCGGGUUGAGGAAUAGACUGGGUCCUUUGAGUAUAAAUGGUCAGGUUGAUUUUUUAGAACAGAAUGGGUCCUUCGAAUGUGAAUCUGUCUAAUCAACUCAAGUGGGGAUCGGGUUAAUUUUCAAGAACAGAGAGCGGGUCCCUUAAGAGCGAAUCUAUCACCUUCAAUCUUAAAUUAAAGUUGCACGAAACACCUUGUGAUUUUCUUGGUUUUUACCAAUGUCUUUCCUCUUUGAGAAUGAGAAGUUUUUGCUACAAAUGAGUUAGUCUAGCCUAGGUGGAAAUAUUGAAAAUUAAGGAUUAAUUUGUCUCCCAAAAAUGAAUGACUUGGACAACAUUUUCUUAAAAACAAUCAAUUUUAUUAUUUGCAAAAAUGGAUGAGCUAAAAAUAUAUACAUUGUCCAUGAAGAUGUUUAGAUAUAAAUUGCAAAAAUGGAUGAGCUAAAAAUAUAUACAUUGUCCAUGAAGAUGUUUAGAUAUAAAUUGCAUUGGCAAUAAGUAUAGUUUUUUAUUGACUAAUUAUUUUAAAAUAAUAUAAGUUUUCAUUUUUUAAAAAAUGACUUUUAAAUUAUUUAUUUUUUGCGAAAUAAUCAGAACUAAAAUUAUCCGAUGUUUUCUUUUCACGUAUCGUUGGUUUGAUUUGAACCUUUUGCUGUAAUGCGUUGCUGUUGCAUAUUUAGUUCCUAUUGUAACUGCUAUUGUUGUUUUCUUCCCCCGUUUCAAAAAUUAUCUAGUCUCCAAGAAAAAAUGGCAGGUGGCAACACGCACGUAUGAGGAUCCUGUUAACCAGUCUUUAGUAUAUUUGUUUAGUAACUAACUUGAAAUUAUGAGAUCUGUAUGUUUAGGAUUAAGUAAAAAUAAAAAGUCUUUUUUUUUUUUUUUUGCUUUUCCCCGAGUACGUCCUUAACUAGUAUUUUGACACUCCUUUAUAUAAUCCAGAUUGUAAUAAUGCCAUGUUUAUUAUAAUUGAGAUUUACAAUACGAAAAUACUUAGUGAGGUGAUAUAUAUUUUUUACUACUAUAUAUGACUCACACAAUUUACUUCUCUUACUAUUUUAUCAAGCCUCUAAAUUUUCUAAGGGUCAAUACUGGUAGAGUAUUGCUUUUUACUUUUUCCAAAGAAUUGCUUAGUAGUUCACACACUUUAAUUAUUUUUUAUGAUUCCGAAACAUUGGAAACUUUCAUAAAAUGAAAAUAUUGAGCCCAAAUCCACAUAUAAUUUUCUAUAAUUUUUUUAAAUAUAAAAAUUCUUGUGAAUGUUAAAUUAAAAAUAAAAUAAAUUUUUACCUUGAAUUAAGGGUAAACAACUGGGUCCCAAGUCAACGCUGAUCAAGCAAAAGAAUCUUCUCUCUCUUUGUUUUUUUUUUUUUUUUAAUGACGGAAAAAGGAUAUUCUCUUUGGGAGGGAAAGAACGUGGAUUCUUCGGCAAGGCGUCAAAUCCACAAUCAGUAGUUUAUACGGGGGGAAGCAUUAAGGUUUGUUAGUAUUUAUCAUGUCUCUAAAUUUUCUGGGGGUCAAUAUGGAUAGUAUUAUUAUUUACUCUUUUUUUUAAGAAAUACUUACCAAUUCACACACUUAAAUUAUUUUUUAUGAGUUCAAAAUACUCCAAACUUUUACAAAAUGAAAAUAUUGAUGCUUAAAUUCACAUAUAAAUUCUAUUUUUUUUUUUUAAAUUGGAUAUUGUUGUAAAUGUCGAAAGGAAAAUAAAAUAAAUUUUUUUAACCUUUAAUUGAGCUAAAACACAUAGGUCCUAAGUCAAUGCUAAUAGACCAAAAGAAUCUUCUCUCUGGGAGGAAAAGAACUUAGACUCUUCUACAGGACGUCCAAUCCGCCAUCAAUGGUUUUAUAAAAGUUUUAGGAAAUCCCAAGCCAUACUUUCAGGAAAAGUUCUGAACAACCUUACGGAAAAUAAAUUAUCUAAAAAAUUAAUUCCUAAAAAUAACCAUUUAUAUUGCUCGAAAUAAUUAGUCGAUGGAAGACCGAGGUGGCGUGGAUGGUAGAGCCUUGGUACUCCCCGGUGGAGGCCUUGGUUCGAAUCCCCUACAAAGCAGGGAGGCAGUCUUAGCUACAUGGUGACUCAAGCGUGACGUCGGGGUGGUGGUUUCCCUGCUAGCGUCACCGGGGGGUUUACGACGCACUGUCUGUGCAAGCUGGUUCCUCCUGUCCCCAAAAAAAAAAAAUAAUAAUAAUAAUUAGUCGAUGAAAAAUGUUUCAUUAUCAACAACAAGUUAUGUUUAAAAACUUUUGUGAAUGAUGUAAAUAUUAUUCGUUUAUUUAUUUUUAUAAAAGAUAUAAAUGAUUGUUUUUAAGAAAAUAUUUUUCAAAUAAUUCAUUUUUUGUGAAAGAAAGAAAGCCUUAAUUGAUAAAUAAACAUCAAUGUAAAAAAAAAAUCGGUUGGGUUGAGUUGUCACGGCAUCAUAAAACAAAUAACUGCAUCUAACAAAAGUAAUAUAUGUGAUUUCGUCUAUGCGUGCUUACGGUCCUUUAGUUGACGUACCUCAUGGUAUUGAAAAGUCGUAAAUGUGAGAUCAUCAAUGGAAAAAUUGCACCGGGCGGACUAUGAUAAACUUAGAGUGAGGCAACAAGUUCAAGCAUUCUCUCGUCGAGCAUCUUCAUUUUUUCUGGGUUUCGUUUAUGUAAAUCAGGAGUAUAACGUAGAGAUUUAAUUAUAUACAUAGAAUACCAUGGAAAGCCCAAGAACCAUGUUUGGGGAUACAUAAAUUUACUGUAGCUUGCUUUGGCUGUGGAGUUGGAACUGCGAGAAGCAUGGAAACCCCUUCGAAGUGAGGCACCGACCUAAAGCUGUCAUGAGAAAGUUGUACCAAAUAGACAUGUAUGGCAAUGUCAGAGGAAAUCAAUCUGCCAGCAUGCCAAAGAGAUUGGCAAAAAUGGACGUAAGCCGAGGCAAUAAAGAAUUCAGAUGAUUAAAGAACACAAUGUUCCUACCUAAGCACAAAAUGCAAAAUGGAGUUGGCAAAGAGUGCGAAUAUUACGGAUCUAAGUGCAACGAAAAAUAACGUCCUUUGGAAAUAAAAUUAUAAUGAAUUAAAAGGACCAAGGAAAUAAAAGAUAUAAGUAUCGAUAUACUUGUUGGUCAUGAAAAUUUGAGGAUCUACUUUUGAUUGGGAUAAUUACAAAAAAGAAAUUUCUUAAAUUUAUUGUACUAUGCUUAUUCAAUCAAAAAAAUUUCAAUUUGUCUAGUUGAGUUCUAAAUAUCAAAUAUUUGGACGAUUUGCCGAUAAAGUGAAUCUAGCUCCGAUUGACCCGCAGCUGCAAAUACUUUUCUAUAGCUUAAAUGCGCAGAAGCAGCGGAGAACCACAAGACGUCCUUCGGGUGGGGCCCAUUUAGAAUCCUCCUCUUCGUCAACAUCAUUUUGUUUACGCAUACUUUAACAACCCAGACGUUGGAUUUAUGUGCAUGAACCUGUGGCCUGGUCAGGCGUCAUUUCUCAUGCAAUGUUGGAGUGACUGAUGAUGUCAAAACAACGACGUAAGCAUCUGUGGAACCCCUAGUCGUAAGUCGUUAAAUAAAACCUCGUUCUGACUAAAAGAAUAAAAUGAAAAAAUAAAGCCCUCGUUGCUAGCAACUCGCAAGAACUUAUAUAAAAAUGCACCUCUCUCUUCGAACCUCGUACACAACAGGAAGCAAAUAUACCUCACCGAAAAGGAUAAAUGCACCCUUGAAUCAUCAAAGAAUUAAAUCUUUUCGAACGAGAUCUCCAUCAACGACAAGAAAGCAAUCACUUCCUGUUUGGUAAUAGACAAAAAGGCAAUCGAUAUCUAUUCCGGAGGUUGACCCCGAAAGACGGGAAAAAGCAAGUGCUGUCUAAUGUUCACUUCGGGUUGGAGCAAAGGUGUUCUGUUACUUACGGUGACCUCUACAAACAUUUCAUCUCUCAUCCCUUUUGAAGGAUUUACCUUUGGUAUUUUGUGGAGAGUUGGAUCAUCUCCUCUUGUGAUUUUCCAAUAUUAUGGAUGGAUACCAGGAAGAUCCCAAUGGUGAUUUAAUUUUGACUCAUCAACAAAGUAUCACAUGCUCGGAAUGAGCACGUUCUGCAUGGACAAGAACAAACAGCUGAUAGAGGGCAGCUGUCAGUCUCUCCAGGGUCGUAGGUGGUUGUAGGAAAAUUACGGGGGAAUUUCCUAAUUUAUAUGGUCCAGGACCCUCAAGGAGUAAUGUAAAAUCUUAAACAGAGACCCGGCAGUCCUAACCAACACAUCUAUAUAAGCCUACUUUGCCAAAGGUUGAUAUCACAGCCAGCUAUUGCACUUAUUCUAUACAGAAAAAAUGGAACGCUUGAUAGGAUCUUGUCAGAUUAUCCUGUUUCUGUUCUCAUCCCUCAUUGGAGUUCAAGCCCUUAACUCUUCAUUUUUCUCUCCUUCCUCUCUAGGGGCAGCAACGCCCUGUCGGCCCGAUCAGAAGUCUGACCUGCUUCAGUUCAUGAACGCAAUGAUGUCUAAUAAUUCGACAUCCUCCUUCUGUCAAAUGGACGGCACUUUUGCCACUAGACCAAAGAUGCUUUCCUGGAAUGCUGACACGGAUUGUUGCUCGUGGGAGGGAGUCAUGUGCGAUCAGAUGACAGGUCAUGUGAUUCGCCUUGAGCUUGGCUGCUGCACCCAAAACCCGACCUGCUACUCUUCUGCAGGGUCUUCAGAGAGCACUAAACUAUCUUCAUUGGGUUCCUUCAAUCUUUCUUCCCGCAAAGCAGAAAGGCCAUCGGGGUCAAAUUCCGAUAUGCUGCUUCAAAACCUGACCAUGUUGAGAAUCCUCAUUCUUGAUGGGUUAAACAUGUCUGGCAUUGACGUGAGUCACUUAAUGAAUCUCUCUCCAUCUCUGGAAGUCCUCAGCCUCAGUUCCUGUAAAUUGCGCGGCACGUUAGCAGCAAACAUUUUCCUUUUGCCAAAGCUGACAUUUCUCAAUUUAUCAGGCAACAAGGAGCUUGCGGGUUACUUACCCGAAUCAACUUGGAAUAGCUCUCUGAAGGUUUUGGACUUGUCCUUUACGGGCUUCUCUGGAGUAUUACCAGAGUCCAUCGGCGACCUUCAAUCUCUGGAGAUACUCUGGCUAUGCCAUUGUAAUUUCAAUGGCUCCAUUCCAUCAUCACUCGGUAACCUAACACGACUCACCAGAUUGGAACUCUCAUUCAAUGAGCUUAGUGGUCAGGUUCCUCCAAUUCUGUCCAACCUUGGUCGUCUGACUCUGCUCGAUCUUGCCUCCAACAAUUUCGUCGGUCCAAUACCCGAUGUCUUCGACAACAAGACACAACUUCAACAACUGCUUUUCUCAAAUAACUGCUUCGUGGGCCCCAUUCCUCCGAGCAUAAAAAAUCUUUCCAAUCUAGCCCGACUCGACAUUUCCAAUAACCUCAUUGGCGGGUCCAUACCAUCAUCACUGUUCUCUCUUCCGUCCUUGACGAGCCUAGACCUCAGUAAAAAUGGGCUCAAUGGUCACAUAGGCAAGUUCCUUGCCGCACCCUCAUUAGUCCAUGUUGACCUGAGUGGUAAUCAGUUGCGUGGCUCAAUCCCAAGCUCGAUUUUUCAGCUGGGGAACCUCACCUACUUGAGUAUCUCAGGAAAUAACCUGACCAGUGUUUUAGACCUACGAUUGCUGUCGGGACUCAAAAGUCUAACAGAUCUUCAUCUUUCGGACAACAUUUUGUCACUGACCAAUAGCAAAAAUGUCAAUUUUGUCUUGCCGCAACUUUCAAAAGUCAGUCUUUCAGGGUGCAAUAUUACUGCAAUCCCUGCAUUUUUGAGAAAUUCAACCAGUGUGGGGUGGAUAGACCUGUCGCGCAACAUAAUCCAUGGUGAUAUCCCACCAUGGAUGUGGGAUGUUGGGACCAGGUCAUUGUCUUAUCUCAAUGUGUCUCACAACUUCCUCACUAGCUUCAAACAAGUUCCAUGGGAAAAUCUUUUAAUCCUCGACCUGAAUUCGAACUUGAUCCAAGGGCCAUUUCUGCCGCCAUCACUCCCGAAUUUGGUUCUCAUCUUCUCGCUGGCUAGCAAUCGAGUGACUGGCUAUAUCCCUGGCUCUAUUUGUGAAAUGAAGGGCCUACAAAUUCUUGACCUCUCUGGCAACAAUUUCACUGGAACAAUCCCUCAAUGUCUAGGGAACAUCAGCGACGGCCUUUUAGUGUUGGAUCUGCAAGAAAAUGGACUUUCCGGCACUAUCUCACUCACAUUUGGCAAAAAUGCUGUCCUGAGAAGUCUUCAUCUCAAUGGAAACAAAUUUGAAGGCCUGUUGCCGCGCUCUGUAAUCAAUUGCACGCAACUUGAAGCGCUAGUUCUCAGUGGUAACAAGUUGAACGACACUUUCCCAAGAUGGUUGGAAACACUUCCUAGCCUGCGGGUCUUGGUCUUGCGAUCAAACAGACUUCACGGCUCCAUAGGCAACCCCAGAACUAAAUUUCCCUUUCCGCAGUUGCGCAUUCUUGAUCUUUCCUCCAAUGAGCUCACCGGUCCUUUGCCCAGCACCUACUUUGUAAAUCUGAAAGCAAUGAUAUCGACUGAUCAUGAUGGAUCCAAGUUGCGAUACAUGGACCAAGGUUACUACCAGGAUUCCAUAAAUGUGACGAUGAAAGGACUUGACAUGUAUCUCCCUAAAAUCCUACUGAUCCGGAUGACUAUUGAUCUAUCAAGCAACAAGUUCCAAGGAAUGAUUCCUGAUGUAAUAGGAGAGCUAGGAUUACUGAAGGGGCUCAACCUUUCUCAUAAUAAUCUCGAAGGCCAUAUACCAUCAUCUUUGGGCAACCUUUCUGAGCUUGAAUGGUUAGAUCUUUCUUCAAAUGAGCUUAGUGGGACGAUACCAACCGAAUUGACAAAACUCACAUUUCUGGAGGUCCUAAAUGUCUCUUCCAAUCGACUAACAGGACCGAUUCCUCUAGGGAACCAAUUCAACACAUUUCAAGCCGAAUGCUAUCUUGAGAACCCAGGAUUGUGCGGGUCUCCAUUAUCCAAAUCUUGUACUGAUUCCAGGGCACCGGGGAAGCUUCCUGUCCUGCCUGAAGGCGGGGUUCACUCGUUCUUUGCAGAUUUUGUCGAAUUAGAGGCCGUCGAAAUAGGAUUAUUAUGUGGCAUGGUGCUCGGACUAGUCAUGAGUAACUUGCGAUAUCUUAGAUCCUUUUGGCAAGCAAAGAGGGAAGUCAGAAAGAGAGCUAAGAAACAUAUUUCUCCAAUGGGGCCUUCAAACUGCAUGACAUAAUAGCCAUGGUAGCUGAUUAGUGUUGCUGUAAAACAGUGUUGCUCAAUCGUGUGAAUCAUUCAUGCGAAUCGUGAAUCUUAGGACUUUGUAAAAAGUUGUUGAAUAACUCCAAGAAAUAAUAUUCCAUACAGAAAAAGUAUUAUAUGUUGAAAAAGCACAUGCAAACCCAUCCAAGCCCUGACUACGAGCCUCCAUGGUCGUCAUUCACCAGAAAAAUCAACCCUAGCGACUCGGUCGCAAGCCAAAGAGCAACGCUAGAGACGUAAAUAGGUUUCAUUGUACACGUAAUUCGUGGGGCUGUUUCACAUAUCACAAGUUAAAGGAGAACCAAAAAAGUCCUAAACAUAUUGUAUUGGUACCAAUUCAGUCCUAAACUUUUUAAUUGGAUCAAUUUAGUCCUAAACAUUUUAAUAUUGAUAUCAAUUCAAUCCAUCUGGCUAAUUUUGACUGGUCGGCACUGAUGUGGACGUCGGCUGAUGGCCGGACGCCAACGUGGCAAUUUCUUAUGAUUUUUUUAUUAAUUUUUUCUUUUUCUUUUCUUUUUUCCUUUUCUUUCAUCCCUCUUUCCUCCUUAGACCGUCCUUGCGGUGGCUGGCGAGCCUCGAGGGUUGCGGCCCUCGCCUGGCCUUGCCUAGGGCCGCGACCCUCGAGGCUCGCCAGCCACCGCAAGGACGGUGUAAGGAGGAAAGAGGGAUGAGAGAAAAGGAAAAAAGAAAAGAAAAAGAAAAAUUAAUAAAAAAAUCAUAAGAANNNNNNNNNNNNNNNNNNNNNNNNNNNNNNNNNNNNNNNNNNNNNNNNNNNNNNNNNNNNNNNNNNNNNNNNNNNNNNNNNNNNNNNNNNNNNNNNNNNNGCUUUCAACCCGGAAGUCUAAUGUAAAAAGAUUUAGGACUGAAUUGGUCUAAUUAAAAAUUUUAGGAUUGUAUUGAUAUCAAUGCAAUAGGUUUAGGACUUUUUUGGUACUUUUCCCCAAGUUAAAGACACUCAAAAGCAACCGUGGAUGGUAGAUGCACCAUCAAAAAAGGGACGCUAAAAAAUUAGGUACCAUAUCCGAUUGGUGAAUAGCUCAUUGGUUUUAAAUUGUUGUUUUCUUGAAGGUGCUUCUAAUAGACAUACAUACAUACAUACAUACAUACAUACAUACAUACAUACAUAUGGUAGUAGGUUCUAGGUUUUAACUUGAACUCUCUUUUUGAUGAUUUUUUUUUAAAGAACUUUACUAGCAUAAUAAUCUUUGGGCUAUUGUGAGAAUAACAACUUAUUAUGAUUCACAAAUUUUUGAAAGAGUAGAUUUCAUAUCUAUUUAUAAUAAUUUGUUAUUUGACCUUUCGUAGUUCAGAAUAAAUUGUUAUUCUCAUAAUACAUUAAAUAUUGUCACUCAAUCAUUUCUCUUUCUUAAAUAAAGGUAUUGAAAAAAUAAAAUAUAUGAGUACAUCACCCAAUUAGAUGGACAACCAAAAGGAAAAUUAUAUUACCGGACCGAAUAAGAUUAAAAAGGAAUGGUUACAUUGAAACCUUUUUGAUUUGGACCUCAUUCGUAGAGUCCCAUGACCAUUUGCAACUUAAAGAAAGUCUAAUUAAUUUUAGUUUAAAGGAUUCCAAUUGAAGCCAAAUCGAGCUAAAUCGACAAACUUGUUAUUAUACAUAUAGUUCCAAUACAUAUGAGCAUGCUUAUGGUGAUAAAUAUGGUAAACUAUCGAGGAUGCAUGUUGCUAUUUCAUGGCACAAAUGUUUUAUUUUUGGGGCACACUUACUCACAUAAGAAGAUAAAAAGAUGAUGCACAUGCAUGCAAGUUGGGCCAAAAUGUCACGACGGAUUCGGGCCGAGUACAUGAAUCUGACUGCUGCUUUCAGUACAUGACUUGUCGACUGUGUUUUUCUAAAUACAUUUGGAAACCAAUGAUUGAUCCGACCUCAUCGAUCCACUGGACCGCCCAAGUAAAUGUGCAAACAAGUUGGAGGGAACGACUGAUAUUUCUCUUUUGUUUAUUUUACCAAUAAAAAAGACAAUGUGUAGGCUCUUGGAAAAUUAAUUUUGGAUCUAUUUAAAGUGGUAUUGACAUGAAAAAUCGAACACUGAGUGAUAUAACGUUUGUCAAAAUACGAAGUACAUUAUGUCCAAUUAUAUAUCAUGUGUAAAAAUUUGGGAAAAUUGCAAAAAAGAGCCUCAAAUGUUUUAAUUUUCUCAAAUAAGGGUCUAAAGUAAGCAUUGUCUCAAAUAAGGGCAUGAAGCGACUAAAUUAUUUCAAAUAAAGACUUAAAGUGGCUAAAUCAUCUUAAAUAAGGGCCUUUGGUCGGCGAUGACUCUUUCGGCCUUAGGAGAAGGGGUAUUUUGAUAAAUAAAAAAAAUGUAACUAUAUUUUUAAAAUUUGUUGAUUUUUUUUCAUCCUUUGUCUUUUCUUUUCUUUUUUCCUCUUCCCUUCCCUAACAUGGUCGGUGAUAGCCAACGAAGGUCACUUGACUUGGGCGAGGGCGUCCCUCACCAAAUCCAGCAAGGGAUACCUACACCCGACACCGUUGAGGGCUACCCUUGCCCUCCCUAGCCUAGGCGAGCCCUCUUACCCAACCCUCACCUCUAAUUAGCCAAGGUCGCUAGCCCGUCCCGACUCCCAAGGCGCUGGCAACUCGGUCGACCUUCGCUGCUACCCCACCAGUGAAGGGGUGGCAGCCACAGGCGAGAGGGAAUACCCUCCCGCUUGUGUUUUCUUUUUAUUAUUUUUUAAAGAAAAAAAAGAAAUUUAAAAAAAUUAAAAGACGUAAUUGCCCUUCAUAUUUGGUGAGUUCAAGCUAUUCUUUGAAAUUAAUAUAUGCAUUUCAAGCCCUUAUUUGAAAUAAAGUUCACUUCAUACCCCUAUUUGAGAAAAUAUGGGCACUUCGGCCCCUUAUUUGAAAUAAUAUUUACUUCAAGCCCUUAUUUUAAAAAAAUGAGAGUACUUCAUGCCCUUAUUUGAAAUUUUUCCUAAAAAUUUAAGUGAAAAGGAUAUUGUACUUGAAAAAACUUAACUGGAGAAAAUAUUCAGUGGUUGCUUCUCACCACAUCAUCAUCCCACGUGGAGUGCAUUUUUUUGAGUUUAGUCAAUCACCACUUGACAUGUGUAUUUGACAUGGAAUCACAAAAAAUUGAAAAUCUGCUAAUUAAUUCUUUAUCUCUCUUCGUCCUCCUUUGGCCAAAGUCAUCUCUAUGCAUCCAACAUCGAGGCCCAUCCAAGCCAACACUGUUGUGCGUCCAAACCAUACCACCCCUCCAUCGUCCUUGUUGUUAGCUUCGUCUUCGCCGGAAGGAGUUCUCCAUCUCCGUCGUCUUUGUCGUCAUCUUUACCCAUUUUUGGCUAAGAGCAAAUGGCCAAAAAUUUGGAAAAAAAUAGAAUUCUCUUGAAGAAAAAAAAAUCGAGGGAACAAUCUUUGAGACAAGGAAGGGGUAGUGGGUCUCUCGGCUUGUCUUUUAAGCCAAAAGAUCUGGAGUUUACAGAGCAACGCGGGUAAAAAAUCAAUGCUCUCUUGGUUUGGCCAAAAGUGAGUCUCUUGGCUUGUCCUUUUGGCCAAAAGAAGAAGACAUGGCUACAAACGACUUGAGUUAUGGGGAAUCUGUGGCAGCUGGGUUAUGGGAAAUCUGUGAAAACAAAAAACAUAGAAACUUGAAUGCUAAAGGUCUCCUUUUUUUCAUGGCAGCUCAUCGCCAGAAUAGGAAAAAAAAAGAAGAAAAAAGAAUCCCAAACUUGAAUGCUAAAGUUGACUCAGAAAUUGAAAAUCUGCUCGCGACUCCCUCUAUAUGUCUUCGUCUUCGUCUUUGUCUUCCCAACGACCAACUUCUAGAUCUGAAACAAAGCCUCGUGCAUGGCGGCGACAAAUGAGGUCGAGAUCCCAAUUGUUGUUGGGCUCCGGCGAAGGGAGGGAACUCAGAUCACGGCUAGCGCGGCGACCACGGCAAGGUGGAGGGCUUGUGGAUGGAGGUUGCAUCGGAGCGAGGACUGGAAUUUGAUAAGAGAAGCCGGAGUGGUGGCUGCGAAGGAGGAGGAAGAGAUAGAAAAAAAGAUUUUUAACUUAUUUAUUUCCACAUAAAAAUACAUGUGUCAAGUAAUGAUUGGCUAAACUCAAAAAAUAUUCCACGUGAGAUGAUGAUGUGGUGAGAAACAACCAAUGAAUAUUUUCUCAUCAAACUAACAUUUCCAGACUAAAUUGAGAAGGAUAAUGUUGAAAAUAUUUAAUUCGAUUGCAAAAUAAUCACACGAUGAUUAACAUGACAUGACUAGCGGUCCUCUCAAUUAAACACACAUUUGCAGUUUCCCACUUCAAUUUGUAAAUCAAAUUUAUAAAUCAGUUUUUAUUUUCCAAGUAUGAUUAGAUUGAAAAGAAAAGAAUAAGUAGUUUUCUGAAAUUUGACGUAAUGAAUACUUCAUGUUAUUUUCUUCUGGUUGUUUAUGUAAUUAGACCCUAUUAGCCGAACAACUAUUUAUUCAUUAAUAAUUGACCAAAGAAUUCAAAUUGAAACCAAACCGAGCUAAAUCGACAACCUCAUUCGAAAAAAAUUUAAAUAUGAAUUAUAUCCUUCAUUCAUGUACUUUCCCUUCUUUUAAUGUUCUUUCUUUUAAUUUGUCUAACCAAAUCUUUUUACUUUCCCAAAUUUUCUUAUUAAGUCCCUUCGACACCUAAUAUCUCCAAAUCAACUGUCGUUGCCAUUAAAGUUUGACAUGGACAAAGUUUUUCCAACAUGUACAUCUACAUUGGUUCAAUUCCAUUCACAUCAUGCUCCAAUGUUAUUGCCAUCACCAAAAUUUUCCACGGCAACUUCCAUGUAGGCGUGCAAGAUGACUAAAUUUUAUCCACCUCAUCAUUUAAAUAUCAAUUGAGGGUUGUGUAAACUGGAUUUGACUGAAUUCGGAGUCGGAGAGAUCUAAUUACAAAAUUUAUGGAAAGUAGAAUAAUUUGAUUAGACAAAUUUAAAAUAAAUAAAUAAAUAAAUUAGAAAGAGUAAAAAUACAAGGGGGAGAAGUGGAAUUUUUCCUACAUUUAAUGCAAUUAGGAAAUGGGCCAACAAAAAGGGGCCCGUCAUGAGGUGGUGAACGAACUUUAUAGGAAAUGGGCCAACAAAAUCUUGACGGGCUGUACCGACCGAUGCUAGCGACCCACAUCAAGAUUUUAUGUUGGGCUCAUUCAAAUGGAAUGAAAAGUUGACCACAUGGAUCGUGCAAGUAGGCCUAUAUAUCAUGACUGAUUUGGGCCGAUCACAUAAACUCUAUUGCUACUUCACUGACUUGUCAUGUCCUGUCCUAUUUUAGGUUGGAUUCGGACCAUCAUUUGAUUGAUCCGACUUUAGUUACCAUGGCUGCCGAGCUAAUGGGUAGACAAGUUGGAGGCAAAGCCAGCCUUUCUCUCGGUCCUCCAUUUUUAUCCAUUAAAAAGACAACUUGCGGGUACAAUAAAAAGAAUCACUCGAAACCUUGUGCCCAAAAGACAAACUACUUUAUGACCCGACUCAAGCAAUUUUGGCAUUUCCAUCCUCUUCUGUUUCUCUCUAUCUCAUCGUCACCAUCGUCGCUUCCACCGAGCCCCAAGGCAACCGCCAUGAGGAGGAGGUACGGGUGAUCCUCCCCCUGCGUUAAUCGCUCUCAGAGUUGGUGAAGAAGAAGGAAAUAGAGACGAAGAUGAUGGCUUCGGGUUGUUCGUGGGUGUGGCCUUGUUCUGAGAGACCUAGAGUUGAAAAAUGGGUUAAAAAAUGGGUCACUUAGGCUGCGCAUAACAACGUUUCUUAGUUGGGGAAGAGUUUUUUUUUUUUUUUCAGAAAUAGUUCUUUUCUAUUUAUAUUCCGAGGAACAAUUUUUGAGUAAAAUAAUUGUUUGGUAACUACACAAAAUUUUUACCCAGAAAUAGAAAAAUAAUAGAAAUGCGUUUGGUAUGAAACAGUUUCUUUUUUAUAUUUAUUCGUUUUUUAUUCUUACUCACGGAUUGCCAACUGUCAACCACUGGCCGCCGCCGCCACUGCAUGACCGCCGGCCAUCGACCAUCACCGCCGACCUCCGCCGCACAACCCACGUCUGCCUCCGGCGGUCGGCGAUGGCUGAUGGGUUGUGCGGCGGCGGUCGGCAGUGACAGUUGGUGGCUGGCGGUCGUGCAACGGCAGCAACGAGCGGUGGCGGGCGUCGACAGACGGUUGGAGGUGGCCGCGGCAAGAGAGAGGAACAAAAGAAAAAUAAAAAAGAAAAUUAGCUUAUUUCUAGAAAUUAUUCCCGGGAACAAGAAACUAAUUUUUUUUUUUUGUUUCUUAUAUCUAUUCCAAAACUGUUCCCGAGAACAAAAAAAUAGAGAAAUUGUUUCCAUGAACAAAAUUUUUACCAAACGGAUUUCUGUUCUUUUUUUGUUCCGAGAAAUAAAAGAACAGAUAUUGGGAGAAACAGAAAUGUUACCGUGCAACCCUUAGUGGCCCGCAUUUUAAUCCCUUUUUUGAGCUUUAAUUUUUUUCCAACGAUUUUAAUUUACUUUAACGAAACAAUGAGUUAUCCAUAUAAAAUGGGCACUCCUAAAAUGAGUUAGAAAAUGGGUCCGACGCUAGUUAACAGUCAGAAUAAUAUAUUGGAAGAAUGACAUUAUAAGUCGUUAAACUAUUGCCUCAUGUGCAAUAUCAUUCUUAGACCUUUAAGUAGUUUAAUGAGAUUUUUGAUCUAUUUCUAAAAAUUUAUUCUAGUAUCUAGAUUUCUAAUUUAUUUAAUCUAAAGUCUCAACUUUCUAUAGCGAAGUCAUAUGAGUAUUUGGUAACUAUUCACAAGUUCUCGUAAUUUUACCAUUGUUUGGAUGUGAGAAUAUUUCUUCAUUUUUACUCAUUUCCUAAAACAGAAAAAAAUGAUAUCUUUUCUUACCUCUUAUCUUUUUGGUUUAACACAAAUAUUACGAUCAGGGAAUCCGGCCCGACUCGCCGAUCUGACCCGGAUCCUAAAGGUCUGGGUUGUGUCUGCAAUCUAAGGUCUGGUCCCAUUAUACAACUCCUAUUUAAAAUUCACCCAACCUGGCCUGGGCUUAUUACACUCAAGUCAUAACAGCCCGACCUCCUUCUGUUCAGCCUAUUUUUCAUAUCUUUUUAUAUUUUAUAUUUUUAUUUUUUUACUAUUUCUUUAAAAACCUACAUACUUAUUCCGAAAAAAAUUUGCAAUGUCAAAACCGGCUAGAUAAUUAGAUUAAAUUUUAAUUUUCACUCGAAGAAAAGUUUCUUUCAAACUAUUUGAUGAAAAAAAAAGAGCAAAUAAACCGUUACAACUAGAAAUUUCUAAUUAUAUAUAUAACUUUAGUGAUUAAAAUAUGAGAUCCUAAAUUAAAAUUAAUAACGUUGUCUAGGCAAAAUGAUAAUAUGGUACAGAGUAAGACAAUAUCUUUUUGGGUGUAAUUUGACAUUUAUAUUGUAAAACUGCUAAGAUUAAAAAGAAGAUAAAAAUAAACACAGUUUUGCGGGUUAGUAUGAUGAAGAAAAAGAAAGUAUGGUUUGAAUUGAGAGAGGGUAUUUUGGUAAGUUCAUCGGAAAAAGAAGCGUUAUAGCCCAAAUGGGAUGAAAAUAGCACCGCCCUUUUUUUUAUUUUAUUCUUUCCUUUUCUGGCUCGUUUUCUUCUUCUUCACCGAGACUCCUCUUCUUAUUCACUCAGGAUCCUCUAUUCCCAUUCUGCAAGACCGACGAUUCACCCAACCGACCAUAAGGAAAAAAAAAUUUAUAUAUAUAUAUUGGCUCUCUAUUCCGACCAACGUCGGAUCACCACCUCUAUCAUUAAGUGAACAUCACCCAUCAACAACAAACCUUCACGACCGGCUUGCCAUUUUCAGCCAUCAAAUCCGGCCAUCCAAAAAUUGUCCACAGCCAUCUCCCCGCACUGACGGCUAGUCCACAAGCAUUCAUUUGAAAAAUCCUUGAAUCUACACAUACACAUGGCAGAGGAGGAGGAGAAAGGAGCUAAUCUGAUGGGACUCUAACCCAAGCCAAUCACUGGGGAAGGAGAUUCAUUAAAUCGCUGCGAUUCAUAUAUUUAUGGACGUCCGGCGCGUGAUACACGAAAAUGACAUAAAAUAAACAGAAAACUAGUCAUCAGCUUCAACUCAACAAUCAAUGAAGCAAAUUUGCAUUAAUACUAGACUUAGACACUGUCGCACAGCCAAUUAUGCCAAAUCAGAUUCAACGCUUCUCAUGAGCAAACCGUCGAACAAGUGGUGUGUACUUUGAGUGCAAGUUUUAGAUUCGAAUCUUACCUAUUUAAUGCGCAAAACGAAGGCUAUGCGCGUCGAUUAUAUCAAAUACAGAAGCUUUAGCAUUCAUCGAUGAACGAAAUCCUCCGAAAAUGAAUGCUCCAUGAAAUAUAACUUGGAAAUAACCCUUAGCUCAAAGGCUUUCUACUGUGAAACAAAGCAAAACAGAGCGCAUCUAGAGUUCUUUGAAGAUGAGGCCAGCGAUGACGAUGAACAGCCACGAGCGGAUGGUGUUCAGGAGGUAGCUGACAACUGUUAGAAUAAAAUAAAAUUUAUUGUUGAAGGUUUGAGCACGUUGGUUACUAAAGCUCUAGAUCUGGUUGUCAGUCUUCCUCAAAAUGCCUUCAUUUAUGAUGGGUGUACGAAGAAGAAUGAAAACGAAUAGGUAAAGCACGAUUCAUGAUAGGUUCUUGAAGGAGAUUGAAGACAAAAAGGCUACAAGCAUCUAACGAAGAAAACCUUCUGCAGCAUGAAGACAAAGAAGGCUAGAAUAGUUCAUUGAAGAGUUCUCCACAUUUAUCUUCAUGUAUUUAUUGUGUGUCUUUUCAUUUGACUUUGUUUGCUCGUAUCACUUUGUGGACUUUCUUGUUUUUUCUCAUUUAAUUUUUGCCAGGUUAUGUACACAUCCAACCACUAUAAUAGGUUGUGAAAAUACAAAGUAGUAAAUACACGGAAGCAAAAAAGGCAAUGCAUUUCAUUUACUUCUCCCUCAUAUUUUCAUUUGUGCCUCCUUCCAAAUUUUCAAUGUCGUCAUUAUUCUUUUGAUUCCAAUAUUUGGUAUCAAAGCUAGAAAUGGCAUCCACCAGUUCUUUUCAAUUUCAACUUCCAAAAUUGAAUGAAAAGAAUUUCAAUAAUUGAUCCAUCCAUAUGAAGAUUUUCUUCAGAUCGCAAAAUUUGUGGAAUCUAGUUGAAAACACCUACAUUGAAGUGGCCAACACCAAAGUGCUCAAGGCUUUAAGAAAGGAGGAGAAAGAUUCUUUGGUGGAGUCCUAUAAAAAAAGAUCGGAAUUCAUUGUAUGCAAUAUUUCAAGCCGUGGAGUAAGGCAUAUUUUAAAAAAAUAUCGAGUGUGACAACUGUAAAAGUAGCAUAGGAUAUUUUGCAAAAAUCUUACAGAGGCAAUAAUUGUGUUCGACGAGUGCGGUUUCAAACAUUCUGGGUGAUUUUGAGUCUUUAAGCAUGAACGACUUCGAAUUAAUCUUGAUAAAUUUUGAUUGUUGUCACGACCUUAUCUUGAGUGCAUCAUAUAAGGUUUGAUUAAUGGAUUACUAAGUUUAAACUUAACUCGGGCUCUCUCAAGCCUAUAUCAAUUCGCAACUUAGGUUUAAUUUAGACUAAUCGGUUUAUAGUGGUUCAAUUAAUUAUCCGAAUAAAGCAUUGGGAGAAAUAACUUGAUUACACUAGCAUACUCUAACAGCCUUUCAGUGUGUUUUCUCUUGCAUUUUGAAAAUUAUUUUGUAAACAGUCUAGAUUUAUUUUAGUCUCAAUCACUAACAUACAAGAGAGUGAUCACACGAGUGUGCAAACAUUAAAGAUAACACUUAAUAUAUAAAUAAGUUGCGGGAAAUUAAACACCAUAACAAGCAAUGAGUUUUUUGGGUUUUCUUUUAAUUAUGGAAUUAGAACUAGCCUAUAUGACACACAAUUUCAAAUUAAAUGAACCUAACAUGCAUACUAUGUGACACACAUAAGGCAUAAGAAUAUAACAUGGCCUAAACUACACGACAUGCAUAUAAUAUUUUGGUAUUAUUAUAUUAAAAUUCGAAAUAAAUAAUUUACAAAAAUUAACUACUAAACUUGAAAAGUUAUCCUAUUUAAACUAGAAAAUAAUUUAAAUUAAAUCCUAUUCUAAUUUGGAUAACUUAUCUUAAUUAAGUAGAUUCUACCUAACAUGCAAUAUAAUCUAAAAGAUAAAUCUAACUAUAUAAAUUCUAAACAUGCAAUCCUAAUCUUUUUAGGAAAUUAUCCAAUCUAUCAAACAAUUUGAUCUUUGUAGGUGUUUUCAAAACAAGCAGUUAUCAAAGAUAAGCAUUAUAUCCAACCCACCUAAAGAUAUUUAUCAAGAUUUCAAAUAAAGGAUUAAAAUUAAUUGAAAAAUAAUCCAUCAUUUCACGGAUUAAAUUAACAAUUAUUUUAACCCUGAACAUUACCAACACAUAGGAAGAAUCAAAAUAAUUUAAAAAAAUGAUUUGAAAUAAUUACAAAUCUAAUUAGUAAUUAUAAUGAUAUGGAUUAAAUUAACAAUUAUUUUCCAGGAAAAAGCAAAAUAAUUUAAAAAAAUCAAAAGUCUUAGGGAUCAAAAUAGUAUUAAUUUUGUUAAUAAAAUCCUAUUGAAUAAUGCCUAAAAUCUCAUCGAAAUCAAUAUUAGCAUCAAGUGAUUUAAUAGGCAAUAAAAUAUUGAGACCAAAUUUUGUUCAAGAAAAUUACUUAGUUUGGAUGAUUUGCUUCGAAAACAGGACCGACAUCACAAACGGUGGCCAGCAUUGAGAUGGUUUGCGGUGCCCGAUAAUUGACGAUCUCAAGGUUUUGGUUCGGUGGCGAGGUUCGUUUGAGCGGGUGAUGCUCGGUGGUUUGACUUCGUCCAUAGGACGGAGACGUGCCUGCUCACGUCUUGAUGAUCCACGAGGAAGCUUCAGGACCGCUUUAGAAACCUGCAAAACGGAAGUGAAGUGCCGCAACAACCGGGCUGGAACUUCACGACAGUGCGGAGCGCGAUGAGGCGGUGUCAAGCACGGCUGCAAGGAUCAGCGGGAGCGGGCGUUGUCGCGGAUCAGGAAUGGCUCGGCAACAUGUUCGGCGAGGGGUGACGCGAAUCAGCAACUUGUCGUCGCGGGUCACGAGCGGCAACGGAACAGAGCAGCUUUGUCGUCACCGGUGCAAGCGGCGAGCAGCGGCAAAACUCGGGAUGGUGGCUCUCGUUGGGCGGCAAAGACAUCGCAGGGCAGCAGGCGUGGUGCAAUAGCCUACUUCGAGCUCUUGUAGUCGGGACAGCAAGCAAAGCAGCAGCUCGUCGCAGGUGGUAAGGGUGCGAUGACGGUGGUGGCGCGGCGAUGAUCUCGGUUAGACGUGGCGGCGCUCAGGCAGUCGGGACAGCGGCAGAGACGUCGCAGGGCGGCCCAACAUCAAGGACGUCGCAGGGCGGAGAGCAGCAUCGGGUCGUUGUCGAUGACGGAGAAGCUCGCCGGGAGAAAGGAGGUGGCGGCCAUGAGUUGAAGGCGUCGGAAAGGGGGGUAUUCGGUCGGGGGAUGGCCGAAGAUGACAACCCCCUACUUUCUUUUAUCUCUCUCCUUAUCUUUUUCCCUUGCGUGUUGUCGGACAAGAAAGAAAAGCCCCUUUUGUUGACCUAUUGACCUAGAGACAAAAGAGAAACCCUGUCUGAUCUUUAUUCCCCUUUGUCUGUAAUGAGAUAGCUUUGGUGAGAGGACUAGGUUGUCGAAAAGCGUAGACUUUCUUUCCUAUUGUGAGCACUUUUUAAAAUAUUUUAUUUCCUUCUUCACCCUUUUCCUUAAAAAUAUUUUAUUUCCUUAUGUUGGCAUUUUUUGAAUAUCACCAAAUAUAUACCCCUGUGCCCACCGACGACGUAGCGCACCCUUCCUUGUGUUUUCCUAUCUUUAUCUUCCAUAUAUUACAUGAAUAUAUAAAUUCACCACCAUAUCAUCCUUUCUUUUUGUUCGUUUUUGUUGGCCAAAUUUUCCUUCUAUGCUCUUGAACGAAUAUUGGAAGAAUAAUACCAAUUUUUUCCUAAAUAUAUCAAUCUCUCAACUCGUCGCACCUUAUAAGUUAAUUUUUGAUCAUUAAAGAAUAAUGGACUUAGUCAAAUUUCUUCACUGUGGGUUUAGUCCAACUUGUUAAAUUAAAGUUCAAAACAAACAAUUUAAGAAAUGAAUAACUAAUUGGGCCACCAAAAUUUAGACGUCAACAAUCGUGUACAAAUCAUCAUUAAUCAGUUGAGGGCUAAUGGUGAAAAACUUCAAGAUGUACGAGUCGUAGAAAAAAUCUUGAGGUCUUUGAUUGAAAGAUUUGUCUACGUCAUUGCAGCGAUCGAGGAAAGACAAAAUGUGUCAACCCUAAUGUUGGAGAGGUUGAUGGGUUCAUUGUGCUUGCGUGAGCAAAGAAUGAAUCAAAAGUCCAUUGAUGCAAAUCCCAAGCAAACAUUGUAGAGUCGGGUCACUCCAUCAAGUCGAGGAGACUAUCAAGGCGAUCGAGGCUAUGGAGGAGGCCGAGAUUGAGGUGGAAAUUCAAAUUUUAACAGAAAAUAUAAAACACGUGAAAAAUCAAAAGUCAAGUAUUUUAAGUACAACAAAAUUAGGAAUUACAAUUCCGAAUGCCAAGCAAAGGCGAUACACAAGCAAGCGGAACAUGCACAUGCCACGGACACUGAAGAAUAUAUGGUGCUAGCAUGUAAAAAAGAUGACUCAAGCAUUUUAGACACCAACAUAUAGUACUUGGAUACUCGAUGCAACAAUUAUAUACCUGACCGAAAGGACUUAUUCUCAUAGUUGGAUGAGACGAGUUGUGGUAUAGUCAACUUCGGGAAUAAAUCAAAAAUUUCUGUGAUGGGCAAAGGUAACAUUAACAUCAAUUUAAGAUAUGGUACUUAUGUUACUAUUGCAGAUUUUUACUUCAUAUCACGACUUUUUUGGAAUUUGCUAAAGUGUUGGGCAACUUUCUAAAGAAAGCCACAAGUUUCAUAUUGAAAAUGGAGUUUGCACCAUCAGAGGUGUCAACAACAAGUUGAUCAUGACAAUGCAAAUGAAGAAAAACCAUAUGUUUCCCCUGACUUUGCAGAAGAAGAGUCUCUUGAGUUUUCAAGCGAUGAUGAAAGAUAGUAACUAGUUGUGGCAUCUUCGAUUCAAGCAUGCAAAUUUUCGUGGACUAAAAUUACUAGUCCCGAAAAAGAUGGUAAUCAAUAUGCCAUUGAUUGACUAUCCAGAUCGUCCAUGCGAAGAAUGUCUCAUUGGAAAAUAACAUCAAGACUCUUUUCCAGUUAGAAAAGCCUGAAGAGCAAAACAACAUUGUAGUUGGUACAUACAAAUAUUUGUGGCGCUGUUGAGGUGGAAUCAUUUGGACAAAAAGAAUAUAUACUAAUUUUUGUGGAUGAUUUUACCAAAAAAAAAAAUGGAGUAUAUUUCUUGAGAGAAAAAUCGGAAACUUUUGGCAAGUUUAAAAAAUUUAAAGUCUAUGUUGAAAAACAUAAUAGCUUUAAUUUGAAGAUGUUAAGAUAAGAAAGGGGGAGAAUUUGCCUCAAAUGAAUUUGGCAAAUAUUAUAAAAUUCAUAGAGUGAAAUGUUAGUUGACUACCAGCUGUACUCCUCGGCAAAAUGGUAUAGCAGAAAGAAAGAACAUGGUAAUUUUUGAAACAACAAGAAAUAUGCUAAAAGCUAAAAAUUUACGCUAAAAAUUUUGUGCAUAAGUUGUUGCAUGUGUUGUAUUUAUACUGAACAAGUAUCCAACAAGGAGUGCUCUUGGAAGAACCCCAAAAAAGGCUUAGAGCGAUCACUAGCCAUUAUAAAUUGUAUAACCUAGUCACUGAAAAGGAAAUCAUCAGCAAGGCUGUCCAGCUUUGAAGAUGAAACUUGGGGUUGAAACCAAAAGGGUGACUAGAAAAACAUUACCAUCGAUGAUGAACCAUUAGGGGGAGAGAUAGAAAACCCUCCAUCAUCUUCGACUGGUGGUGCUCUUCUUCACCAUUGGUAGCUUCAAAACCACCAUUAAAUCAUUCACAGUGAUUACAAGAAACUCCAGCAAAAUUCAGGGAUUAUGUGGUUACAAGAGACAACGACAGUAAAAAUAAUGGAAUUAUUGAUGGAAGCUAUGGUAAAUUUUUGUUUAUUUGCUAAAUGUAACCUUGUAUCCUAUAAUGAAGCAGCUAUAAGUGAGAAGUGAAUCCAAGCAAUUGAUGAAGAAAUCUAUACCAUAGACGAGAAUGACAUAUGUGUUAACUUCUUUACCUCAUAAUAAGAAACCCGUUAGUGUCAAGUGAGUGUACAAGACGAAAUACAAACUUGACGAUUGGGUGGACUAUUACAAAGCUAGACUAGUUGUACAGGGCUAUAAGCAAAAGUCAAGUAUAAAUUAUUUUGAAGUAUUUGCAUCGGUGGCCCAAAUAGAUACCAUUCAUAUGAUCUUAACACUUAUAAAUCAAAACCAUUGGAGGAUCCAUCAAAUGGCUGUGAAAUCAGCAUUUCUUGAUGGUGUCCUUGAAGAGAAAGUCUAUGUCGAGCAACCAUAAAGUUAUGAGAAGAAAGGGCAUGAAAAUCAAGCUAACAAGCUGAAGGCGCCUCGUACUUGGUUUCGAUUUGGUCACCCGCUUGUUCGUCACGGACGAAUUUGCGAAGUCUGUUGCCUACCUUUUCUCACAGCUCCCUGCUUUUUUUCAGUGGAGCUCCUGACGGAGAGAAGGAAAAGGGCCGGAUGAUCAUGCCUUGGGCCGUAAAAUGAAUACCGAACUGGACCUUUUAUUUCAUUUAUUAUUAUCGUAUUUUUCUUUAUUUUGAUUUUUUAUAUUUUUGCCAAAAAAGUGGACGCUUGGAUAGUCAACAAAAUUACAGGUGUAAACAAAUAUGCUUUGUCAAUUCUUAAACAUGCUUUGAAUCCUAUGAUGCAUCAAGUUAUCGUUUAAUUUGUAAUCAAUUUUGUUUAUCAAUGCAUCCAUCUAUGAGUCAUUUUCAAAUUGCCAAGCGCAGUUUAUAUUAUAUUAGGGGCAUAGAAGAUCAAGGGAUGCGAAUCUUAUCCAAGUCAACUUUGGACUAGUUUUUUUCAUCUGUCUCUUUAAUAAAGUUUUGAGAACCGUUUUCGGACCGGGGGAUUUCACGGGACGGACUAGCUUUUUUUGGCGAGCAGGAAAAGAUAAGAAUUGUUGAUCUUUCACAUAAGAGGUGAUACAUUCCCGCAACAAAAGUUGAUGACUCAGUGGGGUCAACGUCAAGCUAGUAGCGACAGGGCUUGAAAUUCUUUGGCAUUACUGACUAAUCAAGUGUUCUUAAUCCGAGAAGAUUUAUGGUACAUUUGAUAAUCAUUUUAUUCUCGGAAAUGACUUUUGCUCAUAAACAAUUUUUUUUAUAUUGUUCCGAGAAAUAAUUUGUGAGUUUUUAAAGAUGUUUAGUAACUACACAAAAUUUUUAUUUCUCAAAUAGAAAUGUAUUUCAUAGGAUUCUUAAUUUUUUUUGUUUCUUUUAAUUUUUUAAUAUUUUUAUUACAUUUUUCUCUUUUUUCUCUCUUAUCUUUUUUCUUUUUUCCUUUUCCUUUUCUCUUCUACUUCCUCCUCCUUUGUGGCUGGUUGUCAGUGUGGCCGAUCGCCAACCAUGGUGGUGGCCGAUGAUUGGCUUCACGAGGUCCAACAAGGUCGCCGAAGCCUCGCCAUAGUAGAGUGAGGUCCCACGAGCUCGCCAGAGGCUUGCAUUAGGCUUGCAUGACCAUUGCAAGCCUCGGCCUCACAGAUUUGGGCGAGGACAAGCCUUUCUGAUGGCCAAAUGAGCCUCGCCUAGGCCGACGAGCCUCAUCAUGGUUCGGCAUCUGACGACGCUUUGGCAAGGUUGCUAGUCCUUGUUUGACCGGUCGCCAGCCACGGUUGAGGCCGAUGAUGAGCCAAAAGAAGGAAGAAGAAGAAGAAGAAGAAGAAAGAGAAAUUAGACUUGACUCUAGGAGUUGUUCCCGAGAAUAAGAAGUAAUUUUUUUUUCUACUUCUUAAUUUUGUUUCAAAUCUAUUUCAGAGAAUAAAAAAAUGAAUUGUUUUCUGGAGCUAAAAAUUUACUAAAUGAAUAUCUAUUUUUUUUUGUUUUUUUUUGGAGAACAAAAAAAAAAGAAUCAAUUGACAUUACCAAAUGGAUUUAUAUUUUUUUUUUUGUUCCGGGAAAUAAAAAAACAGAAUAACAAAGAAAUUGGAAUAUUAACAAACAGACCCUUAACAAAACGUUAAACUUCGGUCAAAGUUAUGAGGGGUUACAAACAUAUAUAUCUAAUCAUUAUUCUCCACUAACGGCCAUAAAAAUUAAUAAAAAACGGAUGAGCAAAAAAGGAAAAGAAACAUUCCUAUUUGAUCCAUUAUUUACAUUUGAUAUUGUAAAUACAUCCAGCGAGUUGCUUGAAAAAUCGACAAAGUCUAUAUCCUCAAGCAGAUCACGGGCGCAGUUCAUUGGAAGAAGGAUGAAGACUCCAAUAACCCCCGCAAAUUCAAAUACUCUCAAGCCGUAAAAUUUCAGAUCAAAGGCAAAAUUGUAUAAGGAAGAGCCAACAAGGUAAGUAAAUACAUGAUCCAGAGAAGCUAGUGCACCAGUUACCAUAGCCACAACUCGCUAAUUAAUGGAGACAAAUAUGAAUAGCAAGAAGAAAGGUUAACAUAUAUCCAAACAUAUAUCCAAAGUCCAGAUCUAACUUCUCUCAUCCCAAUCAUUUCCUUAGAAAAAAAACAUGAAACAACGGCCUUUUCGUUUCUCGUUUACUCGAGUUAUCGUUAAUACUUGAUGCUCUGUCAUGAUGGAUUUUCUCUAUACACAUCCAAUGAGCACUACAAAUGAAAACUCAGAAUCAGUCUGAAUCCCUAAUGGCACAUUAACAACGGUUAGGUUAGAAAUAAUUAUAUAAAUCAGAAGAAGCAUAAACAAACUUUCAACUGUCACAUAUUAGCUAUGCAAUUUGAGUCAUGUAAAACAGAGAGAUCCUUCGCUACCCUUUGCACUGACCCUAAUAAGCUGUGCAAGGAAUUAGGAAACCAUCGAAUCUUCUAAGGAAUUUUGGGUAAAUAGGUCUAUUCAAGCAUGCGAUGUGGGGAUACCGUCCACUCUGUCACCUCACGCUCACUUAAGAUAAAGAGAUGAUAGGUCGGUACCUUCGAAUUUGUCCAAUUAUUAAUUGGAUUUCGAGAAAACCAGAAUUAACGAAACUGCACAAAAUUCUAUUUUCCUAUGGUAUUCUAUGAGUCUCUUCCAUUUUGCGUAUGGUAUCACGUCACGUCCCCCCGCCUAAGUAACACCGAUAUCGACACGUGACACAUGACACAACACGACACGCCGACAUAUUAUUUUUAAAAGAAGAGAAUCUCGACACGUUGUGACGCGUUCUAUAUUAAAUAUAUAUCUUAUAAAUACGUAAUAAAUUAUCAUUUUUAUAAUUUUUUCAAUCAAAUUAAUUUGAUUCAAAUUCACAAAUAAAUAAAUAACAAAACCUAGAAUGAAUUUACACUAAAAACAUUAAUUCACCAUUUAUUAAUAUCAUUUAUUGUUUCAAUUUGACAAAUUCCACGCCAUUCUAAUAAUCUAUAAGAUUUGAAAAAAAAAAAAACAAUUCACAUUCUAGACUCACAUGUGUUGGAAGAGAGAAGAAAAAAUUCAGAGAAUAAAUUAUGUAUCACGAAAAGUGAGAGUUAAAAGAGAAGAGAAAAUUAUGUUUUUUUUUCCCUAUUUAUUAUUUUUAUGAUUGUUUUUUUAUUUUUUCACUUAUAUAUAUUCUGACUCCUCAUUUAUUGCGGACUUUUAAGAUUGAUUUCAUGUGUUAGAAUAAUGUGUCGGAAACUCACAUGUUCGAGUUCCAACUCGAGUGUCGAAAAGUGUAGGGAAAGUUAAUCAAGUGUCGAGUUUUUCGAUGCAUGUUAACCGAGUGUCAAUUCCAAGAGUUUCAAAGAGCAUUGAAUACGUGUCGGAGUAUCCGUAUUUUGACCACUCAUUCAUUUAAAAUUUUUAAAAUUGCCUGGCACCUUACUUGUCACAAUUUGCCUUUAUCAUAGUCCUAACUUUGAGAAAAUGUACUAGAUACUACCAUUAAAGAGUAACAUUAUCAUAUGAAUCCUUUGAGCAUAUAAAUAGUUGUGGGACGGGAACGACUAAAUAAAUCCUCGCCUUACCUCUUAUGCUAGGACUGUACAUUGACAAGCACCAUAGCUGGACUAAAGGGUAAGCGACCAAUCAAACUCCUAUUUCAAAAUCAAGAGCAAUGGAUCUAGAUUCAACAACAUAUUUGUAAUCACAAUAAGAUUAAAUAACGCGAUCGUAUUUUGAAAUUCGAAUAUUUACAUGUCGGGUGCACUCUCCUUUGAUGGAUUAAGUUUUGUUUUGGGUCAAUUUGAGAGAGAGAGAGAGAGAGAGAGCUCUUACACUCUCCUAUUUUGAGGUAAAAAAAGAGAGAAAAAAAGGAAAACGAAAGAAGGCAAUGAUUAAAAGAAGAGAGCCAAAAAGAAGCCUCCCUUUUGACCAACUGAGAACGAGGAAUCGAUUCUCAACCGCUCGCCUCUCUCUCUCUCUAUUGCUCAGGCUGUCGCUCGAGAUCCGGUGUCGUUCCGUCGCUCUCUCUCCCUCGCUCGCUCUCUCGAUCGCUCGGUCUGUCUCUCGGGCUCUGGUCGUCCCUCCCUCUCUCUCUCUCUCUCGAUCGCGCGGUCGGUCUCUCGAGCUCCGGAGUCCUUCCGUCGCUCUCUCUCUCUCUCUCGCUCGCUCGCUCGCUCGGCCUUCGGUGUCUGAAUUCAUCGGAAAGAUGAAUCUAGGGCAACUUUUCGGGCAUUUAAAGCGAUCGGCUGCUUUGAACUUGUUGGAGGGGCUAUUCUUUUUCUGGAAUAUAUCUAGGGCAACUUUUCGGGCAUUUAUCACGGCUUUUUACUUUAUCGGAAAUGCGAUUCUGUUGCUCAUCAUGUCGGACACGGGGAUUCCGAUACUGAAAAGUAACGUUCAGUCAAUUUGGCAGAGCUUGAGAAAGAAGCUAGCGGCUGGCUCCAGAAUCGCCGCCGAUGCCCAGGUACCGACCACACUAUUAUCAUCAUCUGUGGGUUUAUAUAUAUAUAUAUAUAGAGAGAGAGAGAGAGAGAGAGAGAGAGAGAGAGAGGGGUCAUGGGGAAAAGAGAAAGCUUGCUGUGUCGUCUGUGGUCGAAAAAGGUAUACUUUUCAGUGAUAGGCUUCAGCUUCUUGAAGGAAAGUUGCUUUCCUGAAAUUUUGUCAUGAUAUUGCAUUUAUUAAGAAUCAUUAUGCUUGAUUUAGCUGUGAUUCAUAGAAAGAAAAAACCUGAAAUGCUUUCUAAAGGUUACUUUUUGCAAAGCAAGCUUGCUUGUGUACUAAAUCGAGAUCUGUUGUCGGGAAAUGGAAAAGCAUGCUUGCUAUACAAACUUCUCCUUUACUUGAAUACCAAAGAAUGUCGACUUUUCUGUUGUUGAUUAUAAGUUGACUGUCAUUUGUAAGUCUGGAAAAAAGGGCCAUGGUAGGAUGGUAGCACAACUUAAUAAUUCAUAGCAUCGGAGAAUUCGCUUUAGCAAGAAGUUGAAAAAAGUACACUUAGAGACAGCAAUUGGAUAAUCGCACGUUGUGGACAGAAAGGUUGAGAGGGAAUUUUGCGAAGCUGUUGAAACUUGAAAGGAAUUAAACUUUCUUUAGUUAAUGCAGAAGACAUUAACGACCAGCUUCCUGCGCAACUCUCUUGAUAAACCAUUGAUUAGUUGCGCUUUUUCCUCGAGAUUAAUUACAGGUGCAUUGCAUGUCUCGGUUCAUUUUAAAUGCCUAAGAGUUCUGUACUUGAUACUGUCGUCUUGUGCUUUUUGCUUUGGGGGAUAUUCUUGGGGUAUGAUUAGGACAUGAUGGGCUAGCCUUUCUUCACUGCAACAUUAAUCUCAUCCUCAUGUUUCACCCAUCCAGUGAAUUCGGACUUGGAUUAUGGUAUUAUUAUUAUGGGUUGAUCACUAUUUGGAAACAUUAGUUAGCCAUCUUGCAGCUUUCAUCGACUGUGAAUGACUUUGCACACUAGCAUCGAAUCGGACGCCGGAGGGAGGGAGUGGAAGAAACGAAGAGAAUUUUUGGGUGGGAGAGCGAGGGGAGAGAGUGCAAGGGAGGGGGGAGAGGGAGGGGAGGAAGCAAUGACUGCGAAGGAGGAAAAAAGUCGGGGUGUGGGAAAGGGCCAAGAAAGAGAGAAUAUGUUUCACGCUCUCGAGAUCAAAGGGGGCUAGACGGAUAGGCAAAAGACGAACACAUGUCGGAACAGUGCUUGUCGUUUAACGCCUGGCAGCGAGAAGAAGCAGCAGGGAGGGUUGGCAGAGUUGAGAGCGAGAGCCAUCCCACGCCCCUACGACACACCGGCGCUUCGACCGAUGCAGCUGGCAGGAGCUGGCGGGGAAAGGGGAGAUGAGCGUUCACCCCAACCCCCAACCCCACGCACUCCUUAGUCCACGCUAAACCCGAUUACUUUACUGAUUCACGUUCGUCGUUACGGUAGUUUGGGACCAUGGUAACGAAAUAAAUUGUGUUCUAACUUUAACUCAUUGUCUACUGAUGUUCCUUAAUUUUAAAUUCGUUCAAUGUAAUUCCAAAACUUUAUCUCGUUAGGAUGGGUAAUACAGCAAAUUCGCUUGUGCUUUGUCUUUUGUUUAUCCAGUGUUCUUCUACUUAGCCAAAGUUGGUUCACUCUCUUGUAGCUUGGUUGGUAUUUAUAGCUUGUUCUCUAGCUGAUAACUGUCACAUUUGAUUGGACAAAAGAAAGCUUGGUGUGUUGUUCGUGGUAGAAAAAGAUAUACUUUUGCGGAACGUUGUGCAGUCUCUGUUUCUUCCCUUCCUGAUUUUUAUAAAACGAGGCAGGCGGUCUCUUUUGUUUCUUUUCUAUCUUUCUGACGACAGGCAUCAUCUCGCAAAACGUAUGUUUUUGUUGCUGGAUCUUAACUUUCAUGGCUCACUUUUGUCUCCCUCUGUGUGUUUUUAUCAGGGGGACCUUAGGAAGAGACAGGAUUUCCUUCCUGUGCGGAACCAUGGCUCGGGUGGCGAUGGCGAGCAAAACAAGAAGGUUAGUUCUGUUUUCCAAUCUCCUGGUAUCUCUAUAUGAUAAGGUUUCGUCUAGACAAUGAUCGACACAGUUGGAAAUUGCUUGAUUAGUGCUAUUCAGUUACAAAAAAUUUCGUAUCGAAUUUUAAACAGAUCCAGCUUACUGGGUUGUACGUACUAGUACAUGUAGGUCUUCUCAUGGUUCUGGCAUCAAUAUUUUCACCUUGCCAUCGAUCACAAGAUUUGUUUGCCCGGAGCAAAGUGUUCACUAAAUGAAAGUUUUCAUUUGAAACCUUUUGGGUGGACAAUAGUUUACUGAAAACAUUUUCAUCUUAUGCACCGGCUAACGAAACAAGAGUGAUCCUCGGAUCAACGAACUGGUUAAAUUUGCCAAGAUGCAAGAUUGUGCCUACAUUGAAAUACUGUAGGAAGUGUGGAUCCUUCUUUACUUUCUUUCAAGUUCAAUAACCUAAAGAUCUAAUAAUUUCGAAGAGGCUCUGGGAAAGCUGGAAUUUUUUGGCCACUUCUCCUUGACUUGCUUAUUUCCCAUGCCUUAAAUAUAUUAGGAUCUUUUUUCCCUUACUAUAUUGUUGAGGGUGACAGGGAAUUGAUGUGCUGAGGAUGGGAUCGGCUGGUGGUGGAAGAGGCAAGAAUGGCCACUUGAAGGUUGUGGUUUCAGCAUCGGCAUCGGAGGGGGCAAUCGUCGAGCAGCCAGUGCAUUCUGGUGCUCUUGCAAAUGGUGGUGGUGCAGGUGCAGUGGUAAGUAGCACGAGCUAAAUAGACUUCAGCUUCUAGAAGGAAAGUUGCUUUCCUGAAAUUUUGUCAUGAUAUUGCAUUUAUCAAGAAUCAUUCAUCUUGAUUUAGUUGUGAUUCAUAGAAAGAGGAAAGCUGAAAUGCUUUCUAAAGGUUACUUUCUGCAAAGCAAGCUUGCUUGUAUACUAAAUCGAGAUCUAUUGUCAGGGGAGAUGGAAAAGCAUGCUUGAUGUACAAACUCCUCCUUCACUUGAAUACCAAAGAAUGUCAACUUUUCUGCUGUUGAUCAUAAGUUGACUGUCAUUUGUAAGUCUGGAAAAAAGGGCCAUGCUAGGAGAAGAUUUUUUUUCCCCGCGAGGGAUAGUAGCACAACUUAAUAAUUCAUUGCAUCGGAGAAUUCGCUUUAGCAAGAAGUUGACUAUUUUCAGGAAAAAAGCACACUUAGAGACAGCAAUUGGAUAAUAGCACGUUGUGUACAGAAAGGUUGAGAGGGAAUUUUGCGAAGUUGUUGAGACUUGAAAGGAAUUAAACUUUGUGUAGUUGAUGCAGAAGACAUUAACGACCAGCUUCCUGCACAAUUGUCUUGAUAAUCCAAUGAUUAAUCGUGCUUUUUCCUCGAGAUUAAUUACAGGUGCAUUGCAUGUUUCAGUUUAUUUUAAAUGCCUAAGAGUUCUAUACUUGAUAUUGUCAUCUUGUGCUUUCUGCUUUGGGGGAUAUUCUCGGGGUAUCAUUAGGACAUGAUGGGCUAGCUUUUCUUUGCAGCAACAUUAAUCCCAUCCUCAUGUUUCACCCAUCCUGUGAAUUCAGACUUGGAUUAUGGUAUUAUUAUUAUGGGAUGAGCACUAUCUGGAAACAUUAGUUAGCCAUCUUUCUGCUUUCAUCGACUCUGAAUGACUUGUACACAANNNNNNNNNNNNNNNNNNNNNNNNNNNNNNNNNNNNNNNNNNNNNNNNNNNNNNNNNNNNNNNNNNNNNNNNNNNNNNNNNNNNNNNNNNNNNNNNNNNNGGGGGGGGGGGGGGGAGUAAGCAAAGACUGCGAAGGAGGGAUAAAAAGUGGGGGCGUGGGAAAGGGCCAAUCACGCUCUCGAGAUCAAAGGGGGCUAGACGGAUAGGCAAAAGACGAGCACGUCGGAACAGUGCUUGUCAUUUCAUGCCUGGCAGCAAGAAUAAGCAGCAGGGAGGGUUGGCAAAGUUGAGAGGGAAAGCCAUCCCAUGCCCCUCCGACACGCCAGCGCUUCAACCGAUGCAGCUGGCGGGGAAGGGGGGAUGAGCUUCACCCCCAACCCCACGCACUCCUUAGUCCACGCUAAACCCGAUUACUGAUUCACGUUCGUCGUUACGGUAGUUUGGGACCAUGGUAACAAAAGAAAUUGUGUUCGAACUAACUCAUUGUUUUAUUAUGGUCCUUAACUUUAAAUUCAUUCAAUGUAAUUCCAAUUUUUUUUUUUAAUCUUCAAUGUAAUUCCAAAACUUUAUCUUGUUAGGAUGGGUAAUACAGCAAAUUCGUUUGUUCUUUGUCUUUUGUUUAUCCAGUGUUCUUCUACUUAGCCAAAGUUGGUUCACUCUCUUGUAGCUUGGUUGGUAUUUAUAGCUUGUUCUCUAGCUGAUAACUGUCACAUUUGAUUGGAAAAAAGAAAGCUUGGUGUGUUGUUCGUGGUAGAAAAAGAUAUACUUUUGCGGAACGUUGUGCAGUCUCUGUUUCUUCCCUUCCUGAUUUUUAUAAAACGAGGCAGGCGGUCUCUUUUGUUUCUUUGCUAUCUUUCUGACGACAGGCAUCAUCUCUCAAAAUAUAUGUUUUUGUUGCUGGAUCUUAACUUUCAUGACUUACUUUUGUCUCCCUCUGUGUGUUUUAUCAGGAGGACCUUAAGAAGAGACAGGAUUUCCUUCCUGUGUGGCAACAUGGCUGGGGUGGUAAUGGCGAGCAAAACAAGAAGGUUAGUUCUGUUUUCCAAUCUCCUGGUAUCUCUAUACAAUAAGGUUUUGUCUAGACAAUGAUCGACAGAGUCAGAAACUGCUUGAUUAGUGCUAUUCAGUUACGAAAAAUUUCAUGAUGAAUUUUAAAUAGAUCCAGCUUACUGGGUCUACGUACUAGUACAUGUAGGUCUUCUUAUGGUUCUGGCAUUAAUAUUUUCAUCUUCCCAUUGAAGUUGUUGACAUACUGGGUUGUACAUACUAGCACGUAGCGGACAGAAGGGUGGAGAGGGAAUUUUGCGAAGUUGUUAUAACUUGAAAGGAAUUGAAGUUUCUUUAGUUAAUGCAGAAGACAUUAACGACCAGCUUCCUUCAUAAUUCUGUUGAUAUACCAAUGAUUGGUUGCGUUUUUUCCUCGAGAUUACUUACAGGUGCAUUGCAUGUUUCAGUUUAUUUUAAAUGCUUAAGGGUUCUGUACUUGGUACCGUCGUCGUGUGCUUUUCACAUUGGGGGAUAUUCUCGGGGUAUCAUGACAUCACGGGCAAGCUUUUCUUUGCAGCAACAUUAAUCACAUCCUCAUGUUUCACCCAUCCAGUGAAUUCAGACUUAGAUUAUGGCAUUAUUUAUGGGAUGAACACUCUUUGGAAACAUGUAUUGGCCCUCUUGCUGCUUUCAUUGACUCUGAAUGACUUUGCACCGUGAAAAAAGCAGCUAAAAACAUCUGUUUGGUGAGUAGAUUUGAGAAGAUGCAUGCAUAUCUCUGAGAAUUCCAUUAUGUUUUCAUCUGACUAGUUUGUUAGAAUGGGGAAUACAACAAAUACAUUUAUGCUUUGUCUUUUGUUUAUCCAUUGUUCUUCUACUUAGCCAAGAAUAAAAGAAGUAAGUUAUUUCACUCUCUCGUCGCUUGGUUGGUAUUUAUAGCUUGUUCUUUAGCUGAUAACUGUCACAUUUGAUUGGGUUGAAUUGUCUUUUGUACUUGAAUUUAACAUCUAUUCUCUCUUCCCAAGUUUAAACAUCAAAUAAGAGUUCUCUGGGUUGACUUUGUUGAACUUCCAUUGAUGUUUAUACAGGCAAUUAUGUGUUAUUGUAUAGUAACACAUUUUCAAAGAACUUAUCUGUUUGGGUACCAGUAUAGAUUGUCAUUAUCUGAAUAUCUAGUGCUUGAUCUCUUUUACACAGGAUGUCAAGAAAUUUAAGUGCCGAUGUUCCACUAGUAAGAUUAGACUUGUCAUGUUCCCUGUUUGAUGAUAUUGCAAACUCUGAGGACUAGAAAAGCCCUCAAGUCCCCUAUGUGCUGCCUAGAUUAACACUAACCCCUAUUACUGAUUGGAUUGAUGGAGUUUUUUGUCAUUAUCUGAAUAUCUAGUGCCUGAUCUCUUCUACACAGGAUGUGAAGAAACUUCAGGUGCCGAUAUUUUGCUGGUAAUAUUAGUUUUGGCAUGUUCCAUACUUGAUGAUAUCACAAACUCUGAGAACUAGAAAAGCCCUCAAGUCCCCUUUUGUUCUGCCUGUACUUCAACACUAAACCCCCAUUACUAAUUGUAUUUGAUGGAGUUUAAUCUGUGCACUUGACAAUCGUAGCUCGAUCUUCUCAUGUAAUCUUGUUUCUUCAAUUCUGCUAUGUCUUUUUGUUCUUAUUUGAUAUAUUCGGCAGCACUGUACAUUAUAUCUAAGAUUGUAGUUUUCGUUUGUAGGAUCCCAAGAUGAAAAAGGCUGCUCCACCCUUUUCGUACGAUCACAAAUCUGGCAGUUGCAAGGAAAAGGGAGAGGUUGGUAUUCCAAUCUUUCUACAUUUAUAAACUGGAAAAUGCAUAGACAUGCUCUUUUUUUGACUUCUCUCUUUGAUACGUAACGUAUAGCUAUGUUAUGAUAUCUAAGAAAGUUGGUCCACAAAUAGUAUCAAUUACCCUAAAGAUUGAAAUCUCAUUGAAUGUUAUACAUGUCUAGAUUAGUGAGAACAAGUGUUGCCAUGUAAAGAUCUUCUUGUGAAUCCUCUAUCGAAAACUUAACCUUAAUGUUGCAUCAUUAUGAUUCUUGUCCUUUUUCCUUACAAAUUGGUCCUUAGGCCUGCUACUGAGCUUGGUCUUCCAGAUCGAUGUUUGAAACGAUUAAGUCCACUUGUGCAUUGAUAAACAAAGGAAUAGAUGGCUUGAUUUCUAUACUUGAUCGAUAGAUAAACAAAGGAAUAGAUGGCUUGAUUUCUAUACUUGAUUGCUAGACAUCGUAAGACUCUCCUCCGUUAGUAAAUGGUUGGCAUGGGUUCCUGCUUAUCAGUGCUCCUCGUUUCCCUGAUUAAGAAACUUAGGGCUCAUUUGAUUUUAGAAAACAAUUUCAAUUUCCAUUUUUGUAUAUGAAAACAUCAAUGGUAUGAAAAUCAAAAUCAAAACUCUCCAAAAUAAUAGCGAGUCUUUUCCUUUGGUAUUCACUCUCUUCGUGUUUCAUUCGGAAAGGAGAAGACUUGGAGAUAUCAACAAUAUAUUUUCAGUUUGUAACGUUGACUUGGAAAACAAUUAACUUAUUUACCUUAUUAACUUGGAAAAUAAUUGUACCUCAUUAGUGAGAUAAUCAUUCUCUUGGAGUGAUUAAACGAUUGAAUGAUUUUAAUCUGUUGUGAGGGCAUUGUCUCAUCAUUAUUUGCUCUGUUUGGCAAUCUGUCCAUGAUGCCUGUAACCUCUCAAAAUAUUCCAGAUAUUCCAGAUGGCAUUUGGAGAAAGAAGGUCUUUGCCAGUGCAAUCCUUGGUGGUGUUAUUCCUAGUUGGUGAGACUCUGAUUUGCUAGGCAUCUUCCUCUUUUCUUAGGUUUUCUUGUUGUCAUUUCUCACUGGAUUGAUCCCAAUACCAUUUGGGAAGCUACCUGGAAUUGGACCGCUUUGUUGUUGUCAUUUUUAUUCUUUAAUCCCUUUAUGAUGUUUUUGACUAUCUGUUAUUUGAAUCUGUAGGGGGGAUGCCUGUCUUUGCUUCAGCGAGUUUUACACUAGUCCAUUACAACAAUUGCCCGAUACCAAUAUUUCCAUCACUGUUCCCUACCGGCAGUUCUAUGAAAAUUGAUAAUAGUAUGAGUCUCGGUGCAAUUGAUCCAAGUGAAGUACAGAAUUAUACUCUGCCAGAUGGGUGGGCAGGCUUUGGCUUUUUCAGUACUGGAUGCACUUUGGAUGCAUUGGCUGCUCGGAAUUGCACCACUGGUAAUUGCGAAGGGAGAGGUUGUACUGCAGAGGACAGUCCAGUUGCAACAACUUACAUCAUUUCCGAUGAUGGUAGCAUCACCAUAUCUGCGGGAAGGGGUUAUAAUCUCGAACUAGAGAUUAUGCCAAUGUGUGUUGGCUGCACGUCUGCAAGCUGCAAAGCCCAGUUGGAGAGCUGCCCAAAUGAUCUGAGGCUAUUAAACAGCUCAGGAGCUGUGGUUGGAUGCAAGCCGCCAGGUAGGGGCCUACAUUUCUCUGAGAGUCAAUGCACCAUCCCCGGUGAUUACGGUAUUUCCACAGUGAGAAUCACCUGUCCCCUGAAGAAUUGCAUUACAAAGAUUACGGUGUCUUGUCAACACUAAACGUACAAACAUAGGUUGUACAGCAUCAACUUCAAAUAGGGGUUUCUGGAAAUGCUACUUAGACAAUUGACACAGGGGCUCCUUGUUACUUGUUAUCCUGGCUUCUGCUCUAUCCUUUUUAACUUGAACUUUCCGUCUGCGGAAAGGGGUUAUAAUCUCAAACUAGAGAUUAUGCCAAUGUGUGUUGGUUGCACGUCUGCAAGCUGCAAAGCCCAGUUGGAGAGCUGCCCAAAUGAUCUGAGGCUAUUAAACAGUUCAGGAGCUGUGGUUGGAUGCAAGCCGCCAGGUAGGGGCCUACAUUUCUCUGAGAGUCAAUGCACCAUCCCUGGCGAUUACAGUAUUUCCACGGUGAGAAUCACCUGUCGCCUGAAGAAUUGCAUUACAAAGAUUACGGUACAAGGUCAACACUAAAGGUACAAACAUAGGUUGUACAGCAUCAACUUCAAAUAGGGGUUUCUGGAAAUGCUACUUAGACAAUUGACGCAGGCGCUUCUUGUUACUUGUUAUCCUGGCUUCUGUUCUAUCCUUUUUAACUUGAACUUCCGUCUAGGUUCCGAGAGUAUUGCAAACAUCAUCUGUGUGACUGCAUAAACUGUUUUUAACAGUACAGAUGAACCGAGGGAGAACAUUGACGAUUGUCCCACCACGGCACAAUGCAUUCAUAGAAUUAGCCAUUAGGGAUGCAGCACAGUGAGCAAUAGUUUUGACUGUUAGAAUUAAGAUCCUUUCGAUUUAGAGACUUAAUCAGUUGGGGAUGAUGCAAAAUCACUCAAAAAGUUCGGCUACCUACCUUUUUUUCCCCAAGGUAUUUGGCCAAAUUAGAAAAAUCAAUUUUCCAUUGUCAUCCGUGAUAAUAUUAAAUAAGCGAAUCGAGUGAAGCAAUUGAAAGGAUCUGAUCAUUAAUCCUGCAUAUUAUUGCGAGAGUAACAUCAUGAACUACUCAAGAUGCAUAGUUCGAUAAAAAUUGCGUUACACAAAAUUAAACGAUUACUAACCUUUUGGGAACCUUUUUUUUCCAAGGUAUUUGGCCAAUUAAAAAAAUCUAUUUUCCUAUCCUUCCUUUUGAAAGAUAGAAAUAUCAGGUCUACAGUCACAACAAUAUCAACUCGAUGCAUGCAAACCACGUAAAAAAGGAGGCGAUGCAGAUGUCUAAGCACUAACAAUUAUUGUUUUGUUUCUGUUAGAGCCUGAAUUUCAUUUGAGACGUAUCAAGCAUAAAACAAUAUCAGUUGCACUUACCUGAUGAGCUUCGUGCGGAGGUCAUUUUUGUGUAAUAGGAUCAGGUCCUUGUUAGCCACCAACCUAUAUGUAUAUCAAAAGAAGUCAUUUGUUGCAAGAGAACAACAAAAUUUGAUUUGAGAGACGAGGACGAGGCCAAGUGAAAAUUGUUAGAAAGUCUAAUCUAAAAAGCAAUGAAUUCGACUAACAGAGUGGACGCAAAUCACGAGCCAACAGAUUUUUGGCUAGCCUUGCGUUGCCGAAGCGCGGUCUUGCGUUGCCGCUUCUGUUCAUCAGAGUCACGUUCGUGGCGCCGGAAACUGCCGCUGCUUGCCCUUCCUCCUCCAGUGGUGUUCUUCCAUCGCUAUGGAGCUUCCGUUUGAUUUGCUUCUCUCCAUACGAUCUCGCGACGGAAGAGAGACGUUAAAACGAAGGUUUGAAAGAGGUGAGGUUUGCCGACCGAAGAGAGGCGUCAGGAAAUGAGGAAGUAGGGGCCUGCUGCGUGCUGAUGCGGUUUAAUGAUUUAUUAGUCGAGUAAAAUAAAACGAAAAAAUCAUCAAAAACUUCAAAUUUUAUUCAAAAUGACAAAUUUUACCAAUCGUGAUACAUUUAUCAUAAAUUUUUUUUCGUGACAUAAAAACUCUAACUUUGCAUCCGUAUGACAUAUUUACUUUUUAACUUUUUUUUCUUCUCCUCUCUUCCCUCUUCUACCAUCUCUUUCCUCUCCCACUAUGGCGGAAGAAAGAGAGAAGAAGUAAAAAGGAAAGAUAAAAAAAUAAGAUGAAAAUCUCUUUAGUUGAGUAAAUAUGUCACAGUUAAUAAAGUUUGAAAUUUUUCACGUAACGAAAAAAGUUUUGAGAAAAUUUGAAAUUUUUAAUGCUUUUUUUCCAAAAUAAAACGUAUAAAAUGUUCGAACACUGUACGGAUUCCUGGGUAAAAAAAAAAAAAAGGUUCGAACACUUUUCGGAACAAGUCUGACUGAUCGGUUCGAAUCCACUCACGUUACCCUCUGGCAAUUGGUUGAGAAAAAGACAUUACAAAAAGACUUGGCAACUUAGUCAAGUCGAAAAAAACGUAUGAAACGUUCGACACUUCCGAAAAAAAUAUGAUUGAUCGGUUCGAAUCCAAUGCACGUUACCCUCUUGCGGUUGGCUGAGAAAAAGAAAUUAGACAGACUUGGCAGCCACCGCUCCUUCGAGGAAAAAGAGAUGGAACAAGGACGUCACGUGCCGUCCUUUUCGUGCCAACUAUUUAAAUGUCACAUCUGUUGUCUUUCUGAUCCGUGAGAGCUUUUAAGUCUUCGGCACUGUGAUACGAGUACGAAAAACACCGAGUACGAAAUUUCAAAUUGUGUUAAUUUAGAAUGGAUCGGAUCAAACCCUUCUAAUUCUCUCUUUGACUAAACCAACUUGAGAAACUCAUUUCCUUCUCCGACCACAGAAAAAUUCAUUUACUUAUUAGAAAGUGGAAGUCUGAUGACUUGUUAUGCAGGAUGUCGAAUUGUAGAUUGUUAUAUUAUGUUUUGCUUUUUUCUUUAGCCUUUGUGUUUUAUGGAGAAAGUAUGUUUGACCCGUCUAUGUUGGUGCAAGUGAAAAUUGAAGCGUGCAAUUCUCUCUGAACCCUAGGUUAGGGUUUUCCUCACUUUCCUCCUCAAGCCACCGCCUCUCUACUAGGGUCCCUUCCCCUUUCCCUCUCUUUCUCUCUCUUCCCUCUUUUGAAACUCUUUCUUUUCUAUCCUGAUUUGUUCUGGGAAUUGUGUGUGUAAAUCAAUUUUAGCAGCUGAGCUCCGGUGAACAUAGAAACGAGUUCGGCCAUUCAUCCAGUUGACAACCAUCAAGAAUGAUGUUUGUAAUAUGAUUCCAUAACCUCUCCGAGAUAGGCCACUCUUCUCUUCCAAUUUAAAUUUAGGUCAAGUUUUGGUAUAGAUUUGAGAGUUCCUUAUAGGUAUUUGAUCUGUGUUUUUUUUUUUAUAUUUUGAUGUUGGUAAUGAGAUGUUGAAUCUAGACGCAUACAAUGGAGUGGAUAUAUCUCGGUGUAUGCUCAUCACUGAAUCUGGUGAUUGACCGCCAAUUGUUUAUAGCGACAAAUCCGUUCUUUAGGGAUGAGAAUUGCUUUCUUUUUUUUGCUUUUUUCUACAUUUAAUUGGGAUUUUCUAGGCUUGGAAAAAUUUCUAUGUACCUUUUCAAGUAUUAUUCUGAUAUAUGAAUGAUAUUUGACCAAAAAAAAUUACAAAACAAUUGAAUUGCUUAAUGAUGAUGGCGUGUCGUGUGAUUUUAAAGUUUAAAAUAGAGCAUUUGUAAUAUACUCUAUUGGUACAAAAAGAAAUCUCCAAAACCUUAUCUAUCAGUAAUUUGAUGAUGGUUAGUGAGAGAGAAAAUGGAUAAAACCACUCAAACUUACGUAAAUUUCUUUUUAUACCAAAAAUUUACUCUUAUUUUCUUUUAAAAUAUUGUUAAGUCAUCGAUGCCAGAAAAGAAAUAUAUACGAGAUCCAAUAGUGAUGGAGACCGUCUUAACCUAGUAAUUUGAUGAUGAUAACUCCCAUUAUCGAGAUAAUGACUUUUUUCUAACUUAAAUAGUAUGGCUGGUUAAAGUAUCUAAUACAGCCGUACUAUUUAAGCUUGGCUUCUUUUUAAAAUUAAAUAGUAUGGCUGAGCAUUUCAAAAAAAAAAAAAUAUAGUUUGGCUGGGGGACCAUUAAAGAUCUUUGUAUUGCUCUUCCAUGAAAACGCCUUGAACAAGUAAAGCAACUUGUCUCAUUUUCUGAACACGAUGUGCUAAUCAGCACACUGGUAAAGGAGGUGAGCGGUGUGCUUUGGAAGAUAUAUUUGUUUUUAAGAGACCAGUGUAACGUAGCAUUUGGACAAAAGUCAUAAGAUCCUUAGCGUUGGAUUCUUCUAAUGCCUGUAAUAACUACAGGACGAACCCUUGCCGAGGCUAUCUAAUGAUAUUAAUUAUGUUUGCUUUCUUGUAAAGUUACAUAGAAUAAUACACCCAAAAACCAAACAAAUGCUUGCAUUUCCUUCUCUAGCCCUCCCCCUCCUCACGCCGCACCAGAUUCAUACGGACUGCUAUUCAGACGGAUCUUAAUAUUAUUAUCUCCUUACCGUAUCAAAAAAAGGAAAAAAAAAUUAAUACUGUAGAAAACGCAAAACUGGUACACAUAUGACUAAUUUACUUCAAAUUAAUUUUUUGACCACAAACAAAAUUUCAAACCAAUAUACCUAUAACAAGUUUACUCCGAACUUUUGUGAUAAAUUUACUUUCUGUCACUUGAUAAACGGAUGCUAAAAUCUAAAAUUGAUACACUUAUCAACUGUCAUAUAUCAUUCAACUCAAUAAUUUGACUGUAAAAUUUAAUUACAAAUAAUAAAUUUAUCGUAAAUGUACUAGUUUGAGAUUUUUGUGGUUAAAAUAUUAGUUUAGAGUAAAUUUAUCACGGAUUUAUUAAUUUGAAAUUUUUCAUAAGAUUAAUGAAAGAAAAAAGGAAAUAAUGUGAGAGAAGAGAGACGUUAAAAUGAUGAUUUAAAUGUGACGUUUGUGAGAUGAUAAGAGACGUUUAAAAGGAAAUGAGCCUGCUGAGUGCUAACCCGGCUUGCAAGGUAACAAAAUUUGAUUGAUCGAAUUCAUCCAUGCCUGGAACGCGUUUGGUGCAUUAAGAACGUCUGAAACGGCUUUUUCAGUCUAAUUUACUUUUUUUGGGUCGAAGGUCUAAUUUAGAACGUCUGAAACGUUUGCUUAAAAGUUAAGCGCGAAAAGAAAACAUCGAACAACCACCCCAAUUGGUCAAGUCCUUGCCCCAAGUCAUCCGUAAUUUUCUCUUUAGGCGUGUAGUGUGGGGUUUGUUGUGGCUUUUCCCUUUUCAACAAAAUCACGUGCCCGCAAGAUUCCUUGCGUGAGUAACGUUGCUUCUCAGAAACGCGGAACUCUCAUGACUUCUCAAUUCCAAUGAAAUAAAUGUUGGGUCCGCGAACAAUUCCAACGACUUUCCCUACGCGGCACCAGAUGAUAACGUUUCCAGCAACUUUGUCGCGGAGUAAUUAUCGCGCCUGAUUAUUUUGACUUUUUGAAACUUUUGAAAAACAGUGGUCCCAUCAAAAGAAAAGUAGAUCUAUCUAAUUUACAACUCAAUCAAAGGAUGUUCAUCUACAUCGCCUUCAUUUGAGGCGAAGCUUAGGAGAAAGGCCCACCGGUAGGUGAAAAGUCACCAUCAACGCACCUGCCAAUUUCUUCUAUUGCUUGUCGGCCAACAAAAGUUUCUCUUAUUUAUUGCCGAGCAAGUCUUCGUCAAUCCUUAGUGAAAGGUCCGUUUAUCUCGCAAAAAAUUAAUCACUUUUAAAAAAAAAAAAAUAUAUAUAUAUAUAUAUAUAUAUAUAUAUAUAUAUUUGGGGGUGACUUAAAAAUUUGUAUAGUUGGUAGCCGACGAGUAAAUCUAGGAAACACAUAAGCGGGAAGAUUCACCACUCUCGGUAUCCCAUUUAAGACCCAAGCGACCGUAAGGGAAUUCGAACUCCUCCCAUUCGUGAGAAAGAGAGAGCCCAAAUCAUCCUGGCCACCAAUGCGAUAGUUUAAAAAAAAAUUAUUUUUAAGUAUUUGACUAAAAUCUAAAAACAUUUUAAAAAAUAUUUUUCAGUGUUCGGUAAGGAAAAUAUUUUCCGCUGCCCAAAUUGGCGAGCACGAGCGUUAAGCUCAAAGCUCGCCAGAUUGAGUGUGAGUUUGAAAUUGACGAGCUUAAGGUUCAUAUGGUCCGACGACUAGCCAGGAAAGAAGAAAAUAAGAAACAAAGAAAAGAAAAAGAAAAAAAGAAAAUUAAAAAUAAUUGGAAUUAAAAAAGAAAAUUAAAAUUAAAAAAUAAUUCGAAUAAAAAAAAGAAAAGAAGAAGAAGAAAGGGAAAAAGGAAGUGAGGAUUUGUAGAUAUGUGAGAUAAGAGAGAUCAAGUGAGGAAAAUGUUUUCCACUUGUUUUCCACUUUUCAAAAGUGAAAAACAUUUUCCCCUACUUUAGAAAACUUUUUUCCUUUGAUGGAAAACAUUUCUCCAAGGAAAACGAACGCCGGAAAAUUUGACAAACGUUUUCCCGAAAAUUAUUUUCCGUGAAACGAACGGUAUUAAUUUCCCAGAGUGGGCCUAGUUUUGGCGUUCUAAAGUCUAAAGUCAAGUCUUGGUGAGUAACACUACUUUUUCGGACCGCUUUGCCUGAGGCGGUCCCUCGAAUUCGAGGAAAUCGUCCAAGUCUCCGCUAUUUGGUUUUAGCAAAUAGAACAAUUUUCGUCUUAUUUGGUUUAAUUUUGCAAUUGAAAAAGAGAGAGAGAGGUGAAGUGUUCCUUAAGGAAUAACACUUACAAGCAUAAUAACCACUAUUGUCAACAAAAUGAGGCAAGCAAAGGACUAUUUUGUAAUACUUUAAAUAGUAUCCGAUUCUAUCAUUUGUUCAAUAAAUUUUUUGUUCCUAAAAAAAUCCAUUUUUUUGUUCUUCGAAAUAGAAAUUAAAAAAAAAUUGUUUCUUAUUCCCGAAAGCAAUUUUUAGAAUCAUAUCUAAUUUUUUUUUUCUAUUCUCUUUCCUUCCCUUCUUCUUCUUCCUUUUGGAUGAUUGUUGGCCUCGACCAACCCUUGGCAACACCGAGCCACGGCGAGGCUCGACCUCUACUUGGCUAGGAAAGGUUGACCUCACCCAAAUUGAGAGAGACUGAGCCCACCCAACCAUUGCCAAGGUUGUCGACCUUGCCCUAACUGGGAGAGGUCGACCUCGCCUAGCUAGCUAGCACGAGGUUGGGCCUCACCUCGCGCCUCCUAGGCAAGGCUUGCCUAAAUCUACAAGGCCAAGGCUUGUGAUGGGGAUGAGGCUAAAAAUGGUUGUGGUUAGUGAUUGGCCACAAAGAAGGAGGGAGAAGAAGAGAAAAGGAAAAAGAAAAAAGAGAGAAAAAUAAGAAAAAUAUAAUAAAAGUAUAAAACAUUAAAAGAAACGAAAAAAAAAAAUUAACAGUCCUAACAAACGUACUUAUAUACUAGCAAUAAAAAUUUUAGAUAGUUAUCAAACGUUUUUAAAAAUUCAGAAUUUUUUUUCGGGAUCUAAAUAGAAGGAAUCAUUUAUGAGUUGCUUUUCCAGAAACAAAAUGAUUAUCAAAUGCAUCCUAAGUCUUAAACUUGUGUAUGACAAGCAUAAUUGCAAUCAAAUGUACAGCCAGUAGAGUCAGAGAUGACAGGAAUACCUAUUCCGAACAUCAACCACUCAUCAGCUUGUUAUCAACUUUCACUGCCGGAAAGAAAAUAUAUUUUAUGUUACUGAUAAAAUACAUUGUUUGAAUGAGACAAGUGUGCACGUAUAUUACUCCGGGAUGUCGACGGCAAUCUUUGGUACAUCAACUAGUCUUAAUUGCAGAAAACGUUUGGUUAAGCGCCAUCCCUGUGAUCCACAUAUCCCUGUGAUCCACAUGGAGGCGUAUCCUCAAAGGAUCCUUUUUGAAAAUGAAGAGAAAGAAGAUGCCAUCAAACAUUCCUAUCUUCAGGAUCAACACGAAUUCUAAGCUUUUGACGCAUGGAACGCAACGUAGUUCAUUCUUACGCUAUACGCGCAAAGAAAAGACGAACUCUGAAAGGGAAGCUAUAGCUAUACCAGGGUUCAGGACUGCAUUUACCUGAUCAGUUCUAGACGCAGAUAGAGUAUCAUGUUCAUGCAUAUUUCAUUAUUGGGACAAUUAUGUGUCUAGACUAAGGAAAAGUUUAUGGAAAGACUUGGCAAGAAAGACUUGGCAAGUCUCCACCGAACAUGGUUAUAAAUUUCCACAGGAGUUCCUCAUAAUAUCAUUACUAACUCCAUAUCAUUCACAUAUACACCUAGGCUAACUCCGAAAGGUGAUCCUGCAACCGAAGGGUAAGGCUUUUGCAUCCCUAGAUUAAAAAUGCAACGCUUGUCAAGAUCUCUUCAAACUGCCCUGUUUCUGUUCUCAUUCCUCAUCGAAGGACAAGCAAUGCACACCAUGUCGUCCUCCUCUCCCUCUUCUCUCUCUCUAGAAAGAGCUCCAUGUCGCCCUGAUCAAAAGUCGGACUUGCUUCACUUCCUGCGUGCUUUAAUAUCAGAUAAUUCCACGUCAAUUUUCUGCCAACUGGAUAUUGGUUGGCUCAGGAGACCAAAGAUGCUCUCCUGGAAUGUUGCAUCGGAUUGUUGCUCGUGGGAUGGAGUCAUAUGUGAUCCAAUGACAGGUCAUGUGACUCGCCUUGAACUCGGCUGUUCACCUCCGAACCCGACCUGCUACUCUUCCACAGGGUCUUCAAACAGCAGCGAACCAUCUACCCUUGGUUUACUCAAUCUUCCUUCACCCCAGGAAGCUGAAAGACCAUCGAGGUCAAAUAAGCUGCUUCAAAACCUAACCAAGUUGAGAGUCCUUGCUCUCGACGGGUUAAACCUGUCUGGCAUUGAUGUGACUUGCUUAAUGAAUCUCUCUCCAUCUCUGGAAGUCCUCAGCCUCAGUUACUGUAAAUUGCGGGGCACAUUAGCAGCAAACAUUUUCCUUUUGCCAAAGCUGACAUGUCUCAAUUUAUCAGGCAACAAGGAGCUUUCGGGUUACUUACCUGAAGCAACUUGGAACAGCUCUUUGAAGGUUUUGGACUUGUCCUCCUCAGGCUUCUCUGGAGUAUUAGCAGAGUCCAUCGGCGACCUGCAUUCUCUGCAGAUACUUUGGCUGAACCGGUGCAGCUUCACAGGCUCUAUUCCAUCAUCACUUGGUAACCUAACACGUCUCACCCAUCUGGAACUUUCGUAUAAUGAGUUUAGUGGGCAGGUUCCUCCAACUUUGUCAAAUCUUGAUCAGCUCACUUUGCUUGAUCUUUCCUCGAACAAUUUCAUAGGUCCAAUACCCGAUGUCUUUGACAAUAAGACACAACUUCUUCUUCUAGAUUUCUCACAUAAUCUCUUCACGGGUCCUAUUCCUCCAAGCACAAAGAAUCUUUCGACUCUCGCCCGACUUGAUAUUUCCAACAAUCUCAUUGGCGGGUUUAUACCGUCAUCAUUGUUCUCUCUUCCCUCCUUGACGAGCCUAGACCUCAGUAACAAUGGGCUCAGUGGUCACAUCGGCGAGUUCUUUGCUGCAUCUGCAUUAGACCAUGUUGACCUGAGUGGUAAUCAGUUGCGUGGCUCAGUCCCGAGCUCAAUUUUUCAGCUUAGGAACCUCACUUAUCUGAGCAUCUCAGCAAAUAACCUAACCGGUGUCUUAGACUUACAAUUGCUCUCAAGACUCGAAAGU